ACAAAAUAGUCCGGAAGUGGGAAAAUUUGCGGCGGUGGCUAUAAAUUGAUGGAAACGGUGGGAAGAAACACACAAAUUGGACUCUAACAAAACCUAACUAGUAACAAGACCUCGAUGAGGACACAAACUCAACACUACGGACUCUGAAACUGAAAUAUGCAAAGGCUAUGGCGCGGAUGGGUUGUAGGACAUGAAAACAAUAUGGCACCAGACUUAUGGGACGAACACAAGGACACUCGAAACUAAGGGUAGAUGUAAACCUAACGUUAUGUCUGAAGCUUUGAUUACCACUUGAGGAGAAUAAGUGUGGCCCGAUCUUCCGAAAGUUUCUGGCAACUAUCGAUUUGGUGGAAAAGAGACACAAAUCAAUCCAGCUUGCGAACAACACGGUUCGAAACCUGCAAUUCUUUUUUUUGUUCUGAUAUUUUUAUUUUGCUUAGGAGCACUCAAGAAGUAACCACACGAAAUUUGAGCUUGAACAAGAGAAAGACGUGGCCUGUGGAAAUUUUUGAAGAUUGCGAAAAAUAUAAAGAAAACUGUAGGAGGUGAAAACUCAAACUUCAGAGGCGAAUUUGGGGAUUUUAAAUUUGUUGAACCCGCCAGAGCGGGCAUAGACAGACCCAAAAAUUUUUUCUGAUCGAUUUUGAUAUAUGGAACGUCAAAAUCGGACUUCGUAUGCGAAAGUUAUGGCUGUUUUACGAACGGACUCCGAAUUCGACGACAAAAUAGUCCGGAAGUGGGAAAAUUUGCGGCGGUGGCUAUAAAUUGAUGGAAACGGUGGGAAGAAACACACAAAUUGGACUCUAACAAGACCUAACCAGUAACAAGACCUCGAUGAGGACACAAACUCAACACUACGGACGCUGAAACUGAAAUAUGCAAAGGCUAUGGCGCGGAUGGGUUGUAGGACAUGAAAACAAUAUGGCACCAGACUUAUGGGACGAACACAAGGACACUCGAAACUAAGGGUAGAUGUAAACCUAACGUUAUGUCUGAAGCUUUGAUUACCACUUGAGGAGAAUAAGUGUGGCCCGAUCUUCCGAAAGUUUCUGGCAACUAUCGAUUUGGUGGAAAAGAGACACAAAUCAAUCCAGCUUGCGAACAACACGGUUCGAAACCUGCAAUUCUUUUUAUUUUUUUUUAUAUUUUUCUUUUACUUAGGAGCACUUAAGAAGUAACCACAGGAAAUUUGAGCUUGAACAAGUGAAAGACGUGGCCUGUGGAAACUUUUGAAGAUUGCGAAAAAUAUAAAGAAAAUUUUAGGAGGUGAAAACUCAAACUUCAGAGGCGAAUUUGGGGAUUUUAAAUUUGUCGAACCCACAACAGCGGGCAUAGACAGACCCAAAAAUUUUUUCUGAUCGAUUUUGAUAUAUGGAACGUCAAAAUCAGAGUUCGUAUGCGAAAGUUAUGGCUGUUUUACGAACGGACUCCGAAUUAGAGGACAAAACAGUCCGGAAGUGGGAAAAUUUGCGGCGGUGGCUAUAAAUUGAUGGAAACGUUGGGAAGAAACACACAAAUUGGACUCUAACAAGAUCUAACCAGUAACAAGACCUCGACUAGGACACAAACUCAACACUACGGACUCUGAAACUGAAAUAUGCAAAGGCUAUGGCGCGGAUGGGUUGUAGGACAUGAAAACAAUAUGGCACCAGACUUAUGGGACGAACACAAGGACACUCAAAACUAAGGGUAGAUGUGAAUCUAACAUUAUGUCUGAAGCUUUGAUUACCACUUGAGGAGAAUAAGUGUGGCCCGAUCUUUCGAAAGUUUCUGGCAACUAUCGAUUUGGUGGAAAAGAGACACAAAUCAAUGCAGCUUGCGAACAACACGGUUCGAAACCUGCAAUUCUUUUUAUUUUUUUUUUGAUAUUUAUAUUUUACUUAGGAGCACUCAAGAAGUAACCACAGGAAAUUUGAGCUUGAACAAGAGAAAGACGUGGCCUGUGGAAACUUUUGAAGAUUGCGAAAAAUAUAAAGAAAACUAACUCAAACUUCAGAUGCGAAUUUGGGGAUUGUAAAUUUGUUGAACCCGCCAAUGGAGGGCAUAGACAGACAUCGAUUUUGAUAUAUGGAACGUCAAAAUCGGAGUUCGUAUGCGAAAGUUAUGGCUGUUUUUCGAACGGACUCCGAAUUAGAGGACAAAACAGUCCGGAAGUGGGAAAAUUUGCGGCGGUGGCUAUAAAUUGAUGGAAACGUUGGGAAGAAACAUACAAAUUGGACUCUAACAAGACCUAACCAGUAACAAGACCUCGCGCAGGACACAAACUCAACACUACGGACUCUGAAACUGAAAUAUGCAAAGGCUAUGGCGCGGAUGGGUUGUAGGACAUGAAAACAAUAUAGCACUAGACAUAUGGGACGAACACAAGGACACUCGAAACUAAGGAUAGAUGUGAACCUAACGGUACGUCUGAAGCUUUGAUUACCACUUGAGGAGAACAAGUGUGGCCCGAUCUUCCGAAAGGUUCUGGUAACUAUCGAUUUGGUGGAAACGAGACCCAAAUCAAUCCACCUUGCGAACAACACGAUUUGAAACCCUACAAUUCUUUUUAUUUUUUUAUUUGAUAUUUUUCUUUUACUUAGGAGCACCGAAGAAGUAGCCACAGGAAAUUUGAGCUUAAACAAGUGAAAGACGUGGCCUGUGGAAUUUUUUGUAGAUUGCAAAAAAUAUGAAAAUAAACUUUAGGAGGUGAAAACUCAAACUUCAGAGGCGAAUUUGGGGAUUCUAAAUUUGUCGAACCCGCCUUUGGGGGAUAGACAGACCCAAAAAAUUUUUCUAAUUGAUUUUGAUAUAUGGAACGUCAAAAUCGGAGUUCGUAUGCGAAAGUUAUGGCUGUUUUACGAACGGACUCCGAAUUAGAGGACAAAACAGUCCGGAAGUGGGAAAAAUUUGCGGCGGUGGUUAUAAAUUGAUGGAAACGGUGGGAAGAAACACACAAAUUGGACUCUAACAAGACCUAACCAGUAACAAGACCUCGACCAGGACACAAACUCAAUACUAUGGACUCUGAAACUGAAAUAUGCAAAGGCUAUGGCGCGGAUGGGUUGUAGGACAUGAAAACAAUAUGGCACCAGACUUAUGGGACGAACACAAGGACACUCGAAACUAAGGGUAGAUGUGAACCUAACGGUAUGUCUGAAGCUUUGAUUACCACUUGAGGAGAAUAAGUGUGGCCCGAUCUUCCGAAAGGUUCUGGUAACUAUCGAUUUGGUGGAAAAGAGACACAAAUCAAUAUAGCUUGCGAACAACACGGUUCGAAACCUACCAUUCUUUUUAUUUUUUUGAUAUUUUUCUUUUACUUAGGCGCACUCAAGAAGUAACCACAGGAAAUUUGAGCUUAAACAAGUGAAAGACGUGGCCUAUGGGAUUUUUUGAAGAUUGCGAAAAAUAUAAAAAAAACUUUAGGAGGUCAAAACUCAAACUUCAGGGGCGAAUUUGGGGAUUCUAAAAUUAUUGAACCCGCCUCUAGCAGAGAUAGAUAGAUCCAAAAAUUUGUUCUGAUCGAUUUUGAUAUAAGGAACGUCAAAAUCGGAGUUCGUAUGCGAAAGUUAUGGCUGUUUUACGAACGGACUCCGAAUUAGAGGACAAAACCGUCCGGAAGUGGGAAAAAUUUGCGGUGGUGGCUAGAAAUUGAUGGAAACGGUGGAAAAAAAACACACAAACUGGACUUAAACAAGACCUAACUAGUAACGAGACCUCGACCAGGACAAAAACUAAAAACUACGGAUUCUGAAACUGAAAAUAUGCAAAGGCUAUAGCGCGGAUGGGUUGUAGGACAUGAAAACAAUAUGACACUAGACUUAUGAGACGAACACAAGGACACUCGAAACUAAGGGUAGAUGUGAACCUAACGGUAUGUCUGAUGCUUUGAUUACCACUUGAGGAGAACAAGUGUGGCCCGAUCUUCCAAAAGGUUCUGGAAACUAUCGAUUUCGUGGAAACGAGACACAAAUCAAUCCAGCUUGCGAACAACACGAUUCGAAACCCUACAAUUCUUUUUAUUUUUUUUGAUAUUUUUCUUUUACUUAGGAGCACUCAAGAAGUAACCAUAGGAAAUUUGAGCUUAAACAAGUGAAAGACGUGAGCUGUGGAAACUUUUGAAAAUUGCAAAAAAUAUAAAAAAACUUUUAGAGGUGAAAACACAAACUUCAGAGGCGAAUUUGGGGAUUCUAAAAUUGUCAAACCCGCACACGGCGGGGAUAGACAGAUCCAAAAUUUUGGUUUCAUCGAUUUUGAUUUAUGGAACGUCAAAAUCGGAGUUCGUAUGCGAAAAUUAUGGCUGUUUUACGAACGGACACCGAAUUAGAAGACAAAACGGUCCGGAAGUGGGAAAAAUUUGCGGCGGUGGCUAGAAAUUGAUGGAAACGGUGGGAAGAAACACACAAAUUGGACUCUAACAAGACCUAACCAGUAACAAGAUCUCGACCAGGACACAAACUCAACACUACGGACUCUGAAACUGAAAUAUGCAAAGGUUAUGGCGCGGAUGAGUUGUAGGACAUGAAAACAAUAUAGCACUAGACUUAUGCGACAAACACAAGGACACUCGAAACUAAGGAUAAAUGUGAACCUAACGGUACAUCUGAAGCUUUGAUUACCACUUGAGGAGAACAAGUGUGGCCCGAUCUUCCGAAAGGUUCUGGUAACUAUCGAUUUGGUGGAAACGAGACCCAAAUCAAUCCACCUUGCGAACAACACGAUUCGAAACCCUACAAUUCUUUUUAUUUUUUUUAUUUGAUAUUUUUAUUUUACUUAGGAGCACCGAAGAAGUAGCAACAGGAAAUUUGAGCUUGAACAAGUGAAAGACGUGGCCUGUGGAAUUUUUUGUAGAUUGCGAAAAAUAUGAAAAUAAACUUUAGGAGGUGAAAACUCAAACUUUAGAGGCGAAUUUGGGUAUUCUAAAUUUGUCGAACCCGGCUUUCGCGGGGAUAGACAGACCCAAAAAAAUUUUCUGAUUGAUUUUGAUAUAUGGAACGUCAAAAUCGCAGUUCGUAUGCGAAAGUUAUGGCUGUUUUACGAACGGACUCCGAAUUAGAGGACAAAACAGUCCGGAAGUGGGAAAAAUUUGCGGCGGUGGCUAUAAAUUGAUGGAAACGGUGGGAAGAAACACACAAAUUGGACUCUAACAAGACCUAACCAGUAACAAGACCUCGACCAGGACACAAACUCAACACUACGGACUCUGAAACUGAAAUAUGCAAAGGCUAUGGCGCAGAUGGGUUGUAGGACAUGAAAACAGUAUGGCACCAGACUUAUGGGACGAACACAAGGACACUCGAAAUUAAGGGUAGAUGUGAACCUAACUGUAUGUCUGAAGCUUUGAUUACCACUUGAGGAGAAUAUGUGUGGCCCAAUCUUCCGAAUGGUUCCGGUAACUAUCGAUUUGGUGGAAAAGAGACACAAAUCAAUCCAGCUUGCGAACAACACGGUUCGAAACCUGCAAUUCUUUUUAUUUUUGUUGAUAUUUUUCGUUUACUUAGGAGCACUCAUGAAGUAACCACAGGAAAUUUGAGCUUAAACAAGUGAAAGACGUGGCCUGUGGAAUUUUUUGAAGAUUACGAAAAAUAUAAAAAAACUUUAGGAGGUCAAAACUCAAACUUCAGGGGCAAAUUUGGGGAUUCUAAAAUUAUUGAACCCGCCUCUAGCAGAGAUAGAUAGAUCCAAAAAUUUGUUCUGAUUGAUUUUGAUAUAUGGAACGUCAAAAUCGGAGUUCGUAUGCGAAAGUUAUGGUUGUUUUACGAACGGACUCCGAAUUAGAGGACAAAACGGUCCGGAAGUGAGAAAAAUUUGCGGUGGUGGCUAGAAAUUUAUGGAAACGGUGGGAAAAAACACACAAACUGGACUCAAACAAGACCUAACCAGUAACAAGACCUCGACCAUGACACAAACUCAAAACUACGGAUUCUGAAACUGAAAUAUGCAAAGGCUAUAGCGUGGAUGGGUUGUACGACAUGAAAACAAUAUGGCACUAGACUUAUGAGACGAGCACAAGGACACUCGAAACUAAGGAUAGAUGUGAACCUAACGGUAUGUCUGAUGCUUUGAUUACCACUUGAGGAGAACAAGUGUGGCCCGAUCUUCCAAAAGGUUCUGGAAACUAUCGAUUUCGUGGAAACGAGACACAAAUCAAUCCAGCUUGCGAACAACACGAUUCGAAACCCUACAAUUCUUUUUAUUUUUUUUGAUAUUUUUCUUUUACUUAGGAGCACUCAAGAAGUAACCAUAGGAAAUUUGAGCUUAAACAAGUGAAAGACGUGAGCUGUGGAAACUUUUGAAAAUUGCGAAAAAUAUGAAAAAAACUUUUGGAGGUGAAAACUCAAACUUUAGAGGUGAAUUUGGGGAUUCUAAAAUUGUCAAACCCGCACACGGCGGGGAUAGACAGAUCCAAAAAUUUGGUUUAUCGAUUUUGAUAUAUGGUACGUCAAAAUCGGAGUUCGUAUGCGAAUGUUAUGUCUGUUUUACGAACGGACACCGAAUUAGAAGACAAAACGGUCCGGAAGUGGGAAAAAUUUGCGGCGGUGGCUAGAAAUUGAUGGAAACGGUGGGAAGAAACACACAAAUUAGACUCUAACAAGACCUAACCAGUAACAAGAUCUCGACCAGGACACAAACUCAACACUACGGACUCUGAAACUGAAAUAUGCAAAGGCUAUGACGCGGAUGGGUUGUAGGACAUGAAAACAAUAUAGCACUAGACUUAUGGGACGAACACAAGGACACUCGAAACUAAGGAUAGAUGUGAACCUAACGGUACGUCUGAAGCUUUGAUUACCAAUUGAGGAGAACAAGUGUGGCCCGAUCUUCCAAAAGGUCCGGGUAACUAUCGAUUUGGUGGAAACGAGACCCAAAUCAGUCCACCUUGCGAACAACACGAUUCGAAACCCUACAAUUCUUUUCAUUUUUUUUAUUUGAUAUUUUGUUUUACUUAGGAGCACCGAAGAAGUAGCCAUAGAAAAUUUGAGCUUAAACAAGUGAAAGACGUGGCCUGUGGAAUUUUUUGUAGAUUGCGAAAAAUAUGAAAAUAAACUUUAGGAGGUGAAAACUCAAAUUUAGAGGCGAAUUUGGGGAUUCUAAAUUUGUCGAGCCCGCCUACGGGGGGAUAGAUAGACCCAUAAAUUUUUUCUGAUUGAUUUUGAAAUACAUUGAUUUUGAUAUAUGGAAUAUCAAAAUCGGAGUUCGUAUGCGAAAGUUAUGGUUGUUUUACGAACGGACUCCGAAUUAGAGGACAAAACAGUCCGGAAGUGGGAAAAAGUUGCGGCGGUGGCUAUAAAUUGAUGGAAAUGGUGGGAAGAAACACAUGAAUUGGACUCUAACAAGACCUAACCAGCAACAAGAUCUCGACCAGGACACAAACUCAACACUACGGACUCUGAAACUGAAAUAUGCACAGGCUAUGGCGCGGAUGGGAUGUAGGACAUGAAAACAAUAUAGCAGUAGACUUAUGGGACGAACACAAGGACACUUGAAACUAAGGAUAGAUGUGAACCUAACGGUACGUCUGAAGCUUUGAUUAACACUUGAGGACAACAAGUGUGUCCCGAUCUUCCGAAAGGUUCUGGUAACUAUCGAUUUGGUGGAAACGAGACCCAAAUCAAUCCACCUUGCGAACAACGCGGUUUGAAACCCUGCAAUUCUUUUUAUUUUUUUGAUAUUUUUCUUUUACUUAGGAGCACUCAAGAAGUAACCACAGAAAAUUUGAGCUUAAAUAAGUGAAAGACGUGGUCUGUGGAAUUUUUUGAAGAUUGCGAAAAAUAUGAAAAUAAACUUUAAGAGGUGAAAACUCAAAAUUAGAGGCAAAUUUGGGGAUUCUAAAUUUGUCGAACCCACCAAUGGUGGGGAUAGACAGACCCAAAAAUUUUUUCUGAUUGAUUUUGAUUUAUGGAACGUCAAAAUCGGAGAUCGUAUGCGAAUGUUAUGGUUGUUUUAAGAACGGACUCAGAAUUAGAGGACAAAACAGUCCGGAAGUGGGAAAAAUUUGCGGCGGUGGCUAUAAAUUGAUGGAAACGGUGGGAAAAAACACACAAAUUGGACUCAAACAAGACCUAACCAGUAACAAGACCUCGACCAGGACACAAACUCAACACUACGGACUCUGAAACUGAAAUAUGCAAAGACUAUGGUGCGGAUGGGUUGUAGGACAUGAAAACAAUAUGGCACCAGACUUAUGGGACGAACACAAGGACACUCGAAACUAAGGGUAGAUGUGAACCUAACGUUAUCUCUGAAGCUUUGAUUACCACUUGAGGAGAAUAAGUGUGGCCUGAUCUUCCAAAAGUUUCUGGCAACUAUCGAUUUGGUGGAAAAGAGACACAAAUCAAUGCAGCUUGCGAACAACACAGUUCGAAACCUGCAAUUCUUUUUAUUUUUUUUUUGAUAUUUUUCUUUUACUUAGGAGCACUCAAGAAGUAACCACAGGAAAUUUGAGCUUGAACAAGAGAAAGACGUGGCCUGUGGAAACUUUUGAAGAUUGCGAAAAAUAUAAAGAAAACUUUAGGAGGUGAAAACUCAAACUUCAGAGGCGAAUUUGGGGAUUGUAAAUUUGUUGAACCCGCCAAUGGCGGGCAUAGACAGACAUCGAUUUUGAUAUAUGGAACGUCAAAAUCGGAGUUCGUAUGCGAAAGUUAUGGCUGUUUUACGAACGCACUCCGAAUUAGAGGACAAAACAGUCCGGAAGUGGGAAAAUUUGCGGCGGUGGCUAUAAAUUGAUGGAAACGGUGGGAAGAAACAUACAAAUUGGACUCUAACAAGACCUAACCAGUAACAAGACCUCGACCAGGACACAAACUCAACACUACGGACUCUGAAACUGAAAUAUGGAAAGGCUAUGGCGCGGAUGGGUUGUAGGACAUGAAAACAAUAUAGCACUAGACUUAUGGGACGAACACAAGGACACUCGAAACUAAGGAUAGAUGUGAACCUAACGGUACGUCUGAAGCUUUGAUUACCACUUGAGGAGAACAAGUGUGGCCCGAUCUUCCGAAAGGUUCUGGUAACUAUCGAUUUGGUAGAAACGAGACCCAAAUCAAUCCACCUUGCGAACAACAUGAUUCGAAACACUACAAUUCUUUUUAUUUUUUUUAUUUGUUAUUUUCUUUUACUUAGGAGCACCGAAGAAGUAGCCACAGGAAAUUUGAGCUUAAACAAGUGAAAGACGUGGCCUGUGGAAUUUUUUGUAGAUUGCAAAAAAUAUGAAAAUAAACUCUAGGAGGUGAAAACUCAAACUUCAGAGGCGAAUUUGGGGAUUCUAAAUUUGUCGAACCCGCCUUUGGGGGAUAGACAGACCCAAAAAAUUUUUCUAAUUGAUUUUGAUAUAUGGAACGUCAAAAUCGGAGUUCGUAUGCGAAAGUUAUGGCUGUUUUACGAACGGACCCCAAAUUAGAGGACAAAACAGUCCGGAUGUGGGAAAAAUUUGCGGCGGUGGUUAUAAAUUGAUGGAAACGGUGGGAAGAAACACACAAAUUGGACUCUAACAAGACCUAACCAGUAACAAGACCUUGACUAGGACACAAAACACUACGGACUCUGAAACUGAAAUAUGCAAAGGCUAUGGCGCGGAUGGGUUGUAGGACAUGAAAACAAUAUGGCACCAGACUUAUGGGACGAACACAAGGACACUCGAAACUAAGGGUAGAUGUGAACCUAACGGUAUGUCUGAAGCUUUGAUUACCACUUGAGGAGAAUAAGUGUGGCCCGAUCUUCCGAAAGGUUGUGGUAACUAUCGAUUUGGUGGAAAAGAGACACAAAUCAAUCGAGCUUGCGAACAACACGGUUCGAAACCUGCAAUUCUUUUUAUUUUUUUUGAUAUUUUUCUAUUACUUAGGAGCACUCAAGAAGUAACCAAAGGAAAUUUGAGCUUAAACAAGUGAAAGACGUGGCCUGUGGAAUUUUUUGAAGAUUGCGAAAAAUAUAAAAAAAACUUUAGGAGGUCAAAACUCAAACUUCAGGGGUGAAUUUGGGGAUUCUAAAAUUAUUGAACCCACCUCUAGCGGAGAUAGACAGAUCCAAAAAUUUGUUCUGAUCGAUUUUGAUAUAUGCAACGUCAAAAUCGGAGUUCGUAUGCGAAAGUUAUGGCUGUUUUACGAACGGACUCCGAAUUAGAGGACAAAACGUCCGGAAGUGGGAAAAAUUUGCGUUGGUGGCUAGAAAUUGAUGGAAACGGUAGGAAAAAACACACAAACUGGACUCAAACAAGACCUAACUAGUAACAAGACCUCGACCUGGACACAAUCUCAAAACUACGGAUUCUGAAACUGAAAUAUGCAAAGGCUAUAGCGCGGAUGGGUUGUAGGACAUGAAAACAAUAUGACACUAGACUUAUGAGACGAACACAAGGACACUCGAAACUAAGUGUAGAUGUGAACCUAACGGUAUGUCUGAUGCUUUGAUUACCACUUGAGGAGAACAAGUGUGGCCCGAUCUUCCAAAAGAUUCUGGUAACUGUCGAUUUCGUGGAAACGAGACACAAAUCAAUCCAGCUUGCGAACAACACGAUUCGAAACCCUACAAUCCUUUUUAUUUUUUUUUGAUGUUUUUCUUUUACUUAGGAGCACUCAAGAAGUAACCACUGGAAAUUUGAGCUUAAACAAGUGAAAGACGUGAGCUGUGGAAACUUUUGAAUAUUGCGAAAAAUAUGAAAAAAAAAUUUUGGAGGUGAAAACUCAAACUUCAGAGGCAAAUUUGGGGAUUCUAAAAUUGUCAAACCCGCACACGGCAGGGAUAGACAGAUCCAAAAAUUUGGUUUGAUCGAUUUUGAUAUAUGGAACGUCAAAAUCGGAGUUCGUAUGCGAAAAUUAUGGCUGCAUUACGAACGGACACCGAAUGAGAAGACAAAACGGUCCGGAAGUGGGAAAAAUUUGCGGCGGUGGCUAGAAAUUGAUGGAAACGGUGAGAAGAAACACAUAAAUUGGACUCUAACAAGACCUAACCAGUAACAAGAUCUCGACCAGGACACAAACUCAACACUACGGACUCUGAAACUGAAAUAUGCAAAGGCUAUGGCGCAGAUGGGUUGUAGGACAUGAAAACAAUAUAGCACUAGACUUUUAGGACGAACACAAGGACACUCGAAACUAAGGAUAGAUGUGAACCUAACGGUACGUCUGAAGCUUUGAUUACCACUUGAGGAGAACAAGUGUGGCCCGAUCUUCCGAAAGGUUCUGGUAACUAUCGAUUUGGUGGAAACGAGACGCAAAUCAAUCCACCUUGCGAACAACACGAUUUGAAACCCUACAAUUCUUUUUUUUAUUUGAUAUUUUUCUUUUACUUAGGAGCACCAAAGAAGUAGCCACAGGAAAUUUGAGCUUAAACAAGUGAAAGACGUGGCCUGUGGAAUUUUUUGUAGAUUGCGAAAAAUAUGAAAAUAAACUUUAGGAGGUGAAAACUCAAACAUCAGAGGCGAAUUUGGGGAUUCUAAAUUUGUCGAACCCGCUCUUUGCGAGGAUAGACAGACCCAAAAAUUUUUUCUGAUUGAUUUUGAUAUAUGGCACGUCAAAAUCGGAGUUCGUAUGCGAAAGUUAUGGCUGUUUUACGAAUGGACUCCGAAUUAGAGGACAAAACGGUCCGGAAGUGGGAAAAAUUUGUGGUGGUGGCUAGAAAUUGAUGGAAACGGUGGGAAGAAACACACAAAUUGGACUCUAACAAGACCUAACCAGUAACAAGACCUCGACCAGGAUACAAACUCAACACUACGGACUAUGAAACUGAAAUAUGCAAAGGGUAUGGCGCAGAUGGGUUGUGGGACAUGAAAACAGUAUGGCACCAGACUUAUGGGACGAACACAAGGACACUCGAAAUUAAGGGUAGAUGUGAACCUAACUGUAUGUCUGAAGCUUUGAUUACCACUUGAGGAGAAUAUGUGUGGCCCAAUCUUCUGAAAGGUUCUGGUAACUAUCGAUUUGGUGGAAAAGAGACACAAAUCAAUCCAGCUUGCGAACAACACGGUUCGAAACCUGCAAUUCUUUUUAUUUUUGUUGAUAUUUUUCAUUUACUUAGGAGCACUCAUGAAGUAACCACAGGAAAUUUGAGCUUAAACAAUUGAAAGACGUGGCCUGUGGAAUUUUUUGAAGAUUACAAAAAAUAUAAAAAAACUUUAGGAGGUCAAAACUCAAACUUCAGGGGCGAAUUUGGGGAUUCUAAAAUUAUUGAACCCGCCUCUAGCAGAGAUAGAUAGAUCCAAAAAUUUGUUCUGAUCGAUUUUGAUAUAUGGAACGUCAAAAUCGGACUUCGUAUGCGAAAGUUAUGGUUGUUUUACGAACGGACUCCGAAUUAGAGGACAAAACGGUCCGGAAGUGAGAAAAAUUUGCGGUGGUGGCUAGAAAUUGAUGGAAACGGUGGGAAAAAACACACAAAUUGGACUCAAACAAGACCUAACCAGUAACAAGACCUCGACCAGGACACAAACGCAAAACUACGGAUUCUGAAACUGAAAUAUGCAAAGGUUAUAGCGCGGAUGGGUUGUACGACAUGAAAACAAUAUGGCACUAGACUUAUGAGACGAGCACAAGGACACUCGAAACUAAGGGUAGAUGUGAACCUAACGGUAUGUCUGAUGCUUUGAUUACCACUUGAGGAGAACAAGUGUGGCCCGAUCUUCCAAAAGGUUCUAGAAACUAUCGAUUAAGUGGAAACGAGACACAAAUCAAUCCAGCUUGCGAACAACACGAUUCGAAACCCUACAAUUCUUUUUAUUUUUUUUGAUAUUUUUCUUUUACUUAGGAGCACUCAAGAAGUAACCAUAGGAAAUUUGAGGUUAAACAAGUGAAAGACGUGAGCUGUGGAAACUUUUGAAAAUUGCGAAAAAUAUGAAAAAAACUUUUGGAGGUGAAAACUCAAACUUUGGAGGUGAAUUUGGGGAUUCUAAAAUUGUCAAACCCGCACACGGCGGGGAUAGACAGAUCCAAAAAUUUGGUUUGAUCGAUUUUGAUAUAUGGAACGUCAAAAUCGGAGUUCGUAUGCGAAUGUUAUGUCUGUUUUACGAACGGACACCGAAUUAGAAGACAAAACGGUCCGGAAGUGGGAAAAAUUUGCGGCGGUGGCUAGAAAUUGAUGGAAACAGUGGGAAGAAACACACAAAUUAGACUCUAACAAGACCUAACCAGUAACAAGAUCUCGACCAGGAGACAAACUCAACACUACGGACUCUGAAACUGAAAUAUGCAAAGGCUAUGACGCGGAUGGGUUGUAGGACAUGAAAACAAUAUAGCACUAGACUUAUGGGACGAACACAAGGACACUCGAAACUAAGGAUAGAUGUGAAACUAACGGUACAUCUGAAGCUUUGAUUACCAAUUGAGGAGAACAAGUGUGGCCCGAUCUUCCGAAAGGUUCGGGUAACUAUCGAUUUGGUGGAAACGAGACCCAAAUCAGUCCACCUUGCGAACAACACGAUUCGAAACCCUACAAUUCUUUUCAUUUUUUUUAUUUGAUAUUUUGUUUUACUUAGGAGCACCGAAGAAGUAGCCAUAGAAAAUUUGAGCUUAAACAAGUGAAAGACGUGGCCUGUGGAAUUUUUUGUAGAUUGCGAAAAAUAUGAAAAUAAACUUUAGGAGGUGAAAACUCAAAUUUAGAGGCGAAUUUGGGGAUUCUAAAUUUGUCGAACCCGCCUACGGGGGGAUAGACAGACCCAAAAAUUUUUUCUGAUUGAUUUUGAAAUACAUUGAUUUUGAUAUAUGGAACAUCAAAACCGGAGUUCGUAUGCGAAAGUUAUGGUUGUUUUACGAACGGACUCCGAAUUAGAGGACAAAACAGUCCGGAAGUGGGAAAAAGUUGCGGCGGUGGCUAUAAAUUGAUGGAAAUGGUGGGAAGAAACACAUGAAUUGGACUCUAACAAGACCUAACCAGUAACAAGAUCUCGACCAGGACACAAACUCAACACUACGGACUCUGAAACUGAAAUAUGCACAGGCUAUGGCGCGGAUGGGAUGUAGGACAUGAAAACAAUAUAGCAGUAGACUUAUGGGACGAACACAAGGACACUUGAAACUAAGGAUAGAUGUGAACCUAACGGUACGUCUGAAGCUUUGAUUAACACUUGAGGACAACAAGUGUGUCCCGAUCUUCCGAAAGGUUCUGGUAACUAUCGAUUUGGUGGAAACGAGACCCAAAUCAAUCCACCUUGCGAACAACGCGGUUUGAAACCCUGCAAUUCUUUUUAUUUUUUUGAUAUUUUUCUUUUACUUAGGAGCACUCAAGAAGUAACCACAGAAAAUUUGAGCUUAAAUAAGUGAAAGACGUGGUAUGUGGAAUUUUUUGAAGAUUGCGAAAAAUAUGAAAAUAAACUUUAGGAGGUGAAAACUCAAAAUUAGAGGCGAAUUUGGGGAUUCUAAAUUUGUCGAACCCACCAAUGGUGGGGAUAGACAGACCCAAAAAUUUUUUCUGAUUGAUUUUGAUUUAUGGAACGUCAAAAUCGGAGAUCGUAUGCGAAAGUUAUGGUUGUUUUAAGAACGGACUCAGAAUUAGAGGACAAAACGGUCCGGAAGUGGGAAAAUUUUGCGGUGGUGGCUAUAAAUUGAUGGAAACGGUGGGAAUAAACACACAAAUUGGACUCUAACAAGACCUAACCAGUAACAAGAUCUUGACCAGGACACAAACUCAACACUACGGACUCUGAACUGCAAUGGCUAUGGCGCGGAUGGGUUGUAGGACAUGAAAACAAUAUAGCACUAGACUUAUGGGACGAACACAAGGACACUCGAAACUAAGGAUAUAUGUGAACCUAACGGUACGUCUGAAGCUUUGAUUAACACUUGGGGAGAACAAGUGUGGCCCGAUCUUCCGAAUGGUUCUGGUAACUAUCGAUUUGGUGGAAACGAGACACAAAUCAAUCCAGCUUACGAACAACACGAUUCGAAACCCUACAAUUCUUUUUAUUUUUUGUUUGAUAUUUUUAUUUUACUUAGGAGCACUCAAGAAGUAAGCACAUGAAAUUUGGGCUUAAACAAGUGAAAGACGUGACCUGUGGAAACUUUUGAAAAUUGCGAAAAAUAUGAAAAAAACUUUUGGAGGUGAAACCUCAAACUUUAGAGUGGAAUUUGGGGAUUUUUAAUUUGUUGAACCUGCCUAUGGGGGGAUAGACAGACCCAAAAAAUUUUUCUGAUUGAUUUUGAUAUAUGGAACGUCAAAAUCGGAGUUCGUAUGCGAAAGUUAUGGCUGUUUUACGAAUGGACUCCGAAUUAUAGGACAAAACAGUCCGGAAGUGGGAAAAAUUUGCGGCGGUGGCUAUAAGUUGAUGGAAACGGUGGGAAGAAACAUACAAAUUGGACUCUAACAAGACCUAACCAGUAACAAGAUCUCGACCAGGACACAAACUCAACACUACGGACUCUGAAACUGAAAUAUGCAAAGGCUAUGGCGCGGAUGGGUUGUAGGACAUGAAAACAAUAUAGCACUAGACUUAUGGGACGAACACAAGGACACUCGAAACUAAGGGUAGAUGUGAACCUAACGGUACGUCUGAAGCUUUGAUUACCACUUGAGGAGAACAAGGCCCGAUCUUCCGAAAGGUUCUGGUAACUAUCGAUUUGGUGGAAACGAGACACAAAUCAAUCCAGUUUGCGAACAACACGAUUCGAAACCCUGCAAUUCUUUUUUUUUUGAUAUUUUUCUUUUACUUAGGAGCACUGAAGAAGUAACCACAUGAAAUUUGAGCUUAAACAAGUGAAGGACGUGGCCUGUGGAAUUUUUUGAAGAUUGCGAAAAAUAUGAAAAUAAAGUUUAGGAGGUGAAAACUCAAAUUUUCAGAGGCGAGUUUGGGAAUUCUAAAUUUGUCGCACCCGCCUAUGGCGGGGAUAGACAGAUCCAAAAAUUUUUCUUAUCGAUUUUGAUAUAUGGAACGUCAAAAUCGGAGUUCGUAGGCGAAAGUUAUGGCUGUUUUACGAAUGGACUCUGAAUUAGAGGACAAAACGGUCCGGAAGUGGGAAAAAUUUGCGUUGGUGGCUAGAAAUUGAUGGAAACGGUGGGAAAAAACACACAAACUGGACUCUAACAAGACCAAAUCAGUAACAAGACCUCGACCAGGACACAAACUCAACACUAUGGAGUCUGAAACUGAAAUAUGCAAAGGUUAUGGCGCGGAUGGGUUGUAGGACAUGAAAACAAUUUGGCACUAGACUUAUGGGACGAACACAAGGACACUCAAAACUAAGGGUAGAUGUGAACCUAACGGUACGUCUGAAGCUUUGAUUACCACUUGAGGAGAACAAGGCCCGAUCUUCCGAAAGGUUCUGGUAACUAUCGAUUUGGUGGAAACGAGACACAAAUCAAUCCAGUUUGCGAACAACACGAUUUGAAACCCUGCAAUUCUUUUUAUUUUUUUGAUAUUUUUCUUUUACUUAGAAGCACUCAAAAAGUAACCACAGGAAAUUUGAGCUUAAACAAGUGAAGGACGUGGCCUGUGGAAUUUUUUGAAGAUUGCGAAAAAUAUGAAAAUAAAGUUUAGGAGGUGAAAACUCAAAUUUUUAGAGGCGAGUUUGGGAAUUCUAAAUUUGUCGCACCCGCCUAUGGUGGGGAUAGACAGAUCCAAAAAUUUUUCUGAUUGAUUUUGAUAUAUGGAACGUCAAAAUCGGAGUUCGUAGGCGAAAGUUAUGGCUGUUUUACGAACGGACUCUGAAUUAGAGGACAAAACGGUCCGGAAGUGGGAAAAUUUUGCGGUGGUGGCUAUAAAUUGAUGGAAACGGUGGGAAGGAACACACAAAUUGGACUCUAACAAGACCUAACCAGUAACAAGAUCUCGACCAGGACAAAAACUCAACACUACGGACUCUGAAACUGAAAUAUGCAAAGGCUAUGGCGCGGAUGGGUUGUAGGACAUGAAAACAAUAUAGCACUAGACUUAUGGGACGAACACAAGGACACUCGAAACUAAGGGUAGAUGUGAACCUAACGGUACGUCUGAAGCUUUGAUUACCACUUGAGGAGAACAAGGCCCGAUCUUCCGAAAGGUUCUGGUAACUAUCGAUUUGGUGGAAACGAGACACAAAUCAAUCCAGUUUGCGAACAACACGAUUCGAAACCCUGCAAUUCUUUUUUUUUGAUAUUUUUCUUUUACUUAGGAGCACUGAAGAAGUAACCACAUGAAAUUUGAGCUUAAACAAGUGAAGGACGUGGCCUGUGGAAUUUUUUGAAUAUUGCGAAAAAUAUUAAAAUAAAGUUUAGGAGGUGAAAACUCAAAUUUUCAGAGGCGAGUUUGGGAAUUCUAAAUUUGUCGCACCCGCCUAUGGCGGGGAUAGACAGAUCCAAAAAUUUUUCUGAUCGAUUUUGAUAUAUGGAACGUCAAAAUCGGAGUUCGUAGGCGAAAGUUAUGGCUGUUUUACGAACGGACUCUAAAUUAGAGGACAAAACGGUCCGGAAGUGGGAAAAAUUUGCGGUGGUGGCUAGAAAUUGAUGGAAACGGUGGGAAAAAACACACAAACUGGACUCUAACAAGACCAAAUCAGUAACAAGACCUCGACCAGGACACAAACUCAACACUAUGGAGUCUGAAACUGAAAUAUGCAAAGGUUAUGGCGCGGAUGGGUUGUAGGACAUGAAAACAAUUUGGCACUAGACUUAUGGGACGAACACAAGGACACUCGAAACUAAGGGUAGAUGUGAACCUAACGGUACGUCUGAAGCUUUGAUUACCACUUGAGGAGAACAAGGCCCGAUCUUCUGAAAGGUUCUGGUAACUAGCGAUUUGGUGGAAACGAGACACAAAUCAAUUCAGUUUGCGAACAACACGAUUCGAAACCCUGCAAUUCUUUUUAUUUUUUUGAUAUUUUUCUUUUACUUAGGAGCACUCAAGAAGUAACCACAGGAAAUUUGAGCUUAAACAAGUGAAGGACGUGGCCUGUGGAAUUUUUUGAAGAUUUCGAAAAAUAUGAAAAUAAACUUUAGGAGGUGAAAACUCAAAUUUUCAGAGGCGAGUUUGGGAAUUCUAAAUUUGUCGCACCCGCUAAGGUGGGGAUAGACAGAUCCAAAAAUUUUUCUGAUCGAUUUUGAUAUAUGGAACGUCAAAAUCGGAGUUCGUAGGUGAAAGUUAUGGCUGUUUUACGAACGGACUCUGAAUUAGAGGAUAAAACGGUCCGGAAGUGGGAAAAUUUUGCGGUGGUGGCUAUAAAUUGAUGGAAACGGAGGGAAGAAACACACAAAUUGGACUCUAACAAGACCUAACCAGUAACAAGAUCUCGACCAGGACACAAACUCAACACUACGGACUCUGAACUGAAAUAUGCAAAGGCUAUGGCGCGGAUGGGUUGUAGGACAUGAAAACAAUAUAGCACUAGACUUAUGGGACGAACACAAGGACACUCGAAACUAAGGAUAGAUGUGAACCUAACGGUACGUCUGAAGCUUUGAUUAACACUUGAGGAGAACAAGUGUGGCCCGAUCUUCCGAAUGGUUCUAGUAACUAUCAAUUUGGUGGAAACGAGACCCAAAUCAAUCCACCUUGCGAACAACGCGGUUCAAAACCCUGCAAUUCUUUUUAUUUUUUUUUUGAUAUUUUUCUUUUACCUAGGAGCACUCAAGAAUUAACCAUUGGAAAUUUGAGCUUAAACAAGUGAAAGACGUGGCCUGUGAAAUUUUUUGAAGAUUGCAAAAAAUAUAAAAAAACUUUAGGAGGUGAAAACUCAAACUUCAGGUGCGAAUUUGGGGAUUCUAAAAUUAUCGAACCCUCCUCUAGCAGAGAUGGACAGAUCCAAAAAUUUGUUCCGAUCGAUUUUAAUAUAUGGAACGUCAAAAUCGGAGUUCGUAUGCGAAAGUUAUGUCUGUUUUACGAACGGACUCCGAAUUAGAGGACAAAACGGUCCAGAAGUGGGGAAAAUUUGUGGUGGUGGCUAGAAAUUGAUGGAAACGGUGGGAAAAAACACACAAACUGGACUCUAACAAGACCAAAUCAGUAACAAGACCUCGACCAGGACACAAACUCAACACUACGGACUCUGAAACUGAAAUAUGCAAAGGUUAUGGCGCGGAUGGGUUGUAGGACAUGAAAACAAUUUGGCACUAGACUUAUGGGAUGAAUACAAGGACACUCGACACUAAGGGUAGAUGUGAACCUAACGGUACGUCUGAAGCUUUGAUUACCACUUAAGGAGAACAAGGCCCGAUCUUCCGAAAGGUUCUGUGGUAACUAUCGAUUUGGUGGAAACGAGACAGAAAUCAAUCCAGUUUGCGAACAACAUGAUUCGAAACCCUGCAAUUCUUUUUUUUGAUAUUUUUCUUUUACUUAGGAGCACUGAAGAAGUAACCACAAGAAAUUUGAACUAAAACAAGUGAAGGACGUGGCCUGUGGAAUUUUUUGAAGAUUGCGAAAAAUAUGAAAAUAAAGUUUAGGAGGUGAAAACUCAAAUUUUCAGAGGCGAGUUUGGGAAUUCUAAAUUUGUCGCACCCGCCUAUGGCGGGGAUAGACAGAUCCACAAAUUUUUCUGAUCGAUUUUGAUAUAUGGAACGUCAAAAUCGGAGUUCGUAGGCGAAAGUUAUGGCUGUUUUACGAACGGACUCUGAAUUAGAGGACAAAACGGUCCGGAAGUGGGAAAAUUUUGCGGUGGUGGCUAUAAAUUGAUAGAAACGGUGGGAAGAAACACACAAAUGGGACUCUAACAAGACCUAACCAGUAACAAGAUCUCGACCAGGACACAAACUCAACACUACGGACUCUGAACUGAAAUAUGGAAAGGCUAUGGCGUGGAUGGGUUGUAGGACAUGAAAACAAUAUAGCACUAGACUUUUGGGACAAACACAAGGACACUCGAAACUAAGGAUAGAUGUGAACCUAACGGUACAUCUGAAGCUUUGAUUAACACUUGAGGAGAACAAGUGUGGCCCGAUCUUCCGAAAGGUUCUACUAACUAUCAAUUUGGUGGAAACGAGACCCAAAUGAAUCCACCUUGCGAACAACGCGGUUCGAAACCCUGCAAUUCUUUUUUAUUUUUUUUGAUAUUUUUCUUUUACUUAGGAGUACUCAAGAAGUAACCACACGAAAUUUGAGCUUAAAAAAGUGAAAGACGUGGCCUGUGGAAUUUUUUGAAGAUUGCAAAAAAUAUAAAAAACUUUAGGAGGUGAAAACUCAAAAUUCAGGGGCGAAUUUGGGGAUUCUAAAAUUAUCAAACCCACCUCUAGCGGAGAUAGACAGAUCCAAAAAUUUGUUCUGAUCGAUUUUGAUAUAUGGAACGUCAAAAUCGGAGUUCGUAUGCGAAAGUUAUGGCUGUUUUACGAACGGACUCCGAAUUAGAGGACAAAACGGUCCGGAAGUGGGAAAAAUUUGUGGUGGUGGCUAGAAAUUGAUGGAAACGGUGGGAAAAAACAUACAAACUGGACUCUAACAAGACCAAAUCAGUAACAAGACCUUGACUAGGACACAAACUCAACACUACGGACUCUGAAACUGAAAUAUGCAAAGGUUAUGGCGCAGAUGGAUUGUAGGACAUGAAAACAAUUUGACACUAGACUUAUGGGACGAACACAAGGACACUCGAAACUAAGGGUACAUGUGAACCUAACGGUACGUCUGAAGCUUUGAUUACCACUUGAGGAGAACAAGGCCCGAUCUUCCGAAAGGUUCUGGUAACUAUCGAUUUGGUGGAAACGAGGCACAAAUCAAUCCAGUUUGCGAACAACACGAUUCGAAACCCUGCAAUUCUUUUUUUUAUAUAUUUUUCUUUUACUUAGGAGCACUGAAGAAGUAACCACAAGAAAUUUGAGCUUAAACAAGUGAAGGACAUGGCCUGUGGAAUUUUUUGAAGAUUGUGAAAAAUAUGAAAAUAAAGAUUAGGAGGUGAAAACUCAAAUUUUCAGAGGCGAGUUAGGGAAUUCUAAAUUUGUCGCACCCGCCUAUGGCGGGGAUAGACAAAUCCAAAAUUUUUUCUGAUCGAUUUUGAUAUAUGGAACGUCAAAAUCGGAGUUCGUAGGCGAAAGUUAUGGCUGUUUUACGAACCGACUCUGAAUUAGAGGACAAAACGGUCCGGAAGUGGGAAAAAUUUGCGGUGGUGGCUAUAAAUUGAUGGAAACGGUGGGAAGAAACACACAAAUUGGACUCUAACAAGACCUAACCAGUAACAAGAUCUCGACCAGGACACAAACUCAACACUACGGACUCUAAAACUGAAAUAUGCAAAGGCUAUGGCGCAGAUGGGUUGUAGGACAUGAAAACAAUAUAGCACUAGACUUAUGGGACGAACACAAGGACACUCGAAACUAAGGAUAGAUGUGAACCUAACGGUACGUCUGAAGCUUUGAUUAACACUUGAGGAGAACAAGUGUGGCCCGAUCUUUCGAAAGGUUCUAGUAACUAUCAAUUUGGUGGAAACGAGAUCCAAAUCAAUCCAUCUUGCGAAGAACGCGGUUCGAAACCCUGCAAUUCUUUUUUUUUGAUAUUUUUCUUUUACUUGGGAGCACUGAAGAAGUAACCACAGGAAAUUUGAGCUUAAACAAGUGAAAGACUUGGCCUGUGGAAUUUUUUGAAUAUUGCGAAAAAUAUAAAAAAACUUUAGGAGGUGAAAACUCAAACUUCAGGGGUGAAUUUGGGGAUUCUAAAAUUAACGAACCCACCUCUAGCGGAGAUAGACAGAUCCAAAAAUUUCUUCUCAUCGAUUUUGAUAUAUGGAACGUCAAAAUCGGAGUUCGUAUGCGAAAGUUAUGGCUGUUUUAGGAACGGACUCCGAAUUAGAGGACAAAACGGUCCGGAAGUGGGAAAAAUUUGUGGUGGUGGCUAGAAAUUGAUGGAAACGGUGGGAAAAAACACGCAAACUGGACUCUAACAAGACCAAAUCAGUAACAAGACCUUGACCAGGACACAAACUCAACAUUACGGACUCUGAAACUGAAAUAUGCAAAGGUUAUGGCGCGGAUGGGUUGUAGGACAUGAAAACAAUUUGGCACUAGACUUAUGGGACGAACACAAGGACACUCGAAACUAAGGGUAGAUGUGAACCUAACGGUACGUCUGAAGCUUUGAUUACCACUUGAGGAGAACAAGGCCCGAUCUUCCGAAAGGUUCUGGUAACUAUCGAUUUGGUGGAAACGAGACACAAAUCAAUCCAGUUUGCUAACAACACGAUUCGAAACCCUGCAAUUCUUUUUUUUUAUAUAUUUUUCUUUUACUUAGGAGCACUGAAGAAGUAACCACAAGAAAUUUGAGCUUAAACAAGUGAAGGACAUGGCUUGUGGAAUUUUUUGAAGAUUGCGAAAAAUAUGAAAAUAAUGUUUAGGAGGUGAAUACUCAAAUUUUCAGAGGCGAGUUUGGGAAUUCGAAAUAUGUCGCACCCGCCUAUGGCGGGGAUAGACAGAUCCACAAAAUUUUCUGAUCGAUUUUGAUAUAUGGAACGUCAAAAUCGGAGUUCGUAGGCGAAAGUUAUGGCUGUUUUACGAACGGACUCUGAAUUAGAGGACAAAACGGUCCGGAAGUGGGAAAAUUUUGCGGUGGUGGCUACAAAUUGAUAGAAACGGUGGGAAGAAACACACAAAUUGGACUCUAACAAGACCUAGCCAGUAACAAGAUCUCGACCAGGACACAAACUCAACACUACGGACUCUGAACUGAAAUAUGGAAAGGCUAUGGCGCGGAUGGGUUGUAGGACAUGAAAACAAUAUAGCACUAGACUUUUGGGACAAACACAAGGACACUCGAAACUAAGGAUAGAUGUGAACCUAACGGUACAUCUGAAGCUUUGAUUAACACUUGAGGAGAACAAGUGUGGCCCGAUCUUCCGAAAGGUUCUACUAACUAUCAAUUUGGUGGAAACGAGACCCAAAUCAAUCCACCUUGCGAACAACGCGGUUCGAAACCCUGCAAUUCUUUUUUAUUUUUUUUUGAUAUUUUUCUUUUACUUAGGAGCACUCAAGAAGUAACCACACGAAAUUUGAGCUUAAAAAAGUGAAAGACGUGGCCUGUGGAAUUUUUUGAAGAUUGCAAAAAAUAUAAAAAAAACUUUAGGAGGUGAAAACUCAAAAUUCAGGGGCGAAUUUGGGGAUUCUAAAAUUAUCGAACCCACCUCUAGCGGAGAUAGACAGAUCCAAAAAUUUGUUCUGAUCGAUUUUGAUAUAUUGAACGUCAAAAUCGGAGUUCGUAUGCGAAAGUUAUGGCUGUUUUACGAACGGACUCUGAAUUAGAGGACAAAACGGUCCGGAAGUGGGAAAAAUUUACGGUGGUGGCUAGAAAUUGAUGGAAACAGUGGGAAAAAACACACAAACUGGAAUGUAACAAGACCUAACCAGUAACAAGACCUCGACCAGGACACAAACUCAACACUACGGACUCUGAAACUGAAAUAUGCAAAGGUUGUGGCGCGGAUGGGUUGUAGGAAAUGAAAACAAUUUGGCACUAGACUUAUGGGACGAAGACAAGGACACUCGAAACUAAGGGUAGAUGUGAACCUAACGAUACGUAUGAAGCUUUGAUUACAACUUCAGGAGAACAAGGCCCGAUCUUCCGAAAGGUUCUGGUAACUAUCAAUUUGGUGGAAACGAGACCCAAAUCAGUCCACCUUGCGAACAACGCGGUUCGAAACCCUGCAAUUCUUUUUAUUUUUUUUGAUAUUUUUUAUUUACUUAGGAGCACUCAAGAAGUAACCACCGGAAAUUUGAGCUUAAACAAGUUAAAGACGUGGCCUGUGGAAUUUUUUGAAGAUUGCGAAAAAUAUAAAAAAAACUUUAGGACGUGAAAACUCAAACUUCAGGGGCGAAUUUGGGGAUUCUAAAAUUAUCGCACCUGCCUCUAGCAGAGAUAGACAGAUCCAAAAAUUUGUUCUGAUCGAUUUUGAUAUAUGGAACGCCAAAAUCGGAGUUCGUAUGCGAAAGUUAUGGCUGUUUUGCGAACGGACUCUGAAUUAGAGGACAAAACGGUCCGGAAUUGGGAAAAAUUUGUGGUGGUGGCUAGAAAUUGAUGGAAACGGUGGGAAAAAACACACAAACUGGACUCUAACAAGACCAAAUCAGUAACAAGACCUUGACCAGGACACAAACUCAACACUACGGACUCUGAAACUGAAAUAUGCAAAGGUUAUGGCGCGGAUGGGUUGUAGGACAUGAAAACAAUUUGGCACUAGACUUAUGGGACGAACACAAGGACACUCGAAACUAAAGGUAGAUGUGAACCUAACGGUACGUCUGAAGCUUUGAUUACCACUUGAGGAGAACAAGGCUUGAUCUUCCGAAAGGUUGUGGUAACUAUCGAUUUGGUGGAAACGAGACACAAAUCAAUCCAGUUUGCUAACAACACGAUUCGAAACCCUGCAAUUCUUUUUUUUAUAUAUUUUUCUUUUACUUAGGAGCACUGAAGAAGUAACCACAAGAAAUUUGAGCUUAAACAAGUGAAGGACAUGGCCUGUGGAAUUUUUUGAAGAUUGCGAAAAAUAUGAAAAUAAUGUUUAGGAGGUGAAUACUCAAAUUUUCAGAGGCGAGUUUGGGAAUUCUAAAUUUGUCACACCCGCCUAUGGCGGGGAUAGACAAAUCCAAAAAUUUUUUUGAUCGAUUUUGAUAUAUGGAACGUCAAAAUCAGAGUUCGUAGGCGAGAGUUAUGGCUGUUUUACGAACAGACUCUGAAUUAGAGGACAAAACGGUCCGGAAGUGGGAAAAAUUUGCGGUGGUGGCUAUAAAUUGAUGGAAACAGUGGGAAGAAACACACAAAUUGGACUCUAACAAGACCUAACUAGUAACAAGAUCUCGACCAGGACACAAACUCAACACUACGGACUCUGAAACUGAAAUAUGCAAAGGCUAUGGCGCGGAUGGGUUGUAGGACAUGAAAACAAUAUAGCACUAGACUUAUGGGACGAACACAAGGACACUCGAAACUAAGGAUAGAUGUGAACCUAACGGUACGUCUGAAGCUUUGAUUAACACUUGAGGAGAACAAGUGUGGCCCGAUCUUCCGAAAGGUUCUAGUAACUAUCAAUUUGGUGGAAACGAGAUCCAAAUCAACCCAUCUUGCGAACAACGCGGUUCGAAACCCUGCAAUUCUUUUUUUUUGAUAUUUUUCUUUUACUAAGGAGCAGUCAAGAAGUAACCACAGGAAAUUUGAGCUUAAACAAGUGAAAGACUUGGCCUGUGGAAUUUUUUGAAUAUUGCAAAAAAUAUAAAAAAACUUUAGGAAGUGAAAACUCAAACUUCAGGGGCGAAUUUGGGGAUUCUAAAAUUAUCGAACCCACCUCUAGCGAAGAUAGACAGAUCCAAAAAUUUCUUCUCAUCGAUUUUGAUAUAUGGAACGUCAAUAUCUGAGUUCGUAUGCGAAAGUUAUGGCUGUUUUACGAACGAACUCCGAAUUUGAGGACAAAACGGUCCGGAAGUGGGAAAAAUUUGUGGUGGUGGCUAGAAAUUGAUGGAAACGGUGGGAAAAAACACACAAACUGGACUCUAACAAGACCAAAUCAGUAACAAGACCUCGACCAGGACACAAACUCAACACUACGGACUCUGAAACUGAAAUAUGCAAAGGUUGUGGCGCGGAUGGGUUGUAGGAAAUGAAAACAAUUUGGCACUAGACUUAUGGGACGAAGACAAGGACACUCGAAACUAAGGGUAGAUGUGAACCUAACGGUACGUAUGAAGCUUUGAUUACAACUUCAGGAGAACAAGGCCCGAUCUUCCGAAAGGUUCUGGUAACUAUCGAUUUGGUGGAAACGAGACCCAAAUCAGUCCACCUUGCGAACAACGCGGUUCGAAACCCUGCAAUUCUUUUUAUUUUUUUUGAUAUUUUUUAUUUACUUAGGAGCACUCAAGAAGUAACCACCGGAAAUUUGAGCUUAAAUAAGUUAAAGACGUGGCCUGUGGAAUUUUUUGAAGAUUGCGAAAAAUAUAAAAAAAACUUUAGGAGGUGAAAACUCAAACUUCAGGGGCGAGUUUGGGGAUUCUAAAAUUAUCGCACCCGCCUCUAGCCAAGAUAGACAGAUCCAAAAAUUUGUUCUCAUCGAUUUUGAUAUAUGGAACGUCAAAAUCGGAGUUCGUAUGCGAAAGUUAUGGCUGUUUUGCGAACGGACUCCGAAUUAGAGGACAAAACGGUCUGGAAUUGGGAAAAAUUUGUGGUGGUGGCUAGAAAUUGAUGGAAACGGUGGGAAAAAACACACAAACUAGACUCUAACAAGACCAAAUCAGUAACAAGACCUUGACCAGGACACAAACUCAACACUACGGACUCUGAAACUGAAAUAUGCAAAGGUUAUGGCGCGGAUGGGUUGCAGGACAUGAAAACAAUUUGGCACUAGACUUAUGGGACGAACACAAGGACACUCGAAACUAAAGGUAGAUGUGAACCUAACGGUACGUCUGAAGCUUUGAUUACCACUUGAGGAGAACAAGGCCUGAUCUUCUGAAAGGUUGUGGUAACUAUCGAUUUGGUGGAAACGAGACACAAAUCAAUCCAGUUUGCGAACAACACGAUUGGAAACCCAGCAAUUCUUUUUUUUUUAUGUUUUUAUUUUACUUAGGAGCACUCAAGAAGUAACCACAAGAAAUUUGAGCUUAAACAAGUGAAGGACGUGGCCUGUGGAAUUUUUUGAAGUUUGCGAAAAAUAUGAAAAUAAUGUUUAGGAGGUGAAAACUCAAAUUUUCAGAGGCGAGUUUGGGAAUUCUAAAUUUGUCGCACCCGCCUAUGGCGGGGAUAGAUAGAUCUAAAAAAUUUUCUGAUCGAUUUUGAUAUAUGGAACGUCAAAAUCGGAGUUCGUAGGCGAAAGUUAUGGCUGUUUUACGAACGGACUCUGAAUUAGAGGACAAAUCGGUCCGGAAGUGGGAAAGUUUUGCGGUGGUGGUUAUAAAUUGAUGGAAACGGUGGGAAGAAACACACAAAUUGGACUCUAACAAGACCUAACCAGUAACAAGAUCUCGACCAGGACACAAACUCAACACUACGGACUGAACUGAAAUAUGCAAAGGCUAUGGCGCGGAUGGGUUGUAGGACAUGAAAACAAUAUAGCACUAGACUUAUGGGACGAACACAAGGACACUCGAAACUAAAGAUAGAUGUGAACCUAACGGUACGUCUGAAGCUUUGAUUAACACUUGAGGAGAACAAGUGUGGCCCGAUCUUCCGAAAGGUUCUAGUAACUAUCAAUUUGGUGGAAACGAGACCCAAAUCAAUCCACCUUGCGAACAACGCGGUUCAAAACCCUGCAAUUCUUUUUAUUUUUUUUGAUAUUUUUCUUUUAUUUAGGAGCACUCAAGAAGUAACCACAGGAAAUUUGAGCUUAAACAAGUGAAAGACAUGGCCUGUGGAAUUUUUGGAAGAUUGCGAAAAAUAUAAAAAAAACUUUAGGAGGUGAAAACUCAAACUUCAGGGGCAAAUUUGGGGAUUCUAAAAUAAUCGAACCCACCUCUAGCAGAGAUAGACAGAUCCAAAAAUUUGUUCUGAUCGACUUUGAUAUAUGGAACGUCAAAAUCGGAGUUCGUAUGAGAAAGUUAUGGUUGUUUUACGAACGGACUCCGAAUUAGAGGACAAAACGGUCCGGGAGUGGGAAAAAUUUGUGGUGGUGGUUAGAAAUUGAUGGAAACGGUGGGAAAAAACAUACAAACUGGACUCUAACAAGACCAAAUCAGUAACAGGACCUCGACCAGGACACAAACUCAACACUACGGACUCUGAAACUGAAAUAUGCAAAGGUUAUGGCGCGCAUGGGUUAUAGGACAUGAAAACAAUUUGGCACUAGACUUAUGGGACGAACACAAGGACACUCGAAACUAAGGGUAGAUGUGAACCUAACGGUACGUCUGAAGCUUUGAUUACCACUUGAGGAGAACAAGGCCCGAUCUUCCGAAAGGUUCUGGUAACUGUCGAUUUGGUUGAAACGAGACACAAAUCAAUCCAGUUUGCGAACAACACGAUUCGAAACCCUACAAUUCUUUUUAUUGAUAUUUUUCUUUUACUUAGGAGCACUGAAGAAGUAACCACAAGAAAUUUGAGCUUAAACAAGUGAAGGACGUGGCCUGUGGAAUUUUUUGAAGAUUGCGAAAAAUAUGAAAAUAAAGUUUAGGAGGUGAAAACUCAAAUUUUCAGAGGCGAGUAUGGGAAUUCUAAAUUUGUCGCACCGGCCUAUGGCGGGGAUAGACAGAUCCAAAAAAUUUUCUGAUCGAUUUUGAUAUAUGGAACGUCAAAAUCGGAGUUCGUAGGCGAAAGUUAUGGCUGCUUUACGAACGGACUCUGAAUUAUAGGACAAAACGGUCCGGAAGUGGGAAAAAUUUGCGGUGGUGGCUAGAAAUUAAUGGAAACGGUGGGAAAAACACACAAACUGGACUCUAACAAGACCAAAUUAGUAACAAGACCUCGACCAGGACACAAACUCAACACGGACUAUGAAACUGAAAUAUGCAAAGGUUAUGGCGCGGAUGGGUUGUAGGACAUGAAAACAAUUUGGCACUAGACUUAUGGGACGAACACAAGGACACUCGAAACUAAGGGUAGAUGUGAACCUAACGGUACGUCUGAAGCUUUGAUUACCACUUGAGGAGAACAAGGCCCGAUCUUCCGAAAGGUUCUGGUAACUAUCAAUUUGGUGGAAACGAGACACAAAUUAAUCCAGUUUGCGAACAACACGAUUCCAAACCCUGCAAUUCUUUUUAUUUUUUUUGAUAUUUUUUUUUACUUCGGAGCACUCAAGAAGUAACCACAGAAAAUUUGAGCUUAAACAAGUGAAGGACGUGGCCUGUGGAAUUUUUUGAAGAUUGCGAAAAAUAUGAAAAUAAAGUUUAGGAGGUGAAAACUCAAAUUUUCAGAGGCGAGUUUGGGAAGUCUAAAUUUGUCGCACCCGCCUAUGGUGGGGAUAGACAGAUCCAAAAAUUUUUCUGAUCGAUUUUGAUAUAUGGAACGUCAAAAUCAGAGUUCGUAGGCGAAAGUUAUGGCUGUUUUACGAACGGACUCUGAAUUAGAGGACAAAACGGUCCGGAAGUGGGAAAAUUUUGCGGUGGUGGCUAUAAAUUGAUGGAAACGGUGGGAAGAAACACACAAAUUGGACUCUAACAAGAUCUAACCAGUAACAAGAUCUCGACUAGGACACAAAAUCAACACUACAGACUCUGAAACUGAAAUAUGCAAAGGCUAUGGCGCGGAUGGGUUGUAGGACAUGAAAACAAUAUAGCACUAGACUUAUGGGACGAACACAAGGACACUCGAAACUAAGGAUAGAUGUGAACCUAACGGUACGUCUGAAGCUUUGAUUAACACUUGAGGAGAACAAGUGUGGCCCGAUCUUGCGAAAGGUUCUAGUAACUAUCAAUUUGGUGGAAACGAGACCCAAAUCAAUCCAUCUUGCGAACAACGCGGUUCGAAACUCUGCAAUUCUUUUUAUUUUUUUUUGAUAUUUUUAUUUUACUUAGGAGCACUCAAGAAGUAACCAUAGGAAAUUUGAGCUUAAACAAGUGAAAGACUUGGCCUGUGGAAUUUUUUGAAGAUUGCGAAAAAUAUAAAAAAACAUUAGGAGGUGAAAACUCAAACUUCAGGAGCGAAUUUGGGGAUUCUAAAAUUAUCGAACCCACCUCUAGCGGAGAUAGACAGAUCCAAAAAUUUGUUGUGAUCGAUUCUGAUAUAUGGAACGUCAAUAUCGGAGUUCGUAUGCGAAAGUUAUGGCUGUUUUACGAACGGACUCCGAAUUAGAGGACAAAACGGUCCGGAAGUGGGAAAAAUUUGUGGUGGUGGCUAGAAAUUGAUGGAAACGGUGGGAAAAAACACACAAACUGGACUCUAACAAGACCAAAUCAGUAACAAGACCUCGACCAGGACACAAACUCAACACUACGGACUCUGAAACUGAAAUAUGCAAAGGUUAUGGCGCGGAUGGGUUGUAGGACAUAAAAAUAAUUUGGCACUAGACUUAUGGGAGGAACACAAGGACACUCAAAACUAAGGGUAGAUGUGAACCUAACGGUACGUCUCAAGCUUUGAUUACCACUUGAGGAGAACAAGGCCCGAUCUUCCGAAAGGUUCUGGUUACUAUCGAUUUGGUGGAAACGAGACACAAAUCAAUCCAGUUUGCGAACAACACGAUUCGAAACCCUACAAUUCUUUUUUUUGAUAUUUUUCUUUUAAUUAGGAGCACUCAAGAAGUAACCACAAGAAAUUUGAGCUUAAACAAGUGAAGGACGUGGCCUUUGGAAUUUUUUGAAGAUUGCGAAAAAUAUGAAAAUAAAGUUUAGGAGGUGAAAACUCAAAUUUUCAGAGGCGAGUUUGGGAAUUCUAAAUUUGUCGCACCCGCCUAUGGCGGGGAUAGACAAAUCCAAAAAUUUUUCUGAUCGACUUUGAUAUAUGGAACGUCAAAAUCGGAGUUCGUAGGCGAAAGUUAUGGCUGUUUUACGAACGGACUCUGAAUUAGAGGACAAAACGGUGCGGAAGUGGGAAAAAAUUGCGGUGGUGGCUAGAAAUUGAUGGAAACGGUGGGAAAAACACACAAACUGGACUCUAACAAGACCAAAUUAGUAACAAGACCUCGACCAAGACACAAACUCAACACUACGGACUAUGAAACUCAAAUAUGCAAAGGUUAUGGCGCGGAUGGGUUGUAGGACAUGAAAACAAUUUGGCACUAGACUUAUGGGACGAACGCAAGGACACUCGAAACUAAGGGUAGAUGUGAACCUAACGGUACGUCUGAAGCUUUGAUUACCACUUGAGGAGAACAAGGCCCGAUCUUCCGAAAGGUUCUGGUAACUAUCGAUUUCAUGGAAACGAGACACAAAUUAAUCCAGUUUGCGAACAACACGAUUCGAAACCCUGCAAUUCUUUUUAUUUUUUUGAUAUUUUUCUUUUACUUAGGAGCACUCAAGAAGUAACCACAGGAAAUUUGAGCUUAAACAAGUGAAGGACGUGGCCUGUGGAAUUUUUUGAAGAUUGCGAAAAAUAUGAAAAUAAAGUUUAGGAGGUGAAAACUCAAAUUUUCAGAGGCGAGUUUGGGAAUUCUAAAUUUGUCGCACCCGCCUAUGGUGGGGCUAGACAGAUCCAAAAAUUUUUCUGAUCGAUUUUGAUAUAUGAAACGUCAAAAUCAGAGUUCGUAGGCGAAAGUUAUGGCUGUUUUACGAACGGACUCUGAAUUAGAGGACAAAACGGUCCGGAAGUGGGAAAAUUUUGUGGUGGUGGCUAUAAAUUGAUGGAAACGGUGGGAAGAAACACACAAAUUGGACUCUAACAAGACCUAACCAGUAACAAGAUCUCGACCAGGACACAAACUCAACACUACAGACUCUGAAACUGAAAUAUGCAAAGGCUAUGGCGCGGAUGGGUUGUAGGACAUGAAAACAAUAUAGCACUAGACUUAUGGGACGAACACAAGGACACUCGAAACUAAGUAUAGAUGUGAACCUAACGGUACGUCUGAAGCUUUGAUUAACACUUGAGGAGAACAAGUGUGGCCCGAUCUUCCGAAAGGUUCUAGUAACUAUCAAUUUGGUGGAAACGAGACCCAAAUCAAUCCAUCUUGCGAACAACGCGGUUCGAAACCCUGCAAUUCUUUUUAUUUUUUUUGAUAUUUUUCUUUUACUUAGGAGCACUCAAGAAGUAACCAUAGGAAACUUCAGCUUAAACAAGUGAAAGACUUGGCCUGUGGAAUUUUUUGAAGAUUGCGAAAAAUAUAAAAAAACUUUAGGAGGUGAAAACUCAAACUUUAGGAGCGAAUUUGGGGAUUCUAAAAUUAUUGAACCCACCUCUAGCGGAGAUAGACAGAUCUAAAAAUUUGUUGUGAUCGAUUUUGAUAUAUGGAACGUCAAUAUCGGAGUUCAUAUGCGAAAGUUAUGGCUGUUUUACGAACGGACUCCAAAUUAGAGGACAAACGGAAGUGGGAAAAAUUUGUGGUGGUGGCUAGAAAUUGAUGGAAACGGUGGGAAAAAACACACAAACUGGACUCUAACAAGACCAAAUCAGUAACAAGACCUCGACCAGGACAGAAACUCAACACUACGGACUCUGAAACUGAAAUAUGCAAAGGUUAUGGCGCGGAUGGGUUGUAGGACAUGAAAACAAUUUGGCACUAGACUUAUGGGAGGAACACAAGGACACUCGAAACUAAGGGUAGAUGUGAACCUAACAGUACGUCUGAAGCUUUGAUUACCACUUGAGGAGAACAAGGCCCGAUCUUCCGAAAGCUUCCGGUAACUAUCGAUUUGGUGGAAACGGGACACAAAUCAAUCCAGUUUGCGAACAACACGAUUCGAAACCCUGCAAUUCUUUUUUUUGAUAUUUUUCUUUUACUUAAGAGCACUGAAGAAGUAACCACAAGAAAUUUGAGCUUAAACAAGUGAACGACGUGGCCUGUGGAAUUUUUUGAAGAUUGCGAAAAAUAUGAAAAUAAAGUUUAGGAGGUGAAAACUCAAAUUUUCAGAGGCGAGUUUGGGAAUUCUAAAUUCGUCGCACCCGCCUAUGGCUGGGAUAGACAGAUCCAAAAUUUUUUCUGAUCGAUUUUGAUAUAUGGAACGUCAAAAUCGGAGUUCGUAGGCGAAAGUUAUGGCUGUUUUACGAACGGACUACGAAUUAGGGGACAAAACAGUCCGGAAGUAGGAAAAUUUUGCGGUGGUGGCUAUAAAUUGAUGGAAAGGGUGGGAAGAAACACACAAAUUGGACUCUAACAAGAUCUAACCAGUAACAUGAUCUCGACUAGGACACAAACUCAACACUACGGGCUCUGAAACUGAAAUAUGCAAAGGCUGUGGCGCGGAUGGGGUGUAGGACAUGAAAACAAUAUAGCACUAGGCUUAUGGGACGAACACAAGGACACUCGAAACUAAGGAUAGAUAUGAACCUAACGGUACGUCUGGAGCUUUGAUUAACACUUGAGGAGAACAAGUGUGGCCCGAUCUUCCGAAAGGUUCUAGUAACUAUCAGUUUUGUGGAAACGAGACCCAAAUCAAUCCAUCUUGCGAACAACACGGUUCGAAACUAUGCAAUUUUUUUUUUGAUAUUUUUCUUUUACUUAGGAGCACUCAAGAAGUAACCAUAGGAAAUUUGAGCUUAAACAAGUGAAAGACUUGGCCUGUGAAAUUUUUUGAAGAUUACGAAGAAUAUAAAAAAACUUUAGGAGGUGAAAACUCAAACUUCAGGGGCGAAUUUGGGGAUUCUAAAAUUAUCGAACCCACCUCUAGCAAAGAUAGACAGAUCCAAAAAUUUGUUCUGAUCGAUUUUGAUAUAUGGAACGUCAAUAUCGGAGUUCCUAUGCGAAAGUUAUGGCUGUUUUACGAACGGACUCUGAAUUAGAGGACAAAACGGUCCGGAAGUGGGAAAAUUUUACGGUGGUGGCUAUAAAUUGAUGGAAACGGUGGGAAGAAACACACAAAUUGGACUCUAACAAGACCUAACCAGUAACACUGAAACUGAAAUAUGUAAAGGCUAUGGCGCGGAUGGGUUGUAGGACAUGAAAACAAUAUAGCACUAGACUUAUGGGACGGACAUAAGGACACUCGAAACUAAGGAUAGAUAUGAACCUAACGGUACGUCUGAAGCUUUGAUUAACACUUGAGGAGAACAAGUGUGGCCCGAUCUUCCGAAAGGUUCUAGUAACUAUCAAUUUGGUGGAAACGAGACCCAAAUCAAUCCAUCUUGCGAACAACGCGAUUCGAAACCCUGCAAUUCUUUUUAUUUUUUUUGAUAUUUUUCUUUUACUUAGGAGCACUCAAGAAGUAACCAUAGGAAAUUUGAGCUUAAACAAGUGAAGGACGUGGCCUGUGGAAUUUUUUGAAGAUUGCGAAAAAUAUAAAAAAACUUUAGGAGGUGAAGACUCAAACUUCAGGGGCGAAUUUGGGGAUUCUAAAAUUAUCGAACCCACCUCUAGCAGAGAUAGACAGAUCCAAAAAUUUGUUCUGAUCGAUUUUGAUAUAUGGAACGUCAAUAUCGGAGUUCGUAUGCGAAAGUUAUGACUGUUUUACGAACGGACUCCGAAUUAGAGGACAAAACGGUCCGGAAGUGGGAAAAAUUUGUGGUGGUGGCUAGAAAUUGAUGGAAACGGUGGGAAAAAACACACAAACUGGACUCUAACAAGACCAAAUCAGUAACAAGACCUCGACCAGGACACAAACUCAACACUACGGAAUCUGAAACUGAAAUAUGCAAAGGUUAUGGCGCGGAUGGGUUGUAGGACAUGAAAACAAUUUGGCACUAGACUUAUGGGAGGAACACAAGGACACUCGAAACUAAGGGUAGAUGUGAACCUAACAGUACGUCUGAAGCUUUGAUUACCACUUGAGGAGAACAAGGCCCGAUCUUCCGAAAGGUUCUUUUAACUAUCGAUUUCGUGGAAACGAGACACAAAUCAAUCCAGUUUGCGAACAACACGAUUCGAAACCCUACAAUUCUUUUUUUUGAUAUUUUUCUUUUACUUAGGAGCACUGAAGAAGUAACCACAAGAAAUUUGAGCUUAAACAAGUGAAGGACGUGGCCUGUGGAAUUUUUUGAAGAUUGCGAAAAAUAUGAAAAUAAAGUUUAGGAGGUGAAAACUCAAAUUUUCAGAGGCGAGUUUGGGAAUUCUAAAUUCGUCGCACCCGCCAAUGGCUGGGAUAGAUAGAUCCAAAAAUUUUUCUGAUCGAUUUUGAUAUAUGGAACGUCAAAAUCGGAGUUCGUAGGCGAAAGUUAUGGCUGUUUUACGAACGGACUCCGAAUUAGGGGACAAAACAGUCCGGAAGUGGGAAAAUUUUGCGGUGGUGGCUAUAAAUUGAUGGAAAGGGUGGGAAGAAACACACAAAUUGGACUCUAACAAGACCUAACCAGUAACAAGAUCUCGACCAGGUCACAAACUCAACACUACGGACUCUGAAACUGAAAUAUGCAAAGGCUAUGGCGCGGAUGGGUUGUAGGACAUGAAAACAAUAUAGCACUAGACUUAUGGGACGAACACAAGGACACUCGAAACUAAGGAUAGAUAUGAACCUAACGGUACGUCUGAAGCUUUGAUUAACAUUUGAGGAGAACAAGUGUGGCCCGAUCUUCCGAAAGGUUCUAGUAACUAUCAAUUUUGUGGAAACGAGACCCAAAUCAAUCCAUCUUGCGAACAACACGGUUCGAAACUAUGCAAUUUUUUUUUUGAUAUUUUUCUUUUACUUAGGAGCACUCAAGAAGUAACCAUAGGAAAUUUGAGCUUAAACAAGUGAAAGACUUGGCCUGUGAAAUUUUUUGAAGAUUACGAAGAAUAUAAAAAAACUUUAGGAGGUGAAAACUCAAACUUCAGGGGCGAAUUUGGGGAUUCUAAAAUUAUCGAACCCACCUCUAGCAAAGAUAGACAGAUCCAAAAAUUUGUUCUGAUCGAUUUUGAUAUAUGGAACGUCAAUAUCGGAGUUCCUAUGCGAAAGUUAUGGCUGUUUUACGAACGGACUCUGAAUUAGAGGACAAAACGGUCCGGAAGUGGGAAAAUUUUACGGUGGUGGCUAUAAAUUGAUGGAAACGGUGGGAAAAAACACACAAACUGGACUCUAACAAGACCAAAUCAGUAACAAGACCUCGACCAGGACACAAACUCAACACUACGGACUCUGAAACUGAAAUAUGCAAAGGUUAUGGCGCGGAUGGGUUGUAGGACAUGAAAACAAUUUGGCACUAGACUUAUGGGACGAACACAAGGACACUCGAAACUAAGGGUAGAUGUCAACCUAACGGUACGUCUGAAGCUUUGAUUACCACUUGAGGAGAACAAGGCCCGAUCUUCCGAAAGGUUCUGGUAACUAUCGAUUUGGUGGAAACGAGACACAAAUCAAUCCAGUUUGCGAACAACACGAUUCGAAACCUUGCAAUUCUUUUUUUUUUGAUAUUUUUCCUUUUACUUAGGAGCACUGAAGAAGUAACCACAAGAAAUUUGAGCUUAAACAAGUGAAGGACGUGGCCUGUGGAAUUUUUUGAAGAUUGCGAAAAAUAUGAAAAUAAAGUUUAGGAGGUGAAAACUCAAAUUUUCAGAGGCGAGUUUAGGAAUUCUAAAUUUGUCGCACCCGCCUAUGGCAGGGAUAGACAGAUCCAAAAAUUUUUCUGAUCGAUUUUGAUAUAUGGAACGUCAAAAUCGGAGUUCGUAGGCGAAAGUUAUGGCUCUUUUACGAACGGACUCAGAAUUAGAGGACAAAACGGUCCGGAAGUGGGAAAAAUUUGCGGUGGCGGCUAGAAAUUGAUGGAAACGGUGGGAAAAACACACAAACUGGACUCUAACAAGACCAAAUUAGUAACAAGACCUCGACCAGGACACAAACUCAACACUACGGACUAUGAAACGGAAAUAUGCAAAGGUUAUGGCGCGGAUGGGUUGUAGGACAUGAAAACAAUUUGGCACUAGACUUAUGGGACGAACACAAGGACACUCGAAACUAAGGGUAGAUGUGAACCUAACGGUACGUCUGAAGCUUUGAUUACCACUUGAGGAGAACAAGGCCCGAUCUUCCGAAAGGGUCUGGUAACUAUCGAUUUGGUGGAAACGAGACACAAAUUAAUCCAGUUUGCGAACAACACGAUUCGAAACCCGGCAAUUCUUUUUAUUUUUUUUGAUAUUUUUCUUUUACUUAGGAGCACUCAAGAAGUAACCACAAGAAAUUUGAGCUUAAACAAGUGAAGGACGUGGCCUGUGGAAUUUUUUGAAGAUUGCGAAAAAUAUGAAAAUAAAGUUUAGGAGGUGAAAACUCAAAUUUUUCAGAGGCGAGUUUGGGAAUUCUAAAUUUGUCGCACCCGCCUAUGGUGGGGAUAGACAGAUCCAAAAAAUUUUCUGAUCGAUUUUGAUAUAUGGAACGUCAAAAUCAGAGUUCGUAGGCCAAAGUUAUGGCUGUUUUACGAACGGACUCUGAAUUAGAGGACAAAACGGUCCGGAAGUGGGAAAAUUUUACGGUGGUGGCUAUAAAUUGAUGGAAACGGUGGGAAGAAACACACAAAUUGGACUCUAACAAGACCUAACCAGUAACAAGAUCUCGACCAGGACACAAACUCAACACUACGGACUCUGAAACUGAAAUAUGCAAAGGCUAUGGCGCGGAUGGGUUGUAGGACAUGAAAACAAUAUAGCACUAGACUUAUGGGACGAACACAAGGACACUCGAAACUAAGGAUAGAUAUGAACCUAACGGUACGUCUGAAGCUUUGAUUAACACUUGAGGAGAACAAGUAUGGCCCGAUCUUCCGAAACGUUCUAGUAACUAUCAAUUUGGUGGAAACGAGACCCAAAUCAAUCCAUCUUGCGAACAACGCGGUUCGAAACCCUGCAAAUCUUUUUAUUUAUUUUUUUUGAUAUUUUUAUUUUACUUAGGAGCACUCAAGAAGUAACCAUAGAAAUUUUGAGCUUAAACAAGUGAAAGACUUGGCCUGUGGAAUUUUUUGAAGAUUGCGAAAAAUAAAAAAAACUUUAGGAGGUGAAAACUCAAAUUUCAGGGGCGAAUUUGGGGAUUCUAAAAUUAUCGAACCCACCUCUAGCGGAGAUAGACAGAUCCAAAAAUUUGUUCUGAUCGAUUAUGAUAUAUGGAACGUCAAUAUCGGAGUUCGUAUGCGAAAGUUAUGACUGUUUUACGAACGGACUCCGAAUUAGAGGACAAAACGGUCCGGAAGUGGGAAAAAUUUGUGGUGGUGGCUAGAAAUUGAUGGAAACGGUGGGAAAAAACACACAAACUGGACUCUAACAAGACCAAAUCAGUAACAAGACCUCGACCAGGACACAAACUCAACACUACGGAAUCUGAAACUGAAAUAUGCAAAGGUUAUGGCGCGGAUGGGUUGUAGGACAUGAAAACAAUUUGGCACUAGACUUAUGGGAGGAACACAAGGACACUCGAAACUAAGGGUAGAUGUGAACCUAACAGUACGUCUGAAGCUUUGAUUACCACUUGAGGAGAACAAGGCCCGAUCUUCCGAAAGGUUCUUUUAACUAUCGAUUUCGUGGAAACGAGACACAAAUCAAUCCAGUUUGCGAACAACACGAUUCGAAACCCUACAAUUCUUUUUUUUGAUAUUUUUCUUUUACUUAGGAGCACUGAAGAAGUAACCACAAGAAAUUUGAGCUUAAACAAGUGAAGGACGUGGCCUGUGGAAUUUUUUGAAGAUUGCGAAAAAUAUGAAAAUAAAGUUUAGGAGGUGAAAACUCAAAUUUUCAGAGGCGAGUUUGGGAAUUCUAAAUUCGUCGCACCCGCCAAUGGCUGGGAUAGAUAGAUCCAAAAAUUUUUCUGAUCGAUUUUGAUAUAUGGAACGUCAAAAUCGGAGUUCGUAGGCGAAAGUUAUGGCUGUUUUACGAACGGACUCCGAAUUAGGGGACAAAACAGUCCGGAAGUGGGAAAAUUUUGCGGUGGUGGCUAUAAAUUGAUGGAAAGGGUGGGAAGAAACACACAAAUUGGACUCUAACAAGACCUAACCAGUAACAAGAUCUCGACCAGGUCACAAACUCAACACUACGGACUCUGAAACUGAAAUAUGCAAAGGCUAUGGCGCGGAUGGGUUGUAGGACAUGAAAACAAUAUAGCACUAGACUUAUGGGACGAACACAAGGACACUCGAAACUAAGGAUAGAUAUGAACCUAACGGUACGUCUGAAGCUUUGAUUAACACUUGAGGAGAACAAGUAUGGCCCGAUCUUCCGAAACGUUCUAGUAACUAUCAAUUUGGUGGAAACGAGACCCAAAUCAAUCCAUCUUGCGAACAACGCGGUUCGAAACCCUGCAAAUCUUUUUAUUUAUUUUUUCUGAUAUUUUUAUUUUACUUAGGAGCACUCAAGAAGUAACCAUAGAAAUUUUGAGCUUAAACAAGUGAAAGACUUGGCCUGUGGAAUUUUUUGAAGAUUGCGAAAAAUAAAAAAAACUUUAGGAGGUGAAAACUCAAAUUUCAGGGGCGAAUUUGGGGAUUCUAAAAUUAUCGAACCCACCUCUAGCGGAGAUAGACAGAUCCAAAAAUUUGUUCUGAUCGAUUAUGAUAUAUGGAACGUCAAAAUCGGAAUUCGUAUGCGACAGUUAUGGCUGUUUUACGAACGGACUCCGAAUUAGAGGACAAACAGUCCGGAAGUGGGAAACAUUUGCGGCGGUGCCUAUAAAUUGAUGGAAACGGUGGGAAGAAACACACAAAUUUGACUCUAACAAGACCUAGCCAGUAACACUGAAACUGAAAUAUGCAAAGGUUAUGGCGCGGAUGGGUUGUAGGACAUGAAAACAAUAUAGCACUAGACUUAUGGGAUGAACAUAAAGACACUCGAAACUAAGGAUAGAUAUGAACCUAACGGUACGUCUGAAGCUUUGAUUAACACUUGAGGAGAACAAGUGUGGCCCGAUCUUCCGAAAGGUUCUAGUAACUAUCAAUUUGGUGGAAACGAGACCCAAAUCAAUCCAUCUUGCGAACAACGCGGUUCGAAACCCUGCAAUUCUAUUUUUUUUUUGAUAUUUGUCUUUUACUUAGGAGCACUCAAGAAGUAACCAUAGGAAAUUUGAGCUUAAACAAGUGAAAGACUUGGCCUGUGGAAUUUUUUUAAGAUUGUGAAAAAUAUAAAAAAACUUUAGGAGAUGAAAACUCAAACUUCAGGGGCGAAUUUGGGGAUUCUAAAAUUAUCGAACCCACCUCUAGUGGAGAUAGACAGAUCCAAAAAUUUGUUCUGAUCGAUUUUGAUAUAUGGAACGUCAAUAUCGGAGUUCGUAUGCGAAAGUUAUGGCUGUUUUACGAACGGACUCCGAAUUAGAGGACAAAACGGUCCGGAAGUGGGAAAAAUUUGUGGUGGUGGCUAGAAAUUAAUGGAAACGGUGGGAAAAAACACACAAACUGGACUCUAACAAGACCAAAUCAGUAACAAGACCUCGACCAGGACACAAACUCAACACUACGGACUCUAAAACUGAAAUAUGCAAAGGUUAUGGCGCGGAUGGGUUGUAGGACAUGAAAACAAUUUGGCACUAGACUUAUGGGACGAACACAAGGACACUCGAAACUAAGGAUAGAUGUGAACCUAACGGUACGUCUGAAGCUUUGAUUACCACAUGAGGAGAACAAGGCCCGAUCUUCCGAAAGGUUCUGGUAACUAUCGAUUUGGUGGAAACGAGACACAAAUCAAUCCAGUUUGCGAACAACACGAUUCGAAACCCUGCAAUUCUUUUUUUUGAUAUUUUUCUUUUACUUAGGAGCACUCAAGAAGUAACCACAGGAAAUUUGAGCUUGAACAAGUGAAGGACGUGGCCUGUGGAAUUUUUUGAAGAUUGCGAAAAUAUGAAAAGAAAGUUUAGGAGGUGAAAACUCAAAUUUUCAGAGGCGAGUUUAGGAAUUCUAAAUUUGUCGCACCUGCCUAUGGCGGGGAUAGACAGAUCCAAAAAUUUUUCUGAUCGAUUUUGAUAUAUGGAACGUCAAAAUCGGAGUUUGUAGGCGAAAGUUAUGGCUGUUUUAUGAACGGACUCUGAAUUAGAGGACAAAACGGUCCGGAAGUGGGAAAAAUUUGCGGUGGUGGCUAGAAAUUGAUGGAAACGGUGGGAAAAACACACAAACUGGACUCUAACAAGACCAAAUUAGUAACAAGACCUUGACCAGGACACAAACUCAACACUACGGACUAUGAAACUGAAAUAUGCAAAGGUUAUGGCGCGGAUGGGUUGUAGGACAUGAAAACAAUUUGGCACUAGACUUAUGGGACGAACACAAGGACACUCGAAACUAAGGGUAGAUGUGAACCUAAUGGUACGUCUGAAGCUUUGAUUACCACUUGAGGAGAACAAGGCCCGAUCUUGCGAAAGGUUCUGGUAACUAUCGAUUUGGUGGAAACGAGACACAAAUUAAUCCAGUUUGCGAACAACACGAUUCGAAACCCUACAAUUCUUUUUAUUUUUUUGAUAUUUUUAUUUUACUUAGGAGCACUCAAGAAGUAACCACAAGAAAUUUGAGCUUAAACAAGUGAAGGACGUGGCCUGUGGAAUUUUUUGAAGAUUGCGAAAAAUAUAAAAAUAAAGUUUAGGAGGUGAAAACUCAAAUUUUCAGAGGCGAGUUUGGGAAUUCUAAAUUUGUCGCACCCGCCUAUGGUGGGGAUAGACAGAUCCAAAAAUUUUUCUGAUCAAUUUUGAUAUAUGGAACGUUAAAAUCAGUGUUCGUAGGCGAAAGUUAUGGCUGUUUUACGAACGGACUCUGAAUUAGAGGACAAAACGGUCCGGAAGUGGGAAAAAUUUGCGGUGGUGGCUAGAAAUUGAUGGAAACGGUGGGAAAAACACACAAACUGGACUCUAACAAGACCAAAUUAGUAACAAGACCUCGACCAGGACACAAACUCAACACUACGGACUAUGAAACUGAAAUAUGCAAAGGUUAUGGAGCGGAUGGGUUGUAGGACAUGAAAACAAUUUGGCACUAGACUUAUGGGACGAACACAAGGACACUCGAAACUAAGGGUAGAUGUGAACCUAACGGUGCGUCUGAAGCUUUGAUUACCACUUGAGGAGAACAAGGCCCGAUCUUCCGAAAGGUUUUGGUAACUAUCGAUUUGGUGGAAACAAGACACAAAUUAAUCCAGUUUGCGAACAACACGAUUAGAAACCCUGCAAUUCUUUUUAUUUUUUUUAUUUGAUAUUUUUGUUUUACUUAGGAGCACCGAACAAGUAGCCACAGGAAAUUUGAGCUUAAACAAGUGAAAGACGUUGCCUGUGGAAUUUUUUUAGAUUGCGAAAAAUAUGAAAAUAAACUUUAGGAGGUGAAAACUCAAAUUUAAAGGCAAAUUUGGGGAUUCUAAAAUUAUCAAACCCGCCUCUAGCAGAGAUAAACAGAUCCAAAAAUUUGUUCUGAUCGAUUUUGAUAUAUGGAACGUCAAAAUCGGAAUUCGUAUGCGAAAGUUAUGGUUGUUUUACGAACGGACUCCGAAUUAGAGGACAAAACAGUCCGGAAGUGGGAAACAUUUGCGGCGGUGGCUAUAAAUUGAUGGCAACGGUGGGAAGAAACACACAAAUUGGACUCUAACAAGACCUAACCAGUAACAAGAUCUCGACCAGGACACAAACUCAACACUACGGACACUGAAACUGAAAUAUAGGCUAUGGCGCGGAUGGGUUGUAGGACAUGAAAACAAUAUAGCACUAGACUUAUGGGACGAACACAAGGACACUCGAAACUAAGGAUAGAUAUGAACCUAACGGUACGUCUGAAGCUUUGAUUAACACUUGAGGAGAACAAGUGUGGCCCGAUCUUCCGAAACGUUCUAGUAACUAUCAAUUUGGUGGAAACGAGACCCAAAUCAAUCCAUCUUGCGAACAACGCGGUUCGAAACCCUGCAAUUCUUUUUAUUUUUAUUUUGAUAUUUUUCUUUUACUUAGGAGCACUCAAGAAGUAACCAUAGGAAAUUUGAGCUUAAACAAGUGAAAGACUUGGCCCGUGGAAUUUUUUGAAGAUUGCGAAAAAUAUAAAAAAAACUUUUGGAGUUGAAAACUCAAAUUUUAGAGGCAAAUUUGGGGAUUCUAAAAUUGUCAAACGCGCACACGGCGGGGAUAGACAGAUCCAAAAGUUUGUUCUGAUCGAUUUUGAUAUAUGGAACGUCAAAAUCGGAGUUCGUAUGCGAAAAUUUUGUCUGUUUUACGAACGGACAACGAAUUAGAGGACAAAACAGUCCGGUAGUGGGAAAAAUUUGCGCGGUGGCUAUAAAUUGAUGGAAAUGGUGGGAAGAAACACACAAAUUGGACUCUAACAAGACCUAACCAGUAACAAGAUCUCGACCAGGACCCAAACUCAAAACUACGGACUCUGAAACUGAAAUAUGCAAAGGCUAUGGCGCGGAUGGGUUGUAGGACAUAAAAACAAUAUAGCAUUAGACUUAUGGGACAAACACAAGGACACUCGAAACUAAGGAUAGAUUUGAAAAUAACAGUACGUCUGAACCUUUGAUUAACACUUGAGGAGAACAAGUGUGGCCCGAUCUUCCGAAAGGUUCUAGUAACUAUCAAUUUGGUGGAAACGAGACCCAAAUCAAUCCACCUUGCGAACAACGCGGUUCGAAACUCUGCAAUUCUUUUUAUUUUUUUUUUAUAUUUUUCUUUUACUUAGGAGCACUCAAGAAGUAACCACCGGAAAUUUGAGCUUAAACAAGUAAAAGACGUGGCCUGUGGAAAUUUUUGAAGAUUGCAAAAAAUAUAGAAAAAAAUUUAGGAGGUGAAAACUCAAACUUCAGGGGCGAAUUUGGGGAUUCUAAAAUUAUCGAACCCGCCCUUAGCGGAAAUAGACAGAUCCAAAAAUUUGUUCUGAUCGAUUUUGAUAUAUGGAACGUCAAAAUCGGAGUUCGUAUGCGAAAGUUAUGGCUGUUCUACGAACGGACUCCGAAUUAGAGGACAAAACGGUCCGGAAGUGGGAAAAAUUUACGGUGGUGGCUAGAAAUUGAUGGAAACGGUGGGAAAAAACACACAAACUAGACUCUAACAACACCAAAUCAGUAACAAGACCUCGACCAGGACACAAACUCAACACUACGGACUCUAAAACUAAAAUAUGCAAAGGUUAUGGCGCGGAUGGGUUGUAGGACAUAAAAACAAUAUGGCACUGGAUUUAUGGGACGAACACAAGGACACACGAAACUAAGGGUAGAUGUGAACCUAACGGUACGUCUGAAGCUUUGAUUACCACUUGAGGAGAACAAGGCCCGAUCUUCCGAAAGGUUCUGUUAACUAUCGAUUUGGUGGAAACGAGACACAAAUCAAUCCAGUUUGCGAACAACACGAUUCGAAACCCUGCAAUUCUUUUUAUUUUUUUGAUAUUUUUCUUUUACUUAGGAGCACACAAGAAGUAAGCACAGGAAAUUUGAGCUUAAACAAGUGAGGGACGUGGCCUGUGGAAUUUUUUGAAGAUUGUGAAAAAUAUGAAAAUAAAGUUUAGGAGCUGAAAACUCAAAUUUUCAGAGGCGAGUUUGGGGAUUCUAAAUUUGUCGCACCCGCCUAUGGUGGGGAUAGAUAGAUCCAAAAAUUUUUCUGAUCGAUUAUGAUAUAUGGAAUGUCAAAAUCGGAGUUCGUAGGCGAAAGUUAUGGCUGUUUUACGAACGGACUCUGAAUUAGAGGACAAAACGGUCCGGAAGUGGGAAAAAUUUGCGGUGGUGGCUAGAAAUUGAUGGAAACGGUGGGAAAAAAUACACAAACUGGACUCAAACAAGACCUAACCAGUAACAAGACCUCGACCAGGACACAAACUCAAAACUACGGAUUCUGAAACUAAAAUAUGCAAACGCUAUGGCGCAGAUGAGUUGUAGGACAUGAAAACAAUAUGGAACUAGGCUUAUGAGACGAACACAAGGACACUCGAAACUAAGGGUAGAUGUGAACCUAACGGUAUGUCUGAUGCUUUGAUUUCCACUUGAGGAGAACAAGUGUGGCCCGAUCUUCCGAAAGGUUCUGGUAACUAUCGAUUUGGUAGAAACGAGACACAAAUCAAUCCAGCUUACGAACAACACGAUUCGAAACCCUACAAUUCUUAUUUUUUGAUAUUUUUCUUUUACUUAGGAGCACUCAAGAAGUAAGCAUAGGAAAUUUGAGCUUAAACAAGUGAAAUACGUGACCUGUGGAAACUUUUGAAUAUUGCGAAAAAUAUAGAAAAAAAUUUAGGAGGUGAAAACUCAAACUUCAGGGGCGAAUUUGGGGAUUCUAAAAUUAUCGAACCCGCCCUUAACGGAAAUAGACAGAUCCAAAAAUUUGUUCUGAUCGAUUUUGAUAUAUGGAACGUCAAAAUCGGAGUUCGUAUACGAAAGUUAUGGCUGUUCUACGAACGGACUCUGAAUUAGAGGACAAAACGGUCCGGAAGUGGGAAAAAUUUACGGUGGUGGCUAGAAAUUGAUGGAAACGGUGGGAAAAAACACACAAACUGGACUCUAACAACACCAAAUCAGUAACAAGACCUCGACCAGGACACAAACUCAACACUACGGACUCUAAAACUAAAAUAUGCAAAGGUUAUGGCGCGGAUGGGUUGUAGGACAUAAAAACAAUAUGGCACUGGAUUUAUGGGACGAACACAAGGACACACGAAACUAAGGGUAGAUGUGAACCUAACGGUACGUCUGAAGCUUUGAUUACCACUUGAGGAGAACAAGGCCCGAUCUUCCGAAAGGUUCUGUUAACUAUCGAUUUGGUGGAAACGAGACACAAAUCAAUCCAGUUUGCGAACAACACGAUUCGAAACCCUGCAAUUCUUUUUAUUUUUUUGAUAUUUUUCUUUUACUUAGGAGCACACAAGAAGUAAGCACAGGAAAUUUGAGCUUAAACAAGUGAGGGACGUGGCCUGUGGAAUUUUUUGAAGAUUGUGAAAAAUAUGAAAAUAAAGUUUAGGAGCUGAAAACUCAAAUUUUCAGAGGCGAGUUUGGGGAUUCUAAAUUUGUCGCACCCGCCUAUGGUGGGGAUAGAUAGAUCCAAAAAUUUUUCUGAUCGAUUAUGAUAUAUGGAAUGUCAAAAUCGGAGUUCGUAGGCGAAAGUUAUGGCUGUUUUACGAACGGACUCUGAAUUAGAGGACAAAACGGUCCGGAAGUGGGAAAAAUUUGCGGUGGUGGCUAGAAAUUGAUGGAAACGGUGGGAAAAAAUACACAAACUGGACUCAAACAAGACCUAACCAGUAACAAGACCUCGACCAGGACACAAACUCAAAACUACGGAUUCUGAAACUAAAAUAUGCAAACGCUAUGGCGCAGAUGAGUUGUAGGACAUGAAAACAAUAUGGAACUAGGCUUAUGAGACGAACACAAGGACACUCGAAACUAAGGGUAGAUGUGAACCUAACGGUAUGUCCGAUGCUUUGAUUUCCACUUGAGGAGAACAAGUGUGGCCCGAUCUUCCGAAAGGUUCUGGUAACUAUCGAUUUGGUAGAAACGAGACACAAAUCAAUCCAGCUUACGAACAACACGAUUCGAAACCCUACAAUUCUUAUUUUUUGAUAUUUUUCUUUUACUUAGGAGCACUCAAGAAGUAAGCAUAGGAAAUUUGAGCUUAAACAAGUGAAAUACGUGACCUGUGGAAACUUUUGAAUAUUGCGAAAAAUAUAGAAAAAAAUUUAGGAGGUGAAAACUCAAACUUCAGGGGCGAAUUUGGGGAUUCUAAAAUUAUCGAACCCGCCCUUAACGGAAAUAGACAGAUCCAAAAAUUUGUUCUGAUCGAUUUUGAUAUAUGGAACGUCAAAAUCGGAGUUCGUAUACGAAAGUUAUGGCUGUUCUACGAACGGACUCUGAAUUAGAGGACAAAACGGUCCGGAAGUGGGAAAAAUUUACGGUGGUGGCUAGAAAUUGAUGGAAACGGUGGGAAAAAACACACAAACUGGACUCUAACAACACCAAAUCAGUAACAAGACCUCGACCAGGACACAAACUCAACACUACGGACUCUAAAACUAAAAUAUGCAAAGGUUAUGGCGCGGAUGGGUUGUAGGACAUAAAAACAAUAUGGCACUGGAUUUAUGGGACGAACACAAGGACACACGAAACUAAGGGUAGAUGUGAACCUAACGGUACGUCUGAAGCUUUGAUUACCACUUGAGGAGAACAAGGCCCGAUCUUCCGAAAGGUUCUGUUAACUAUCGAUUUGGUGGAAACGAGACACAAAUCAAUCCAGUUUGCGAACAACACGAUUCGAAACCCUGCAAUUCUUUUUAUUUUUUUGAUAUUUUUCUUUUACUUAGGAGCACACAAGAAGUAAGCACAGGAAAUUUGAGCUUAAACAAGUGAGGGACGUGGCCUGUGGAAUUUUUUGAAGAUUGUGAAAAAUAUGAAAAUAAAGUUUAGGAGCUGAAAACUCAAAUUUUCAGAGGCGAGUUUGGGGAUUCUAAAUUUGUCGCACCCGCCUAUGGUGGGGAUAGAUAGAUCCAAAAAUUUUUCUGAUCGAUUAUGAUAUAUGGAAUGUCAAAAUCGGAGUUCGUAGGCGAAAGUUAUGGCUGUUUUACGAACGGACUCUGAAUUAGAGGACAAAACGGUCCGGAAGUGGGAAAAAUUUACGGUGGUGGCUAGAAAUUGAUGGAAACGGUGGGAAAAAACACACAAACUGGACUCAAACAAGACCUAACCAGUAACAAGACCUCGACCAGGACACAAACUCAAAACUACGGAUUCUGAAACUAAAAUAUGCAAACGCUAUGGCGCAGAUGAGUUGUAGGACAUGAAAACAAUAUGGAACUAGGCUUAUGAGACGAACACAAGGACACUCGAAACUAAGGGUAGAUGUGAACCUAACGGUAUGUCUGAUGCUUUGAUUUCCACUUGAGGAGAACAAGUGUGGCCCGAUCUUCCGAAAGGUUCUGGUAACUAUCGAUUUGGUGGAAACGAGACACAAAUCAAUCCAGCUUACGAACAACACGAUUCGAAACCCUACAAUUCUUAUUUUUUGAUAUUUUUCUUUUACUUAGGAGCUCUCAAGAAGUAAGCAUAGGAAAUUUGAGCUUAAACAAGUGAAAUACGUGACCUGUGGAAACUUUUGAAUAUUGCGAAAAAUAUGAAAAAAACUUUUGGAGGUGAAAACUCAAACUUUAGAGGCGAAUUUGGGGAUUCUAAAAUUGUCAAACCCGCACACGGUGGGGAUAGACAGAUCCAAAAAUUUGGUUUGAUCGAUUUUGAUAUAUAGAACGUCAAAAUCGGAGUUCGUAUGCGAAAAUUAUGGCUGUUUUACGAACGGACACCGAAUUAGAGGACAAAACAGUCCGGUAGUGGGAAAAAUUUGCGCGGGUGGCUAUAAAUUGAUGGAAACGGUGGGAAGAAACAUACAAAUUGGACUCUAACAACACCUAACCAGUAACAAGAUCUCGACCAGGACACAAACUCAACACUACGGACUCUGAAACGGAAAUAUGCAAAGGCUAUGGCGCGGAUGGGUUGUAGGACAUAAAAACAAUAUAGCACUAGACUUAUGGGACGAACACAAGGACACUCGAAACAAAGGAUAGAUGUGAACCUAACGGUACGUCUGAAGCUUUGAUUACCACUUGAGGAGAACAAGUGUGGCCCGAUCUUCCGAAAGGUUCUGGUAACUAUCGAUUUGGUGGAAACGAGACCCAAAUCAAUCCACCUUGCGAACAACGCGGUUCGAAACCCUACAAUUCUUUUUUUUUUUAUUUUACUUAGGAGCACUCAAGAAGUAACCACAGGAAAUUUGAGCUUAAACAAGUGAAAGUCGUGGCCUGUGGAAAUUUUUGAAGAUUGCGAAAAAUAUAAAAAAACUUUAGGAGGUGAAAACUCAAUCUUCAGGGGCGAAUUUGGGGAUUCUAAAAUCAUCGAACCCGCCUCUAGCAGAGAUACAUAGAUCCAAAAAUUUGUUCUGAUCGAUUUUGAUAUAUGGAACGUCAAAAUCGGAGUUCGUAUGCGAAAGUUAUGGCUGUUUUACGAACGGACUCCGAAUUAGAGGACAAAACGGUCCGGAAGUGGUAAAAAUGUGCGGUGGUGGCUAGAAAUUAAUGGAAACGGUGGGAUAAAACACACAAACUGGACUCUGACAACACCAAAUCAGUAACAAGACCUCGACCAGGACACAAACUCAACACUACGGACUCUAAAACUGAAAUAUGCAAAGGUUAUGGCGUAGAUGGGUUGUAGGACGUGAAAACAAUAUGGCACUUGACUUAUGGGACGAACACAAGGACACUCGAAACUAAGGGUAGAUGUGAACCUAACGGUACGUCUGAAGCUUUGAUUACCACUUGUGGAGAACAAGGCCCGAUCUUCUGAAAGGUUCUGGUAACUAUCGAUUUGGUGGAAACGAGACACAAAUCAAUCCAGUUUGCGAACAACACAAUUCGAAACCCUGCAAUUCUUUUUAUUUUUUUUGAUAUUUUUCUUUUACUUAGGAGCACACAAGAAGUAAGCACAGGAAAUUUGAGCUUAAACAAGUGAAGGACGUGGCCUGUGGAAUUUUUUGAAGAUUGCGAAAACUAUGAAAAUAAAGUUUAGGAGGUGAAAACUCAAAUUUUCAGAGGCGAGUUUGGGGAUUCUAAAUUUGUCGCACCCGCCUAUGGCGGGGAUAGACAGAUCCAAAAAUUUUUCUGAUUGAUUUUGAUACAUGGAACGUCAAAAUUGGAGUUCGUAGGCGAAAGUUAUCGCUGUUUUACGAACGGACUCUGAAUUAGAGGACAAAACGGUCCGGAAGUGGGAAAAAUUUGCGGUGGUGGCUAGAAAUUGAUGGAAGCGGUGGGAAAAAACACACAAACUUGACUCAAACAAGACCUAAUCAGUAACAAGACCUCGACCAGGACACAAACUCAAAACUACGGAUUCUGAAACUGAAAUAUGCAAAGGCUAUGGCGCGGAUGGGUUGUAGGACAUGAAAACAAUAUGACACUAGACUUAUGAGACGAAUACAAGAACACUCGAAACUAAGGGUAGAUGUGAACCUAAUGGUAUGUCUGGUGCUUUGAUUACCACUUGAGGAGAACAAGUGUGGCCCGAUCUUCCGAAAGGUUCUGGUAACUAUCGAUUUGGUGGAAACGAGACACAAAUCAAUCCAGCUUACGAACAACACGAUUCGAAACCCUGCAAUUAUUCUUUUUUAAUAUUUUUCUUUUACUUAGAAGCACUCAAGAAGUAAGCACAGGAAAUUUGAGCUUAAACAAGUGAAAAACGUGACCUGUGGAAACUUUUGAAAAUUGCGAAAAAUAUGAAAAAAAUAUUUGGAGGUGAAAACUCAAACUUUAGAGGCGAAUUUGGGAAUUCUAAAAUUGUCAAACCCGCAUACGGUGGGGAUAGACAGAUCCAAAAAUUUGGUUUGAUCGAUUUUGAUAUAUGGAACAUCAAAAUCGGAGUUCGUAUGCGAAAAUUAUGGCUGUUUUACGAACGGACACCGAAUUAGAGGACAAAACAGUCUGGUACUGGGAAAAAUUGGCGCGGUGGCUAUAAAUUGAUGGAAACGGUGGGAAGAAACACACAAAUUGGACUCUAACAAGACCUAACCAGUAACAAGACCUCGACCAGGACACAAACUCAACACUACGGACUCUGAAACUGAAAUAUGCAAAGGCUAUCGCGCGGAUGGGUUGUAGGACAUGAAAACAAUAUAGCACUAGACUUAUGGGACGAACACAAGGACACUCGAAACUAAGGAUAGAUGUGAACCUAACGUUACAUGUGAAGCUUUGAUUAACACUUGAGGAGAACAAGUGUGGCCCGAUCUUCCAAAAGGUUCUAGUAACUACCAAUUUGGUGGAAACAAGACCCAAAUCAAUCUACCUUGCGAACAACGCGGUUCAAAACCCUGCAAUUAUUUUUACUUUUAUUAUGAUAUUUUUAUUUUACUUAGGAGCACUCAAGAAGUAACCACAGGAAAUUUGAGCUUAAACAAGUGAAAGACGUGGCCUGUGGAAAUUUUUGAAGAUUGCAAAAAAUAUAAAAAAAACAUUAGGAGCUGAAAACUCAAAAUUCAAGGGCAAAUUUGGGGUUUCUAAAUUUAUCGAACCCGCCUCUAGCGGAGAUAGACAGAUCCAAAAAUUUGUUCUGAUCGAUUUUGAUAUAUGAAACGUCAAAAUUGGAGUUCGUAUGCGAAAGUUAUGGCUAUUUUACGAGCGGACUUCGAAUUAGAGGACAAAACGGUCCGGAAGUGGGAAAAAUUUGCGGUGGUGGCUAGAAAUUGAUGGAAACUGUGGGAACAAACACACAAACUGGACUCUAACAAGACCUAACCAGUAACAAGAUCUCGACCAGGACACAAACUCAAAACUACGGGUUCUGAAACUGAAAUAUGCAAAGGCUAUGGCGCGGAUGGGUUGUAGGACAUGAAAACAAUAUGGCACUGGACUUAUGAGACGAACACAAGGACACUCAAAACUAAGGGUAGAUGUGAACCUAACGGUAUGUCUGAUGCUUUGAUUACCACUUGAGGAGAACAAGUGUGGCCCGAUCUUCCGAAUGGUUCUGGUAACUAUCGAUUUGGUGGAAACGAGACACAAAUCAAACCAGUUUGCGAACAACACGAUUCGAAACCCUGCAGUUCUUUUUAUUUUUUUUGAUAUUUUUCUUUUACUUAGGAGCACUCAAGAAGUAACCACAGGAAAUUUGAGCUUAAACAAGUGAAGGACGUGGCCUGUGGAAUUUUUUGAAGAUUGCGAAAAAUAUGAAAAUAAAGUUUAGGAGGUGAAAACUCAAAUUGUCAGAGGUGAGUUUGGGAAUUCUAAAUUUGUCGCACCCGCCUAUGGCGGGGAUAGACAGAUCCAAAAAUUUUUCUGAUCGAUUUUGAUAUAUGGAACGUCAAAAUCGGAGUUCGUAGGCGAAAGUUAUCGCUGUUUUACGAACGGACUCUGAAUUAGAGGACAAAACGGUCCGGAAGUGGGAAAAAUUUGCGGUGGUGGCUAGAAAUUGAUGGAAGCGAUGGGAAAAAACACACAAACUUGACUCAAACAAGACCUAAUCAGUAACAAGACCUCGACCAGGACACAAACUCAAAACUACGGAUUCUGAAACUGAAAUAUGCAAAGGCUAUGGCGCGGAUGGGUUGUAGGACAUGAAAACAAUAUGGCACUGGACUUAUGAGACGAACACAAGAACACUCGAAACUAAGGGUAGAUGUGAACCUAAUGGUAUGUCUGGUGCUUUGAUUACCACUUGAGGAGAACAAGUGUGGCCCGAUCUUCCGAAAGGUUCUGGUAACUAUCGAUUUGGUGGAAACGAGACAAAAAUCAAUUCAGCUUACGAACAACACGAUUCGAAACCCUACAAUUCUUUUUAUUUUUAUUUUGAUAUUUUUCUUUUACUUAGGAGCACUCAAGAAGUAAGCACAGUGUUGACGGUCCUUAAGUACUAAAAUUAAUAAUCAAAUAAACAUGGAAAAGGAUCAAUAUGAAACAAAUAUCUAGAAUUAGGGUUUUAUCUGACAGAAUUCCACGAGCUUUGGUGUUUAUCUAUUUCUGCAGGGGGUUAUCAGAGAAUAUGGAGAGAAGGCCCACAUGUCAUGUUUACAACGAGAUAAUUACGUGCCGCGCAAUUUUCCUCAAUCUAGAAGAGUCCAGAAGCCACGGGAACGAACGAGAGCACGAUCGGGCUCGGGGUCAGGGCGGCCGCCCACCCCCCUUGGGUGCCCGCCCAGGUUUGGAACCCAAUAGGGACUCUGCUUCGGGACUACGCUCCACCGACCUAAAGGAUCAAUCUAAACCAUACAAUCAAUGUCGGUUUGAUCUGACGGCCCAAAUUCACUUGAAGGGACUAUAAAACCAAGGCCUACCCCCCUAGAGAGGAGAAGAGAAGAAAUCAUUAUUCAGAGGUAGCCAUCAAAGUUAGGGUUUAGAGCUUCUCUCCCAUAGAGAAUUAGAAUUAGCUACUCCCUAAUCCUUCAAGUUUAGAGGUUUGAUUAGAUAGCAAUUAGAGAAGUAGAGCACUACGCUCUGGAUUCGAUCUUCGGUAAUAAAGAUUGGUAUUAUUCAUAUCUUUCUCUAAUUCUUUGUUCUAAUUGCAUUACGUCUCUAAUUAUUAUGUUCUUAGUUUGCUCUAGUUCUAUAUUUGAUAUGGUUCUAAUUGAUAAUGAGUUUAUGUAUAAGUUUGCAAUGCGCUUAGCUCUUGAUGCGAGGGAGUUAGGUGAUAGAUCACAUGUGAGCGUGGUGCUUAGAUGUUAUUUAUCUGCAAAUGUAUCCUAUUGGCCGGGUCGUGUGGUAGUUCGCGAUAGUGACAGCUUCGUUGAUUCUUAUAUAGUCCACCCUCCGUUGAUAGGACAGGCAGAACCGGUAUUGUGGAGUAAGUCAUGCGACGCUCUGAUUUACUUUAUCAAUGUUCCUUAUACAUGAAUGAAGAGUCUUUUAUGCUAUAUAUGAUCUUGUAGAUAACUAGAGUAGAUUAUGACUUAGUAGUUAGUAGAUAACUUAGAAUCCAUUCUCUAGCUAAUCCGACAUCACCUACAUAUAUGAGGAGUAGUCUAUUUUCUAAUCGCUGUGUUAUCUACCCAUGAACUUAUAAUUCAUUAUCAUUAUCUUUAUGGUUUACCCCCUGCUAAAGUAAGUGAGUGUGUGACGAGUUUCUCAUUAGUAAUCAUGUUCUUGCAAGUUUAUCUCUAGUCUAUGCCUUGAUAGAUUUUGCCCCUUACUUUAAUUUCAUCCCUUGAGCAAAAUUAUAAAUAACGAUACCUGGAAUACUUAUCCUGGUGAAAUGCUACAAUGAGGUGUUUUAUCUGUACGCUUGCGGAUAGAAUAGAUUAUUUUCUAGAGAGCCUUUACAUUUAUAAAUACCUUUUGUACACUCCAGCACCAUGCUGGGGAUGACAACCUAGUAUCUAAGUGGUGUUAGCUAGUGUCAACAAGCAUUUCUGGCGCCGUUGCCGGGGAGUCUCAUGAAUAAGUCAUAAAGGUGUACAAAAGGGUAAUACUUAGGAAAGCUAGAAAAUCAGUCAAGGUUAUUCAUAUAAAAUAUUAGACUAGACUAUAGAGAAAUAAUUGCAUAAAAACAGCUACUAAGUGAGAGAUCAUAACAAGGCACCUCAGCUUUGGCAGGUUCACCCUGUUGUUUUUUUAUGUUUAUAUUUUUAUACAGGGUAUAUCAGGAUUGACUUUGGGUACAUUCAACUCUUCAUCAUCAGAACCAAAGCAAUCAAGAGAAGAAGAAGAUAGCUAUGAAUUGCUGAAGCUAUGGCACAAAAGACCUUGCAAGAAUUCUCUGCUCCAAGUCUUGAGAACAUUCCAACUGGUCCAAGAAUUGCAGUAGAAGAAGGAGUACCCGAGUUUGAGCUCAAGUCAAGCCUCAUCAAUUUGGUACAAGCUACACAAUUCAGUGGAAAGGCACAUAAAGAUGCUAGUGCACACUUGCAGAAUUUCUUAGAGAUUGGAAGCACAAUCCACAUCAACGGAGUUGACAAAGACGUCAUACUGCUUCGCCUUUUUCCAUUCUCACUAGAAGGAAAAGCGAGGAAGUGGUUCUACACUCAUCAAGAUAACAUCAACAACUGGACGAACUUGUCAGAUGCCUUUCUAUCAAAGUUUUUCCCUAUAGGCAAAACAACUGCCUUAAGAGGAAAUAUUGUCAGUUUCCAAUAGCAGAAGACAGAAGCCAUUUCAGAAGCAUGUGAGCGUUUUCAAAGAUACAUAUCAGAUUGUCCUCACCAUGGAAUGGCCACAUGGUUACUUAUGCAGACCUUCUACAAUGGAUUAACCCAGAAGGUUCGAGAGUGCCUAGAUGCAUCUGCUAAAGGAUCAUUCUUGGAGCUUACAACUGGAAAAGCAGAGAUAGUUUUGGAUAAGAUAGCAGAAAAUCAAAGCUGGUUCCAAGAUAAAGCUCAACAAUGUCAUCAAACUGAAGAAAUACCAGAAGAAGUAAAUGCAUUAUCAACUAAGAUGGAAACUUUGCUCCAUUGGAUUGACCAGAGGGCCAAGUUCAAAGAAGAUCAAAGUGCCAUGGAGACAGCAUACAAAUAUCAACCAACUUCGAGUCAACCCAAUAGCAAAGGUAUGAAUUUAGGUAAUACUUUCAAGCAACUUUCAUUAAAAGAGAUAAUUGCUCAACAAACCAAAAUUAAUGAUGAAGUUAAACAAAGGCUAGAUACAAAUGAAUCAUCUCUAAAAGAUAUACACAAUAAAAUGGAUUUUCUACUAACUGCCUUUGAUGAGCAAAACACUCUUAAUAAAAGGGUAGAGCUUAAAUUAAUAAAGAUAGCUGCUGCACUGCCUGUUGCUACUAACAUUGAGCAGGUAAAGAACAUAACUACUAGAGGAGGCAAAGCAACCAGAGAUCCCCCAUACCCAAAAGAGAAACAAAGAACGUCAGCACCAGUGCAACCAGCAGUGAUAGAAGAAGAAAGCCCAGUUGAAGCAGAAGAUCUGCUGCAACCACCAAGAAAUGGAGAAAUGAGGAAAGAUUUUUACGACACCAACUAUUUGCCAUUUCCUAGAAGAAAUAGAGGACUGCAGGCGGAUGAGCAGUUUGGUAAGUUUGUAGAGGUCAUUCAGAAAUUAUAUGUCAACGUACCUCUGCUCGAUGCCAUACAGGUACCUACAUAUGCAAAGUACAUCAGAGAUAUUCUUAACAAGAAGAGACCACUGCCCACCACUGAGGUUAUCAAGCUGACAGAAGAAUGUAGUGCGGCCAUCCUCAAUAAACCACCAAAGAAGAAGGAAGAUUCCAGAUGUGCCACUAUUGAUUGCUCGAUUGGAAAACAACACUUCAACAAUGCACUUUGUGAUCUCAGAGCAAGUGUCAGUGUGAUGCCAGCAUCAGUCUACAAAAAGCUUGAGCAUGCGACCCUAGAACCAACAUCAAUCUGCCUGCAACUAGCGGAUCAAUCGGUUCGACACCCGUUGGGCAUCGCCGAGAACAUUCCAGUCAAGAUCAGAGAUUUCCUGGUGCCAGUAGACUUCGUAGUACUGGACAUGAGUCCUGACUCAAAAGUGUCCAUCAUCCUUGAAAGGCCAUUUUUGAGCACUGUCAAUGCCCACAUUGAUGUCGGGAAGGGAGAAAUCAAGUUCAACAUAAACGGACAAGAAGAACACUUCACAUUCAAACCCAGACCAGAGAGAGACUCUACAGUGAAGGAAGUUCAUGAAGAAGCACUGGAGACACCAUCUCCGGAGGAAGGUAACUCAGAAGAUUAAAAGAUUUGGAGGUCCAGCUUGGGGGACCUAAAAAUCCCAAACCCUCACCGGGAGGUAAAUCGGUAUUUAUCCACAUUAUUAAUUUUCUCAUGUUUAAAUUCUUGCAUAAUUAAUUCUUGCAUUAGCAUAUAUAUUCAUAGAAUAAUUAUAAUAAUCAAAAAGCCCCCAUAUAAAUAAUAUUCAUGGAGUGUAACAACCCAUAUUUAUUAAUUAUUGUGGAGGCACAAAAAUAUUUUCCAUUAUCAUUAAGUUUCAAUUCUCAUAGAUUUUUUCUGCAUUAUAUUUAAUUAUAUUAAUCUUCUAGAAGCAUGACCCACACUCCUUGGGUCCCACAUGUCAUACACUUCACCUCACAUACAUCCCAUCACAUAAUUUCAUCCACCAAUAUGUUUCCACUUACCUGACAUCUUUCCACCGUCCAACCACCACCAACUCAAUAUUAUUCUGCGUGAGAUCAAAGCAAGGAAGCUAGUGGAGGAGGCACACCCAGGAUGGGCAUCACAAGUGGGCGCCCGCCCACCUACCAAGGGCGCCUGCCCUGCCCCUCUUCCUCCUAUAAAUAGCCACAUUCUACCUCCAUCUUCUUCACACAAACACUCCACAAAACCACACAAGUUUCCGUUUCCCGAGAAGGAGCUCUUGUAGUGAAGAGAAGAGAGUAGAGAGAAAGAGAAGAGUGGAAGAGAAGGUUGGGAGUACUUUUGAGAGAGUGAUUAUCACCUAGCAAGUAGUGAUCCCGUUGUCUAGCGGAAGUUGUUUAGGGAGGCUCUACCAAAAUAGAAAUUUGUUUUGAACAAAUAACCCCUGGACUACUGACAUUCCGGACAGCUGACCACUAACAUUUUCUCUCAUAUUUUCCACUAGUUGUGUUUUUGCCAACUUUUGUUUGCAGGAUGUUCAAGAAGGUGAAGAAUGCAGGGAAGGCUCUCAAGAACAUUGGUACAAGGAGUUCAGCCCGACACUCCUCACAGCCAUUAGAGAUGAGCGUUGACCCAACACCCACAUAAGCUCCGUCAUCUUCAUCAGGUCAGCAAGUCAAGGUCCUUCUCAAGAUAGAAGACCUUGGACUAAAGACCCGAAGAGAGAAAGAAGUCUAUCAACAAUUGAAAAACAAAGAUUUUAUUCACACCCCUACUCUUGAUCCAAUCUUACUACAAGAAACAGGUAUGGACACUGAAUUCGACUUAAUUUUCCAGAUGAUAGGUUGGAUAAAUUUUUGGAAUAUAACUGAGCUGGGUUCUCGUCUUCUCACCCUCGAAUUUCUUUGCACCUUACAAUAUUAUGAGGGGGAAAUUGUUUUUCGGAUGUUCAAACAGGAGAUUAUGUUGUCUUGGAGAAAGCUGAGCGACCAUCUUGGUUUCUCUUCAAGAUGCAUCCUGAACAUUGACUCCGAUUUACCUAAUUUUGAGAGACACCAGUUUUAGAGAGAAAUAUCUAGAGAUAAUUUUUAUAGUCAAGCCCGAACCAGCGAUAUGGAACACCCCACCCUUAGGAUGUUCCACAAAUGGCUUGGGUACAAUCUUUUCUAUCGUGAUGAUAUUAGGAAAGUAAGAGUAGGAGAUUUACAACUUUUAUAUGCUGCUAUUAGUAAAGUACCCACUUCACCUGUUACACUAUUUGGCUUAGUGUACCUAGUCUUCAGGGACCAGUAGGAUGUACUUCACUUAUCACUCGUCUAGCCUUUAAUCUUCACUUACUAGAAAACUCGUCAUUGGACUUCAUAUAUGAGUUAAGAAUUUAUCAUGGCUAUGACAUAUUUAGACAAGCUCGGAUGUUUAACAAAGAGGGGAAUGUAAUGUAUAUGCUCUAUGUUGAUAAAGGCAAGAUUCGGUUACCUAACCCGAACCUUGGCCUCUACGUUCUGCAAAACUUUUUGAUUGAGAUGGCAGCAACACUAGUGAACCAGAAAACUCCACAGCGAGUGGCAUCUGAAAGGAUGACCACUCACCGAGAACGCACCUGGUAUGGAGCUAACCCUGGACCAGAAGAAGCAGCGCACCUGCAUUAUUGCGAUUACAACCCCCGAGUCCUUCGAGACCCAUGGGUUCGUCAUGCGCAACCACAAGAGCCAACAGAGGAGACAUGGCCGGAGAGCCAAGAUCACCAGUGGACAAACCCGCCUUUUCAUACGGGCAGGUACUCCACUGAUCCAUAUGGAGCUUCAGGAUCUAGACCUCCGCCCCAAUUUGAUGCAGGACGAUACUCCGAUGCCUCCUACGCUUUCACGAAUGACUACUACCAAGAGGCCGGUGCUUUCUUCACUCGUACCGACAACACCCUCCUCGACAUCCAAAACACGCAAACAGAACAUGGAAGACUCCUGGAAGAACAACAAAAAUGGAACCAGGACCAUGCCGCUGCAGUACAAGAGCUGAGACAAGAUACAACAACAAUGAACGACAACAUCACAACCAUUAUGCGGUUCUGGAACAUCGGGUAAGACCGACGUCAACAUCCAGCUUGGGGGAGUUCCUCCCCAAUCUAUCAAGUAAGUUUUUAUUUGCUCUUCUUAUUUAUUCUAUUUUGUCUUAGUGUUUUAUUUAUCUUAUAAAGAAAAAAAAUAGAAAACCCAAUAAAUAUUUUCUUGCUUUAAUUUACUGCACUUUAUAAACAUGAAAGCAAAAUAAAAAGAGUGUGUAGAUAAGUGUGCUUUAUUUUCCUGCGAAGUUUAAUCUCUAGAAAAAAUAAAAAGACCAAAAAGAUGCAUGAUGGAAAUGAUGAACAGUUGCUCUGUUUGCUUACUUUCAAGUACCUAGCUUUUAUAUUAGAGUUCUUCCAGGAAUUACUAAAACAAAAAUUACUAUCUUUGGGAAGCAUAAAACUAAAGUCUAGGUAAGAGAAAGGCAUAAUACAAAGUUUGAGCUGCUGUUUAUCUUGUUUCUACUACACUGAGUUCUAGAGAUUUAUUUUGGAAACUUGCAAAUCACAUGAUGAGUUCCUAGCAUAAGAAAACUACCUACCACAGCCAUACUUGCUAUAACAUCUUUUACUAUAUUUACAUUGAGUUUGAUCGAGCUGUGUAGACCCUUAGGAGCUUUUCAUGUGGUUAAAUUAAGAUAUUCACUUGCACACAUCUACUACACUAUCCAUCACUAUUCAUUAAAAUUGCUAAAAAUAUUAUCACUCACUGUCCCGAAUAUUGUUAUUCUCUCUCUCUAAAAAGAUUCAAUGCAGAAGAGGCAUGGGUUAUGCAAAAAUAUGCGAGGAAAUAAAAAGGGGCAAGUGCCCGGAACCUCGAUAAAAGAAAAAGAGUAAGACGAGAGGUAAAAAUGGACAAGUGUCCGAAGUAGAAUUAGGGGUACAAAGAUGCCCACUUGAGCGGAAAAAAAUGGACAAGUGUCCGACAGUAGAAUUAGGGGUAUCUACUACCCACCUGAAAAAAAAAGAGAGAAGAAAAAGAUAGCCCAUGUUCUCCCAAAGCAAAGAUCAAAGAAGAGAAGAGAUAGCAAUAUGAGGAGUAAUGAAAAGUAAGUUUUAUUAUCACUUAUAUAUCUUCACCAUCACUAUCAUUGAUUCCAUCACACAUGCACAUCUUGAUUUAAUUAUAUGCUGAGUUCCUUUGGAUCCAUAGCUCGAUUAGACAACAUAUGUAUGAGCUGUUCUUCACCCCUAUGAGCUCCACUUAAAUAUUUCAUUAGCUAUAGGUAAGUGAUAUUAUGGUAAGGAUCCACAAAUACCACAUAUAGAGAGACUUGAGAGAAUCAUUGCUAGGAACUCUGAGUUUUAUUUUGAAAACUUAUGAAAAACUCUGGAACAAAGGUGAAGUAUAGACAGGAGGGAUAGUGCUUGACUUAACUAUUUUGUCUUUCGAUUACUUAAGAUUUAAGUGCAGACACUAAGCUCCAUAACACUUCACUCUAAUCUGGAAGAAUUUUUAUGUAAAAGCAUGUGUGCCUGUCAGGAAAGAAAACAUCGAAGCAACUUCUGAUUUGUCUAAGUUUAGCUAUUUGCUCAGGGACGAGCAAAGGGUAAGCUUGGGGGAGUUUGUUGACGGUCCUUAAGUACUAAAAUUAAUAAUCAAAUAAACAUGGAAAAGGAUCAAUAUGAAACAAACAUCUAGAACUAGGGUUUUAUCUGACAGAAUUCCACGAGCUUUGGUGUUUAUCUAUUUCUGCAGGGGGUUAUCAGAGAAUAUGGAGAGAAGGCCCACAUGUCAUGUUUACAACGAGAUAAUUAUGUGCCGCGCAAUUUUCCUCAAUCUAGAAGAGUCCAGAAGCCACAGGAACGAACGAGAGCACGAUCAGGCUCGGGGGCAGGGCGGCCGCCAACCCCCCUUGGGCGCCCGCCCAGGGUUGGAACCCAAUCGGGACUCUGCUUCGGGACUACGCUCCACCGACCUAAAGGAUCAAUCUAAACCAUACAAUCAAUGUCGGUUUGAUCUGACGGCCCAAAUUCACUUGAAGGGACUAUAAAACCAAGGCCUACCCCCCUAGAGAGGAGAAGAGAAGAAAUCAUUAUUCAGAGGUAGCCAUCAAAGUUAGGGUUUAGAGCUUCUCUCCCACAGAGAAUUAGAAUUAGCUACUCCCUAAUCCUUCAAGUUUAGAGGUUUGAUUAGAUAGCAAUUAGAGAAGUAGAGCACUACGCUGUGGAUUCGGAUCUUCGGUAAUAAAGAUUGGUAUUAUUCAUAUCUUUCUCUAAUUCUUUGUUCUAAUUGUAUUAUGUCUCUAAUUAUUAUGUUCUUAGUUUGCUCUAGUUCUAUAUUUGAUAUAGUUCUAAUUGAUAAUGAGUUUAUGUAUAAGUUUGCAAAGCGCUUAGCUCUUGACGCGAGGGAGUUAGGUGAUAGAUCACAUGUGAGCGUGGUGCUUAGAUGUUAUUUAUCAGCAAAUGUAUCCUAUUGGCCGGGUCGUGUGGUAGUUCGCGAUAGUGAUUUACUUUAUCAAUGUUCCUUAUACAUGAAUGAAGAGUCUUUUAUGCUAUAUAUGAUCUUGUAGAUAACUAGAGUAGAUUAUGACUUAGUAGUUAGUAGAUAACUUAGAAUCCAUUCUCUAGCUAAUCCGACAUCACCUACAUAUAUGAGGAGUAGUCUAUUUUCUAAUCGCUGUGUUAUCUACCCACGAACUUAUAAUUCAUUAUCAUUAUCUUUAUGGUUUACCCCCUGCUAAAGUAAGUUUCUCAUUAGUAAUCAUGUUCUUGCAAGUUUAUCUCUAGUCUAUGCCUUGAUAGAUUUUGCCCCUUACUUUAAUUUCAUCCCUUGAGCAAAAUUAUAAAUAACGAUACCUGGAAUACUUAUCCUGGUGAAAUGCUAUAAUGAGGUGUUUUAUCUGUGCGCUUGCGGAUAGAAUAGAUUAUUUUCUAGAGAGCCUUUACAUUUAUAAAUACCUUUUGUACACUCUGGCACCAUGCUGGGGAUGACAACCUAGUAUCUAAGUGGUGUUAGCUAGUGUCAACACACAGGAAAUUUGAGCUUAAACAAGUGAAAGACGUGACAUGUGGAAACUUUUGAAAAUUGCGAAAAAUAUGAAAAAAACUUUUGGAGGUGAAAACUCAAACUUUAGAGGUGAAUUUGGGGACUCUAAAAUUGUCAAACCCGCACACGGCAGGGAUAGACAGAUAUAAAAAAUUGGUUUGAUAGAUUUUGAUAUAUGGAACGUCAAAAUCGGAGUUCGUAUGCGAAAAUUGUGGUUGUUUUACGAACGGACACCGAAUUAGAGGACAAAACAGUCCGGAAGUGGGAAAAAUUUGCGCAGUGGCUAUAAAUUGAUGGAAACGGUGGGAAGAAACACACAAACUGGACUCUAACAAGACCUAACCAGUAACAAGAUCUCGACCAGGACACAAACUCAAUACUACGGACUCUGAAACUGAAAUAUGCAAAGGUUAUGGCGCGGAUGGGUUGUAGGAUAUGAAAACAAUUUGGCACUAGACUUAUGGGACGAACACAAGGACACUCGAAACUAAGGAUAGAUGUGAACCUAACGGUAUGUCUGAAGCUCUGAUUAACACUUGAGGAGAACAAGUGUGGCCCGAUCUUCCGAAAGGUUCUAGUAACUAUCAAUUUGGUGGAAACGAGACCCAAAUCAAUCCACCUUGCGAACAACGUGGUUCGUAUCCCUGCAAUUCUUUUUAUUUUUUUUGAUAUGUUUCUUUUACUUAGGAGCACUCAAGAAGUAACCACAGGAAAUUUGAGCUUAAACAAGUGAAAGACGUGGCCUGUGGAAUUUUUUGAAGAUUGCGAAAAAUAUAAAAAAAACUUUAGGAGGUGAAAACUCAAACUUUAGGGGCGAAUUUGGGGAUUCUAAAAUUAUCGAACCCGCCUCCAGCGGAGAUAGACAGAUCCAAAAAUUUGUUCUCAUCGAUUUUGAUAUAUGGAACAUCAAAAUCGGAGUUCGUAUGCGAAAGUUAUGGCUGUUUUACGAACGGACUCCGAAUUAGAGGAAAAAACGGUCCGGAAGUGGAAAAAAUUUGCGGUGGUGGCUAGAAAUUGAUGGAAACGGUCGGAAAAACACACAAACUGUACUCUAAUAAGACCAAAUCAGUAACAAGACCUCGACCAGAACAUAAACUCAACACUACGGAGAACAAGUGUGAACCUAACGAUACGUCUGAAGCUCUGAUUAACACUUGAGGAGAACAAGGCCCGAUCUUCCGAAAAGUUCUGGUAACUAUCAAUUUGGUGGAAACGAGACACAAAUCAAACCAGUUUGCAAACAACACGAUUCGAAACCCUGCAAUUCUUUUUUUUUGAUAUUUUUCUAUUACUUAGGAGCACUCAAGAAGUAACCACAGGAAAUUUGAGCUUAAACAAGUGAAGGACGUGGCCUGUGGAAUUUUUUGAAGAUUGCGAAAAAUAUGAAAAUAAAGUUUAGGAGGUGAAAACUCAAAUUUUCAGAGGUGGGUUGGGAAUUCUAAAUUUGUCGCACCCGCCUAUGGCGGGGAUAGACAGAUCCAAAAAUUUUUCUGAUUGAUUUUGAUAUAUGGAACGUCAAAAUUGGAGUUCGUAGGCGAAAGUUAUCGCUGUUUUACGAACGGACUCUGAAUGAGAGGACAAAACGGUCCGGAAGUGGGAAAAAUUUGCGGUGGUGGCUAGAAAUUGAUGGAAGCGGUGGGAAAAAACACACAAACUUGACUCAAACAAGACCUAAUCAGUAACAAGACCUCGACCAGGACACAAACUCAACACUACGGACUCUGAAAAUGAAAUAUGCAAAGGCUAUGGCGCGGAUGGGUUGUAGGACAUGAAAAGAAUAUGGCACCAGACUUAUGGGACGAACACAAGGACACUCGAAACUAAGGGUAGAUGUGAACCUAACGGUAUGCCUGAAGCUUUGAUUACCACUUGAGGAGAAUAAGUGUGUCCCGAUCUUCCGAAAGGUUCUGGUAACUAUCGAUUUGGUGGAAACGAGACACAAAUCAAUCCAGCUUGCGAACAGCACGGUUCGAAACCCUACAAUUCUUUUUAUUUUUUUUGAUAUUUUUCUUUUACUUAGGAGCACUCAAGAAGUAACCAUAGGAAAUUUGAGCUUAAACAAUUGAAAGACGUGGCCUGUGGAAUUUUUUGAAGAUUGCGAAAAAUAUAAAAAAAAACUUUAAGAGGUGAAAACUCAAACUUUAGGAGUGAAUUUGGGGAUUCUAAAAUUAUCGAACCCGCCUCUAGCGGAGAUAGACAGAUCCAAAAAUUUGUUCUGAUCGAUUUUGAUAUAUGGAACGUCAAAAUCGGAGUUCAUAUGCGAAAGAUAUGGCUGUUUUACGAACGGACUCCGAAUUAGAGGACAAAACGGUCCGGAAGUGGGAAAAAUUUGCGGUGGUGGCUAGAAAUUGAUGGAAACGGUGGGAAAAAACACACAAACUGGACUCUAACAAGACCAAAUUGGUAACAAGACCUCGACCACGACACAAACUCAACACUACGGACUCUGAAACUGAAAUAUGCAAAGGUUAUGGCGCGGAUGGGUUGUAGGACAUGAAAACAAUUUGGCACUAGACUUAUGGGACGAACACAAGGACACUCGAAACUAAGGGUACAUGUGAACCUAACUAUACGUCUGAAGCUUUGAUUACCACUUGAGGAGAACAAGGCCCGAUCUUCCGAAAGGUUCUGGUAACUAUCAAUUUGGUGGAAACGAGACACAAAUCAUUCCAGUUUGCGAACAACACGAUUCGAAACCCUGCAAUUCUUUUUAUAUUUUUUGAUAUUUUUCUUUUACUUAGGAGCACUCAAGAAGUAACCACAGGAAAUUUGAGCUUAAACAAGUGAAGGACGUGACCUGUGGAAUUUUUUGAAGAUUGCGAAAAAUAUGAAAAUAAAGUUUAGGAGGUGAAAACUCAAAAUUUCAGAGGCGAGUUUGGGAAUUGUAAAUUUGUUCCACCGCCUUUGGCGGGGAUAGACAGAUCCAAAAAUUUUUCUGAUUGAUUUUGAUAUAUGGAACGUCAAAAUUGGAGUUCGUAGGCGAAAGUUAUCGCUGUUUUACGAACGGACUCUGAAUGAGAGGACAAAACGGUCCGGAAGUGGGAAAAAUUUGCGGUGGUGGCUAGAAAUUGAUGGAAGCGGUGGGAAAAAACACACAAACUUGACUCAAACAAGACCUAAUCAGUAACAAGACCUCGACCAGGACACAAACUCAACACUACGGACUCUGAAAAUGAAAUAUGCAAAGGCUAUGGCGCGGAUGGGUUGUAGGACAUGAAAAGAAUAUGGCACCAGACUUAUGGGACGAACACAAGGACACUCGAAACUAAGGGUAGAUGUGAACCUAACGGUAUGUCUGAAGCUUUGAUUACCACUUGAGGAGAAUAAGUGUGUCCCGAUCUUCCGAAAGGUUCUGGUAACUAUCGAUUUGGUGGAAACGAGACACAAAUCAAUCCAGCUUGCGAACAGCACGGUUCGAAACCCUGCAAUUCUUUUUAUUUUGUUUGAUAUUUUUCUUUUACUUAGGAGCACUCAAGAAGUAACCAUAGGAAAUUUGAGCUUAAACAAUUGAAAGACGUGGCCUGUGGAAUUUUUUGAAGAUUGCGAAAAAUAUAAAAAAAAACUUUAAGAGGUGAAAACUCAAACUUUAGGAGUGAAUUUGGGGAUUCUAAAAUUAUGGAACCCGCCUUUAGCGGAGAUAGACAUAUCCAAAAAUUUGUUCUGAUCGAUUUUGAUAUAUGGAACGUCAAAAUCGGAGUUCAUAUGCGAAAGUUAUGGCUGUUUUACGAACGGACUCCGAAUUAGAGGACAAAACGGUCCGGAAUUCGGAAAAAAUUUGCGGUGGUGGCUAGAAAUUGAUCGAAACGGUGGGAAAAAACACACAAACUGGACUCUAACAAGACCAAAUUGGUAACAAGACCUCGACCACGACACAAACUCAACACUACGGACUCUGAAACUGAAAUAUGCAAAGGUUAUGGCGCGGAUGGGUUGUAGGACAUGAAAACAAUUUGGCACUAGACUUAUGGGACGAACACAAGGACACUCAAAACUAAGGGUACAUGUGAACCUAACUAUACGUCUGAAGCUUUGAUUACCACUUGAGGAGAACAAGGCCCGAUCUUCCGAAAGGUUCUGGUAACUAUCAAUUUGGUGGAAACGAGACACAAAUCAUUCCAGUUUGCGAACAACACGAUUCGAAACCCUGCAAUUCUUUUUAUAUUUUUUGAUAUUUUUCUUUUACUUAGGAGCACUCAAGAAGUAACCACAGGAAAUUUGAGCUUAAACAAGUGAAGGACGUGACCUGUGGAAUUUUUUGAAGAUUGCGAAAAAUAUGAAAAUAAAGUUUAGGAGGUGAAAACUCAAAAUUUCAGAGGCGAGUUUGGGAAUUGUAAAUUUGUUCCACCGCCUAUGGCGGGGAUAGACAGAUCCAAAAAUUUUUCUGAUUGAUUUUGAUAUAUGGAACGUCAAAAUUGGAGUUCGUAGGCGAAAGUUAUCGCUGUUUUACGAACGGACUCUGAAUGAGAGGACAAAACGGUCCGGAAGUGGGAAAAAUUUGCGGUGGUGGCUAGAAAUUGAUGGAAGCGGUGGGAAAAAACACACAAACUUGACUCAAACAAGACCUAAUCAGUAACAAGAUCUCGACCAGGACACAAACUCAACACUACGGACUCUGAAAAUGAAAUAUGCAAAGGCUAUGGCGCGGAUGGGUUGUAGGACAUGAAAAGAAUAUGGCACCAGACUUAUGGGACGAACACAAGGACACUCGAAACUAAGGGUAGAUGUGAACCUAACGGUAUGCCUGAAGCUUUGAUUACCACUUGAGGAGAAUAAGUGUGUCCCGAUCUUCCGAAAGGUUCUGGUAACUAUCGAUUUGGUGGAAACGAGACACAAAUCAAUCCAGCUUGCGAACAGCACGGUUCGAAACCCUGCAAUUCUUUUUAUUUUGUUUGAUAUUUUUCUUUUACUUAGGAGCACUCAAGAAGUAACCAUAGGAAAUUUGAGCUUAAACAAUUGAAAGACGUGGCCUGUGGAAUUUUUUGAAGAUUGCGAAAAAUAUAAAAAAAACUUUAAGAGGUGAAAACUCAAACUUUAGGAGUGAAUUUGGGGAUUCUAAAAUUAUCGAACCCGCCUUUAGCGGAGAUAGACAUAUCCAAAAAUUUGUUCUGAUCGAUUUUGAUAUAUGGAACGUCAAAAUCGGAGUUCAUAUGCGAAAGUUAUGGCUGUUUUACGAACGGACUCCGAAUUAGAGGACAAAACGGUCCGGAAGUCGGAAAAAUUUGCGGUGCUGGCUAGAAAUUGAUGGAAACGGUGGGAAAAAACACACAAACUGGACUCUAACAAGACCAAAUUGGUAACAAGACCUCGACCACGACACAAACUCAACACUACGGACUCUGAAACAGAAAUAUGCAAAGGUUAUGGCGCGGAUGGGUUGUAGGACAUGAAAACAAUUUGGCACUAGACUUAUGGGACGAACACAAGGACACUCGAAACUAAGGGUACAUGUGAACCUAACUAUACGUCUGAAGCUUUGAUUACCACUUGAGGAGAACAAGGCCCGAUCUUCCGAAAGGUUCUGGUAACUAUCAAUUUGGUGGAAACGAGACACAAAUCAUUCCAGUUUGCGAACAACAUGAUUCGAAACCCUGCAAUUCUUUUUAUAUUUUUUGAUAUUUUUCUUUUACUUAGGAGCACUCAAGAAGUAACCACAGGAAAUUUGAGCUUAAACAAGUGAAGGACGUGACCUGUGGAAUUUUUUGAAGAUUGCGAAAAAUAUGAAAAUAAAGUUUAGGAGGUGAAAACUUAAAAUUUCAGAGGCGAGUUUGGGAAUUGUAAAUUUGUUGCACCGCCUAUGGCGGGGAUAGACAGAUCUAAAAAAAUUUUCUGAUCGAUUUUGAAAUAUGGAACGUCAAAAUCAGAGUUCGUAGGCGAAAGUUAUGGCUGUUUUACGAACGGACUCCGAAUUAGAGGAUAAAACGGUCCGGAAGUGGAAAAAAUUUGCGGUGGUGGCUAGAAAUUAAUGGAAACGGUGGGAAAAACACACAAACUAGACUCUAACAAGACCUAACCAGUAACAAGAUCUCGACCAGGACACAAACUCAACACUACGGACUCUGAAAAUGAAAUAUGCAAAGGCUAUGGCGCGGAUGGGUUGUAGGACAUGAAAAGAAUAUGGCACCAGACUUAUGGGACGAACACAAGGACACUCGAAACUAAAGGUAGAUGUGAACCUAACGGUAUGUCUGAAGCUUUGAUUACCACUUGAGGAGAAUAAGUGUGUCCCGAUCUUCCGAAAGGUUCUGGUAACUAUCGAUUUGGUGGAAACGAGACACAAAUCAAUCCAGCUUGCGAACAGCACGGUUUGAAACCCUGCAAUUCUUUUUAUUUUUUUUUGAUAUUUUUUUUACUUAGGAGCACUCAAGAAGUAACCAUAGGAAAUUUGAGCUUAAACAAUUGAAAGACGUGGCCUGUGGAAUUUUUUGAAGAUUGCGAAAAAUAUAAAAAAAACUUUAAGAGGUGAAAACUCAAACUUUAGGAGUGAAUUUGGGAUUCUAAAAUUAUCGAACCCACCUCUAGCGGAGAUAGACAGAUCCAUAAAUUUGUUCUGAUCGAUUUGGAUAUAUGGAACGUCAAAAUCGGAGUUCAUAUGCGAAAGAUAUGGCUGUUUUACGAACGGACUCCGAAUUAGAGGACAAAACGGUCCGGAAGUGGGAAAAAUUUGCGGUGGUGGCUAGAAAUUGAUGGAAACGGUGGAAAAAAACACACAAACUGGACUCUAACAAGACCAAAUCGGUAACAAGACCUCGACCACGACACAAACUCAACACUACGGACUCUGAAACUGAAAUAUGCAAAGGUUAUGGCGCGGAUGGGUUGUAGGACAUGAAAACAAUUUGGCACUAGACUUAUGGGACGAACACAAGGACACUCGAAACUAAGGGUACAUGUGAACCUAACUAUACGUCUGAAGCUUUGAUUACCACUUGAGGAGAACAAGGCCCGAUCUUCCGAAAGGUUCUGGUAACUAUCAAUUUGGUGGAAACGAGACACAAAUCAUUCCAGUUUGCGAACAACACGAUUCGAAAUCCUGCAAUUCUUUUUAUAUUUUUUGAUAUUUUUCUUUUACUUAGGAGCACUCAAGAAGUAACCACAGGAAAUUUGAGCUUAAACAAGUGAAGGACGUGACCUGUGGAAUUUUUUGAAGAUUGCGAAAAAUAUGAAAAUAAAGUUUAGGAGGUGAAAACUCAAAAUUUCAGAGGCGAGUUUGGGAAUUGUAAAUUUGUUGCACCGCCUAUGGCGGGGAUAGACAGAUCCAAAAAAUUUUUCUGAUCGAUUUUGAAAUAUGGAACGUCAAAAUCAGAGUUCGUAGGCGAAAGUUAUGGCUGUUUUACGAACGGACUCCGAAUUAGAGGAUAAAACGGUCCGGAAGUGGGAAAAAUUUGCGGUGGUGGCUAGAAAUUAAUGGAAAUGGUGGGAAAAACACACAAACUAGACUCUAACAAGACCUAACCAGUAACAAGAUCUCGACCAGGACACAAACUCAACACUACGGACUCUGAAAAUGAAAUAUGCAAAGGCUAUGGCGCGGAUGGGUUGUAGGACAUGAAAAGAAUAUGGCACCAGACUUAUGGGACGAACACAAGGACACUCAAAACUAAAGGUAGAUGUGAACCUAACGGUAUGUCUGAAGCUUUGAUUACCACUUGAGGAGAAUAAGUGUGUCCCGAUCUUCCGAAAGGUUCUGGUAACUAUCGAUUUGGUGGAAACGAGACACAAAUCAAUCCAGCUUGCGAACAGCACGGUUCGAAACCCUGCAAUUCUUUUUAUUUUUUUUUUGAUAUUUUUCUUUUACUUAGAAGCACUCAAGAAGUAACCAUAGGAAAUUUGAGCUUAAACAAUUGAAAGACGUGGCCUGUGGAAUUUUUUGAAGAUUGCGAAAAAUAUAAAAAAAACUUUAAGAGGUGAAAACUCAAACUUUAGGAGUGAAUUUGGGAUUCUAAAAUUAUCGAACCCACCUCUAGCGGAGAUAGACAGAUCCAUAAAUUUGUUCUGAUCGAUUUGGAUAUAUGGAAUGUCAAAAUCGGAGUUCAUAUGCGAAAGUUAUGGCUGUUUUACGAACGGACUCCGAAUUAGAGGACAAAACGGUCCGGAAGUGGGAAAAAUUUGCGGUGGUGGCUAGAAAUUGAUGGAAACGGUGGAAAAAAACACACAAACUGGACUCUAACAAGACCAAAUCGGUAACAAGACCUCGACCACGACACAAACUCAACACUACGGACUGUGAAACUGAAAUAUGCAAAGGUUAUGGCGCGGAUGGGUUGUAGGACAUGAAAACAAUUUGGCACUAGACUUAUGGGACGAACACAAGGACACUCGAAACUAAGGGUACAUGUGAACCUAACUAUACGUCUGAAGCUUUGAUUACCACUUGAGGAGAACAAGGCCCGAUCUUCCGAAAGGUUCUGGUAACUAUCAAUUUGGUGGAAACGAGACACAAAUCAUUCCAGUUUGCGAACAACAUGAUUCGAAACCCUGCAAUUCUUUUUAUAUUUUUUGAUAUUUUUCUUUUACUUAGGAGCACUCAAGAAGUAACCACAGGAAAUUUGAGCUUAAACAAGUGAAGGACGUGACCUGUGGAAUUUUUUGAAGAUUGCGAAAAAUAUGAAAAUAAAGUUUAGGAGGUGAAAACUCAAAAUUUCAGAGGCGAGUUUGGGAAUUGUAAAUUUGUUGCACCGCCUAUGGCGGGGAUAGACAGAUCCAAAAAAUUUUUCUGAUCGAUUUUGAAAUAUGGAACGUCAAAAUCAGAGUUCGUAGGCGAAAGUUAUGGCUGUUUUACGAACGGACUCCGAAUUAGAGGAUAAAACGGUCCGGAAGUGGGAAAAAUUUGCGGUGGUGGCUAGAAAUUAAUGGAAAUGGUGGGAAAAACACACAAACUAGACUCUAACAAGACCUAACCAGUAACAAGAUCUCGACCAGGACACAAACUCAACACUACGGACUCUGAAAAUGAAAUAUGCAAAGGCUAUGGCGCGGAUGGGUUGUAGGACAUGAAAAGAAUAUGGCACCAGACUUAUGGGACGAACACAAGGACACUCGAAACUAAAGGUAGAUGUGAACCUAACGGUAUGUCUGAAGCUUUGAUUAUCACUUGAGGAGAAUAAGUGUGUCCCGAUCUUCCGAAAGGUUCUGGUAACUAUCGAUUUGGUGGAAACGAGACACAAAUCAAUCCAGCUUGCGAACAGCACGGUUUGAAACCCUGCAAUUCUUUUUAUUUUUUUUUGAUAUUUUUUUUACUUAGGAGCACUCAAGAAGUAACCAUAGGAAAUUUGAGCUUAAACAAUUGAAAGACGUGGCCUGUGGAAUUUUUUGAAGAUUGCGAAAAAUAUAAAAAAAACUUUAAGAGGUGAAAACUCAAACUUUAGGAGUGAAUUUGGGAUUCUAAAAUUAUCGAACCCACCUCUAGCGGAGAUAGACAGAUCCAUAAAUUUGUUCUGAUCGAUUUGGAUAUAUGGAAUGUCAAAAUCGGAGUUCAUAUGCGAAAGUUAUGGCUGUUUUACGAACGGACUCCGAAUUAGAGGACAAAACGGUCCGGAAGUGGGAAAAAUUUGCGGUGGUGGCUAGAAAUUGAUGGAAACGGUGGGAAAAAACACACAAACUGGACUCUAACAAGACCAAAUCGGUAACAAGACCUCGACCACGACACAAACUCAACACUACGGACUCUGAAACUGAAAUAUGCAAAGGUUAUGGCGCGGAUGGGUUGUAGGACAUGAAAACAAUUUGGCACUAGACUUAUGGGACGAACACAAGGACACUCGAAACUAAGGGUACAUGUGAACCUAACUAUACGUCUGAAGCUUUGAUUACCACUUGAGGAGAACAAGGCCCGAUCUUCCGAAAGGUUCUGGUAACUAUCAAUUUGGUGGAAACGAGACACAAAUCAUUCCAGUUUGCGAACAACACGAUUCGAAACCCUGCAAUUCUUUUUAUAUUUUUUGAUAUUUUUCUUUUACUUAGGAGCACUCAAGAAGUAACCACAGGAAAUUUGAGCUUAAACAAGUGAAGGACGUGACCUGUGGAAUUUUUUGAAGAUUGCGAAAAAUAUGAAAAUAAAGUUUAGAGGUGAAAACUUAAAAUUUCAGAGGCGAGUUUGGGAAUUGUAAAUUUGUUGCACCGCCUAUGGCGGGGAUAGACAGAUCUAAAAAAUUUUUCUGAUCGAUUUUGAAAUAUGGAACGUCAAAAUCAGAGUUCGUAGGCGAAAGUUAUGGCUGUUUUACGAACGGACUCCGAAUUAGAGGAUAAAACGGUCCGGAAGUGGAAAAAAUUUGCGGUGGUGGCUAGAAAUUAAUGGAAACGGUGGGAAAAACACACAAACUAGACUCUAACAAGACCUAACCAGUAACAAGAUCUCGACCAGGACACAAACUCAACACUACGGACUCUGAAAAUGAAAUAUGCAAAGGCUAUGGCGCGGAUGGGUUGUAGGACAUGAAAAGAAUAUGGCACCAGACUUAUGGGACGAACACAAGGACACUCGAAACUAAAGGUAGAUGUGAACCUAACGGUAUGUCUGAAGCUUUGAUUACCACUUGAGGAGAAUAAGUGUGUCCCGAUCUUUCGAAAGGUUCUAGUAACUAUCGAUUUGGUGGAAACGAGACACAAAUCAAUCCAGCUUGCGAACAGCACGGUUCGAAACCCUGCAAUUCUUUUUAUUUUUUUUUUGAUAUUUUUCUUUUACUUAGGAGCACUCAAGAAGUAACCAUAGGAAAUUUGAGCUUAAACAAUUGAAAGACGUGGCCUGUGGAAUUUUUUGAAGAUUGCGAAAAAUAUAAAAAAAACUUUAAGAGGUGAAAACUCAAACUUUAGGAUUGAAUUUGGGGAUUCUAAAAUUAUCGAACCCACCUCUAGCGGAGAUAGACAGAUCCAAAAAUUUGUUCUGAUCGAUUUGGAUAUAUGGAAUGUCAAAAUCGGAGUUUAUAUGCGAAAGUUAUGGCUGUUUUACGAACGGACUCCGAAUUAGAGGACAAAACGGUCCGGAAGUGGGAAAAAUUUGCGGUGGUGGCUAGAAAUUGAUGGAAACGGUGGGAAAAAACACACAAACUGGACUCUAACAAGACCAAAUCGGUAACAAGACCUCGACCACGACACAAACUCAACACUACGGACUCUGAAACUGAAAUAUGCAAAGGUUAUGGCGCGGAUGGGUUGUAGGACAUGAAAACAAUUUGGCACUAAACUUAUGGGACGAACACAAGGACACUCGAAACUAAGGGUAUAUGUGAACCUAACUAUACGUCUGAAGAUUUGAUUACCACUUGAGGAGAACAAGGCCCGAUCUUCCGAAAGGUUCUGGUAACUAUCAAUUUGGUGGAAACGAAACACAAAUCAUUCCAGUUUGCGAACAACACGAUUCGAAACCCUGCAAUUCUUUUUAUAUUUUUUGAUAUUUUUCUUUUACUUAGGAGCACUCAAGAAGUAACCACAGGAAAUUUGAGCUUAAACAAGUGAAGGACGUGACCUGUGGAAUUUUUUGAAGAUUGCGAAAAAUAUGAAAAUAAAGUUUAGGAGGUGAAAACUCAAAUUUUCAGAGGCGAGUUUGGGAAUUGUAAAUUUGUUGCACCGCCUAUGGCGGGGAUAGACAGAUCUAAAAAAUUUUUCUGAUCGAUUUUGAAAUAUGGAACGUCAAAAUCAGAGUUCGUAGGCGAAAGUUAUGGCUGUUUUACGAACGGACUCCGAAUUAGAGGACAAAACGGUCCGGAAGUGGGAAAAAUUUGCGGUGGUGGCUAGAAAUUAAUGGAAAUGGUGGGAAAAACACACAAACUAGACUCUAACAAGACCUAACCAGUAAAAAGAUAUCGACCAGGACACAAACUCAACACUACGGAAUCUGAAAAUGAAAUAUGCAAAGGCUAUGGCGCGGAUGGGUUGUAGGACAUGAAAAGAAUAUGGCACCAGACUUAUGGGACGAACACAAGGACACUCGAAACUAAAGGUAGAUGUGAACCUAACGGUAUGUCUGAAGCUUUGAUUACCACUUGAGGAGAAUAAGUGUGUCCCGAUCUUCCUAAAGGUUCUGGUAACUAUCGAUUUGGUGGAAACGAGACACAAAUCAAUCCAACUUGCGAACAGCACGGUUCGAAACCCUGCAAUUCUUUUUAUUUUUUUUGAUAUUUUUCUUUUACUUAGGAGCACUCAAGAAGUAACCAUAGGAAAUUUGAGCUUAAACAAUUGAAAGACGUGGCCUGUGGAAUUUUUUGAAGAUUGCGAAAAAUAUAAAAAAAACUUUAAGAGGUGAAAACUCAAACUUUAGGAGUGAAUUUGGGGAUUCUAAAAUUAUCGAACCCACCUCUAGCGGAGAUAGACAGAUCCAAAAAUUUGUUCUGAUCGAUUUGGAUAUAUGGAAUGUCAAAAUCGGAGUUCAUAUGCGAAAGUUAUGGCUGUUUUACGAACAGACUCCGAAUUAGAGGACAAAACGGUCCGGAAGUGGGAAAAAUUUGCGGUGGUGGCUAGAAAUUGAUGGAAACGGUGGGAAAAAACACACAAACUGGACUCUAACAAGACCAAAUCGGUAACAAGACCUCGACCACGACACAAACUCAACACUACGGACUCUGAAACUGAAAUAUGCAAAGGUUAUGGCGCGGAUGGGUUGUAGGACAUGAAAACAAUUUGGCACUAGACUUAUGGGAUGAACACAAGGACACUCGAAACUAAGGGUACAUGUGAACCUAACUAUACGUCUGAAGCUUUGAUUACCACUUGAGGAGAACAAGGCCCGAUCUUCCGAAAGGUUACAAUUUGGUGGAAACGAAACACAAAUCAUUCCAGUUUGCGAACAACACGAUUCGAAACCCUGCAAUUCUUUUUAUAUUUUUUGAUAUUUUUCUUUUCCUUAGGAGCACUCAUGAAGUAACCACAGGAAAUUUGAGCUUAAACAAGUGAAGGACGUGAUCUGUGGAAUUUUUUAAAGAUUGCGAAAAAUAUGAAAAUAAAGUUUAGGAGGUGAAAACUCAAAAUUUUAGAGGCGAAUUUGGGGAUUCUAAAUUUGUCGAACCCGCCCAAGGCGGGGAUAGACAGACCCAAAAUUUUUUUCUAAUUGAUUUUGAUAUAUGCAAUGAUAAAAUCGGAGUUCGUAGGCGAAAGUUAUGGCUGUUUUACGAACGGACUCCGAAUUAGAGGACAAAACGGUCCGGAAGUGGGAAAAAUUUGCGGUGGUGGCUAGAAAUUGAUGGAAACGGUGGGAAAAAACACACAAACUGGACUCGAACAAGACCUAACCAGUAACAAGACCUCAACCAGGACACAAACUCAAAACUACGGAUUCUGAAACUGAAAUAUGCAAAGGCUAUGGCGCGGAUGGGUUGUAGGACAUGAAAACAAUAUUGCACUAGACUUAUGAGACGAACACAAGGACACUCGAAACUAAGGGUAGAUAUGAACCUAACGGUAUGUGUGAUGCUUUGAUUACCACUUGAGGAGAACAAGUCUGGCCCGAUCUUCCGAAAGGUUCUGGUAACUAUCGAUUUGGUGGAAACGACACACAAAUCAAUCCAGCUUGCGAACAACACGGUUCGAAACCCUGCAAUUCUUUUUUUUUUGAUAUUUUCUUUUACUUAGGAGCACUCAAGAAGUAACCAUAGGAAAUUUGAGCUUAAACAAGUGAAAGACGUGGCCUGUGGAAUUUUUUGAAGAUUGCGAAAAAUAUAAAAAAAACUUUAGGAGGUGAAAACUCAAAUUUUAGGGGCGAAUUUGGAGAUUAUAAAAUUAUCGAACCCGCCUCUAGCGGAGAUAGACAGAUCCAAAAAUUUGUUUUGAUCAAUUUUGAUAUAUGGAACGUCAAAAUUGGAGUUCGUAUGCGAAAGUUAUGACUGUUUUACGAACGGACUCCGAAUUAGAGGACAAAACGGUCCGGAAGUGAGAAAAAUUUGCGGUGGUGGCUAGAAAUUGAUGGAAACGGUGGGAAAAAAACAUAAACUGGACUCUAACAAGACCAAAUCAGUAACAAGACCUCGACCAGGACACAAACUCAACACUACGGACUCUGAAACUGAAAUAUGCAAAGGUUAUGACGCGGAUGGGUUGUAGGACAUGAAAACAAUUUGGCACUAGACUUAUGGGACGAACACAAGGACACUCGAAACUAAGGGUACAUGUGAACCUAACUGUACGUCUGAAGCUUUGGUUACCACUUGAGAACAAGGCCCGAUCUUCCGAAAGGUUCUGGUAACUAUCAAUUUGGUGGAAACGAGACACAAAUCAUUCCAAUUUGCGAACAACACGAUUCGAAACCCUGCAAUUCUUUUUAUAUUUUUUGAUAUUUUUCUUUUACUUAGGAGCACUCAAGAAGUAACCACAGGAAAUUUGAGCUUAAACAAGUGAAGUACGUGGGCUGUGGAAUUUUUUGAGGAUUGCGAAAAAUAUGAAAAUAAUGUUUAGGAGGUGAAAACUCAAAAAUUCAGAGGUGAGUUUGGGAAUUGUAAAUUUGUUGCACCGCCUAUGGCGGGGAUAGACAGAUCCAAAAAUUUUAUCUGAUUGAUUUUGAUAUAUGGAACGUCAAAAUCGGAGUUCAUAUGCGAAAGUUAUGGCUGUUUUACGAACGGACUCCGAAUUAGAGGACAAAACGGUCUGGAAGUGGGAAAAAUUUGCGGUGGUGGCUAGAAAUUGAUGGAAACGGUGGGAAAAAACACACAAACUGGACUCUAACAAGACCAAAUCGGUAUCAAGACCUCGACCACGACACAAACUCAACACUACGGACUCUGAAACUGAAAUAUGCAAAGGUUAUGACGCGGAUGGGUUGUAGGACAUGAAAACAAUUUGGCACUAGACUUAUGGGACGAACACAAGGACACUCGAAACUAAGGGUACAUGUGAACCUAACUAUACGUCUGAAGCUUUGAUUACCACUUGAGGAGAACAAGGCCCGAUCUUCCGAAAGGUUCUGGUAACUAUCAAUUUGGUGGAAACGAAACACAAAACAUUCCAGUUUGCGAACAACACGAUUCGAAACCCUGCAAUUCUUUUUAUAUUUUUUGAUAUUUUUCUUUUCCUUAGGAGCACUCAAGAAGUAACCACAGGAAAUUUGAGCUUAAACAAGUGAAGUACGUGACCUGUGGAAUUUUUUGAAGAUUGCGAAAAAUAUAAAAAUAAAGUUUAGGAGGUGAAAACUCAAAAUUUCAGAGGCGAAUUUGGGGAUUCUAAAUUUAUCGAACCCGCCCAGGGCGGGGAUAGACAGACCCAAAAUUUUUUUCUAAUUGAUUUUGAUAUAUGGAAUGAUAAAAUCGGAGUUCGUAGGCGAAAGUUAUGGCUGUUUUACAAACGGACUCCGAAUUAGAGGACAAAACGGUCCGGAAGUGGGAAAAAUUUGCGGUGGUGGCUAGAAAUUGAUGGAAACGGUGGGAAAAAACACACAAACUGGACUCGAACAAGACCUAACCAGUAACAAGACCUCAACCAGGACACAAACUCAAAACUACGGAUUCUGAAACUGAAAUAUGCAAAGGCUAUGGCGCGGAUGGGUUGUAGGACAUGAAAACAAUAUGACACUAGACUUAUGAGACGAACACAAGGACACUCGAAACUAAGGGUAGAUGUGAACCUAACGGUAUGUGUGAUGCUUUGAUUACCACUUGAGGAGAACAAGUCUGGCCCGAUCUUCCGAAAGGUUCUGGUAACUAUCGAUUUGGUGGAAACGACACACAAAUCAAUCCAGCUUGCGAACAACACGGUUCGAAACCCUGCAAUUCUUUUUAUUUUUUUUUUGAUAUUUUUCUUUUACUUAGGAGCACUCAAGAAGUAACCACAAGAAAUUUGAGCUUAAACAAGUGAAAGACGUGGCCUGUGGAAUUUUUUGAAGAUUGUGAAAAAUAUAAAAAAACUUUAGGAGGUGAAAACUCGAAGUUCAGGGGCGAAGUUUGGGAUUCUAAAAUUAUCGAACCCGCCUCUAGCAGAGAUAAACAGAUCCAAAAAUUUGUUCUGAUCGAUUUUGAUAUAUGGAACGUCCAAAUCGGAGUUCGUAUGCGAAAGUUAUGCCUGUUUUACGAACGGACUCCGAAUUAGAGGACAAAACGGUCCGGAAGUGGGAAUAAUUUGCGAUGGUGGCUAGAAAUUGACGGAAACGGUGGGAAAAACACACAAACUGGACUCUAACAAGACCAAAUUGGUAACAAGACCUCGACCACGAUACAAACUCAACACUACGAACUCUGAAACUGAAAUAUGCAAAGGCUAUGGCGCGGAUGGGUUGUAGGACAUGAAAACAAUUUGGCACUAGACUUAUGGGACGAACAUAAGGACACUCGAAACUAAGGGUACAUGUGAACCUAACUGUACGUCUGAAGCUUUGAUUACCACUUGAGGAGAACAAGGCCAGAUCUUCCGAAAGGUUCUGGUAACUAUCGAUUUGGUGGAAACGAGACACAAAUCAUUCCAGUUUGCGGACAACACGAUUUGAAACCCUGCAAUUCUUUUUAUAUUUUUUGAUAUUUUUCUUUUACUUAGGAGCACUCAAGAAGUAACCCCAGGAAAUUUGAGCUUAAACAAGUGAAGGACGUGGCCUAUGGAAUUUUUUGAAGAUUGCGAAAAAUAUGAAAAUAAUGUUUAGGAGGUGAAAACUCAAAAUUUCAGAGGCGAGUUUGGGAAUUGUAAAUUUGUUGCACUGCCUAUGGUGGGGAUAGACAGAUCCAAAAAUUUUUUCUGAUCGAUUUUGAUAUAUGGAACGUUAAAAUCGGAGUUCGUAGGCGAAAGUUAUGGCUGUUUUACGAACAGACUCCGAAUUAGAGGAGAAAACGGUCCGGAAGUAGGAAAAAUUUACGGUGGUGGCGAGAAAUUGAUGGAAACAGUGAGAAAAAACACACAAACCGGACUCAAACAAGACCUAACUAGUAACAAGCCCUCGACCAGGACUCAAACUCAAAACUACGGAUUCUGAAACUGAAAUAUGCCAAGGCUAUGGCGCGAAUGGGUUGUAGGACAUGAAAACAAUAUGGCACUAGACUUAUCAGACGAACACAAGGACACUCGAAACUAAGGGUAGAUGUGAACCUAACGGUAUGUCUGAUGCUUUGGUUACCACUUGAGGAGAACAAGUGUGGCCCGAUCUUCCGAAAGGUUCUAGUAACUAUCGAUUUGGUGGAAACGAGACACAAAUCAAUCCAACUUGCGAACAACACGAUUCGAAACCCUACAAUUAUUUUUAUUUUUUUUGAUAUUUUUAUUUUACUUAGGAGAACUCAUGAAGUAACCACACGAAAUUUGAGCUUAAACAAGUGAAAGACGUGGCCUGUAGAAUUUUUUGAAGAUUGCAAAAAAUAUAAAAAAACUUUAGGAGGUGAAAACUCAAAUUUCAGGGGCGAAUUUGGGGAUUCUAAAUUAUCGAACCCGCCUCUAGCGGAGAUAUAUAGAUCCAAAAAUUUGUUCCGAUCGAUUUUGAUAUAUGGAACGUCAAAAUCGGAGUUCGUAUGCGAAAGUUAUGGCUGUUUUACGAACGGACUCCGAAUUAGAGGACAAAACGGUCCGGAAGUGGGAAAAAUUUGCGGUGGUGGCUAGAAAUCUAUGGAAAUGGUGGGAAAAAACACACAAACUGGACUCUAACAAGACCAAAUCAGUAACAAGACCUCAACCAGGACACAAACUCAACACUACGGACUCUGAAACUGAAAUAUGCAAAGUUUAUGGCGCUAAUGGGUUGUAGGACAUGAAAACAAUUUGGCACUAGACUUAUGGGACGAACACAAGGACACUCGAAACUGAGGGUAGAUGUGAACCUAAUGGUACGUCUAAAGCUUUGAUUACCACUUGAGGAGAACAAGGCCCGAUCUUCUGAAAGGUUCUGGUAACUAUCGAUUUGGUGGAAACGAGACGCAAAUCAAUCCAGUUUGCGAACAACACUGCAAUUCUUUUUAUUUUUUAUGAUAUUUUUCUUUUACUUAGGAGCACUCAAGAAGUAACCAUAGGAAAUUUGAACUUAAACAAGUGAAUGACGUGGCCUGUGGAAUUUUUUGAAGAUUGCGAAAAAUAUGAAAAUAAAGUUUAGGAGGUGAAAACUCAAAUUUUCAGAGGCGAGUUUGGGAAUUCUAAAUUUGUCGCACCCGCCUAUGGCAGGGAUAGACAAAUUGAAAAAUUUUUUCUGAUUGAUUUUGAUAUUUGGAACGUCAAAAUCGGAGUUCGUAUGUGAAAAUUAUGGUUGUUUUACGUAGGUACACCGAAUUAGAGGACAAAACAGUGCGGAAGUGGUAAAAUUUUGCGCGGUGGCUAUAAAUUGAUGGAAACAGUGGGAAGAAACACACAAAUUGGACUCUAACAGGACCUAACCAGUAACAAGAUCUCGACCAGGACACAAACUCAACACUACGAACUCUGAAACUGAAAUAUGCAAAGGCUAUGGCGCGGAUGGGUUGUAGGACAUGAAAACAAUGUAGCACUAGACUUUUGGGACGAAAACAAGGACACUCGAAACUAAGGAUAGAUGUGAACCUAACGGUACGUCUGAAGCUUAAGGAUAGAUGUGAACGUAACGGUAUGUCUGAUGCUUUGAUUACCACUUGAGGAGAACAAGUGUGGCCCGAUCUUCCGAAAGGUUCUGGUAACUAUCGAUUUGGUGAAAACGAGACACAAAUCAAUCCAGCUUACGAACAACACGAUUCGAAACCCUACAAUUCUUUUUUUUUGAUAUUUUUCUUUUACUUAGGAGCACUCAAGAAGUAAGCACAGAAAAUUUGAGCAUAAACAAGUGAAAGACGUGACCUGUGGAAACUUUUGAAAAUUGCGAAAAAUAUGAAAAAAACUUUUGGAGGUGAAAACUCAAACUUUAGAGGCGAAUUUGGGGAUUCUAAAAUUGUCAAACCCGCACACGGCGGGGAUAGACAUAUCCAAAAAUUUGGUUUGAUCGAUUUUGAUAUAUGGAACGUCAACAUCAGAGUUCGUAUGUGAAAAUUAUGGUUGUUUUACGUACGUACACCGAAUUAGAGGACAAAACAGUGCGGAAGUGGGAAAAUUUUGCGCGGUGGCUAUACAUUGAUGGAAACAGUGGGAAGAAACACACAAAUUGGACUCUAACAAGACCUAACGAGUAACAAGAUCUCGACCAGGACACAAACUCAACACUACGGACUCUGAAACUGAAAUAUGCAAAGGCUAUGGCGCGGAUGGGUUGUAGGACAUGAAAACAAUGUAGCACUAGACUUAGGGGACGAAAACAAGGACACUCAAAACUAAGGAUAGAUGUGAACCUAACGGUACGUCUGAAGCUUUGAUUACCACUUGAGGAGAACAAGUGUGGCCCGAUCUUCCGAAAGGUUCUGGUAACUAUCGAUUUGGUGGAAACGAGACCCAAAUCAGUCCACCUUGCGAACAACACGAUUCGAAACCCUGCAAUUCUUUUUAUUUUUUUAUUUGAUAUUUUUCUUUUACUUAGGAGCACCGAAGAAGUAGCCACAGGAAAUUUGAGCUUAAACAAGUGAAAGACGUGGCCUAUGGAAUUUUUUGUAGAUUGUGAAAAAUAUGAAAAUAAACUUUAGGAGGUGAAAACUCAAACUUUAGAGGCGAAUUUGGGGAUUCUAAAUUUGUCGGACCCGCCAAAGGCGGGGAUAGACAGACCCAAAAUUUUUUUCUAAUUGAUUUUGAUAUAUGGAAUGAUAAAAUCGGAGUUCGUAGGCGAAAGUUAUGGCUGUUUUACGAACGGACUCCGAAUUAGAGGACAAAACGGUCCGGAAGUGGGAAAAAUUUGCGGUGGUGGCUAGAAAUUGAUGGAAACGGUGGGAAAAAACACACAAACUGGACUCGAACAAGACCUAACCAGUAACAAGACCUCAACCAAGACACAAACUCAAAACUACGGAUUCUGAAACUGAAAUAUGCAAAGGCUAUGGCGCGGAUGGGUUGUAGGACAUGAAAACAAUAUGGCACUAGACUUAUGAGACGAACACAAGGACACUCAAAACUAAGGGUAGAUGUGAACCUAACGGUAUGUGUGAUGCUUUGAUUACCACUUGAGGAGAACAAGUCUGGCCCGUUCUUCCGAAUGGUUCUGGUAACUAUCGAUUUGGUGGAAACAACACACAAAUCAAUCCAGCUUGCGAACAACACGGUUCGAAACCCUGCAAUUCUUUUUAUAUUUUUUGAUAUUUUUCUUUUACUUAGGAGCACUCAAGAAGUAACCACAGGAAAUUUGAGCUUAAACAAGUGAAGUACGCGGGCUGUGGAAUUUUUUGAGGAUUGCGAAAAAUAUGAAAAUAAUGUUUAGGAGGUGAAAACUCAAAAAUUCAGAGGUGAGUUUGGGAAUUGUAAAUUUGUUGCACCGCCUAUGGCGGGGAUAGACAGAUCCAAAAAUUUUAUCUGAUUGAUUUUGAUAUAUGGAACGUCAAAAUCGGAGUUCGUAGGCGAAAGUUAUGGCUGUUUUACGAACGGACUUCGAAUUAGAGGACAAAACGGUGCGGAAGUGGGAAAAAUUUGCGGUGGUGGCUAGAAAUUGAUGGAAACGGUGGGAAAAAACACACAAACUGGACACAAACAAGACCUAACUAGUAACAAGACCUCGACCAGGACACAAACUCAAAACUACGGAGGCUAUGGCGCGGAUGGGUUGUAGGACAUGAAAACAAUAUGGCACUAGACUUAUGAGACGAACACAAGGACACUCGAAACUAAGGGUAGAUGUGAACCUAACGGUAUGUCUGAUCUUUGGUUACCACUUGAGGAGAACAAGUGUGGCCCAUCUUCCGAAAGGUUCUGGUAACUAUCCAUUUGGUGGAAACGAGACACAAAUCAAUCCAGCUUGCGAACAACACGAUUCGAAACCCUACAAUUCUUUUUAUUUUUUUUGAUAUUUUUCUUUUACUUAGGAGCACUCAAGAAGUAACCACAGGAAAUUUGAGCUUAAACAAGUGAAAGACAUGACCUGUGGAAAGUUUUGAACAUUGCUAAAAAUAUGAAAAAAAGUUUUGGAGGUGAAAACUCAAACUUUAGAGGCGAAUUUGGGGAUUCUAAAAUUGUCAAACCCGCACACGGUGGGGAUAGACAGAUCUAAAAAUUUGGUUUGAUCGAUUUUAAUAUAUGGAACGUCAAAAUCAGAGUUCGUAUGCGAAAAUUAUGGCUGUUUUACGAACGGACACCGAAUUAGAAGACAAAAUAGUCCGGAAGUGGGAAAAAUUUGCGGCGGUGGCUAGAAAUUGAUGGAAACGGUGGGAAGAAACACACAAAUUGGACUCUAACAAGACCUAACCCGUAACAAGACCUCGACCAGGACACAAACUCAACACUACGGACUAUGAAAAUGAAAUAUGCAAAGGCUAUGGCACGGAUGGGUUGUAGGACAUGAAAAGAAUAUGGCCCCAAACUUGUGGGACGAACACAAGGACACUCGAAACUAAGGGUAGAUGUGAACCUAACGGUAUGUCUGAAGCUUUGAUUACCACUUGAGGAGAAUAAGUGUGGCCCGAUCUUCCGAAAGGUUCUGGUAACUAUCGAUUUGGUGGAAACGAUACACAAAUCAAUCCAGCUUGCGAACAACACGGUUCGAAACCCUGCAAUUCUUUUUAUUUUUUUGAUAUUUUUCUUUUACUUAGGAGCACUCAAGAAGUAACCACAAGAAAUUUGAGCUUAAACAAGUGAAAGACGUGGCCUGUGGAAUUUUUUGAAGAUUGCGAAAAAUAUAAAAAAAACUUUAGGAGGUGAAAACUCGAACUUCAGGGGCGAAUUUCGGGAUUCUAAAAUUAUCGAACCCGCCUCUAGCAGAGAUAGACAGAUCCAAAAAUUUGUUCUGAUCGAUUUUGAUGUAUGGAACGUCAAAAUCGGAGUUCGUAUGCGAAAGUUAUGGCUGUUUUACGAACGGACUCCGAAUUAGAGGACAAAACGGUCCGGAAGUGGGAAUAAUUUGCGGUGGUGGCUAGAAAUUGAUGGAAACGGUGGGAAAAACACACAAACUGGACUCUAACAAGACCAAAUUGGUAACAAGACCUCGACCAGGAUACAAACUCAACACUACGGACUCUGAAACUGAAAUAUGCAAAGGCUAUGGCGCGGAUGGGUUGUAGGACAUGAAAACAAUUUGGCACUAGACUUAUGGGACGAACAUAAGGACACUCGAAACUAAGGGUACAUGUGAACCUAACUGUACGUCUGAAGCUUUGAUUACCACUUGAGGAGAACAAGGCCCGAUCUUCCGAAAGGUUCUGGUAACUAUCGAUUUGGUGGAAACGAGACACAAAUCAUUCCAGUUUGCGAACAACACGAUUUGAAACCCUGCAAUUCUUUUUAUAUUUUUUGAUAUUUUUCUUUUACUUAGGAGCACUCAAGAAGUAACCACAGGAAAUUUGAGCUUAAACAAGUGAUGGACGUGGCCUGUGGAAUUUUUUGAAGAUUGCGAAAAAUAUGAAAAUAAAGUUUAGGAGGUGAAAACUCAAAAUUUCAGAGGCGAGUUUGGGAAUUGUAAAUUUGUUGCACUGCCUAUGGUGGGGGUAGACAGAUCCAAAAAUUUUUUCUGAUCGAUUUUGAUAUAUGGAACGUCAAAAUCGGAGUUCGUAGGCGAAAGUUAUGGCUGUUUUACGAUCAGACUACGAAUUAGAGGACAAAACGGUCCGGAAGUAGGAAAAAUUUGCGGUGGUGGCGAGAAAUUGAUGGAAACAGUGAGAAAAAACACACAAACUGGACUCAAACAAGACCUAACUAGUAACAAGCCCUCGGCCAGGACACAAACUCAAAACUACGGAUUCUGAAACUGAAAUAUGCCAAGGCUAUGGCGCGAAUGGGUUGUAGGACAUGAAAACAAUAUGGCACUAGACUUAUCAGACGAACACAAGGACACUCGAAAAUAAGGGUAGAUGUGAACCUAACGGUAUGUCUGAUGCUUUGAUUACCAAUUGAGGAGAACAAGUGUGGCCCGAUAUUCCGAAAGGUUCUGGUAACUAUCGAUUUGGUGGAAACGAGACACAAAUCAAUCCAGCUUGCGAACAACACGAUUCGAAACCCUACAAUUCUUUUUAUUUUUUUUGAUAUUUUUCUUUUACUUAGGAGCACUCAAGAAGUAACCACAGGAAAUUUGAGCUUAAACAAGUGAAAGACCUGACCUGUGGAAAGUUUUGAAAAUUGCUAAAAAUAUGAAAAAAAGUUUUGGAGGUGAAAACUCAAACUUUAGAGGCGAAUUUGGGGAUUCUAAAAUUGUCAAACCCGCACACGGUGGGGAUAGACAGAUCAGAAAAUUUGGUUUGAUCGAUUUUAAUAUAUGGAACGUCAAAAUCGGAGCUCGUAUGCGAAAAUUAUGGCUGUUUUACGAACGGACACCGAAUUAGAAGACAAAACGGUCCGGAUGUGGGAAAAACUUGCGGCGGUGGCUAGAAAUUGAUGGAAACGGUGGGAAGAAACACACAAAUUGGACUCUAACAAGACCUAACCAGUAACAAGACCUCGACCAGGACACAAACUCAACACUACGGACUCAGAAACUGAAAUAUGCAAAGGCUAUGGCGCGGAUGGGUUGUAGGAUAUGAAAACAAUAUGGCACUAGACUUGUGAGACGAACACAAGGACACUCGAAACUAAGUGUAGAUGUGAACCUAACGGUAUGUCUGAUGCUUUGGUUACCACUUGAGGAGAACAAGUGUGGCCCGAUCUUCCGAAAGGUUCUAGUAACUAUCGAUUUGGUGGAAACGAGACACAAAUCAAUCCAGCUUGCGAACAACACGAUUCGAAACCCUACAAUUAUUUUUAUUUUUUUUUGAUAUUUUUCUUUUACUUAGGAAACUCAUGAAGUAACCACACGAAAUUUGAGCUUAAACAAGUGAAAGACGUGGCCUGUAGAAUUUUUUGAAGAUUGCAAAAAAUAUAAAAAAACUUUAGGAGGUGAAAACUCAAAUUUCAGGGGCAAAUUUGGGGAUUCUAAAUUAUCGAACCCGCCUCUAGCGGAGAUAUAUAGAUCCAAAAAUUUGUUCCGAUCGAUUUUGAUAUAUGGAACGUCAAAAUCGGAGUUCGUAUGCGAAAGUUAUGGCUGUUUUACGAACGGACUCCGAAUUAGAGGACAAAACGGUCCGGAAGUGGGAAAAAUUUGCGGUGGUGGCUAGAAAUUGAUGGAAAUGGUGGGAAAAAACACACAAACUGGACUCUAACAAGACCAAAUCAGUAACAAGACCUCAACCAGGACAGAAACUUAACACUACGGACUCUGAAACUGAAAUAUGCAAAGUUUAUGGCGUGGAUGGGUUGUAGGACAUGAAAACAAUUUGGCACUAGACUUAUGGGACGAACACAAGGACACUCGAAACUGAGGGUAGAUGUGAACCUAAUGGUACGUCUAAAGCUUUGAUUACCACUUGAGGAGAACAAGGCCCGAUCUUGUGAAAGGUUCUGGUAACUAUCGAUUUGGUGGAAACGAGACGCAAAUCAAUCCAGUUUGCGAACAACACGAUUCGAAACACUGCAAUUCUUUUUAUUUUUUAUGAUAUUUUUCUUUUACUUAGGAGCACUCAAGAAGUAACCACAGGAAAUUUGAACUUAAACAAGUGAAGGACGUGGCCUGUGGAAUUUUUUGAAGAUUGCGAAAAAUAUGAAAAUAAAGUUUAGGAGGUGAAAACUCAAAUUUUCAGAGGCAAGUUUGGGAAUUCUAAAUUUGUCGCACCCGCCUAUGGCAGGGAUAGACAAAUCCAAAAAUUUUUUCUGAUUGAUUUUGAUAUUUGGAACGUCAAAAUCGGAGUUCGUAUGCGAAAGUUAUGGCUGUUUUACGAACGGACUCCGAAUUAGAGGACAAAACAGUGCGGAAGUGAGAAAAAUUUGAGGCGGUGGCUAUAAAUUGAUGGAAACGGUGGGAAGAAACACACAAAUUGGACUCUAACAACAAAUAACCAGUAACAACACCUCGACCAGGGCACAAACUCAACACUACGGACUCUGAAAACUGAAAUAUGCAAAGGCUAUGGCGCGGAUGGGUUGUAGGACAUGAAAACAAUAUAGCACCGGACUUAUGGGACGAACACAAGGGCACUCGAAACUAAGGGUAGAUGUGAACCUAACGGUAUGUCUGAAGCUUUGAUUACCACUUGAGGAGAAUAAGUGUGGCCCGAUCUUCCGAAAGGUUCUGGUAACUAUCAAUUUGGUGGAAACGAGACACAAAUCAAUCCAGCUUGCGAACAACACGGUUCGAAAACUUGCAAUUAUUUUUAUUUUUUUUGAUAUUUUUCUUUUACUUAGGAGAACUCAAGAAGUAACCACACGAAAUUUAAGCUUAAACAAGUGAAAGACGUGGCCUGUGGGAUUUUUUGAAGAUUGCGAAAAAUAUAAAAAAAACUUUAGGAGGUGAAAACUCAAAUUUCAGGGGGGAAUUUGGGGAUUCAAAAAUUAUCGAACCCGCCUCUAGCGGUGAUAGACAGAUCCAAAAAUUUGUUUUGAUCGAUUUUGAUAUAUGGAACGUCAAAAUCAGAGUUCGUAAGGAAAAGUUAUGGCUGUUUUACGAACGGACUCCGAAUUAGAGGACAAAACGGUCCGGAAGUGGGAAAAAUUUGCGGUGGUGGCUAGAAAUUGAUGGAAACGGUAGGAAAAAACACACAAACUGGACUCUAACAAGACCAAAUCAGUAACAAGACCUCAACCAGGACACAAACUCAACACUACGGACUCUGAAACUGAAAUAUGCAAAGGCUAUGGCGCGGAUGGGUUGUAGGACAUGAAAACAAUAUGGCACUAGACUUAUGAGACGAACACAAGGACACUCGAAACUAAGGGUAGAUGUGAACCUAACGAUAUGUCUGAUGAAUUGAUUACCACUUGAGGAGAUGCCCCUGCUUCACCAACUCCGAAGCCCUAGAUCAUCUUCCUUGUGACGAGAUGGCCAUCAACUUCACCGUUCCUGAGGUCAGUUCUUCAUCCCACCUUUUGUGCCUUUUCUCGCAUCCCUGUUCAUCCGCAAUUCAUUUUACUAAACAUUUUCCUUUUUUCUUUUUGUUCUUGUUCUUCCUUAUAUACCCAAAACCAUUAGGAUUUGUCCAACAAAAUUGUCAUCACCACCGAUCAACCACACCUCCAAUGCCCUGGCCUGUUAGGGAAUCCAGAUCCAACCGACCUCAUUAACGCAGAAACCAACAGGAUCCCUUUUAGAGCCGAAAACUUUUCUUUGGAUCUAUGGAAGGAUACUUUCCGUUCUUGGCCCAGUCCUACCGUGGGAUGGACGGAUUGGUUCUUGAGGGUCAGCCACUCAAAUGAAGUCCAGUGGGGGGAGAGAAAACUAGACCAAUGCAUCAGGCUGUCUAUUGCCGAUAUGCAUAGAAAUGAGUCAUUGCUGGUAGCUGCAUCAUACUUCUGGUCAGACAUGCUCAACGCCUUUGUCUUUGGCCAUGGCCCUACUUCCCCUACUCUUGCCGAUGUAGCUCUGCACACUGGCCUAGAUGUAUCUUCUGCCGAUAGCACCCAUUUUUUCGACACCAAGCCCAGUGCCAAGGUAGAAACUCGUUCCAUCGGCGGUUGGUCAGGGUAUAUUCAGAAAUAUAAACGAACUGGCCCUGUAAACAUAAAGGAGCAGACCAACUUUCUGAACAUGUGGCGGGACAAAUUCGUGUUUUGCGGCCGAUCGGCAGGACCAUCCUCCGUCUAUUUAGCAGCAGCAGAAAACUUAGCUAAUGGUGGCCGAUUUCCCCUCGGCCGAUACCUGCUUGGUGCAGCCUACCACCUCCUUCACCAAGUGACUAGGAAACUCUUACUCGGCCGAUACCCUAAACCCUAAACCCUAAACCUUGUAUGAAGGCUUGACCAAAGAGGAACGAGCAUGGUUGGCUUAUGACGAUCCAGACACCAUGUUUCCUCUAGUUUUCAACCCGUUCAAUGAUGCUCUUGACACGGAUCACGAAGUGAAGAUGGCACUGGUCACUCCCAGAGCUAUACCAGUGAAUUUCUUUGGUAGUGGGAAAACCUCCAUCCAGACCUAUGAGUUUUAUAACACAUCGGCAUUAGCUCGUCAAUUAGCUUUCGGCCAGCUGCCGAUUGCACUCUGUUAUGCCGAUGUGAUAAAACCCAGGGAAGCCAUCACUAGCCUUCAUGAAUGGAUUCGAGUGGCCCAACUGCCAUCAAGUGCCAAUACAGAUGUAGACCUGUCAGAGUGGGUUCCAGCCGCCUUCAUCACUCAGGCAUACAAGCAAUGGUGGGCAGAAUGGAAGGAACAUCUGUUCUGCAGAUCGGAUCUCACGUAUCGCGGAAUGAUCGACCCCGAGUACAAGGUUCCCGAUGACACUGUAAGUAUCUUUGAACCGAUGUUUCAAUUUUCUCAUUUUUACUUUCAUCGGUGAUUUACCUUUGCAUCAUCUUGCAGGUUGACAACACCCCUCCAUCGGUCAGCAGGAGUGGCAAGCCGAUUGACCUGUUUCCAUCAGGCCCAAUCUCCUUAAUCGGCAACAACGCUCCUACCCUGGCCGCCAUCAUGCAUCGAGGUGUACGCCUCAAGAAGGUCAUCACUAGGAGGACUCAGAUAUCUCCAUCGGUAGCUGCUUCCACCUUGGCACAGGCAUUCAAGGUAAUUGUUAAACCUUUUCAUUCAUACCGAUUCUUAUCACUGGGCGUGCCAAAAGAUGUGUUGGUGCAAAAGCUGAUCUGCAAACACAAAGGGCUAAUACCCGAUUUAAACGUUAAGGCGUGCCAACCGAUUUGACCUUACUAUCGGCAAAGGUAGUAACUCGAAUACUUUGGUCCCGACAACAGCGAUGCGCUCGGAUGUCACGGCCAAGAGGUAUUCACGCGGAACUUGAGAAUACGCCGAGCUUAAGUCGACGAAUUCCUAAGAACUCGUAACGAAAAGGAAAAAGUAUGACGAAGUCGUCGAAAAAGUAGAUGAAUGGAAUAUGAGUAAAAAUGUGUGUUUGAUUGAUUGAUUGAUAUCUUCAUUACAAGGAGACACGACUAGAAUUCGAAUUCAAAUUUAAACAGAAUCCGUGUACAAAACGAUCUAAAUAACUAAGGAAAACAUAAAACCAUCCUCACGUGACAAACCAGAACAUCCCCACCAGCCGAUCGGCAAUUUCCAGGUUCUCCCUCUGUAUCACCGGCAGACUCCUUUGUCAUAGCCAUCGGCACAAACACAUCAUCACCUAUGGACUUGGUCACGUUCAACCAUCCUUCCAUCGGCAACCAUCUUCAUCGGCAACUCACCCUGUAGAUCAAGCACCACCGUCCUAUUUUGACGAUUUACACUUUACCGAUCAUGGACACGUGCCCAAAAACGGUGUCAACACAUGCCCCCCAAUUUCGGAGUAUGAGAUCAUUAAUGCUCCGAAAUUCUCUGCAGUAAUGAUGCCUUUUCCGCAAUUAGUGCUCCCAAUCUGGUAACCGACAUCCUUAAUCUGAACAACUCUGAUCCUAUUCCUCUGCAGGUUCCUCGAAAUCCUCAACUUCCCCAAACGGACAUUUCCACUUUAGUCGCACAUCGGCAAUAUUACCGUUACAGGGACUUGCCGAUGGACGUCCAUAUCUUAUCCUUUCAAACGGCUAUCUCCACGUUACUCGCCCAUCGGCAAUAUGACCGUUACAAGGCGCUGCCGAUGGACCGACUAGGAGAUCUCGCACAGUGAAAUAUCUAUGGAUAAUGACCGCUUCCUGUCAAAUCGGCUGCACAAUCCCUUGAUUACCGUGCGAACAGUUACCAUAUCUACCUGAGUACCCUCAGAUUUCACGGAUACGGCGAAGAGAUAAGUCAGAUUUGCCCUUGCCCGUUUUGUCCUAUAAAUAGUUCCUUCUCGGGUACUCCUUCUCCAUCACAUCAUUCCACGGUUCCAACUCCACUCUCCCGGCGACGGCGCUGUCCAAGAGCUCAAAGAUCUCCAACGAAGCCCCUGCUUCACCAACUCCGAAGCCCUAGAUCAUCUUCCUCGUGACGAGAUGGCCAUCAACUUCACCGUUCCUGAGAUCAGUUCUUCAUCCCAACUUUUGUGCCUUUUCUCGCAUCCCUGUUCAUCCGCAAUUCAUUUUACUGAACAUUUUCCUUUUUUCUUUUUUGUUCUUGUUCUUCCUUAUAUACCCAGAACCAUUAGGAUUUGUCCAACAAAAUUAUCAUCCCCACCAAUCAACCACACCUCCAAUGCCUUGGCUCGUUAGGGAAUCCAGAUCCAACCGACCUCAUUAACGCAGAAACCACCAGGAUCCCUUUUAGAGUCGAAAACUUUUCUUUGGAUCUAUGGAAGGAUACUUUCCGUUCUUGGCCCAGUCCUACCGUGGGAUGGACGGAUUGGUUCUUGAGGGUCAGCCACUCAAAUGAAGUCCAGUGGGGGGAGAGAAAACUAGACCAAUGCAUCAGGCUGUCUAUUGCCGAUAUGCAUAGAAAUGAGUCAUUGCUGAUAGCUGCAUCAUACUUCUGGUCAGACACGCUCAACACCUUUGUCUUUGGCCACGGCCCUACUUCCCCUACUCUUGCCGAUGGAGCUAUGCUCACUGGCCUAGAUGUAUCUUCUGCCGAUAGCACCCAUUUUUUCGACACCAAGCCCAGUGCCAAGGUAGAAACUCGUUCCAUCGGCAGUUGGUCAGGGUAUAUUCAGAAAUAUAAAUGAACUGGCCCUGUUAACAUAAAGGCGCAGACCAGUUUUCUGAACAUGUGGCUGGACAAAUUCGUGUUUUGCGGCCGAUCGGUAGGACCAACCUCCGUCUAUUUAGCAGCAGCAGAAAACUUAGCUAAUGGUGGCCGAUUUCCCCUCGGCCGAUACCUGCUUGGUGCAGCCUACCACCUCCUUCACCAAGUGACUAGGAAACUCUUACUCGGCCAGUCUAUCGGCAACUUGGGAUGUCCUUGGUUGUUCAUCAACAUGUGGCUCAGUCUCCACAUGCACAAGCGUCUUGAGUUUGACCUUUUUGCACAGCGUUUCCCAAGGGACAUAGCCGAGAACUAUGAUCUGGAUGAAGAAGAAUCGACAACACGCCCUCCCCUAAACUUCGGUGAGGCUGUCAUAGUUUUACCUGGUACAGGGGGUAAUGCAGACCAGGUCAGCCGAUUCUUCCAAACCUUGUAUGAAGGCUUGACCAGAGAGGAGCGAGCAUGGUUGGCUUAUGACGAUCCAGACACCAUGUUUCCUCUAGUUUUCAACCCAUUCAAUGAUGCUCUUGACACGGAUCACGAAGUGAAGAUGGCACCGGUCACUCCCAGAGCUAUACCAGUGAAUUUCUUUGGAAGUGGGAAAACCUCCAUCCAGACCUAUGAGUUUUAUAACCCAUCGGCAUUAGCUCGUCAAUUAGCUUUUGGCCAGCUGCCGAUUGCACUUUGUUAUGCCGAUGUGAUAAAACCUAGGGAAGCCAUCACUAGCCUUCUUGAAUGGAUUCGAGUGGCCCAACUGCCAUCAAGUGCCGAUACAGAUGUAGACCUGUCAGAGUGGGUUCCAGCCAUCUUGAUCACUCAGGCAUACAAGCAAUGGUGGGCAGAAUGGAAGGAACAUCUGUUCUGCAGAUCGGCUCUCACGUAUCGCGGCAUGAUCGACCCCGAGUACAAGGUUCCCGAUGACACUGUAAGUAUCUUUGAACUGAUGUUUCAAUUUUGUCAUUUUUACUUUCAUCGUUGAUUUACCUUUGCGUCAUCUUGCAGGUUGACAACACCCCUCCAUUGGUCAGCAGGAGUGGCAAGCCGAUUGACCUGUUUCCAUCAGGCCCAAUCUCCUCAAUCGGCAACAAUGCUCCUACCCUGGCCGCCAUCAUGCAUCGAGGUGUACGCCUCAAGAAGGUCACCACUAGGAGGACUCAGAUAUCUCCAUCGGUAGCUGCUUCCACCUUGGCACAGGUGUUCAAGGUAAUUGUUAAACCUUUUCAUUCAUACUGAUUCUUAUUUUACAUCUGCCACACUUGUACUCAUAAAUCUUUUCCAUAUCAUCAGACCGGCGCAUCGGCAAAGACCAGAAGCAAAGGUGCCGAUGCCCCUCAGUCUAGCCAGCAGAAGAGAAGAGGUGCCAAGAGUACAAGGGCACAAGCAAAGCGCCAAAACGUAGCAAUGCCUUCUCCUCCCCCGGUAUCUCCAAUCCCGGUAGAAUCUUCUCCUUCUCCUCCAGAAGCCCAGAUGCAACAAGUGCCAUCUCCACCUCCAAUGCAAGAAGCACCACAAGUGGGAGAACCCCAACCAGAAGAGCCUCAACCAGAAGUACCUCAACCAGAAGACACAUCGGCUGAUGUGCAUGAACAAACUACCGAUCCAGCAGGUUCCAUUAUAGCACUGGUGGUCUCUUCCGUCCAGACAAGCACUGCUCUUCCCCAAGGUAACACAUUUUUAUAAUAUUACUGCCAAUGAACUUAUUCUUUUUUGGCCUUAUAACCCCUUCUGUUAAUUUUCAGCUGACGUAGUUCCAUCGGCAACUCUGGCCGAUCAACCCGUGGCUCCAUCGGCAUCUUCCAGUCAAAGGCGAGAGAUUGCCUUGAAGCAAGUAAGCCAUCCAAUCUCCAUCAGUAAUAUUUGCCGAUGCUCUGACCAUAGAAUGACUCACUUCGUUUUCCUUUUCAGGAACAGGAUUCUCCCGAUAGCCUAUUCUCCUUUCCAUUGAUAUCUCCGAAGAUGAAGGUGAGGAAGCAAGUUCCUCCCGGGCAGUUGGGAUCGCAUCGGCAGAGAUCAGGGCAAAGCUCGAAGAACUGUCGGCUCUCCUCCAUCAAGACACGGCUCAAUUGGUCGAUGACUCUGACCCGACCAAGGCUCUGUUCAAGGCUCUCAGAGGCUAGAUUCCUGCUGAUGUUGAUGAAAUCCUCUUCCAGGCCGCACAUCUGGAGAGCCAUCAGCUGCAGUACCAGAAAGCUGCCCAGCGCCUUGCCGAUAGAGCGGCUCAUGCCCAACUCUCCAAGGAGACGAUGAAGGUGAAACUCCUUGCCGAUGAGAAGCACAAGAACAUCGGCAUUUUACAGUCCUCGGGAGAUGUAUUGAAGCAGAAGAUUUCCGAUCUAUCGGCGAGAAGAGAAGCCCUGCUGGCAGAACUCAAGCAAGUAGAGGAUGCUCUGUCCCAAGCCCGACAAGAAGAAAGCCAACUGCCAGAGACAAUUAAGCUUCUCGAGCAAGAACGAAACACCCAUGGCCGCAAGGCGCUGCAGAUGAAAAAGAAGCUGAAGCUAGUGGAAGGCUCUGCCGAUGACGACGUGAAGGAGAUAGAGGAAGCCAACCAGAUUUGACUGCGCGCCAUAUCGGCGAUCCAGGCGCUGUUGAGCACAUGAACCCUUCAUUGGCAACACAUCCUUGCCCCUCUGCACUUUCCAGCUCUCUUGUUGUUUAGUCUAGCCAAUACGACUGUUAUCGGCAUCUUUUGAAACAUUAAGUCCGGCCCCAGAUACACUUCAAUCUAGCCGAUAGGAGUGUUAUCGGCAUUUAAACCUUUUAUGCAUCGACCCAUAUACUUCGGUAGUACUUUUUCAGAUAUUUGCCAUUUAAUGCUCUGGAAAAUUCAACUCCUUCGAGAGUUUCUAGAAUAUAGGCAUUACCAGGAGCCGACCGACUUAUCCGAUAGGGACCCUCCCAAUUGGGAGACCACUUCCCAAAUUUUGAACUUUUAGUCCCGAUCGGCAAGACCAACUUCCAUACCAAGUCAUCAUCGGCAAAUUCCUUAGCCUUUACUUUCUUAUCAUACCAUCUAGCAACUCUCUUCUUAUUUUCUUCUAUACUCAUUAAAGCCUUUAACCGAUGUCCUGCUAGAUCAGGUCAUCAAAGUAGCAUAAUCAUCGGCAGCCAAUUAAUCCUGAAAAGAUAGUCGCCUAGAUCCAGCCUUAAUUUCCCAAGGCAACACUGCAUCAUGUCCAUACACCAACUGAUAAGGUGAAACCUUGGUUGAUCCAUGACAAGCCAUUCGAUAGGACCAUAAAGCUUCAUUUAACAAUGUGUGCCACCGCUUAGGAUUUUCUUCAAUUUUUAGUUUGAUAAGCUUGAUAAUUCCCUUGUUAGAUGCCUCGGCUUGCCCAUUAGCUUGAGCAUAAUAAGGAGAAGAGUUUAACACCUUAAUUCCCAUACCGAUUGUGAAUUCAUCAAAUUCCCCUGAUGUGAACAUAGUACCUUGGUCGGUAGUAAUUGUCUGAGGAAUCCCAAAUCGGUAAAUAAUGUGCUCCUUCACAAAAUCAAUCAUAUUGGCUGAGGUAACUUUCUUCAAAGGAAUAGCCUCAACCCAUUUGGUGAAAUAAUAGGUGGCAACCAUGAUAAACUUAUGCCCUUUGCGAGAUGGCGGAUAAAUCUGACCGAUUAAGUCAAUAGCCCAUCCCCGGAACGGCCAAGGUUUGAUAAUAGGAUUCAUGGCCGAUGCGGGUGCUCUUUGAAUAUUACCAAAUUUCUGACAUCCUUGACAUCCCUUGAAAUAUUUAAAGCAAUCUUCAUGUAUGGUCGGCCAAUAAUACCCGUUCCUCCUAAUCAUCCACUUCAUCUUAAAAGCCGACUGAUGUGCUCCACAUACUCCUUCAUGGAUUUCUCCCAUCAAACUCUUAGCUUCAUCAUCACCCAAGCAUCGGAGAAGAAUCCCAUCAAUAGUUCGAUAAUAUAAUUCAUCUUCGAGGAGCACAUACUUGGUGGCUUGAAACCGAAUUCGUCUUUCAACUUUCUUAGAUGGAUCUUUCAAAUAAUCAAAGAUUUCUUUUCUCCAAUCAUCGGCACCAAUUGCCGAUAUUGCAUUAAUCAUAGGCUGAUAUCCCGAGGCAUGCUGAGCCAACCGAUUGGCCUCUUCAUUAUGCAAUCGAGGAACAUACUCUAAUUGGAAAUCCUUGAAUUCCUUCAACAAUUGCAUACUCCGCUCGUAAUAAGUUAUGAGAACUUCACUUUGGCAUUCAUAGCUUCCAGUCAAUUGAUUUAUAACCAGCAUAGAAUCUCCGAAGACCUCGACAGCAUUAGCAUGAACUUCCCUUAACAAUUCCAAUCCCUUUAUUAAAGCUUGAUACUCAGCCUGAUUAUUCGUCGACGUGGCAACAAUCGGCAAGGAAAACUCAUACUUCCUUCCCUGAGGUGAAAUUAAUACUAUACCGAUUCCUGCCCCCCGGUCACAUGUAGAUCCAUCAAAGAAAAGUGUCCAAGGUAUAAUUUCCAAAGCCUCCACUGCACCGCGAUGUUGAGUUACAAAAUCGGCCAUAACCUGCCCUUUAACUGCCUUAGCCGAUUCAUAACGCAGAUCGAACUCCGACAGCGCCAAAAUCCAUUUACCGAUCCUGCCACUCAUAAUCGGCAUGGAUAGCAUGUACCGGACUACAUCAUCCUUGCAAAUAACAGUGCAUUCGGCCGAUAACAAGUAAUGCCUUAACUUGACACAAGAGAAAUAUAAGCACAAGCAUAGUUUCUUAAUAGCCGAAUACCUGGUCUCAGCAUCAAUCAACCUUUUGCUUAAGUAAUAAAUUACACGCUCCUUCCCCUCAAACUCUUGAAUUAAAGCCGAACCGAUGACCAUCCCAUCGGUAGACAAAUACAAUCUGAAGGGCUUCCCUUGCUGAGGUGGAAUCAGAACUGGAGGAUUCACUAAAUAAUUCUUGAUUUCAUCCAGAGCCAACUGCUGUUCCUUCCCCCAAACAAACUCUUGAUCAGCCUUUAACUUAAGAAGAGGACUGAAAGCACGAAUCUUACCAGACAAAUUAAAUAUAAACCUUAUGAUAAAAUUUACCUUGCCGAUCAAGGACUGGAGCUCGGUCUUGUUGGUUGGGGCCACUAUUUUAUUGAUGGCGUCAAUAGAUCUUCGACUGAUUUCAAUCCCCCUUUGGUGUACAAUGAAACCAAGAAAUUGUCCUGCCGAUACACCAAAUGCACACUUAUUGGGGUUCAUUUUCAAACCAUGGUUCCUUGUGCACUCCAACACCUUUCGUAAAUCAGCAAGAUGCUUUGUGAAGUCUCCAGACUUAACCACCACAUCAUCAAUAUAAAUCUCCACCAGCUUGCCGAUGAACUCAUGAAAUAUAAAAUUCAUGGCCCUUUGAUAAGUAGCACCAGCAUUCUUUAAGCCAAAGGUCAUGACUAUCCAUUCAAACAAUCCAACGUGACCAGGGCAUCUGAACGCGGUCUUUGGAAUAUCCUCUUCAGCCAUGAAUAUUUGAUUGUAUCCUGUAUUGUCAUCCAUAAAGCUAAUAAUCCGAUGCCCAGCCGCAGCGUCAACUAGCAGAUUGGCAACUGGCAUUGGGUAUCCAUCCAUCGGUGUAGCUAUGUUAAGAUUCCUGAAAUCAAUGCAGACCCGAAGCUUCCCGUUCUUCUUGUAGACCGGAACAACAUUGGAAAUCUACUCGGCAUACCGACAUUGCCGAAUAAACUUGGCUUCAAUAAGUUUGGUUAUUUCAGCCUUAAUAUCAGGGAGAAUAUUAGGAUUACAUCGGCGAGCCGGUUGCUGAUGUGGCCGAAAUCCAGACUUGAUAGGUAACCGAUGUUCAAUAAUUGAUCGGUCCAAACUAGGCAUCUCAGUAUAAUCCCAAGCAAAGCAAUCUUUAAAUUCCUUUAACAAAUCGGUUAACUGUUCCUUACACUCAGAAUCUAAUUUAGCACUAAUAAAAGUGGGUCUAGGCUUAUCACCACUACCUAUAUCUACUUCUACUAGAUCAUCGGCCCAUGUGAAUCCCUGGCCUAACUUUCCAUCAUCGGCGAACCUAUCCAUUAAAAACCUUCAUCAGAACUGACUGCUUGGAUCGGUGGAAUGUCGUAAUCGGCAACCUUGAGAAAAUCCUUUUCCCAAAUUUCUCCUGAAAUACACCUAGUCCUUUCGUAGGUGUCUGCCUCUGCCGAUGCGAUGGCAUAAGAAGAAUCUCCUGGGACAAUUUCAAUCUUGUCACCUACCCACUGGACCAAGCAUUGGUGCAUUGUAGACGGGAUGCAACAAUUAGCAUGAAUCCAAUCUCUUCCUAACACUAAGUUGUAAGCACCCUUUCCACUGAUCACGAAGAAGGUUGUCGGCAAGGUCUUACUGCCGAUGGUCAACUCUACGCAUAUUGCUCCCUUGACCGGAGACACAUUUCCUUCAAAAUCCUUAAGCAUCAUAUCAGUCUUGGUUAAAUCCUGAUCCCCUUUUCCAAGCUUCCGAUACACUGCAUAUGGCAUGAUAUUAAUGGCGGCUCCACCAUCAAUUAGAAUCUUGGUCAUCGGCUGACCAUCCACUUUUCCUUUAACAAACAGGGCCUUGUGGUGCUGCCUUUCAUCAUCGGCGGGCUUCUCGAAGAUAGCCGUCAUCGGAUCUAGAGCCAACUGAGCUAUUUGGUCGGAAAACUCCACCUCAUCAUCACUGGAUGGUGCAAGGAACUCCAUCGGCAACAUAAAUACCAUGUUGACAUCUGCCGAUGGACCUUUCCCCUUAGGAUCUGAUUGUUGCUGAUCCCUAGACUGUCUGGAGUUUUCCCCCUUGCUCAACUCUUCACGCCUUUCGCGCUGCAGUCUUCUCUUCUGAGUCCUGGUCAACCCCUCCGGACACCAUGGAGGAAGCUGCUGUUGCCUUACCGAUGGGCGGCGAUUUUCUCCUGACUCAAUUCGGUAAGUAUUGGCAUCUCGGCAGAAGAUGAACUCAUCGGGAACCCGUGCAUUAGCCAUCUCUUCGAGUUCUUCCUGGUUCCUGGGAAAAUAUUGAACACGAUCACCAAGCCUGUCAUGCACGCUGAGCCUGCCCCCCAACCGAUCGUGAACGGACGCUCUUCCUCUAAUCGGCCCAUUAGACCGCCGAUUGUCGUCGUGGUAGCGCCGAUCGGAUCUAUCAUACUGAUCAUAACCGUUGCACUCAGGGCAAUCUAUGACAGUGGGAAGCUUGACAUUCUCCUCCCAAAAAUAAAUGAAGAACGGGCAAUUCCAGUGAUCCCUAUGUCGAUUCCAUUCUUGUCGGCGUCUUUCCUCUUCUAGAUGAUAAUCCUCUUGCUAGCGCCGGUACCGAUCUUCUCGUUGUUGCCAAGUCUCCCGAGGCCUCCUGUGAGUUAUCACAAUACCAGAUCGGGGAGGCCUUCCUGAGUUAGCUCCCUCCUGGAUCAAGCCUUUUCCUUUGGCAUCGGCAGUAGUGACCUGAUGCUGAGGAUCCACCGAUGCACUUCUUUCAGCUGCUUCCGACGUCAAGACCUUGGCCUUUCCCUUAGCAUCCAACAUGUUCGUUGGGAAACGAUGUUGAUCAAUCUUCAUCGGCUUUUGGGUCUUGGAAGUGUCGAAUUUGAUUCUUCCAGACUCUAUAGCCAAUUGCAGCUGCUGUCUGAAAACCUUGCACUCAUUAGUGUCGUGAGAAGUUGCAUUGUGCCACUUGCAAUACUUCAUCCUUUUUAAUUCUUCAGCCGAUGGGAUCACAUGAUUAGGUGACAGCUUGAUCUGACCUUCCUGAAGUAGAAAGUCUAAUAUCCUAUCGGCCUUAGUGGUGUCAAACGCGAACUUCUCUGGUUCUUUAUGUCCAAAAGGACAAGACAUCGGCUUUUUAUUUUUCACCCAUUCUGCCAAGCCGAUGACUGGUUCUUCAUCAGAGUCCGAGCUUACCGCUUCAUCCACAAAUGAUACCUUUUUAUUCCAUGCUCUCUUGGGUUCAAACGGCUUGAUAUCUUGAUCAGAGAUUCUCUGCACCAGAUGACUUAAGCUUUCAAACUCUUGAGAUGCAUAUUUGUCCCUUAUGUGUGGCAACAAACCCUAGAAAGCCAAAUCAGCUAGCUGCCGAUCAUCCAGAACCGGGCUAUAGCAUUUGUUCUUAACCUCCCGUAUCCUCUGCACAAAACUCUCAACCGAUUCAUCAUUGCGUUGCCUUAAUUUGACCAAAUCGGUGAUUUUCUUUUCAUGGACCCCCGAAAAGAAAUAUUUGUGGAAUUGUUUCUCCAAAUCGGCCCAAGUAAUCACUGAGUUGGGAGGCAAUGAUAUAAACCACGUGAAAGCCGAUCUAGACAACGAUGACGAGAAUAAGCGAACCCUUAACUCGUCCCUGUUACCAGCUUCCCCGCAUUGAAUGAUGAACCUGUUGACGUGCUCCAUGGUUGACGUGUCAUCCUGCCCAGAAAACUUAGUAAAAUCCAGUACCUUGUACCGAUUCGGAGGCAGGAUCAAAUCGUAUGCGGGAGGAUACGGUGUCCGAUAAGAGUAAGUGUUGACUUUGGGUUUUAUCCCAAAUUGGUCCCUCAUUACUUCAGCAAUCUUAUCAGCCCAAUAAGCAUCGGCAUCUUGCUGAUGAGGUGGUUGUGGAUCUGGCACCUACUGGUAAGCUUCCACGUGUCUGUGCGGCACACGAUCUGCAUGAAAUAUUGGAUUAAUCAUUUGGCCCUCAAUCUGCGGACUACCAAGCUGUUGCCCGCCAAUCUGCUACCCGAGAUUCAUUGGCUGGUUAGGGAUCCCCUGAUUCUGGAACCCGGGAUAGAUCUGUCCUUGCUAGAACCUGGUAGCUUGAUGACUCUGUUGGGGCGUUUGCGGAAAGACUUGCUGCCCAAGCCAUCCAGUAUUGGCAUUCAUCGGCAUAGGUCCUGCCGAUGACUGAUAAUUGGGCAUUAUCAUUGAAUUGACAUACCCUGGUUGAGUCAAAGACCUCUGUUGCAUCAGCAUUGAGUCUGCCGAUGCGUUAGGCAUCUGGAACGUUAGAGCUUGAGAAUUCCCAGUGUAAGGUCUUGGAGUAGUAGUCGUAGUAUACUGGGGACUCUGGUUCAUCGACAUACUUGGAGGUGCCGAUGCCAUAGGAGCCUUGCCUCUCAUAUCAGUUGCCUGAGAUGUGCCAGGUGUCUUCAUGUUUUCCGGGGGCAUACCAUAACCCCACCAGUUGGGAGGAGGGACCAGUGCUGACAUUGCCGACGCCAAUAAAUCUGUAGUGAGCCUAAUCUGCUCAUCUGAAGUCGGCGGAUUGGUUGUCAUCGGCGUAGAUUGUGCAUUGGUGACUCCCAACGUGCUUGGAGGAACGGUAGUCUGUGUUCCCACAGCGGCUGUAGUGGCCGAUGGUGCUGUGACCAUCGGCGACCCUGGCUAGUGAUAAGAGGGGCCCACAUAAUCUGGUGGCAAUUGUCCUUCCUUCAAGGUUCGGGCCACAGCAUUGAAGACCGUAUUAGACAGUACACCAUCUUGGUUGAUCAAAGCACGGUUGAUAGCACUAUCAACCAUCUCCUGAAGUUUACCAGGAUUGGCUUCAAAAGUAACCUGCCGAGGCGUCGGCAAUGCAUCCUUCUGGAUCACUUCGCCGCUCCUGUUCAUACUGAAGGAUCUCAGGCACUGCUGUUUGUAAUCCUCCAUGGCUUUAGCAAUAGCUCGCUUCUGCUCAUCCUUGAGAUUGGCUUCCGUCACGGGGAUGACGUUCUCUUGAUCAAACUCAGAAGUCGACAUGAUGAUCUUGAUCUUGAAUCUGUCCCACUGGGCGUGCCAAAAGAUGUGUUGGUGCAAAAGCUGAUCUGCAAACACAAAGGGCUAAUACCCGAUUUAAACGUUAAGGCGUGCCAGCCGAUUUGACCUUACUAUCGGCAAAGGUAGUAACUCGAAUACUUUGGUCCCGACAACAGGGAUGUACCCGGAUGUCACGGCCAAGAGGUAUUCACGCGGAACUUGAGAAUACGCCGAGCUUAAGUCGACGAAUUCCUAAGAACUCGUAACGAAAAGGAAAAAGUAUGACGAAGUCGUCGAAAAAGUAGAUGCUUGGAAUAUGAGUAAAAACGUGUGUUUGUUUGAUUGAUUGAUAUCUUCAUUACAAGGCCCUAGGGUCUACAUUUAUACCCUGCUCAAAGAGCUACAACCAGACACGACUAGAAUUUGAAUUCCAAAUUUAAACAGAAUCCGUGUACAAAACGAUCUAAAUAACUAAGGAAAACGUAAAACCAUCCUCACGUGACAAACCAGAACAUCCCCACCAGCCGAUCGGCAAAUUCCAGGUUCUCCCUCCGUAUCAUCGGCAGACUCCUUUGUCAUAGCCAUCGGCACAAACACAUCAUCACCUAUGGACUUGGUCACGUUCAACCAUCCUUCCAUCAGCAACCAUCUUCAUCGGCAACUCACCCUGUAGAUCAAGCACCACCGUCCUAUUUUGCCGAUCUACACUUUACCGAUCAUGGACACGUGCCCAAAAACGGUGUCAACAUAACCACAGGAAAUUUGAGCUUAAACAAGUGAAAGACGUGGCCUGUGGAAAUUUUUGAAAAUUGCAAAAAAUAUGAAAAAAACUUUUGGAGGUGAAAACUCAAACUUCAGAGGCGCAUUUGGGGAUUCUAAAAUUGUCAAACCCGGAUACGGUGGGGAUAGACUGAUCCAAAAAUUUGGUUUGAUCGAUUUUGAUAUAUGCAACGUCAAAAUCGGAGUUCGUAUGCGAAAACUAUGGUUGUUUUACGAACGGACUCCGAAUUGGAAGACAAAACAGUCCGGAAGUGGCAAAAAUUUGCGGCGGUGGCUAGAAAUUGAUGGAAACGGUGGGAAAAAAUACACAAACUAGACUCAAACAAGACCUAACCAGUAACAAGACAUCGACCAGGACACAAACUCAACACUACGGACUCUGAAACUGAAAUAUGCAAAGGCUAUGGCGCGGAUGGGUUGUAGGACAUGAAAACAAUAUGGCACUGGACUUAUGGGAGGAACACAAGGACACUCGAAACUAAGGGUAGAUGUGAACCUAACGGUAUGUCUCAUGCUUUGAUUACCACUUGAGGAGAACAAGUGUGGCCCGAUCUUCCGAAAGGUUUAGGUAACUAUCGAUUUGGUGGAAACGAGACACAAAUCAAUCCAGCUUGCGAACAACACGAUUCGAAACACUACAAUUCAUUUUAUUUUUUUUAUAUUUUUCUUUUACUUAGGAGCAAUCAACAAGUAACCACAGGAAAUUUGAGCUUAAACAAGUGAAAGACUUGGCCUGUGGAAAUUUUUGAAAAUGGCGAAAAAUAUGAAAAAAACUUUUGGAGGUGAAAACUCAAACUACAGAUGCGAAUUUGGAGAUUCUAAAAUUUUCAAACCCGCACACUACGGGGAUAGACAGAUCCAAAAAUUUGGUUUGAUCGAUUUUGAUAUAUGGAACGUCAAAAUCGGAGUUCGUAUGCGAAAAUUAUGGCUGUUUUACGAACGGACUCCAAAUUAGAAGACAAAACGGUCCGGAAGUGGGAAAAAUUUGCGGCGGUGGCUAGAAAUUGAUGGAAACGGUGGGAAGAAGCACACAAAUUGGACUCUGACAAGACCUAACCAGUAACAAGACCUCGACUAGGACACAAACUCAACACUACGGACUCUGAAACUCAAAUAUGCAAAGGCUAUGGCACAGAUGGGUUGUAGGACAUGAAAACAAUAUGGCACUAGACUUAUGAGACGAACACAAGGACACUCGAAACUAAGGGUAGAUGUGAACCUAAUGGUAUGUCUCAUGCUUUGAUUACCACUUGAGGAGAACAAGUGUGGCCCGAUCUUGCGAAAGGUUCUGGUAACUAUCGAUUUGGUGGAAUCGAGACACAAAUCAAUCCAGCUUGCGAACCACACGAUUCGAAACCCUACAAUUAUUUUUAUUUUUUUAUAUUUUUCUUUUACUUAGGAGCACUCAAGAAGUAACCACAGGAAAUUUGAGCUUAAACAAGUGAAAGACGUGGCCUGUGGAAAUUUUUGAAAAUUGCGAAAAAUUUGAAAAAAACUUUUGGAGGUGAAAACUCAAACUUUAGAGGCGAAUUUGGGGAUUCUAAAAUUGUCAAACCCGCACACAACCAGGAUAGACUGAUCCAAAAAUUUGGUUUGAUCGAUUUUGAUAUAUGGAACGUCAAAAUCGGAGUUCGUAUGCGAAAAUUAUGGCUGUUUUACGAACGGACUCCGAAUAAGAAGACAAAACGGUCCGCAAGUGGGAAAAAUUUGCGGCGGUGGCUAGAAAUUGAUGAAAACGGUGGGAAAAAACACACAAACUGAACUCAAACAAGACCUAACCAGUAACAAGACCUCGACCAGGACACAAACUCAACACUACGGACAAAGGCUAUGGCGCGGAUGGGUUGUAGGACAUGAAAACAAUAUGGCACUAGACUUAUGGGACGAACACAAAGAUACUCGAAACUAAGGGUAGAUGUGAACCUAACGGUAUGUCUCAUGCUUUGAUUACCACUUGAGAAGAACAAGUGUGUCCCGAUCUUCCGAAAGGUUCCGGUAACUAUCGAUUUGGUGGAAACGAGACACAAAUCAAUCCAGCUUACGAACAACACGGUUUGAAACCCUGCAAUUCUUUUUAUUUUUUUUUGAUAUUUUGCUUUUACUUAGGAGCAUUCAAGAAGUAAGCACAGGAAAUUUGAGCUUAAACAAGUGAAAGACGUGGCUUGUGGAAUUUUUUGAAGAUUGCGAAAAAUAUAAAAAAAUUAGGAGGUGAAAACUCAAACUUCAGAGGCGAAUUUGGGGAUUCUAAAAUUACCGAACCUGCCUUUGGCUGAAAUAUGCAAAGACUAUGGUGCGGAUGGGUUGUAGGACAUGAAAACAAUAUGGCACUAGACUUAUGGGACGAACACAAGGACACUCGAAACUAAGGGUAGAUGUGAACCUAAUGGUAUGUCUCAUGCUUUGAUUACCACUUGAGGAGAACAAGUGUGGCCCGAUCUUCCGAAAGGUUCUGGUAAAUAUCGAUAUGGUGGAAACGAGACACAAAUCAAUCCAGCUUGCAAACAACACGAUUCGAAACCCUACAAUUCUUUUUAUUUUUUUAUAUUUUUCUUUUACUUAGGAGCACUCAAGAAGUAACCACAUGAAAUUUGAGCUUAAACAAGUGAAAGACGUGGCAUGUGGAAAUUUUUGAAAAUUACAAAAAAUAUGAAAAAAACUUUUAGAGGUGAAAACUCAAACUUCAGAGGCAAAUUUGGGGAUUCUAAAAUUGUCAAACCCGCACACGGCGGGGAUAAACUAAUCCAAAAAUUUGGUUUGAUCGAUUUGGAUAUAUGGAAAGAAAUUGAUGAAAACGGUGGGAAAAAACACACAAACUGGACUCAAACAAGACCUAACCAGUAACAAGACCUCGACCAGGACACAAACUCAACACUACGGACAAAGGCUAUGGCGCGAAUGGGUUGUAGGACAUGAAAACAAUAUGGCACUAGACUUAUGGGACGAACACAAAGACACUCGAAACUAAGGGUAGAUGUGAACCUAACGGUAUGUCUCAUGCUUUGAUUACCACUUGAGGAGAACAAGUGGUUCUGGUAACUAUCGAUUUGGUGGAAACGAGACACAAAUCAAUCCAGCUUGCGAACAACACGAUACGAAACCCUACAAUUCUUUUUAUUUUUUUAUAUUUUUCUUUUACUUAGGAGCACUCAAUAAGUAACCACAGGAAAUUUGAGCUUAAACAAGUGAAAGACGUGGCCUGUGGAAAUUUUUGAAAAUUGCGAAAAAUUUGAAAAAAGUUUUGGAGGUGAAAACUCAAACUUUAGAGGCGAAUUUGGGGAUUCUAAAAUUGUCAAACCCGCACGCAGCGGGGAUAGACUGAUCCAAAAAUUUGGUUUGAUCGAUUUUGAUAUAUGGAACGUCAAAAUCGGAGUUCGUAUGCGAAAAUUAUGGCUGUUUUACGAACGAACUCCGAAUUAGAAUACAAAACGGUCCGCAAGUGGGAAAAAUUUGCGGCGGUGGCUAGAAACUGAUGGAAACGGUGGGAAAAAACACACAAACUCGACUGAAACAAGACCUAACCAGUAACAAGACCUCAACCACGACACAAACUCAACACUACGGACAAAGGCUAUGGCGCGGAUGGGUUGUAGGACAUGAAAACAAUAUGCCACUAGACUUAUGGGAUGAACACAAGGACACUCGAAACUAAGGGUAGAUGUGAACCUAACGGUAUGUGUCAUGCUUUGAUUACCACUUGAGGAGAACAAGUGUGGCCCGAUCUUCCGAAAGGUUCUGGUAACUAUCGAUUUGGUGGAAUCGAGACACAAAUCAAUCCAGCUUGCGAACAACACGAUUCGAAACCCAACAAUUCUUUUUUAUUUUUUUUAUAUUUUUCUUUCACUUAGGAGCACUCAAGAAGUAACCAUAGGAAAUUUGAGCUUAAACAAGUGAAAGACGUGGCCUGUGGAAAUUUUUGGAAAUUGUGAAAAAUAUGAAAAAAACUUUUGGAGGUGAAAACUCAAACUUCAGAGGCGAAUUUGGGGAUUCUAAAAUUGUCAAACCCGUACACGGCGGGGAUAGACAGAUCCAAAAAUUUGGUUUGAUCGAUUUUGAUAUAUGGAACGUCAAAAUCGGAGUUCGUAUGCGGAAAUUAUGGCUGUUUUACGAACGGACUCUGAAUUAGAAGACAAAACGGUCCGGAAGUGGGAAAAAUUUGCGGCGGUGGCUAGAAAUUGAUGGAAACGGUGGGAAGAAGCACACAAAUUGGACUCUAACAAGACCUAACGAGUAACAAGACCUCGACUAGUACACAAACUCAACACUACGGACUGUGAAACUGAAAUAUGCAAAGGCUAUGGCGCGGAUGGGUUGUAGGACAUGAAAACAAUAUGGCACCAGACUUAUGGGACGAACACAAGGACACUCGAAAUUAAGGAUAGAUGUGAACCUAAUGGUAUGUAUAAAGCUUUGAUUACCACUUGAGGAGAAUAAGUGUGGCCCGAUCUUCCGAAAGGUUCUCAUAACUAUCGAUUUGGUGGAAACGAGACACAAAUCAAUCCAGCAUACGAACAACACGGUUUGAAACCCUGCAAUUCUUUUUAUUUAUUUUUUUUGAUAUUUUGCUUUUACUUAGGAGCACUCAAGAAGUAAGCACAGGAAAUUUGAGCUUAAACAAGUGAAAGACGUGGCUUGUGGAAUUUUUUGAAGAUUGCGAAAAAUAUAAAAAAAUUAGGAGGUGAAAACUCAAACUUCAGAGGCGAAUUUGGGGAUUCUAAAAUUACCGAACUAGCCUUUGGCUGAAAUAUGCGAAGGCUAUGGCGCGGAUGGGUUGUAGGACAUGAAAACAAUAUGCCACUAGACUUAUGGGACGAACACAAGGACACUCGAAACUAAGGGUAGAUGUGAACCUAAUGGUAUGUCUCAUGCUUUGAUUACCACUUGAGGAGAACAAGUGUGGCCUGAUCUUCCGAAAGGUUGUGGUAAAUAUCGAUCUGGUGGAAACGAGACACAAAACAAUCCAGCUUGCGGACAACACGAUUAAAAACCCUACAAUUCUUUUUAUUUUUUUAUAUUUUUCUUUUACUUAGGUGCACUCAAGAAGUAACCACAUGAAAUUUGAGCAUAAACAAGUGAAAGACGUGGCAUGUGGAAAUUUUUGAAAAUUACAAAAAAUAUGAAAAAAACUUUUAGAGGUGAAAACUCAAACUUCAGAGGCAAAUUUGGGGAUUCUAAAAUUGUCAAACCCGCACACGGCGAGGAUAGACUGAUCCAAAAAUUUGGUUUGAUCGAUUUGGAUAUAUGGAACGUCAAAAUCGGAGUUCGUAUGCAAAAAUUAUGGUUGUUUUACGAACGGACUCCGAAUAAGAAGACAAAACGGUCCGCAAGUGGGAAAAAUUUGCGGCGGUGGCUAGAAAUUGAUGAAAACGGUGGGAAAAAACACACAAACUGAACUCAAACAAGACCUAACCAGUAACAAGACCUCGACCAGGACACAAACUCAAAACUACGGACAAAGGCUAUGGCGCGGAUGGGUUGUAGGACAUGAAAACAAUAUGCCACUAGACUUAUGGGAUGAACACAAGGACACUCGAAACUAAGGGUAGAUGUGAACCUAACGGUAUGUCUCAUGCUUUGAUUACCACUUGAGGAGAACAAGUGUGGCCCGAUCUUCCGAAAGGUUCUGGUAACAAUCGAUUUGGUGGAAACGAGACACAAAUCAAUCCAGCUUGCAAACAACAUGAUUCGAAACCCUACAAUUCUUUUUAUUUUUUUAUAUUUUUCUUUUACUUAGGAGCACUCAAGAAGUAACCACAGGAAAUUGGAGCUUAAACAAGUGAAAGACGUGGCCUGUGGAAAUUUUUGAAAAUUGCGAAAAAUUUGAAAAAAACUUUUGGAGGUGAAAACUCAAACUUUAGAGGCGAAUUUGGGGAUUCUAAAAUUGUCAAACCCGCACACAGCGGGGAUAGACUGAUCCAAAAAUUUGGUUUGAUCGAUUUUGAUAUAUGGAACGUCAAAAUCGGAGUUCGUAUGCGAAAAUUAUGGCUGUUUUACGAACGAACUCCGAAUUAGAAUACAAAACGGUCCGCAAGUGGGAAAAAUUUGCGGCGGUGGCUAGAAAUUAAUGGAAACGGUGGGAAAAAACACACAAACUCGACUGAAACAAGACCUAACCAGUAACAAGACCUCGACCAGGACACAAACUCAACACUACGGACAAAGGCUAUGGCGCGGAUGGGUUGUAGGACAUGAAAACAAUAUGCCACUAGACUUAUGGGAUGAACACAAGGACACUCGAAACUAAGGGUAGAUGUGAACCUAACGGUAUGUGUCAUGCUUUGAUUACCACUUGAGGAGAACAAGUGUGGCCCGAUCUUCCGAAAGGUUCUGGUAACUAUCGAUUUGGUGGAAUCGAGACACAAAUCAAUCCAGCUUGCGAACAACACGAUUCGAAACCCAACAAUUCUUUUUUAUUUUUUUUAUAUUUUUCUUUCACUUAGGAGCACUCAAGAAGUAACCAUAGGAAAUUAGAGCUUAAACAAGUGAAAGACGUGGCCUGUGGAAAUUUUUGGAAAUUGUGAAAAAUAUGAAAAAAACUUUUGGAGGUGAAAACUCAAACUUCAGAGGCGAAUUUGGGGAUUCUAAAAUUGUCAAACCCGCACACGGCGGGGAUAGACAGAUCCAAAAAUUUGGUUUGAUCGAUUUUGAUAUAUGGAACGUCAAAAUCGGAGUUCGUAUGCGGAAAUUAUGGCUGUUUUACGAACGGACUCUGAAUUAGAAGACAAAACGGUCCGGAAGUGGAUAAAAUUUGCGGCGGUGGCUAGAAAUUGAUGGAAACGGUGGGAAGAAGCACACAAAUUGGACUCUAACAAGACCUAACGAGUAACAAGACCUCGACUAGUACACAAAUUCAACACUACGGACUGUGAAACUGAAAUAUGCAAAGGCUAUGGCGCGGAUGGGUUGUAGGACAUGAAAACAAUAUGCCACUAGACUUAUGGGACGAACACAAAGACACUCGAAACUAAGGGUAGAUGUGAACCUAACGGUAUGUCUCAUGCUUUGAUUACCACUUGAGGAGAACAAGUGUGGCCCGAUCUUCCGAAAGGUUCUCAUAACUAUCGAUUUGGUGGAAACGAGACACAAAUCAAUCCAGCUUACGAACAACACGGUUUGAAACCCUACAAUUCUUUUUUUUUUGAUAUUUUCCUUUUACUUAGGAGCACUCAAGAAGUAAGCACAGAAAAUUUGAGCUUAAACAAGUGAAAGACGUGGCUUGUGGAAUUUUUUGAAGAUUGCGAAAAAUAUAAAAAAAUUAGGAGGUGAAAACUCAAACUUCAGAGGCGAAUUUGGGGAUUCUAAAAUUACUGAACCUGCCUUUGGCUGAAAUAUGCGAAGGCUAUGGUGCGGAUGGGUUGUAGGACAUGAAAACAAUAUGGCACUAGACUUAUGGGACGAACACAAGGACACUCGAAACUAAGGGUAGAUGUGAACCUAAUGGUAUGUCUCAUGCUUUGAUUACCACUUGAGGAGAACAAGUGUGGCCCGAUCUUCCGAAAGGUUCUGGUAAAUAUCGAUCUGGUGGAAACGAGACACAAAUCAAUCCAGGUUGCAAACAACACGAUUCGAAACCCUACAAUUCUUUUUAUUUUUUUAUAUUUUUCUUUUACUUAGGAGCACUCAAGAAGUAACCACAUGAAAUUUGAGCUUAAACAAGUGAAAGACGUGGCAUGUGGAAAUUUUUGAAAAUUACAAAAAAUAUGAAAAAAACUUUUAGAGGUGAAAACUCAAACUUCAGAGGCAAAUUUGGGGACUAUAAAAUUGUCAAACCCACACACGGCGGGGAUAAACUGAUCCAAAAAUUUGGUUUGAUCGAUUUGGAUAUAUGGAACGUCAAAAUCGGAGUUCGUAUGCGAAAAUUAUGGUUGUUUUACGAACGGACUCCGAAUUAGAAGACAAAACGGUCCGCAAGUGGGAAAAAUUUGCGGCGGUGGCUAGAAAUUGAUGAAAACGGUGGGAAAAAACACACAAACUGGACUCAAACAAGACCUAACCAGUAACAAGACCUCGACCAGGACACAAACUCAACACUACGGACAAAGGCUAUGGCGCGGAUGGGUUGUAGGACAUGAAAACAAUAUGGCACUAGACUUAUGGGACGAACACAAAGACACUCGAAACUAAGGGUAGAUGUGAACCUAACGGUAUGUCUCAUGCUUUGAAUACCACUUGAGGAGAACAAGUGUGGCCCGAUCUUCCGAAAGGUUCUGGUAACUAUCGAUUUGGUGGAAACGAGACACAAAUCAAUCCAGCUUGCCAACAACACGAUUCGAAACCCUACAAUUCUUUUUAUUUUUUUAUAUUUUUCUUUUACUUAGGAGCACUCAAGAAGUAACCACAGGAAAUUGGAGCUUAAACAAGUGAAAGACGUGGCCUGUGGAAAUUUUUUAAAAUUGCGAAAAAUAUGAAAAAAAUUUUUGAGGUGAAAACUGAAACUUCAGAGAUGAAUUUGGGGAUUCAAAAAUUGUCAAACCCGCAUACGGCAGGGAUAGAUAGAUCCAAAAAUUUGUUCUGCUCGAUUUUGAUAUAUGGAACGUCAAAAUCGGAGUUCGUAUGCGAAAGUUAUGGCUGUUUUACGAACGGACUCCGAAUUAGAGGACAAAACGGUCCGGAAGUGGGAAAAUUUUGCGGUGGUGGCUAGAAAUUGAUGGAAACGGUGGGAAAAAACACAUAAAGUGGACUCAAACAAGACCUAACCAGUAACAAGACCUCGACCAGGACACAAACUCAACACUACAGACUCUGAAAUAUGCAAAAACUAUGGCGCGGAUGGUUUGUAGGACAUGAAAACAAUAUGGCACUAGACUUAUGGGAUGAACACAAGGACACUCGAAACUAAGGGUAGAUGUGAACCUAACGGUAUGUCUCAUCCUUUGAUUACCACUUGAGGAGAACAAGUGUGGCCCAAUCUUCCGAAAGGUUCUGGUAACCAUCGAUUUGGUGGAAACGAGACACAAAUCAAUCCAGCUUGCGAACAACACCAUUCGAAACCCUACAAUUCUUUUUAUUUUUUUUAUAUUUUUCUUUUACUUAGGAGCACUCAAGAAGUAACCAUAGGAAAUUUGAGCUUAAACAAGUGAAAGACGUGGCCUGUGAAAAUUUUUGAAAAUUGCGAAAAAUCUGAAAAAAAACUUUUGGAGGUGAAAACUCAAACUUCAGAGGUGAAUUUGGGGAUUCUAAAAUUGUCAAACCCGCAAACGUCGGGGAUAGACAGAUCCAAAAAUUUGGUUUGAUCGAUUUUGAUAUAUGGAACGUCAAAAUCAGAGUUCGUAUGCGAAAAUUAUGGCUGUUUUACGAACGGACUCUGAAUUAGAAGACAAAACGGUCCGGAAGUGGGAAAAAUUUGCGGCGGUGGCUAGAAAUUGAUGGAAACGGUGGGAAGAAGCACAAAAAUUGGACUCUAACAAGACCUAACGAGUAACAAGACCUCGACUAGGACACAAACUCAACACUACGGACUGUGAAACUGAAAUAUGCAAAGGCUAUGGCGCAGAUGGGUUGUAGGACAUGAAAACAAUAUGGCACCAGACUUAUGGGACGAACACAAGGACACUCGAAAUUAAGGGUAGAUGUGAACCUAAUGGUAUGUAUAAAGCUUUGAUUACCACUUGAGGAGAAUAAGUGUGGCCCCAUCUUCCGAAAGGUUCUCAUAACUAUCGAUUUAUUGGAAACGAGACACAAAUCAAUCCAGCUUACGAACAACACGGUUUGAAACCCUGCAAUUCUUUUUAUUUUUUUUGAUAUUUUGCUUUUACUUAGGAGCACUCUAGAAGUAAGCACAAGAAAUUUGAGCUUAAACAAGUGAAAGACGUGGCUUGUGGAAUUUUUUGAAGAUUGCGAAAAAUAUAAAAAAAUUAGGAGGUGAAAACUCAAACUUCAGAGGCGAAUUUGGGGAUUCUAAAAUUACCGAACCUGCCUUUGGCGGAGAUAGACAGAUCCGUUCUGAUCCAUUUUGAUAUAUGGAACGUCAAAAUCGGAGUUCGUAUGCGAAAGUUAUGGCUGUUUUACGAACGGACUCCGAAUUAGAGGACAAAACGGUCCGGAAGUGGGAAAAAUUUGUGGUGGUGGCUAGAAAUUGAUGGAAACGGUUGGAAAAAACACACAAACUGGACUCAAACAAGACCUAACCAGUAACAUGACCUCGACCAGGACACAAACUCAACACUACGGACUCUGAAACUGAAAUAUGCGAAGGCUAUGGCACGGAUGGGUUGUAGGACAUGAAAACAAUAUGGCACUAGACUUAUGGGAUGAACACAAGGACACUCGAAACUAAGGGUAGAUGUGAACCUAAUGGUAUGUCUCAUGCUUUGAUUACCACUUGCGGAGAACAAGUGUGGCCCGAUAUUUCGAAAGGUUCUGGUAAAUAUCGAUCAGUUGGAAACGAGACACAAAUCAAUCCAGCUUGCGAACAACACGAUUCGAAACCCUACAAUUCUUUUUAUUUUUUUUAUAUUUUUCUUUUACUUAGGAGCACUCGAGAAGUAACCACACAAAAUUUGAGCUUAAACAAGUGAAAGACGUGGUGAAAACUCAAAUUUUCAGAGGCCAAUUUGGGGAUUCUUUAUUUCUCGAACCCGCCUAUGGCAGGGAUAGACAGAUCCAGAAAAAAAUUCUGAUCGAUUUUGAUAUAUGGAACGUUAAAAUCGGAGUUCGUAUGCGAAAGUUAUGACUGUUUUACGAACGGAUUCCGAAUUAGAGGAGAAAACGGUGCGGAAGUGGGAAAAAUUUGCGGUGGUGGCUAGAAAUUGAUGGAAACGGUGGGAAAAAACACAGAAACUGGACCUAACCAGUAACAAGACCUCGACCAGGACACAAACUCAACACUACGGACUCUGAUACUAAAAUAUGCAAAGGCUAUGGCGCGGAUGGGUUGUACGACAUGAAAACAAUAUGGCACUAGACUUAUGGGACGAACACAAGGACACUCGAAACUAAGGGUAGAUGUGAACCUAACGGUAUGUUUGAUGCUUUGAUUACCACUUGAGGAGAACAAGUGUGGCCCGAUCUUCCGAAAGGUUCUGGUAACUAUUGAUUUACUGGAAACGAGACACAAAUCAAUCCAGCUUGCGAACAACACGAUUCGAAACCCUACCAUUCUUUUUAUUUUUUUGAUAUUUUUCUUUUACUUAGGAGCACUCAAGAAGUAACCAUAGGAUAUUUGAGGUUAAACAAGUGAAAGAUGUGGCAUGUGGAAUUUUUUGAAGAUUGCAAAAAAUAUGAAAAAAAACUUUAGGAGGUGAAAACUCAAACUUCAGAGGCGAAUUUGGGGAUUCUAAAAUUAUCAAACCUGCCCAUGGCGGGGAUAGAUAGAUCCAAAUUUUUUUUGAUCCAUUUUGAUAAAUGUAACGUUAAAAUCAGAGUUCGUAUGUGAAAGUUAUGGCUGUUUUACGAACGGACUCCGAGUUAGAGGACAAAAUGGUCCGAAAGUGGGUAAAAUUUGCGGCAGUGGCUAGAAAUUGAUGGAAACGGUGGGAAGAAACACACAAAUAGGACUCUAACAAGACUGUUGAUAGUCCUUAAGUAUCAAAUUUAAUUAUCAAAUAAACAAAGAAAAGGAUCCAAAUGAAAUCAACAUCUAGACUUAGGGUUUUAUCUGACAGAAUUCCACGAGUUUUGGUUUUUGUCUAUUUCUGCAGGGGGUUAUGAGGAAAUACGGAAGAAAGGCCCACACAUCGGGAUUACAUAGAGAUAUCAAUGUGCCGCACUAUUAUCUUACAUCUAUAAGACUCCAGAAGCCACGGGAAGGAAGCGGAGGCCGAACGGGGCCAGGCACUGGGCGCCCGCCCAGUUGACCUGGGCGCCCGCCCCCUCCUGGAGUCCAAACAGGACUCUCUUUUGGGAAAGAUCUCCAUCGACCUAAAGGAUCAAGGAUAACCGUUCAAUCUAUGUCGGUUUGAUCCAACGACCCAUAUUCACUUGAAGGGACUAUAAAACCAGACCCCCUGGCCCCUGGAGGAGAGAGCCUCUCAACCCUAAUUCAUUAUUCCUCAAGGGAGAAGAAGCCACUGAUCAAGAUUAGAGCCACCACAUCAAUUAGACAUCUAGAUUAGCAUAGCUACAUAGGAUUAGAACUAGAAGGAGUCAAUCUUUGAUUCGUUUCCGGAUCUGUCAAAAAGAUUCUUGGUAAUUCUCUAAUUGUGCUUCUAAUUGUUCUUCUAAUUAUCUUUGUUCUUCAAUAUUAUGAAUAUGACUUUGUUCUACUUCAAUAUAUUGCUUAUGACUUUGCUCUACUUGUUUAUAUUCAAGAUUAUAUUGUUCUUAGUUUAUCAUAGUUAUAUACUUGGCUUAGUUAGAUUGGAUCUGUAUAAAUGUUUAUGAUCCAUGGGUAAAUGAUAGAUAUUGUGUAGGCGUGGUGCUUAUACCGUAUUUAUCUACGAUUGUACCCAAUAUGACAGAUCGUGGGGUAGUUCGUGAUAGUUACAGCUUCAUUGAUUCUUAUAUAGUUCCCCUCUCGUGUAUAAUACAGGGGAGUGAUUGCUAUGUUUUUCAUUUACCUUGCAAAUAUCACUAUGCAUGGGCAUAGUCUUGUCUCGCAAUGAUUGCUAAGUAUGCUUGCACUAACUAUGAUAAUGCUAGACUAUAUAGUUGAGAAUAACUUAGGAAAUAUUCUUGUAGUUCGUUCUAAUACCAUGCUAAUGACUUUCUAGAGUAUCUAAUUGAGGUGCUUAUCAUAUUUAUAUGUGGCUAAGUUAUGCUGAUCAGAUUAAUUAUCUUUGUCACUAUUCAUUACUUCAUAUAUCUUUUAUGUGACACUUAUCCCUGUAUGAAAGAGUUAGAUAAAUGUUCUCAAUUAUACAUGCAAUGAUAGAUACUCAAUCUCAUAUUCCAUUCUGUAAUCAAUAUUGAUGAUUGUUAAUCCUUCCCAGUGGUAAAAAUAUAAAUAACGAUACCUGGACUACUUCCCGGUUAAAAUGCUACCUCGGUAUUAAUCUGUGCGCAUGCAGAUCCCAUUCAUUAUUUAUUUAGAAGAGCAAUUGCAUAUUUCAAUACCGCUCUCUUAUAUCAUGCUGGGGAUGACAGCUUGGCUUAAGUGGUAUGAGAGAUAGGUUUGGCAUUUUUGGCACCGUUAUCAGAAUUAGAAAACUAAGUCUACUUUUGGUAAUGAUGUUAAGAAUACCCAACAAGCAUUUUUGGCGCCGUUGCCGGGGAAGGUUGAUUACUAAUCAGGAAUGAAUUUAAGAUUUCGAGUUAUCAUUCGCAUCACUAAUAUGAUUGAGCUUAUCAAUUCUCUCAUACAGUUUUACCCCGAUAUUUUCUAUUUUAUCUUAUGCAGGGGAAUGUAUGAAUAGAAGACAUCUUCCAGGAAAUUUUGUUGAUAAUCCCGAAGCCUUAUUCAGAAAAAACUAGAGCCAAGCUCAAGAAGAGAUCAUCAACACUACAGCAAGAAGCUUCAUCCAAUCAAGAAGAUCACCGGAACUUGUCUUCAGAGUUCGAAGCCAUGGCGAACAAAUCAAUCUGCGAGUUCUCAGCUCCCACUACGGACAACAUCCGCACUGGACCUGCUGCAGAGAUCGAUGGCAACUUUGAGCUCAAGCCUAGACUUAUCAACAUGGUGCAAUCCAACCAGUUCUGUGGGAAGGCACACGAAGAUGCUAGUGCUCAUCUCCAACACUUCCUGGAGAUAUGCAGCACAUUUACCAUAUCAGGAGUUUCCAGAGAUGCUAUACUACUUCGCAUCUUCCCAUUCUCACUGUUAGGAAGAGCGAAGCAGUGGUUUUACGCUACAAAGGAGAAGAAUACUACAUGGGCACUCUGCUCAACAAACUUCCUGGCUAAGUUCUUUCCCAUGGGCAAGACCAAUGCUCUUCGUGGGAAGAUUACAAGUUUUCAGCAACAAAAUGAUGAAUCCGUUCCAGAAGCAUGGGAGCGCUUCCAAGACUACAUCCUAGAAUGUCCCCAUCAUGGAAUGGAGAGUUGGCUACUGAUGCAAACAUUUUAUCAUGGGCUCGGCAACAGUGCCCGAGAGACCAUGGAUGCUGCAGCUGGAGGAGCAUUCCUAUCACUUACCAUAUCACAAGCCACAGCUCUUGUGGAGAAGAUGGCGUCCAACCAAAGCUGGAAUGAAGAAAGGACCCAGACACGCAAGAGAGGUGGAGGUAUGCAUCAGCUCAAGGAGGUAGACAUGCUAUCUGCAAAGCUAGACCUGCUCAUGAAGAAGCUCGAUGAUAGAGCUGGAGAUAAGAAAGAAGUUAUGCACAUCUACGACUCUCACAUGACUUGUGAGGAGUGUGGAGACACUAGGCACUCAGGCAAUCACUGCCCUGAGAUGCUUGAGGAUGUGAAUUACAUCAUCAUCAUCAUCAACAACAACAACAACAACUACAACCGUCCUCAACAAAAUCAAGGUUCGAAUCAACAGAGGCCUAACUACUCAGGUAAUUAUCAAGGUAACAAUUCUUACAACAAUAAUAAUAAUUUUCCACCUCUGAGAGAGUUAGUGUCUAAUCAAGGAAAGCUAAUGGACAACCUGUCUAAGAAAUUGGCAUCUAAUGAUAAAAUGCUGGAAAAUAUAAAUAAUAGAAUGGAUAAUUUCUCUACUGCCAUCAAGAAUCAAAUUAGCUUUAAUAAAAUGAUUGAAUCUCAGUUAAAUCAAAUAGCUGCUGCUAUUCCUACUACUAACCUCGGUAUACCAUCACAAUCGGAAGGAUUAGAACCUGCAAAUCUUGUAGACAUGUUUGAUGCAGGUAGUAACUGGAGUAACCCCGUCACUGAGUUCACUACUGACCUUCUGCUGGUCAAGAGAGGCGAUCCAGGACGCCCCGUCAUCCCGAUCUCCAUCGGCAUGGUGGACGUCCCAGAAGCACUCUGCGACUUUGGCUCUAGCGUCAACAUUAUACCCAGAGUACUCUAUGAAAAAUUCUACACAUAUCCUUUAUUAUAGACAACCAUGUGUUUGUAGUUUGCAGAUCGGGCAUUAAGUUUUCCAAAAGGAAUAUUGAAGAACCUUUGCGUUCGAGUUGGUACCUUAUAUGCCCCAGCAGACUUCAUGGUGAUAGAGACCGGUAAUGAUGAAAGGGCACCCAUCAUCUUAGGGAGGCCAUUCUUAAACACCUCAGGAGCUGUCAUCUACGCUAGUGCUGCCAAGAUUAGUUUCUACAUUAAAGGGAGGAAGGAGACAUUUUCCUUCAAGAACAAGACUACACAAAUCCCAGAUCAAUCUAGAUGUGAAUCAAGGAAGAGGACCAACAGGAGGAACAGGAACAAGCAAGUGUGGACCGAGUCAGCCAAGAUGGUCACUGCAAUUCAAGGAGGUCAAGAUCAUCAAAUUAAGUCACUGUUUUUGACCAAGAAGGACGACCCAGGAAUGCCAAGCAUCUAUUGCUCCAUAAAUGGAUACAACUUCUACAAGACGACUUGCGACACCGGAUCGAGCGUCAACAUAAUGGCCGCAGUCACCUAUCGGCUCUUUUUCGGAACCAUGCCAUUAAAACCAACAUACAUUCAACUCCAGAUGGCAGAUCAGACAUUUCGAGAAGUUAAAGGAACAGUAACUGAUGUCCCUGUCAAAAUAGACGAUCAUUUUGUCUACACAGACUUUCAGGUUAUUGACAUGGGAGAAGACGAGUACGAUCCACCCAUCAUCCUUGGAAGACCGUUCCUCAGCACCGUUAAAGCAAUCAUCUACAUUGGAACCAGAGAAGUCCAUAUGCACUUCCCCUGAGAGAAGGUACGCCGCUAUUUUACUGACCCUAACUAUAUCGUUGAAGACUCUAAGCAGGUCAGAAAACGACGCAAUCGCAACCAGAGGAGGGAAAUCAUCAAGGACGGAUGGGCAGACUAUGAAGGAGAAGUUGUAAGGUCAGAAGACGUACAGUUUAAACAGAAUUAUCCUGAGGAGACCGUAGCACCGAGUCAGGUGUGGAAAGAAAAGAUAACUAUACAUGAAGAAGAGGCGCCGCCAGAAGUACCGACUACGCCACCCAACGAAUCCCAGGACAAUUGAGAAAACGGAGAGUCCCGUUCGGAGGACUUAAAAACACUGAACGCCUUGCCAAGAGGUAAACUUGGUAGUUAUCCUUUUCCUUUCAAUUAUUUUAAAAUAGUUUGCUUAGUUAAUUAUGUUAAUACCAUCCUAAAAAGAAAAUAAAAAUGUUAAAAAACAGUAAGCCCCAUGUGAGUAUAUGAGUGGCAUGAAACCUAUAAGUACAUUCACUGUGGUGGCAUAAAAAUUAAAAUAAAUAUUUCUUUUCUGCUUUAUAAAAUGAAAAUAUAAAAAAGGGAGUAAUAUUUAUUAAGGAGCCUCAACAUGAUAAAGGCUAGAUAUUUAUGCUAACACUUAAUCAGUUCCACAAAGCUUUGUUGUCUAUUUGAGCUCCACAGAAUUUAAGAAUCGGGAAGACUAGCAGACGGAGGACAUUCUAAUCGCUGUCAAGAUACUGCCGACUUUCAAAUACACCUCUGCCACCUGCUAGCUACAUCAAGAGAAAUUACAUCAAAAUUCAGCUUGGGGGAGAGCACCCCCAUUUAUCUCGCUAAGUAUUUCUAACUAUCUUUAUACUUAUAUUAUAUGAAAAUAUAAAUAUACAUAGUUAUGGAAAACCAAAUAAAGAUUUUAUGCUUAUAUAUAUAUAGCUUUUGCUUAGUGUGUUUAAUAAAUAAAUAAAGUGGCUAUGCUAAUCUGAAUCUUAAUAAUAAAACUCUAGCAUGGGUAUAAUGAAUAGUUGCUCUGCCUAAUUUUUAAAAUUUUGAAGUUCUCUCUCAAGUUUAGACAUAAUUGUUAUAAUUUAAAUCUUGCUCUAAACCUAAACUUGUGGGAAGAAAACUUGAUCUGAAGUCUAAGUUGUUAACAGAUAUGAUAUGGGAAGGUUGAGCUGCUGUUUCUGUUCCUAGAAAUGCUAGAAUUCUGGAGAAUUUUAUCUUUGAAAAAUCUUUAAAAUAUUGCAUGAUGAGUUCCUGUAUGAUGAGAGUUUAAAUUCCUACCACAGCCAUAUAUACAUGCUUGCUAGACUUUGAGCCACACAUUUACUUUUUACUGCUUAUGAGCAUUGAGUGUGGUCAAGCUGUUUAGACCCUUAGGAACUUGUCAUGUGGUUUAAAUCAAGAUUCACUUGCACGUUCACUCACAUAUGCUACUUCUACUCCGGAAGUACCAUCCACAUAUAUCCAGUCAUUUCCUUCUCCAUAACCACCCAAAAACACUCUACUCCUAAUCCGGGAGAGAAUAGCCAAAAACAUUUCUGUUUUCCCCUGUGAAAUAAAUGCUCAAAUUAUCUUGUUACUACCACUUGCUAUAUUAUCUCAAGAGAUGAGUGCUCUAAAAAGAGAAAAGAAAAGAUACGAGGAAAUAAAAAGGGGCAAGUGCCCGGAACCUCGAAAGAAAAGAAAAGUGAGACGAGAGGUAACAAUGGAUAAGUGUCUGACAGUAGAAUUAGGGGUACAAGAUACCUACCUGAGAGGAAAGAAAAAGAAAAAUAUAAAGCAUCUCAUUCUCCUCACAAAGUUUCAAAAAGCAAGGAAGGUAUGUAUCCCCUCAAAGAGCAAAAGUAGAAUUAGACUUUCACCAUUGUUAUCACCAUCAUCACCAUACACCAUUCAUUCACCACACAUGCACAUCUUGAUUUGACUUAUUGAUUUGUUUCUUUGGAUCCAUGGUUUGACUAUGUAAUAAAUGUCUUGUAAGUAUGUAUACUUUAUCUCCCACCUAUGAGCUCCAGAUAUCAAAAGCCUUAUUAGAGUAGGGUGAGAGAGAAGGCAAUGUCACUAUGCUUUAUACUACAAAUACCACAUAUUUGGAGAGAAGGCAUAUACCAUCACUGCCUUGGUAAGGAUCCAGAAAUACUACAAAAGAGAGUUAUGAGAGAGUCAUACAAGGAAUCUCUGAGUUUUAUUUGAAAAUCUGCAAAAACUCCAGAGCUAUAGCUGAUCAAGAAUAAGAGACAUGGCACUUGACUAGACUGUUCUAUCUUUUAACUACUCAAGACAGAAGAGACGAUUACAAGUCCCAUGGUGAAAGGUAAAGUAAGUAAGUUUUAAGUCUUGACAGUUUACUCUAACUCAGAGAUGGGAUCUUAUUUAGAAGCAUGUGUACCGACAACUUUUAAAGAUAUUGCAACAACUUCUGAUCCAUCACUGAGUCUAUCCUUGCUCAGGGACGAGCAAGAGGUAAGCAUGGGGGAGUUUGUUGACGGUCCUUAAGUAUCAAAUUUAAUUAUCAAAUAAACAAAGAAAAGGUUCCAAAUGAAAUCAACAUCUAGACUUAGGUUUUAUCUGACAGAAUUCCACGAGUUUUGGUGUUUGUCUAUUUCUGCAGGGGGUUAUCAGGAAAUACGGAAGAAAGGCCCACACGUCGGGAUUACAUAGAGAUAUCAAUGUGCCGCACAAUUAGCUUACAUCUAGAAGACUACAGAAGCCACGGGAAGGAAGCGGAGGCCGAACGGGGCCAGGCACUGGGCGCCCGCCCAGUUGACCUGGGCGCCCGCCCCUCCUGGAGUCCAAACAGGACUCUCUUUCGGGAAAGAUCUCCACCGACCCAUGUUCAAGGAUAACUGUUCAAUCUAUCUCGGUUUGAUCCAACGGCCCAUAUUCACUUGAAGGGACUAUAAAACCAGACCCCCUAGCCCCUGGAGGAGAGAGCCUCUUAACCCUAAUUCAUUAUUCCUCAAGGGAGAAGAAGCCUCUGAUCAAGAUUAGAGCCACCACAUCAAUUAGACAUCUAGAUUAGCAUAGCUACAUAGGAUUAGAACUAGAAGGAGUCAAUCUUCGAUUGGUUUCCGGAUCUAUCAAGAGGAUUCUUGGUAAUUCUCUAAUUGUGCUUCUAAUUGUUCUUCUAAUUAUCUUUGUUCUUCAAUAUUAUGAAUAUGACUUUGUUCUACUUCAAUAUAUUGCUUAUGACUUUGCUCUACUUGUUUAUAUUCAAGAUUAUAUUGUUCUUAGUUUAUCAUAGUUAUAUACUUGGCUUAGUUAGAUUGGAUCUAUAUACAUGUUUAGGAUCCAUGGGUAAAUGAUAGAUAUUGUGUAGGCGUGGUGCUUAUACCGUAUUUAUCUGCGAUUGUACCCAAUAUGCCAGAUCGUGGGGUAGUUCGUGCUAGUGACAGCUUCAUUGAUUCUUAUAUAGUCCCCCUCUCGUGUAUUGGGCUGGCAGAGCAACAUUAUUACAAGAGAGUGAUUGCUAUGUUUCUCAUUUACCUUGCUAAUAUCACUAUGCAUGGGCGUAGUCUUGUCUCGCAAUGAUUGCUAAGUAUGCUUGCACUAACUAUGAUAAUGCUAGACUAUAUAGUUGAGAAUAACUUAGGAAAUAUUCUUGUAGUUCGUUCUAAUACCAUGCUAAUGACUUUCUAGAGUAUCUAAUUGAGGUGCUUACCAUAUUUAUAUGUGGCUAAGUUAUGCUGAUCAGAUUAAUUAUCUUUGUCACUAUUCAUUACUUCAUAUAUCUUUUAUGUGACACUUAUCCCUGUAUGAAAGAGUUAGAUAAAUGUUCUCAAUUAUACAUGCAAUGAUAGAUACUCAAUCUCAUAUUCCAUUCUAUAAUCAAUAUUGAUGAUUGUUAAUCCCUUCCCAGUGGUAAAAAUAUAAAUAACGAUACCUGGAAUACUUCCCAGUUAAAAUGCUACAUCGGUAUUAAUCUGUGUGCUUGCAGAUCCCAUUCAUUAUUUAUUUAGAAGAGCAAUUGCAUAUUUCAAUACCGCGUCUCUUAUGUCAUGAUGGGGAUGACAACUUGGCUUAAGUGGUAUGAGAGAUAGGUUUGGCAUUUUUGGCACCGUUAUCAGAAUUAGAAAACUGAGUCUACUUUUGGUAAUGAUGUUAAGAAUACCCAACAAAAACCUAACCAGUAACAAGACCUCGAUCAGGACACAAACUCAACACUACGGACUCUGAAACUAAAAUAUGCAAAAGCUAUGGCGCGGAUGGGUUGUAGGACAUGAAAACAAUAUGGCACUAGACUUAUGGGACGAACACAAGGACACUCGAAACUAAGGGCAGAUGUGAACCUAAUAGUAUGUCUGAAGCUUUGAUUACCACUUGAGGAGAACAAGUUUGGCCCGAUCUUCUAAAAGGUUCUGGUAACUAUCGAUUUGGUGGAAACGAGACACAAAUCAAUCCAGCUUGCAAACAACAUGAUUCGAAACCCUACAAUUCUUUUUAUUUUUUUUUAUAUUCUUCUUUAUUUAGGAGCACUCAAGAAGUAACCACAGGAGAUUUGAGCUUAAAACAAAGAAAGACGUGGCCUGUGGAAUUUUUUGAAGAUUGCGAAAAAUAUGAAAAUAAAGUUUAGGAGGUGAAAACUCAAAUUUUCUGAGGCGAGUUUGGGAAUUCAAAUUUGUCAAACCCGCCUAAGGCGGGGAUAGACAGAUCCAAAAUUUUUUUCUAAUCUAUUUUGAUAUAUGGAAUGUCAAAAUCGGAGUUCGUAUGCGAAAGUUAUGGCUGUUUUACGAACAGACUCUGAAUUAGAGGACAAAACGGUGCGGAAGUGGGAAAAAAUUUGCGGCGGUGGCUAGAAAUUGAUGGAGACAGUGGGAAGAAACACACAAAUUGGACUCUAACAAGACCUAACCAGUAACAAGACCUCGACCAGGACACAAACUCAACACUACGGAUCUGAAACUGAAAUAUGCAAAGGCUAUGGCGCGGAUGGGUUGUAGGACAUGAAAACAAUAUGACACUAGACUUAUGGGACAAACACAAGGACACUCAAAACUAAGGGUAGAUGUGAACCUAACGGUACGUCUGAUGCUUUGAUUACCACUUGAGGAGAACAAGUGUGGCCCGAUCUUCCAAAAGGUUCCGGUAACUAUCGAUUUGGUGGAAACGAGACACAAAUCAAUCCAGCUUGAGAACAACACGAUUCAAAACCCUACAAUUCUUUUUAUUUUUUUCUGAUAUUUUUCUUUUACUUAGGAGCACUCAAGAAGUAACCAAAGGAAAUGAGCUUAAACAAGUGAAAGAUGUGGCUUGUGGAAUUUUUUGAAGAUUGCAAAAAAUAUGAAAAAAAAACUUUAGGAGGUGAAAACUCAAACUUCAGAGGCGAAUUUGGGGAUUCUAAAAUUGUCGAACCCGCCCGUGACAGGGAUAGACAGAUCCAAAUUUUUUUUGAUCGAUUUUGAUAUACGGAACGUAAAAAUUGGAGUUCUUAUGUGAAAGUUAUGGCUGUUUUACGAACGGACUCCGAAUUAGAGGACAAAACGGUCCGGAAGUGAGAAACAUUUGUGGCGGUGGAUAGAAAUUGAUGGAAAUGGUGGGAAGAAACACACAAAUUGGACUCUAACAAGACCUAACCAGUAACAAGACCUCGACCAGGACACAGACUCAACACUACGGUCUCUGAAACUGAAAUAUGCAAAGGCUAUGCCGCGGAUGGGUUGUAGGACAUGAAAACAAUAUGGCACUAGACUUAUAGGGCGAACACAAGGACACUCGAAACUAAAGGUAGAUGUGAACCUAACGGUAUGCCUGAAGCUUUGACGUGGCCCGAUCUUCUGAAAGGUUCUGCUAACUAUCGAUUUGGUAGAAACGAGACACAAAUGAAUCCAGCUUGUGAACAACACGAUUCGAAACCCUACAAUUCUUUUUAUUUUUUUAUAUUUUUAUUUUACUUAGGAGCACUCAAGAAGUAACCACAGGAAAUUUGAGCUUAAACAAGUGAAAGACGUGGCCUGUGGAAUUUUUUGAAGAUUGCGAAAAGUAUGAAAAAAAACUUUAAGAGGUGAAAACCCAAACUUCAGAGGUGAAUUUGGGGAUUCCAAAAUUGUCGAACCCGCCUAUGGUGGAGACAGACAGAUCCAAAAAAAAUUUUCUGAUCGAUUUUGAUAUAUAGAAUGUAAAAAUCGGAGUUCAUAUGCGAAAGUUAUGGCUGUUUUACGAACGGACUCUGAAUUAGAGGAAAAAAUGGUCUGGAAGUGGGAAAAAUUUGCGGCGGUGGCUAGAAAUUGAUGGAAACGUGUCAACGAAAGCUAGUCGGCAGUCUACCUUGGGGUAUACCCACGGUAGUAGUUUAUCGGUAGACGGUGCGCAAGCUACGAACUUGAUGGUGACGCAAGACACGGACAAGGUUUUUAUCUUGGUUCGGCCGCCGUGAGGGCGUAAUACCUACGUCCUGCGUCUGAUUGUAUUGGAUUGUGUUGAGAGAAUAAUCUAUCCUAAGGGGGGUCCCUUGCCCUCCUUAUAUAGUCCGGAGGGCAGGGUUACAGAUCUAGAAACCAAUCCUAGUCGGUUACAAUUGCCAUAGAUAGUACGAUAUCAAUUCCUAUUCUAACCCACCAGAAUCCGGCUUGAUCUCCACGUCCUGUUUCCUUGCGCAAAACUCCAAGCAGUUGGAUCAAGCCUCGAACUGUCCUCGUGAUGGGCCAAGCCUUCUGGCCCAAGACUAGCCGUAAGGGUAUAAGGGUUUAUACCCCCACAGCUAGUCCCCGAGCACCAUGUAUUAUGAUGUUACACGUCGUCUUGAGCUUCUUCGAUCAGUGAGGCUUGACGUCUUCAAUAGGAAGGAAAGUCGCCAAAUAGUUGCAACGGUAUUUUGACCAACUCAAAAGACAGUUGAUCAACAUUGACAUCGAAGAAGCAGGUUUUUCGAAGAAUGCAUGGUGCUCUAAAUUAAAAAAGAUUUAUUUCCUAGUGAAGUGUGCCCACUUUACUUUUCUGAAAAGUAUAGACCUCAAAAAAGCAAGCAUAUUCACCGCAAGGUGAAGUGUGCCCACUUAGUCUCCGAGCCUGAUAGUAGGUGGCGUAGACACAUGGUGCCAGGUUCAAAAAGAUCUUCAUAGAAAUUUCAAAACUGUGAUGCAUCGCGAGAUGCAUCGUACCGAUGUAGUCCUUGAGCUUGCUGGAAAGCGAAGCAUGAACCUUGUAGCAAGGUCUAAAAAUUAAAUUUACCAGUCCCUGAGCAUAUUAGGUACGUCUGCGAAUAGACUAAUCGACCAGUCCCCUUACUCUUCAAAUUUGUGUGCUGAUCAACCAGUCCCCGAGCAUACAGUGCUCGGUGGUCGGUACAGUCCCCAUGACUUCAAAUUGAUGGGCUGGUCGACCAGUCCCCGAGCGUACUGUGCUCGGUGGUCGGUACAAUCCCCAGGACUUCAAAUUGAUGGGCUGGUCGACCAGUCCACGAGCGUACUGUGCUUGGUGGUCGGUACAAUCCCCAGGACUUCAAAUUGAUGGGCUGGUCGACCAGUCCCCGAGCGUACUGUGCUCGGUGGUCGGUAUAGGCCCCAGGUGUGUUACGCGUAAUCCUCCACCAAUUAUAUUUGUCUUUUGGAAAAAGUAUCCUGCCACAUUAAUGUGUGAUGUGACAAGACACCCUGACCUAUUGCCAAAUAGUUGCGUGAAAAGGUGCGCCGGGUAACUGUGCAGCCGCUCUUUGCGUUGUUCAAGAAAAAGAAACCAUCAAUUAUAUAGGAAAGCCCCCGUAUUAACUGCCGGUAAUUAUUGAAAACCGAAACGCCGCAUCCGCCGCAGGAGCCGCCCACUUCCCAAGAAUGUGGGAAAUGGAAGAGGUGGAGCCGUUGCCUAUAAAGACUCUACACCACGCCCGUAAUCUUUUACCCUGCCUUGGCCUUCAAACCUUCUAUCCUUGCCAUUUCUGCCUUCUGCAACCUCCAUCUCUAAUCGUCCAACUCACAAUCGCUUCCGCAGCGUCCAUGGCUAAGAGUGACUCGAAGAAGAGGGUUUAACUGAUGGCAAAGGAGUGGAAGAAGUCCCGGAGCAGCACGAGGUCACUCAACGACCUCGUCGGAAUGGGGCUACUUCACAGUCAAGAACUCUAUGGCUGGAGGUCGCCGGAAGGGCAAAGCUACCCCGACCCUCGUGCCGGUGAGAUUGUAGUUUUUGAAGAUUUUUUCAAGAGGGGCUUUGGGAUUCCUGUCCACCCUUUCCUCCAGGGUCUUCUUCUUUACUAUGAGGUCGGGAUCUGCAAUCUGCACCCGAACUCAAUUCUUCAUUUCUCCACCUUUAUUCAUCUGUGCGAGGCCAAUGUUAGAAUAGAGCCGCACUUCGACCUCUUUCGUUACCUUUUUUGUCUGUGGAAGGAAGGAGCAGUUGGAGGCUCCAAGAUUGCAGGUGGAGUAUACCUCAAUCUUCGUGAUGGGAUGAAGAACCGGUAGCUCAACUGCCCAUGGAACACUUCCCUCACUGAAUGGUACAAGAAGUGGUUCUAUAUCAGGGAAGAGCCGGGCAGCUCCACGUUCUGUGACAUGGGCUACAUCCCCGAGAAGAGGGUCAGCUGGACGGACCACCCGGACUUCACUAGUCAGGUGACCGACCCGAUGAAACUGAUCAACUAGUCCCGCUUAGACGGGCCAGGAGUGGUCGGUAACUUUAUUUGUCGUCGGGUGAUGCCCUGCCAGAGGAGGGUACACUCGGCAUACGAGUACGCGGGGAGCCAGGACCCGACCAGGAUGAGCCCUGAUGGUCUAGAGAAGGCAGAGGUGCAGCAGCUGAUGAACGAGUUGUUCAACUUUACAGACGACAACUUCGUUCGAAGCAGUGAUCGUAUGCAUGCCUUCAAGCUAGGGCGACCAGCUCCUAAGGUAAAUAAAUAAUGUUUUUGACUAGUAUUGCUUGUUGAGUACUUGGCCUCCGAAUUGAUGACUUGUCGUUGAUUCUUCUGCAGAUUGGAGACGUUGACCGGUGCGUAGUGUACGUGUCACUGGCACCUGGUAUGGAAAAUCCUGCGGGGAUGGACCCGCUAGAGGAUGACGCUGUCCCGCCCCGACCACCGAGGAUAGGGUAGCGGGGAAAUGGCCACUGGUAGUGGAUCAGUUCCCUACGGAGGCGUUGCCGGCAGAGAGCAGCCAAGCACCGAAGCGUCGUCGGCUAGUCAGGAUCGCCGACAACGAGGAGGAGGAGGAGGCGGCACCCUCUUUGGUUCAAAGGCCGCGCACUCGUCUGGACGUUGCGCCGGUCACCACUGGUCGGAUGACCAGCGAUCCUCCUACCCCACACGCCGAGCCGACGCGUGUUGGAGAGACAAGGGCAGCGGUGGCGACCGGUAGGACCAGGAGGAGGUUCUUUACAGCGACGCACAGGCGCUUCGAUCUGUAAGUUGUCUAAUCUUAAUUUCACACUUCGAUAUAUUUUGCGUUUUGCUGCUGCUACUUCUGACAUUGGUUAAAUGUCGCAUUUUUGUUAGCGCGGCGUCGGACGUUGACCCUGACAACAUUGCUAGCCGGGGGACGGCCAAGCCCGUGGUUGUCGUUGAAGAUACCGCGCCGCAGACUCCCAGGAGCAUGCCGAGGAGCAGCCCACGGUGGGGACCGUGGCGGAGACUGCCGAGGAGCACCCAGCUCCGGUGAGGACUGGAGCGGGCACCCCUACGAGGGAUGGAGAGUCUACGAGGACGCCUCCCCCACGCAGUGUUGCAGAGGAGGACGGAGCUCCAACUCCCCCGCCUGCUGAAGAAGGGAAGGUCCCAACCCCACCCCGAGCAGAGGCCUCAUCACCAAAGGACACCCCUGGCCUGGACCAGGGUCCAGUGAUGGCUGCGACCACGGCUGGGGGUAGUGCGGAGGGUGAAGGGACCCAAGCGGCCUCCGACGAUGAAGUGGAGGAGAUCUAGGGUCCCCCAAGAUGGUCGCCAACACGUUUACAUAUGGCGCCAACGCGGGGACCAUUUCAUUGGUCAUGAAGAACUCGCGGAGACGGAGGAGGCCGCGAGGGUGGAGCGCGCAGCCAAGUGACUUGUUGACGAGGUUAAGGUAAGUGGUCUUUUGCGCUACUCGAAAUGUAUAUGCAGCGUCUCUAGCUUCAAUAUACAUUCUUCCUGUAGGGCGCAAUGAAAACGGUGAAGUACCGGAAGAGGUGCUUCGACCAAAUUGAAGGAAUCGUGGCCGAGAAUAAGACAUUAGACACGGAAGUAGACCGUCUUCGGUCGGAGGCCGAGGAGAAGACGGCCGAGAUGGGUGCUCAGGAAGAGCGCCUGCUCGAUCUCAAUCGGCAAAUAGCCGACAAGGAUCGGGAAAGAAAAGGUUAGUCAUGUAUUCCGAGCAGUUUUAUAACUGCAUAGUCAUUUUUAUUGACCAGAAAUUGCCCCUGCAGACUUGGAGGAGGAGGUUGCACGCCUCCGACAAGAGAGAGAGAAGCUCGACCAGAAGCUUGCCGGGGCGCUGGAGACCGGGCGCCGAGCUGGCGAGGAGCUAAGCAACAAGAGUCGGGAGUUGUCCGGUAAGAACCGUGCUAUCCCUUUUUUCUUUGAUUGCUCAACUUUCCGUUUCUUGUUUGUAUACUGACCUCCCGCUUGGUUUAUAGUGCUCAAAGUAAAUACCAAGAAGCACUUCGACGAGCUGAUCAAGGACCGGGACUCCUAGAAGGCCAACUGCAUCAAACUUUGGAAAGGAGUGGCCCCGGUUCUUGAUUUGAUCAGCCCUGAGCUCCCUGAAGACCAGCCCCGCGCACCGAAGUUGACUCCGGUCGAGAAGGCGCAACGGGUGUGGGACUGGCUCCAGCAGUUUGUCAAGGACGCCGGGGAGUUCGCCGGUGCGCAUGUCCUCAGCAUGGUGCGCACCCACUACCCUCUGGUCGACUUGUCCAUACUGGAGAGGGGGUACCCCAAGGAGGUUGGUCCGCAGGAUGCAGACGACCUUCGUGUUGGUCUGCUUGACCUGUCGUCGACGGUGAUCGGCAACAUCAACCUCUGCGGGACGGCCACUCCCCCCGACCAGCCAGGGUCAGACAGAUUGGCCAGGGAGUUGUCGGGAGCGUCCCUUGCUGGAGAUGGGCGAUCAACGCCUGCGGUCUCGACCAGCCAGGCGCCGGUAGCCCCGACCCCUUCGACUGGGCAGCAAGGCCAAGCGGGUGAUCAGCCCGAGCAGUAGGCCUGUAGAGUAGUCUGUAGCAAUAGACUAGGGACCGCCCAGAGGGGUGUUUAUUGUAAAAUUUGUAUAUAAAGUUUGUAAUAAAGAUUGAUUUGUUGUAACCAUGGUUGUGAGCGCUGUAAUGUUGUCUGAGUGAUGUAUCACUGAAUUGGGUUAAUAAUCCUUAAGGAUUUUGAUCCCGGAGGGAGAUUGUUGUACUUGUCGAAAGCUCUACGUAAAAAAGUAUAUAGCGAAGAAGAGAAAAUUUUAUUAUUGAUAAUCAUAAGAAAUUUACAAACAAAAGGUACUGGAACUUAUGGAUAGAAACGGCGCAGGUUGUCUAUGUGCCAAGAAUUAGGCAGGCGUGUUCCGUCUGGGUACGCCAGUCUGUAAGAUGUAGGGCGUGUGACUUCGGCGACCACGAAGGGUCCUUCCCAAGGCGUGGAUAACUUGUGCGUUCCUUCCUAGCUUGUUUUCCACUUGAGUACCAGAUCACCGACCACGAAGGAGCGGUCUUUGACGUUCCUGUUGUGAUACCGCCUAAUGGCCUCGAGAUACUUUGCUGUUCGAAGGCAUGAGAUUAGGCGUCUUUCCUCCAUGCAGUUGAUUUCGAGCUCCCUGGCGAUGUCAGCCGAAGACUGGUCGAAAUUUUCGACUCUUGGAGAUCCAAAGGUUACGUCGGACGGGAGCACUGCCUCGGUGCCGUAAACCAUGAAGUAGGGUGAUACACCCGUGUUGCGACUAGCCUAUGUCCGGAGACCCCACGCCACGACCGGUAGCUCUUUCAUCCAUCGUCCAGGUGCUCUGUCGUUCUCGGUGUACAACCUUUUCUUUAAAGCAUCGAUAAUCAUUCCGUUCACGCGCUCUACUUGACCAUUAGCCCGUGGGUGAGCUACUGACACGUACUUUAUGACUAUGCCCCUGUCAUCGUAGAAGUCCCAAAAUGUAGUGCCAGUGAACUGAGUGCCCAGGUCGGUGAUUAUACUAUUGGGGAUCCCGAAUCUGUGUAUGAUUUGAUUAAGAAACUCCACAGCCUUCUCGGAGGUUGCUUUGACUAGUGGCAUGAAUUCGAUCAACUUCGAGAAUUUGUCGAUUAGUACGAAGACAAACUUGAAGUUGUCGGGGGCCGACUUAAAUGGCCCGAUCAUGUCGAGACCCCAGCAGGCGAAAGGCCAGGAGGACGGAAUGGUUUGAAUUUUGUGAGCGGGCACGUGGGUCCGCUUGGCAAAGAACUGGCAUCAUUCACAAUGUCGAACCAGUUUCUCAGCGUCGGCGACCGCUGUUGGCCAGUAAAAGCCUGCUCGGAAGGCCUUCCCGACCAGAGUUCUGGAGGCCGCGUGGUUGCCGCAGGACCCGGCGUGUAUGUCAUCUAAGAGCUUGAUGCCGACAUCUUGGGAUAUGCAUUUGAGCAAUACUUUGGAACUUGCGUUCUUUCGCAUAAGUUUGCCAUCCACCAGUAUGUAAUUUCUGGAUCGUCGAAUGAGGCGCUCGUUCUCCGUUUUGUCUUGAAAUUCCGAUCCAUCCGAUAUAUACCUGAUGAAGGGGGUGCGCCAAUCACGGCUGCUGCUUGCCGGAGUGGUGUCAUCUAUGAGCAUUGCCUCAUUGGGUUGCUUUUCGACCAGGUCUGUGCCCACACUUGGCACGUGGAUGUCCUGAACAAAAACGCCUUGCGGAAUCUGGGCCCGAGAUGAUCCUAACUUUGACAGCGCAUCCGCUGCGUGGUUCUUAUCCCGGACCACGUGGAUGUAUUCUAUGCCGUAGAAAUUGGAUUCCCAUUUGCGGAUUUCUUUGCAGUAGAGAUCCAUCUUCUCGUGGGUUGUGUCACAUUCCUUAUUUAGUUGGUUGAUGACUAGGGUGGAGUCGCCGUGGACGUAGAGGCGUUUGACUCCCAGUUCGACGGCCAAUCGUAUGCCGUGUAGGCAUGCUUUGUAUUCGGCGAUGUUGUUCGAUGUCGGGAAGAGGAUCCUAAGGACGUAACGUAGUUUGUCCUUGUUAGGCGACACGAAGAGUAUCCCGGCGCCGGCGCCAUUUAUGUUUAGGGAUCCGUCGAAGAACAUCGACCAGUGGUCAGGGGUGUCGGAGACGGAGGGCUCGUUGAGGUCCGUCCAUUCUGCAAUGAAAUCGACCAGGGCCUGAGACUUGACGGUAGUGCGGCUCUAGAAAUCCAGGGAGAAUGGGCAUAAUUCCAUUGCCCAUUUUACAAUUCUACCAUUGGCAUCUUUGUUGCGCAAAAUGUCCCCCAGGGGGAAACUGGUGGUUACCAAGACCCGAUGACCAUCAAAGUAAUGCUUCAGCUUCCUUGAAGUUAUUAAGAUGGCGUAGAUGAGCUUCUGUAUCUGAGGGUACCUGGUCUUGGACUCAUUUAAGACUUCGCUUAUGAAGUAGACUGGUCCUGCACUUUGUAUACGUGGCCUGGCUCGUCUCGCUCGACCACCAUUGCCGUGGAGACAACCCUAUCGGUUGCUGCGAUGUAAAGGAGUAGGUCUUCAUUGGGCUGAGGUGCUGUGAGAACGGGCGGUGAGGUGAGGAAAGUCUUGAGCUGGGUGAACGCAGCGUGAGCUUUCUCUGUCCAGGAGAAUUUUUCCAAUGCCUUUAAGAGUUUGAAGAAGGGGAGGCCUUUUUCUCCCAGUCUAGAGAUGAAACGGCUGAGAGCAGCCAUACAUCCGGUGAGCUUCUGAAUAUCCUUGACAUUCUUAGGUGGUCGCAUGUCGAGCACUGCUUUUACUUUUGAGGGAUUCGGUCGUAUGCCGUCGCGGCUGACGACGUUGCCAAGUAGUAGACUAGAGGGGACCCAAAAGAUGCACUUUUUGGGGUUAAGCUUCCACUUGUAUUUAUUUAGUGCCUUAAAGGUUCGGUCUAGGUUGUCGAUUAGAGUGCUCGCGUCCCUUGUUUUGACGACGACGUCGUCUACAUAUGCCUCGAUGAGGUCAUCACGAAUCUCGUCGUGGAGGCAUUGCUGAAUAGCCCAUUGAUAAGUGGCCCCAGCAUUUUUGAGCCCGAAGGACAUAGUCGUGUAGCAGUAUGCACCGAAAGGAGUGAUAAAAGAUGUUUUGAUCUUAUCGUCUUCCUUUAGCGAGAUCUGGUGAUAACCAGAGUAGCAGUCUAGAAAGGAGAGGAGUUCGCAUCCAGCCGUUGAGUCGACCACAUCGUCGAUGCGAGGGAGACCAUAGGGAUCUUUAGGACAAUGUUUAUUGAGAUCAGUGUAAUCAACGCAUAUUCUCCAUUCAUUGUUCUUUUUCCUUACAAGAACCGGAUUGGCAAGCCAAUCGGGAUGAUACACUUCUUUAAUGAAUCCGGCUGCUAGAAGCCGUGUUAUUUCUGUCCUAAUAGCCACCUUUUUGUCGCGAGCGAACCGUCGUAGCUUUUGCUUGAUGGGUCUUGCGGUCUUCGAGACGUUUAAGGAGUGCUCGAUCAGGUUUCGUGGGACGCCGGGCAUGUCUGCCGGUUUCCAUGCAAAAACGCUCACAUUGUCCCUUAGAAACCUGACGAGCGCGUCUUCCUAUUUAGUGUCCAGGUUGGCCCCGAUGAGGGCCGUCUUCUCGGGGCUGCCGUCGACCAGCUGUACUUCCUUGUGCUCUUUGGACUUUGAAUUUUUCCUCAGAGUCUCCUGCUCAGGUAGUCGGAGCUGGUCGGGUGGAAUCUACGUGGCUUGAGCUACGGUUUCUGCCAUGCGGAUCGAGAGGUCAAUCGCCUCGGUGAUCUUGAAGCUUUCCUCCUCGCAUGUGUAUGCGGUAUAGACAUUGCCUCUGACAGUUAGGACGCCUUUCUCUGUUGGCAUUUUAAGGACCAGGUAUGAGUAGUGUGGAACUGCCAUGAACUUUGUCAGCCCAGGAUUGCGUGGUAAGUUCCGUCGAAAUCGGCGACCACGAAGUUGACGAACUCUGUUCGAAAGUGGUCGGGCGUUCCAAAUUGGACGGGCAAUGUUAUUUGUCCGAGGGGUAUUGAGCUUUGACCCGGCAGAACUCCCCAGAACUGAGCGUCAUACGGCUUUAGCUGUGCCGGAGUUAUCUUGAGAGCAGGCAAGCUGUUGCGAAAGAGGAUGUCGAUGGAGCUUCCCCCGUCCACGAGCACGCACUCGAAUCUGACGCUGUUGAUGCAAGGAUCCAGGAUUAGAGGGAAACAUCCUGGUUUCGGGAUGGCGGCCCAUUGAUCCUUCCUGUUGAAGGAGAUCUCCCUGUGUGACCAGGGGGGAAAUUUUGGAUCGGCGAUCGGGCCGUCUGUGCUGUCCACGUUGAGGCAGGCUCUCUUCAGGAGCUUUCUUUCGCGCUUAGACUUGAUAGAAACUUUGCCUCCGAAGAUGGAGUGGACCACGUCGGUGGGACUGACAUACUAGUGUCGUGGGUCGCUAUCCUGGUCGUCAUCCUCGUCUUCGUGACCACGCCCGUCCUGCUUCCCGUUAUUCUUAGCAGAAUCUUCUUGAGCGGCCUGCCACGUGUAGAUGCUUUUAAGGACACAGCAUUCUUCCAUCAUGUGAUUGGACUUGGGUUGGAGUUGGCACGGUCCCUUCAACGUCUUGUUGUAGUCUUCCUGGUAGUCCCGCCGCCCAUUGGGGCGUUUGACCGUAUUCACCUCGUGAUCGUGGUCACGAGGGCGCUUGCCCCUGAAGUCAUCACGAUUAUCGCACCGCCUAUCCCAACCUUCUCUGUGGUCGCGGUUGUUAGGGCGACGAUGGUUCCUAUUGUCAAAACGACCAUGACUGUCGUCCCGUCGAGGAGGCUGGUCGGGACCUCUCGCAUCCUCUCGGAUGAGUUUUUCUGCGUCAUCAGCGUCGGCAUAGUUUUUUGCCAUGGCAAGGAGCUCGGCCAUCGUGGUCGGCCUUUUGCGCAGUAGCUUGUUCCUUAGUGCUUCGUGGAAGCGUAGCCCUUUGAUGAAAGCAGAUAUGGCCUCGUCGUGAGAAAUUUUCGGGAUUUUAAGGUGCAUAUCCGAGAAUCGUCGAAUGUAAUCGCGCAGAGGCUCGUUUUUCCUGUCCCUUAUCCUCUCAAGGUCGUACUUGUUCCCAGGCUGCUCACAGGUAGCGAUGAAAUUGUCCAUAAAUGCCUGGCGUAGUUCUUCCCAGGAGUCAAAAGAGUCCUCGGGCAGGCCAAGGAGCCAUUGAUGACCAGCCUGGUCGAGGACAACUGGGACGUAGUUAGCCAUGACGUGCUCAUCUCCUGCUGCUGAACGGACUGCAAUCUGGUAUAGAGUGAUCCAGUUUUCUGGGUUUUCCUUGCUGUCGUAUUUUUUAAGCUUCUCGAGUUUGAAGUUGCGGGGCCAUACGACUUGGCGAAGGUGCGAGGAAAACUGUCUCAGGCCGGGAGGGCCGUGCGCGGCAUCGUACUCAAUGCGCCGCAAGUUUUCAUGCACCGCUCUUUUCGUGGCGUGCCUGUUGAUGCGAUCCCGGUGUCCUUGGGAGGGAUGUUGUAUCGUAGAUCCCUGUCCUAGUUUACUUCCUGACCACGCCCUCGCUUCUGCUUGCGGUAGCCACCGGUGUCCCGACCACCGUCGCCGCGCCCAGCAUCCUUCCUACGAUUAUUGGGGGAGCAGUUGCGGUGGUGCUCGCUGAGUUGUGGUGAAGUCCGGCUGCGAUGAGUCUGGUCGGAAGAUACCUCUGCGUAGGAGAUAGCUUGGACCCUUUUGAGUAAGGUGGCUGUCUGUCCCAUCGCGGCGAUCAGGUGUGCGCGUACGCUGGAUCGGACGCCCUGGCACUCUGGAGUAUCAGGGAGUCAGUCCAGGUUUGCCAUAGCAACAGCCACAUUAGCACUUGGCGUUUUGUAGACUUGCUGAUCUCCGACCAUGUCGAAAGCUUCACUGAGGUUGUGGGGCACGAGUUGCCGUUCCUCAUCCGCGCGUCGCCGAGCACGGUCGGCAUUGCGUUGUUCAUGGAGCUGCUUUUGCUUGUCUGUCUCUGCAUCGACGACCGGUUCGUCGUUGCUGACAUUGAAGAUAAGAUCUCCCCGCCGGGGCGGAAAGAUCGGGAAGCGAGAGAAACCCAGAGGGUACGGUGGUAAAUCCAGGUCGUAAUCUACGUCCUCAGAGUUUAUAACCUCGGUGGGGAUGGCUGGAAGCCUGGUCGUUCGGUAGUUCUUGGAUUGACACCAUGUUGACGUAGUGGCGAGCCGGUCGACCGCUCUGUUUUGGUGACCAUCCCACCCUGUUGAAAAGGGAUUGGAUGUGCCGUGAGUAGUGAACGGCUGAGUUGUUUAGCCCAUAGGGAGGACUCUGGUCUGGGUCUGCCUUGAGUUCGGCGGACCGCCCCGUGGGGGUGGAGGUUAUUGUCAGGACGUCCCCAGUUGUUCGUGUGUGAUGACACGAGUUGGCCGGCGAGAGUCGAAAGAGUCUGUUGGCGCGACUUGAUCAGAUAGGCGUGAGAUCCCAUGUACCAGUCGGGAAGCUUCGAGGAGCCUGAGAUCAGCGCGAUCAAGGGCUCGGAAAAGAUCCGAGCCGUCGACCUUCUUUCCACUAUAACGAGGGAGCGGUGGUCGAGUGCUCGGUGUUAGCGUGAUCGGAGUCGACGCCGCUGUCGUCCCAGAUCGGAUCUUGGUUUCUUCCGAAGUCGCGAUCGCGGGGCCGCCGCCACGAGUCGUCCACGUGAUCUGGCCGAUGGUGAACGUGAGGACUUCAGGUACAGCCACGGAAGCUGGAAUGAUGACCAUCUUGUUCGCCGAGAGAGCUGUACGCACACCCCCUACCUGGCGCGCCACUGUCGACGAAAGCUAUUCAGCAGUCUACCUUGGGGUAUACCCACGGUAGUAGUUUAUCAGUAGACGGUGUGCAAGCUACGAACUUGAUGGUGACGCAAGACACAGACAAGGUUUUUAUCCAGGUUCGGCCGCCGUGUGGGCGUAAUACCUAUGUCCUACGUCUGAUUGUAUUGGAUUGUGUCGAGAGAAUAAUCUAUUCUAAGGGGGGUCCCUUGCCCCUCCUUAUAUAGUCCGGAGGGUAGGGUUACAGAUCUGGAAACCAAUCUAGUCGGUUACAAUUGCCAUAGAUAGUACGAUAUCAAUUCCUAUUCUAACCGACCAGAAUCCGGCUUGAUCUCCACGUCCUGUUUCCUUGCGCAAAACUCCAAGCAGUUGGAUCAAGCCUCGAACUGUCCUCGCGAUGGGCCAAGCCUUCUAGCCCAAGUCUAGCCGUAAGGGUAUAGGGGUUUAUACCCCCACACAAACGAUGGGAAGAAACACACAAAUUAGACUCUAACAAGACCUAACCAGUAACAAGACCUCGACCAGGACACAAACUAAACACUACGGACUCUGAAACUGAAAUAUGCAAAGUCUAUGGCGCGGAUGGGUUGUAGGACAUGAAAACAAUAUGGCACUAGACAUAUAGGGCGAACACAAGGACACUCAAAACUAAAGGUAGAUGUGAACCUAACGGUAUGUCUGAAGCUUUGAUUACCACUUGAGGAGAACAAGUGUGGCCCGAUCUUCCAAAAGGUUCUGCAAACUAUUGAUUUGGUGGAAACAAGACACAAAUCAAUCUAGCUUGCGAACAACACGAUUUGAAACCCUGCAAUUCAUUUUAUUUUUAUUUAUAUUUUUCUUUUACUUAGGAGCACUCAAGAAGUAACCACAGGAAAUUUGAGCUUAAACAAGUGAAAGACGUGGCCUGUGGAAUUUUUUGAAGAUUGCGAAAAAUAUGAAAAUAAAGUUUAGGAGGUGAAAACUCAAACUUCAGAGGCGAAUUUGAGGAUUCUAAAAUUGUCGAACCCCCCCAUGGCGGGGAUAGACAGAUCCAAAUUUUUUUUGAUCGAUUUUGAUAUAUGGAACGUCAAAAUCGGAGUUCGUAUGUGAAAGUUAUGGCUGUUUUACGAACGGACUCUGAAUUAGAGGACAAAACGGUCCGGUAGUGGAAAAAAUUUACGGCGGUGGCUAGAAAUUAAUGGAAAUGGUGGGAAGAAACGCACAAAUUGGACUCUAGCAAGACCUAACCAGUAACAAUACCUUGACCAGGACACAAGCUCAACACUACGGACUCUGAAACUGAAAUAUGCAAAGGCUAUGGCGCGGAUGGGUUGUAGGACAUGAAAACCAUAUGGCACCAGACUUAUGGGACGAACACAAGGAAACUCGAAACUAAGGGUAGAUGUGAACCUAACGGUAUGUCUAAAGCUUUAAUUACCACUUGAGGAGAACAAGUGUGGCCCGAUCUUCCGAAAGGUUCUGGUAACUAUCGAUUUGGUGGAAACGAGACACAAAUCAAUCCAGCUUGCGAACAACACGAUUCGAAACCCUACAAUUCUUUUUAUUUUUUUUGAUAUUUUUGUUUUACUUAGGAGCAAUCAAGAAGUAACCACAAUAAAUUUGAGCUAAAACAAGUGAAAGACGUGGCCUGUGGAAUUUUUUGAAGAUUGCGAAAAAUAUGAAAAUAAAGUUUAGGAGGUGAAAACUCAAAUUUUCAGAGGCCAAUUUGGGGAUUCUUAAUUUCUCGAACACGCCUUUCGUGGGGAUAUACUGAUCCAAAAAAAAUUUUCUGAUCGAUUUUGAUAUAUGGAACGUCAAAAUCGGAGUUCGUAUGCAAAAUUUAUGGCUGUUUUACGAACGGACUCCGAAUUAGAGGACAAAACGGUUCGGAAGUGGGAAAAAUUUGUGGUGGUGGCUAGAAAUUGAUGGAAAUGGUGGGAAAAAACACACAAACUGGACUCAAACAAGACCUCGACCAGGACACAUACUCAACACUACGGACUCUGAAACUGAAAUAUGCAAAGGCUAUAGCGCGGAUGGGUUGUAGGACAUGAAAACAAUAUGGCACUAGACUUAUGGGACGAACACAAGGACACUCAAAACUAAGGGUAGAUGUGAACCUAACGGUAUGUUUGAGGCUUUGAUUACCACUUGAGGAGAACAAGUGUGGCCCGAUCUUCCAAAAGAUUUUGGUAACUAUCGAUUUAUUGGAAACGAGACACAAAUCAAUCCAGCUUGCGAACAACACGAUUCGAAACCCUACAAUUCUUUUUAUUUUUUUGUGAUAUUUUUCUUUUACUUAGGAGCACUCCAGAAGUAACCAUAGGAAAUUUGAGGUUAAACAAGUGAAAGAUGUGGCCUGUGGAAUUUUUUGAAGAUCGUGAAAAAUACAAAAAAAACUUUAGGAGGUGAAAACUCAAGCUUCGGAGGCAAAUUUGGGGAUUCUAAAAUUAUCAAACCUGCCCAUGGUGGGGAUAGAUAGAUCCAAAAUUUUUUUUGAUACAUUUUGAUAAAUGGAACAUUAAAAUCGGAGUUCGUAUGUGAAAGUUAUGGUUGUUUUAUGAACGGACUCCGAAUUAGAGGACAAAACGGUCCGGAAGUCGGAAAAAUUUGCGGCGGUGGCUAGAAAUUGAUGGAAACGGUGGAAAGAAACAAACAAAUUGGACUCUAACAAGACCCAACCAGUAACAAGACCUCGACCAGGACACAAACUCAACACUAAGGACUCUGAAACUAAAAUAUGCAAAGGCUAUGGCGCGGAUGGGUUGUAGGACAUGAAAACAAUAUGGCACUAGACUUAUGGGACGAAAACAAGGACACUUGAAACUAAGGAUAGCUAUGAACCUAACGGUAUGUCUGAAGCUUUGAUUACCACUUGAGGAGAACAAGUGUGGCCCGAUCUUCCGAAAGGUUCUGGUAACUAUCGAUUUGGUGGAAACGAGACACAAAUCAAUCCUCCUUACGAACAACACGAUUCGAAACCCUACAAUUCUUUUUAUUUUUUUUGAUAUUUUACUUUUACUUAGGAGCACUCAAGAAGUAACCAUAGGAAAUGUGAGCUUAAACAAGUGAAAGACGUGGCCUGUGGAAUUUUUUGAAAAUUGCAAAAAAUAUGAAUAAAAAACUUUAGGAGGUGAAAACUCAAACUUCAAAGGCGAAUUUGGAGAUUCUAAAAUUGUCGAACCUGCCCAUAGCGGGGAUAGAUAGAUCAAAAAAAAAAUUUUCUGAUCAAUUUUUAUAUAUGGAACAUAAAAAUCAGAGUUCGUAUGCGAAAGUUAUGGUUGUUUUAUGAACGGACUCCGAAUUAGAGGACAUAACGGUCCGGAAGUGGGAAAAAUUUGCGGCGGUGGCUAGAAAUUGAUGGAAACGGUGGGAAGAAACACACAAAUUGGACUCUAACAAGACCUAACCAGUAACAAGACCUCGACCAGGACACAAACUCAACACUACGGACUCUGAAACUGAAAUAUGCAAAGGCUAUGCACGGAUGGGUUGUAGGACAUGAAAACAUUAUGGCACUAGACUUAUAGGGCGAACACAAGGACACUCGAAACUAAAGGUAGAUGUGAACCUAACGGUAUGUCUGAAGCUUUGAUUACUGUUGAUGGUCCUUAAGUACUAAAUUUAACCAUCAAAUAAACAUGGAAAAGGAUCAAUAUGCACCAAACAUCUAGAAUUAGGGUUUUAUCUAACAGAAUUCCACGAGCUUUGGUGUUUAUCUAUUUCUGCAGGGGGUUAUCAGAGAAUAUGGAGAGAAGGCCCACAUGUCACGUUUACAACGAGAUAAUUAUGUGUCGCACAAUUUUCCUUAAUCUAGAAGAGUCCAGAAACCACGGGAACGAACGGGCUCGGGGGCAGGGCGCCCGCCCACCCUCCUUGGGCGCUCGACCUAGGUUGGAGUCCAAACAUAACUCUUUUCAGGGACCAAGCUCCACCGACCUAAAGGAUGAAUCUAAACCAUGCAAUCAAGGUCGGUUUGAUCCGACGGCCCAAAUUCACUUGAAAGGACUAUAUAACCAAGGCCUCUCCACCCCUGGGGCAGAGAAGAUAAGAGGAGAAAUCAUUAUCAGAGGUAGCCAUCAAAGUUAUAGUUUAGAGCUUCUCUCCCACAGAGAAUUAGAAUUAGCUACUCCCUAAUCCUUCAAGUUUAGAGGUUUGAUUAGAUAGCAAUUAGAGAAGUAGAGCACUACGCUCUGGAUUCGGAUCUUCGGUAAUAAAGAUUGGUAUUGUUCAUAUCUUUCUCUAAUACUUUGUUCUAAUUGCAUUAUGUCUCUAUUUAUUAUGCUCUUAGUUUGCUCUAGUUCUAUAUUUGAUAUAGUUAUGAUUGAUAAUGAGUUUAUGUAUAAGUUUGCAAAGCGCUUAGCUCUUGACACGAGGGAGUUAAGUGGUAGAUCACAUGUGGGCGUGGUGCUUAGAUGUUAUUUACCUGCAAAUGUAUCCUAUUGGCCGGGUCGUGUGGUAGUUCGCGAUAGUGACAGCUUCGUUGAUUCUUAUAUAGUCCACCCUCCGUUGAUAGGAUAGGCAGAACUUGUAUUGCAGAGUAAGUCUUGCGAUGUUCUGAUUUACUUUAGCAAUGUUCCUUAUACAUGAAUGAAGAGUAUUUUAUGCUAUACAUGAUCUUGUAGAUAACUAGAGUAGAUUGUGACUUAGUAGAUAGUAGAUAAUUUACAAUCCAUUCUCUAGCUAAUCCGACGUCACCUACGUAUAUGAGGAGUAGUCUAUUUUCUAAUCGCUGUGUUAUUUACCCUUGUACUUAUAAUUCAUUAUCACUAUCUUUAUGGUUUACCCCUGCUAAAGUAAGUGACUGUGUGACGAGUUUCUCAUUAGUAAUAAUGUUCUUGGUCUAUGCCUUGAUAAAUUCUGUCCCUAAUUUAAUUUCAUCCCUUUUAUUCUCUUAAGCAAAAUUAUAAAUAACGAUACCUGGAAUACUUAUCCUGGUGAAAUGCUACAAUGAGGUGUUUUAUCUUUGCGCUUGCGGAUAGAAUGGAUUAUUUUCUAAAGAGCCUUUACAUUUAUAAAUACCUUUGUACACUUUGGCACCAUGCUGGGGAUGACAACCUAGUAUCUAAGUGGUGUUAGCUAGUGUCAACAAGCAUUUCUGGCGCCGUUGCCGAGGAGCAAAAGGGUAACACAUAGGAACGGUAAGGAAAGUCAGGAAAUCAGUCAAGGUUAUUCACAUAAAAUAUUAGACUAGACUUUAGAGAAAUAAUUGCAUAAAAACAGCUACUAAGUGAGAAAUUAUAACAAGGCACCUCUGCUUUGGCAGGUUCACCCGGUUGUUUUUCUAUGUUUAUAUUUUUAUACAGGGUAUAUCAGGAUUGACUUUGGGUACAUUCAACUCUUCAUCAUUAGAACCAAAGCAAUCAAGAAAGAAAGAAGAAGCUAGCUACCAAUUGUUGAAGCUAUGGCACAGAAGACCCUACAAGAAUUCUCUGCUCCAAGUCUUGAGAACAUUCCAACUGGUCCAAGAUUUGCAGUAGAAGAAGGAGUACCCGAGUUUGAGCUCAAGUCAAGCCUCAUCAAUUUGGUACAAGCUACACAAUUCAGUGGAAAGGCACAUGAAGAUGCUAGUGCACACUUGCAGAAUUUCUUAGAGAUUGGAAGCACAAUCCACAUCAACGGAGUCGACAAAGACGUCAUACUACUUUGCCUUUUUCCAUUCUCACUAGAAGGAAGAGCGAGGAAGUGGUUCUACACUCAUCAAGAUAACAUCAACAACUGGACGAACUUGUCAGAUGCCUUUCUAUCAAAGUUUUUCCCUAUAGGAAAAACAACUGCCUUAAGAGGAAACAUUGUCAGUUUCCAACAGUAGAAGACAGAAAAUAUUUCAGAAGCAUGGGAGCGUUUUCAAGGAUAUAUAUCAGAUUGUCCUCACCAUGGAAUGGCCACAUGGUUACUUAUGUAGACCUUCUACCAUGGAUUAACCCAGAAGGCUCGUGAGUGCCUAGAUGCAUCUGCUAAAGGAUCAUUCUUGGAGCUUACAAUUGGAAAAGCAGAGAUACUUUUGGAUAAGAUAGCAGAAAAUCAAAGCUGGUUCCAAGAUAAAGCUCAACAUUGUCAUCAAACUGAAGAAAUACCAGAAGAAGUAAAAGCACUAUCAACCAAAAUGGAAAAUUUGCUCCAUUGGAUUGACCAGAGGGCCAAGUUCAAAGAAGAUCAAAGGGCCAUUGAGACAGCAUACAAAUAUCAGCCUACCUCAAGUAAACCCAAUAGCAAAGGUAUGAAUUCAGGUAACACUUUCAAGCAACUUUCAUUAAAAGAGAUAAUUGCUCAACAAACAAAAACUAAUGAUGAAGUUAAACAAAGGCUUGAUACAAAUGAAUCAUCUCUAAAAGAUAUACACAAUAAAAUGGAUUUUCUAUUAACUGCCUUUCAUGAGCAAAACACUCUUAAUAAAAGGGUAGAACUUAAAUUAAUAAAGCUAGCUGCUGCACUGCCUUUUACUACUAACAUUGAGCAGGUAAAGAAUAUAACUACUAGACGAGGCAAAGCCACCAGAGAUCCCCCAUACCCAAAAGAGAAACAAAGAACAUCAGCACCAGUGCAACCAGCAGUGAUAGAAGAAGAAAGCCCAGUUGAAGCAGAAGAUCUGCUGCAACCACGAAGAACUGGAGAAAUGAGGAAAUAUUUUUACGACACCAACUAUGUGCCAUUUCCCAGAAGAAACAGAGGACAACAGUCGGAUGAGCAGUUUGGUAAGUUUGUAGAGGUCAUUCAGAAAUUAUAUGUCAACAUACCUCUACUUGAUGCCAUACAGGUACCCACAUAUGCAAAGUACAUCCGAGAUAUUCUUAACAAGAAGAGGCCACUGCCCACCACUGAGGUUAUCAAGCUGACAGAAGAAUGUAGUGCGGCCAUCCUCAAUAAACCACCAAAGAAGAAGAAAGAUCCAGGAUGCCCCACUAUUGAUUGCUCGAUCGGAAACCAACACUUCAACAAUGCAGUUUGUGAUCUCGGAGCAAGUGUCAGUGCGAUGCUAGCAUCAGUCUACAAAAAGCUAGAGCAUACGACCCUAGAACCAACAUCAAUGUGCCUACAACUAGCGGAUCAAUCAGUUCGAAACCCGUUGGGUAUCGCCGAGAACAUUCCAGUCAAGAUCAGAGAUUUCCUGGUGCCAGUAGACUUCGUAGUACUAGACAUGAGUCCUGACUCAAAAGUGUCCAUCAUCCUUGGAAGGCCAUUUCUGAGCACUGCCAAUGCCCACAUUGAUGCGGGAAGGCAGAAAUCAAGUUCAACAUAAACGGACAAGAAGAACACUUCACAUUCAAACCCAGACCAGAGAGAGACACUACAGUGAAGGAAGUUCAUGAAGAACCAUUGGAGACACCAUCUCCGGAGGAAGAUAAUUCAGAAGAUUAAAAGAUUUGGAGGUCCAGCUUGGGGGACCUAAAAAUCCCAAACCCUCACCGGGAGGUAAAUCGGUAUUUAUCCGCAUCAUUAAUUCUUGCAUAAUUAAUUCUUGCAUUAGUCAUAUUUAUUCAUAGCAUUAUUAUAAUAAUAAAAAGCCCCAUAUAAAUAAUAUUUAUGGUGUGUAACAACCCAUAUUUAUUAAUUAUUGUGGAGGCACAAAAAUAUUUUUCAUUAUCAUUUCAAAUAAAUUUCAAUUCUCAUAGAUUUUCCUGCAUUAUAUUUAAUUAUAGCAACCUUCUAGAAGCAUGACCCACACUCCUUGGGUCCCACAUGUCAUACACCACACCUGACAUACAUCCCAUCACAUUAUUUGAUCCACCAACAUGUCUCCACUAACCAGCACUUUUCCACCGGCCAACCACCACCCAUGAUGCAUUAUUUUGCGUAAGAAUUAAGCAAAGAAGGGCAGCCAAGAUGGGCACCACAAGUGGGUGCCCGCCCACCUAUAGAGGGCGCCCGCCCUGCCCCCUCUUCCUCCUAUAAAUAGCCACCUUCUACCUCCAUCUUCUUCACACAAGCAUUCCAGAAAACCACAUAAGUUUCAGUUUCUAGAGAAGGAGCUCUUCUAGUGAAGUGAGAAGAGAGUAGAGAGAAAGAGAAGAGUGGGAAAGAAGUUGGUAGUUUUUGAGUGAGAGAGUGAGUUUCACCUAGUAAGUAGUGAUCCCACUGUCCAAAACGGAAGUAAAAGUUGUUUAAGGGGGAGGUUCUGCCAAAAUAGAAACUUGUCUUAAAUGACUAACCCCUGGACUACUGACAUUCCGGACAGCUAACCACUAACAUUUUCUCUCACAUUUUCCACUAGUUGUGUUUUUGCCAGCUUUUGUUUACAGGAUGUUCAAGAAGGUGAAGAACGCAGGGAAGGCUCUCAAGAACAUUGGUACAAGGAGUUCAUCCCGACACUCCUCACACCCAUCAGAGAUGAGCGUCGACCCGACGCCCACACAAGCUCCAUCAUCUUCAUCUAAUCAGCAAGUCAAGGUCCUUCUCAAGAUAGGAGACCUUGGACUAAAGACCCGAAGAGAGAAGGAAGUAUACCAGCAACUGAAGAACAAAGAUUUCAUUCACACCCCUACUCUUGAUCCAAUCUUGCUACAAGAAACAGGUAUGGACACUGAAUUCGACUUAAUUUUCCAGAUGUUAGGUUGGACAAAUUUUUGGAAUAUAACUGAGCUGGGUUCUCGUCUUCUCACCCUCGAAUUUCUUUGCACUUUACAAUAUUAUGAGGGGGGAAUUGUUUUUCGGAUGUUCAAACAGGAGAUUAUGUUGUCUUGGAGAGAACUGACCGACCAUCUUGGUUUCUCUUCAAGAUGCAUCCUUAACAUUGACUCCGACCUACCCAAUUUUGAGAGACACCAGUACUGGAGAGAGAUAUCUAGAGAUAAUUUUUAUAGUCAAGCCCAAACCAGUGACAUGGAACACCCCACUCUUAGGAUGUUCCACAAAUGGCUUCGGUACAAUCUUUUCUAUCGUGAUGAUAUUAGGAAAGUAAGAGUAGGAGAUUUGCAACUUUUAUAUGCUGCUAUUAAUAAAGUACCCACUUCACCUGUUACACUUUUAGUUUCUCAUUGGCUUAGUAUACCUAGUCUUCAGGGACCAGUAGGAUGUACUUCACUUAUCACUCGUCUAGCCUCUAAUCUUCACUUGCUAGAAAACUCGUCGUUGGACUUCAUAGAUGAGUUAAGAAUUUAUCAUGGCUAUGACACAUUUAGACAAGCUCAGAUGUUAAAGAAAGAGGGGAACAUAAUGUAUAUGCUAUAUGAUGAUAAAGGCAAGAUUCAGUUAUCUAACCCGAACCUUGGCCUCUACGUUGUUCAAAAUUUUUUGAUUGAGAUUGCAGCAACAACGGUGAACCAGAGAGCUCCACAACGAGUGGCAUCUAAAAGGAUGACCACCCAUCAAGAACGCACCUGGUAUGGAGCUGAUCCCGGGCUAGAAGAAGCAGCGCACCUGCAUUAUCGCGACUACAACCCUUGAGUCCUUCGAGACCCAUGGGUUCGACAUGCGCAACCACAAGAGCCUACACAGGAGACAUGGCCGGAGAGCCAAGAUCACCAGUGGACAAACCCACCUUUUGAUACGGGCAGGUACUCCACUGAUCCAUAUGGAGCUUCAGGAUCCUGACCUCCACCCCAAUUUGAUGCAGGACGAUACUCCGACGCCUCCUACGCUUUCACGAAUGACUACUACCAAGUGGCCGACGCUUUCUUCACCCGUACCGACAACACCCUCCUCAACAUCCAGAACACGCAAGCAGAAUAUGGACGACUCCUGGAAGAGCAACAAAAAUGGAACCAGGACCACGCCACUGCAGUACAAGAGCUGAGACAAGAUACAACAACAAUGAACGACAACAUCACAACCAUGAUGUGGUUCUGGAACAUCGGGUAAGACCGACAUCAACAUCCAGCUUGGGGGAGUUCCUCCCCAAUUUAUCAAGUAAGUUUUUAUUUGCUCUUCUUAUUUAUUCUUUUCUAUUUUAGUAUUUUAUCUUAAAGAGAAAAACUUAGAAAACCCAAUAAAUUUUUUUUGCUUUAAUUUACUGCAUUUUAUAAACAUGAAAACAAAAUAAAAAGAGUGUGUAGAUAAGUGUGCUUUAUUUAUCUGCUAAGUGUUAAUCUCUAGAAAAAUAAAAAGACCAAAAAGAUGCAUGAUGGAAAUGAUGAACAGUUGCUCUGUUUGCUUACUUUCAAGUACCUAGCUUUUAUAUUAGAAUUCUUCCAGGAAUUACUAAAAACUAAAAUUAUUAUCUAUGGGAAACAUAAAACUAAAAGUCUAGGUAAGAGAAAGGCAUGAUAUAAAGUUUGAGCUGUUGUUUAUCUUGUUCCUACUACACUAAGUUCUGGAGAUUUAUUUUGGAAACUUACAAAUCACAUGAUGAGUUACUAGCAUUACAAAAUUCCUGCCACAGCCAUACUUGCUAUAACAUCUUUUAUUCACAUUGAGUUUGAUCGAGCUAUGUAGACCCUUAGGAGCAUUUCAUGUGGUUAAAUUAAGAUAUUCACUUGCACACAUCUACUACACCAUUCACCACCAUUCAUUAAAAAUUGCUAAAAAUAAUAUUAUCACUCACUGUCCCAAAUGUUGUUAUUCUCUCUCUAAAAAUAUUCAAUGCAGAAGAGGCAUGGGUUAUGCAAAAAUAUGCGAGGAAAUAAAAAGGGGCAAGUGCCCGGAACCUCGGAAAAGAAAGAAAAUGAGUGAGACGAGAGGUAAAAAUGGACAAGUGUCCGGAGUAGAAUUAGGGGUACAAAGAUGCCCACUUGAGCGGAAAAAAAUGGACAAGUGUCCGACAGUACAAUUAGGGGUAUCUACUACCCACCUGAAAAAAAGAAGAAAAAGAUAGCCCAUGUUCUCCCAAAGCAAAGAUCAAAGAAGAGGAGAGGUAGCAAUAUGAGGAGCAAUGAGAAGUGAGCUUUAUCAUUACCUAUAUUUUCACCAUCACUAUCAUUUACUCCAUCACACAUGCACAUCUUGAUUUAAUUAUAUGCUGAGUUCCUUUAGGAUCCAUGGCUCAAUUAGACAACAUAUGUAUGAGCUGUUUUUCACUCCUAUGAGCUCCACUUAAAUAUUCCAUUAGCUAUAGGUAAGUGACAUUUUGGUAAGGAUCCACAAAUACCACAUAUAGAGAGACUUGAGAGAAUCAUUGCUGGGAACUCUGAGUUUUAUUUUGAAAACUCAUGAAAAACUCUGGAACAAAGGUGAAGUAUAGAUAGGAGGAAUAGUGCUUGACUUAAUAUUUUGUCUUGCAAUUACUUAAGACUUAAGUGCAGGUACUAAGCUCCAUAACACUUCACUCUAAUCUAGAAAAAUUUUAUAAAAGCAUGUGUGCCUGUCAGGAAAGAAAACAUCAAAGCAACUCCUGAUCCAUCUGAGUUUAGCUGUUUGCUCAGGGAUGAGCAAAGGGUAAGCUUGGGGGAGUUUGUUGACGGUCCUUAAGUACUAAAUUUAUCCAUCAAAUAAACAUGGAAAAGGAUCAAUAUGCACCAAACAUCUAGAAUUAGGGUUUUAUCUGACAGAAUUCCAUGAGCUUUGGUGUUUAUCUAUUUCUGCAUGGGGUUAUCAGAGAAUAUGGAGAGAAGGCCCACAUGUCAUGUUUACAACGAGAUAAUUAUGUGCUGCGCAAUAUUCCUCAAUCUAGAAGAGUCCAGAAGCCACGGGAACGAACGGAAGACCGAACGGGCUCAGGGCCAGGGUGCCCGCCCACCCCCCUUGGGCGCCUGCCCUGGGUCGGAGUCCAAACAGAACUCUUUUCGGGGACCAAGCUCCACCAACCUAAAGGAUGAAUCUAAACCAUGCAAUCAAGGUCGGUUUCAUCCGACGGCCCAAAUUCACUUGAAAGGACAAUAUAACCAAGGCCUCUCCACCCCUGGUGGAGAGAAAAGAAGAGGAUAAAUCAUUAUCAGAGGUAGCCAUCAAAGUUAGGGUUUAGAGCUUCUCUCCCACAGGGAAUUAGAAUUAGCUAAUCCCUAAUCCUUCAAGUUUAGAGGUUUGAUUAGAUAGCAAUUAGAGAAGUAGAGCACUACGCUCUAGAUUCGGUUCUUCGGUAAUAAAGAUUGGUAUUGUUCAUAUCUUUCUCUAAUACUUUGUUCUAAUUGCAUUAUGUCUCUAUUUAUUAUGCUCUUAGUUUGCUCUACUUCUAUAUUUGAUAUAGUUAUGAUUGAUAAUGAGUUUAUGUAUAAGUUUGCAAAGCGCUUAGCUCUUGACGCGAGGGACUUAAGUGGUAGAUCACAUGUGGGUGUGGUGCUUAGAUGUUAUUUACCUGCAAAUGUAUCCUAUUGGCCUGGUCGUGUGGUAGUUCACGAUAGUGACAGCUUCGUUGAUUCUUAUAUAGUCCAGCCUCCGUUGAUAGGAUAGGCAGAACUUGUAUUGCGGAGUAAGUCUUGCGAUGUUCUAAAUUACUUUAGCAAUGUUCCUUAUACAUGAAUGAAGAGUCUUUUAUGCUAUACAUGAUCUUGUAGAUAACUAGAGUAGAUUGUGACUUAGUAGAUAGUAGAUAAUUUAGAAUCCAUUCUCUAGCUAAUCCGACGUCACCUACAUAUAUGAGGAGUAGUCUAUUUUCUAGUCGCUGUGUUAUUUACCCUUGAACUUAUAAUUCAUUAUCAUUAUCUUUAUGGUUUACCCCCUGCUAAAGUAAGUGACUGUGUGACGAGUUUCUGAUUAGUAAUCAUGUUCUUGCAAGUUUAUCUCUAGUCUAUGCCUUGAUAAAUUCUGUCCUUAAUUUAAUUUCAUCCCUUUUGUUCUCUUAAGCAAAAUUAUAAAUAACGAUACAUGGAAUACUUAUCCUGGUAAAAUGCUACAAUGAGGUGUUUUAUCUGUGCGCUUGCGGAUAGAAUGGAUUAUUUUCUAAAGAGUCUUUACAUUUAUAAAUACCUUUGUACACUUUGGCACCAUGCUGGGGAUGACAACCUAGUAUCUAAGUGGUGUUAGCUAGUGUCAACAAUUACCACUUGAGGAGAACAAGUGUGGCCCGAUCCAUUCUGGUAACUAUCGAUUUAGUGGAAACGAGACACAAAUCAAUCCAGCGUGCGAACAACACGAUUCGAAACCCUACAAUUCUUUUUUUUAUAUUUUUCUUUUACUUAUAAGCACUCAAGAAGUAAUCAUAGGAAAUUUGAGGUUAAACUAGUGAAAGAUGUGGCCUGUGCAAGUUUUUGAAGAUUGCAAAAAAUAUGAAAAAAAAACUUUAGGAGGUGAAAACUCAAACUUCAGAGUCGAAUUUGAGGAUUCUAAAAUUAUGAAACCUGCCCAUGGCGGGGAUAGACAGAUCCAAAUGUUUUUUUUGAUCGAUUUUUAUAUAUGGAACAUCAAAAUCGGAGUUUGUAUGCGAAAGUUAUGGCUGUUUUACAAACGGACUCCAAAUUAGAGGACAAAUCGGUCCAGAAGUGGAAAAAAUUUGCGGCGGUGGCUAGAAAUUGAUGGAAACGGUGUGAAGAAACAUACAAAUUAGACUCUAACAAGACCUAACUAGUAACAAGACCUAGACCAGGACACAAACUCAACACUACGUACUAUGAAACUGAAAUAUGCAAAGGCUAUGGCGCAGAUAGAUUGUAGGACAUGAAAACAAUAUGGCACCAGACUUAUGGGACGAACACAAGGACACUCGAAACUAAGGGUAGAUGUGAACCUAACGGUAUGUGUGAAGCUUUGAUGACCACUUGAGGAGAACAAGUGUGGCCCAAUCUUGCGAAAGGUUCUGGUAACUAUCGAUUUGGUGGAAACGAGACACAAAUCAAUCCAGCUUGCGAACAACACGAUUCGAAACCCUGCAAUUCUUUUUAUUAUUUUUUUUGAUAUUUUUCUUUUACUUAGGAGCACUUAAGAAGUAACCACAGGAAAUUUGAGCUUAAACAAGUAAAAGACGUGGCCUGUGGAAAUUUUUGAAGAUUGUGAAAAAUAUGAAAAUAAACUUUAAGAGGUUAAAACACAAAAUUCAGAGGCGAAUUUGGGGAUUCUAAAUUUAUGGAACCCGCCUAUGGAGGGUAUAGACAGAACCAAAAAUUUUUUUUAUCGAUUUUGAUAUAUGGAACGUCAAAAUCGGAGUUCGUAUGCGAAAGUUAUGGCUGUUUUACGAACGGACUCCGAAUUAGAGGACAAAACGGUCAGGAAGUGGGAAAAAUUUGCGGCGGUGUCUAGAAAUUGAUGGAAACGGUGGGAAGAAACACACAAAUUGGACUCUAACAAGACCUAACCAGUAACAAGACCUCGACCUGGACACAAACUCAACAGUACAGGCUCUGAAACUGAAAUAUGCAAAGGCUAUGGUGCGGAUAGAUUGUAGGACAUGAAAACAACAUGGCACCAGACUUAUGGGACGAACACAAGGACACUCGAAACUAAGCGCAGAUGUAAACCUAAUGGUAUGUCUGAAGCUUUGAUUACCACUUGAGGAGAACAAGUGUGGCCCGAUCUUCCGAAAGUUUAUGGUAACUAUCGAUUAGGUGGCAACGAGACACAAAUCAAUCCAGCUUGCGAACAACACGAUUCGAAACCCUAUAAUUCUUUUUAUUUUUUUUGAUAUUUUUCUUUUACUUAGGAGCGCUCAAGAAGUAACCACACGAAAUUUGAGCUUAAACAAGUGAGGGACGUGGCCUGUGGAAUUUUUUUUAGAUUGCGAAAAAUAUGAAAAUAAACUUUAGGAGGUGAAAACUCAAAUUUAAGAGCCGAAUUUGGGGAUUCUAAAUUUGUCGAACCCGCCUAUGGAGGGGAUAGACAGAUCCAAAAUUUUUUUGAUUGAUUUUGAUAUAUGGAAGAUCAAAAUCGGAGUUCGUAUGCGAAAGUUAUGGCUGUUUUACGAACGGACUCCAAUUUAGAGGACAAAACGGUCCGGAAGUGGGAAAAAUUUGCAGCGGUGGCUAGAAAUUGAUGGAAACGGUGGGAAGAAAAGCACAAAUUAGACUCUAACAAGACCUAACUAGUAACAAGACCUCGACCAGGACACAAACUCAACACUACGGACUCUGAAACUGAAAUAUGCAAAGGCUAUGGCGCGGAUAGAUUUUAGGUCAUGAAAACAAUAUGGCACCAGACUUAUGGGACGAACACAAGGACACUCGAAACUAAGGGUAGAUGAGAACGUAACGGUAUGUCUGAAGCUUUGAUGACCACUUGAGGAGAACAAGUGUGGCCCGAUCUUGCGAAAGGUUCUGGUAACUAUCGAUUUGGUGGAAACGAGACACAAAUCAAUCCAGCUUGCGAACAACACGAUUCGAUACCCUGCAAUUCUUUUUAUUUUUUUGAUAUUUUUCUUUUACUCUGGAGCACUCAGGAAGUAACCACAGGAAAUUUGAGCUUAAACAAGUGAAAGACGUGGCCUGUGGAAUUUUUUGAAUAUUGUGAAAAAUAUAAAAAAACAUUAGGAGGUGAAAACUCAAAUUUAAGAGGCAAAUUUGGGGAUUCUAAAAUUGUCGAACCCGCUAAUUGCGGGGAUAGACGGAUCCAAAAAUUUUUUCUGAUCGACUUUUAUAUAUGGAAUGUCAAAAUCGGAGUUUGUAUACGAAAGUUAUGGCUGUUUUACGAACGGAGUUCGAAUUAGAGGACAAAAUGGACCGGAAGUGUUAAAAAUUUACGGCGGUGGCUAGAAAUUGAUGGAAACAGUGGGAACAAACACACAAAUUGGACUCUAACAAGACCUAACAAGUAACAAGACCUUGACCAGGACACAAACUCAACACUACGGACUCUGAAACUGAAAUAUGCAAAGGCUAUGGCGCGGAUAGAUUGUAGGACAUGAAAACAAUAUGGCACCAGACUUAUGGGACGAACACAAGGACACUUGAAACUAUGGGUAGAUGUGAACCUAACGGUAUGUCUGAAGCUUUGAUGACCACUCGAGGAGAACAAGUGUGGCCCGAUCUUGCGAAAGGUUCUGGUAACUAUCGAUUUGGUGGAAACGAGACACAAAUCAACCCAACUUGCGAACAACAUGAUUCGAAACCCUGCAAUUCUUUUUAUUUAUUUUUUUUAAUAUUUUUCUUUUACUUAGGAGCACUCAAGAAGUAAUUUGAGCUUAAACAAGUGAAAGACGUGGCCUGUGGAAUUUUUUGAAGAUUGCGAAAAAUAUGAAAAACAAAACUUUAGGAGGUGAGAACUCAAACUUCAGAGACGAAUUUGGAGAUUCUAAAAUUGUCGAACCCGCCUAUGGAGGGGAUAGACAGAUCCAAAAAUUUUUUGAUCAAUUUUGAUAUAUGGAACAUAAAAAUCGGAGUUUGUAUGCGAAAGUUAUGGCUGUUUUACGAAUGGACUCCGAAUUAGAGGACAAAACGGUCCGGAAGUGGGAAAAAUUUGCGGAGGUGGCUAGAAAUUGAUGGAAACGGUGGGAAAAAACACACAAACUGGACUCUAACAAGACCUAACCAGUAACAAGACCUCGACCAGGACACAAACUCAACACUACGGACUCUGAAACUGAAAUAUGCAAAGGCUAUGGCGCGGAUGCGUUGUAGGACAUGAAUACAAUAUGACACUAGACUUAUGGGACGAACACAAGGACACUUGAAACUAAGGGUAGAUGUGAACCUAACGGUAUGUUUGAAGGUUUGAUGUCCACUUGAGGAGAACGAGUGUGGCCCGAUCUUGCGAAAGGUUGUGGUAACUAUCGAUUUGGUGGAAACGAGACACAAAUCAAUCUAGCUUGCGAACAACACGAUUCGAAACCCUGCAAUUCUUUUUAUUUUUUUGAUAUUUUUGUUUUACUUAGGAGCACUCAAGAAGUAACCAUAGGAAAUUUGAGCUUAAACAAGUGAAAGACGUGGCCUGUGGAUUUUUUUGAAGAUUGCAAAAAAUAUAAAACAAACUUUAGGAGGUGAAAACUCAAAAUUAAGAGGCAAAUUUGGGGAUUCUAAAAUUGUCGAACCCGCCUUUGGCGGGGAUAGACAGAUACAAAAAAAAUUUCAGAUAUAUUUUGAUAUAUGGAACGUCAAAAUCGGAGUUCGUAUGCGAAAGUUAUGGCUGUUUUACGAACGGACUCCGAAUUAAAGUACAAAACGGUCCGGAAGUGGAAAAAAAUUGCGGUGGUGGCUAGAAAUUGAUGGAAACUGUGGGAAAAAACACACAAACUGGACUCUAACAAGACCUAACCUGUAACAACUCGACCAGGACACAAACUCAACACUACGGACUCUGAAACUGAAAUAUACAAAGGCUAUGGCGAAGAUGGGUUGUAGGACAUGAAAACAGUAUGGCACUAGACUUAUGAGACGAACACAAGGACACUCGAAACUAAGUGUAGAUGUGAACCUAACGGUAUGUCUGAAGCUUUGAUUACCACUUGAGGAGAACAAGUGUGGCCCGAUCUUCCGAAAGGUUCUGGUAACUAUCGAUUUGGUGGAAACUAGACACAAAUCAAUCCACCUUGCGAACAACACGAUUCGAAACCCUGCAAUUCUUUUUAUUAUUUUUUUGAUAUUUUUCUUUUACUUAGGAGCACUCAAGAUGUAAUGUGAGCUUAAACAAGUCAAAGACGUGGCCUGUGGAAUUUUUUGAAGAUUGCGAAAAAUAUGAAAAAAAACUUUAGCAGGUGAAAACUCAAACUUCAGAGGCGAAUUUGGAGAUUCUAAAAAUGUCGAGCCCGCCUUUGGAGGGGAUAGACAGAUCCAAAAUUUUUUUGAUCAAUUUUGAUAUAUGGAACAUUAGAAUCGGAGUUCGUAUGCGAAAGUUAUGGCUGUUUUACGAACGGACUCCGAAUUAGAGGACAAGUCGGCCCGGAAGUGGGAAAAAUUUGCGGCGGUGGCUAGAAAUUCAGGAAACGGUGGGAAGAAACACUCAAAUUGGACUCUAACAAGACCUAACCAGUAACAAGACCUCGACCAGGACACAAACUCAACACUACGGACUCUGAAACUGAAAUAUGCAAAGGCUAUGGCGCACAUAGAUUGUAGGACAUGAAAACAAUAUGGCACCAGACUCAUGGGACGAACACAAGGACACUCAAAACUAAGGGUAGAUAUGAACCUAACGGUAUGUCUGAAGCUUUGAUGACCACUUGAGGAGAACAAGUGUGGCCCGAUCUUGCGAAAGGUUCUGGUAACUAUCGAUUUGGUGAAAACGAGACACAAAUCAACCCUGCUUGCGAACAACACGAUUCGAAACCCUGCAAUUCUUUUUAUUUUUUAUUAUAUUUUUCUUUUACUUAGGAGCACUCAAGAAGUAAUUUGAGCUUAAACAAGUGAAGAUUGCGAAAAAUAUGAAAAAAAAAACUUUAGGAGGUGAGAACUCAAACUUCAGAGGCGAAUUUGUAGAUUCUAAAAUUGUCGAACCCGCCUAUGGAGGGGAUAGACAGAUCCAAAAAUUUUUUGAUCGAUUUUGAUAUAUGGAACAUCAAAAUCAGAGUUUGUAUGCGAAAGUUAUGGCUGUUUUACGAACGGACUCCGAAUUAGAGGACAAAACGGUCCGGAAGUGGGAAAAAUUUAUGGAGGUGGCUAGAAAUUGAUGGAAACGGUGGGGAAAAACACACAAACUGGACUCUAACAAGACCUAACCAGUAACAAGACCUCGACCAGGACACAAACUCAACACUACGGACUCUAAAACUGAAAUAUGCAAAGGCUAUGGCGCGGAUGCGUUGUAGGACAUGAAAACAAUAUGGAACUAGACUUAUGGGAUGAACACAAGGACACUUGAAACUAAGGGUAGAUGUGAGCCUAACAGUAUGUUUGAAGCUUUGAUGACCACUUGAGGAGAACAAGUGUGGCCCGAUCUUGCGAAAGGUUCUGGUAACUAUCGAUUUGGUGGAAACGAGACACAAAUCAAUCCAGCUUACAAACAACACGAUUCGAAACCCUGCAAUUCUUUUUAUUUUUUUGAUAUUUUUCUUUUACUUAGUAGCACUCAAGAAGCAACCAUAGGAAAUUUGAGCUUAAACAAGUGAAAGACAUGGCCUGUGGAAUUUUUUGAAGAUUGUGAAAAAUAUAAAAAAAACUUUAGGAGUUGAAAACUCAAAAUUAAGAGGCAAAUUUGGGGAUUCUAAAAUUAUCGAACCCGCCUUACGCGGGGAUAGACAUAUACAAAAAAAUUUUCAGAUCGAUUUUGAUAUAUGGAUCGUCAAAAUCGGAGUUCGUAUGCGAAAGUUAUGGCUGUUUUACGAACGGACUCCGAAUUAGAGGAUAAAACGGUCCGGAAGUGGAAAAAAUUUGCGCUGGUGGCUAGAAAUUGAUGGAAACUGUGGGAAAAACACACAAACUGGACUCUAACAAGACCUAACCAGUAACACCUCGACCAGGACACAAACUCAAAACUACGGACUCUGAAACUGAAAUAUGCAAAGGCUAUGGCGCAGAUGCGUUGUAGGACAUGAAAACAGUAUGGCACUAGACUUAUGGGACGAACACAAGGACACUCGAAACUAAGUGUAGAUGUGAACCUAAUGGUAUGUCUGAAGCUUUGAUUACCACUUGAGGAGAACAAGUGUGGCCCGAUCUUCCGAAAGGUUAUGGUAACUAUCGAUUUGGUGGAAACUAGACACAAAUCAAUCCACCUUGCGAACAACACGAUUCGAAACCCUACAAUUCUUUUUAUUAUUUUUUUGAUAUUUUUCUUUUACUUAGGAGCACUCAAGAAGUAAUUUGAGCUUAAACAAGUGAAAGACGUGGCCUGUGGAAUUUUUUGAAGAUUGCGAAAAAUAUGAAAAAAAAACUUUAGCAGGUGAAAACUCAAAUUUAACAGGCGAAUUUGGGGAUUCUAAAUUUGUCGAACCCGCCUAUGGAGGGGAUAGACAGAUCCAAAAAAUUUUUGAUCAAUUUUGAUAUAUGGAACAUCAAAAUCGGAGCUCGUAUGCGAAAGUUAUGGCUGUUUUACGAACGGACUCCGAUUUAGAGGACAAAUCGGUCCGGAAGUAGGAAAAAUUUGGGGCGGUGGCUAGAAAUUGAUGGAAACAGUGGGAAGAAACACACAAAUUGGACUCUAACAAGACCUAACCAAUAACAAGACCUCGACCAGGAUACAAACUCAACACUACGGACUCUGAAACUGAAAUAUGCAAAGGCUAUAACGCAGAUAAAUUGUUGGACAUGAAAACAAUAUGGCACCAGACUUAUAGGACGAACACAAGGACACUCGAAACUAAGGGUAGAUGUGAACCUAAUGGUAUGUUUGAAGCUUUGAUGACCACUUGAGGAGAACAAGUGUGGCCCGAUCUUGCGAAUGGUUCUGGUAACUAUCGAUUUGGUGGAAACGAAACACAAACCAAUCCAGUUUGCGAACAACACGAUUCGAAACCCUACAAUUCUUUUUAUUUUUUUUGAUAUUUUUCUUUUACUUAGGAGCACUCAAGAAGUAACCACAGGAAAUUUGAGCUUAAACAAGUGAAAUACGUAGCCUGUGGAAUUUUUUGAAGAUUGCGAAAAAUAUAAAAAAAACUUUAGGAGGUGAAAACUCAAAAUUAAGAGGAAAAUUUGGGGACUCUAAAUUUGUCGAACCCGCCUUUGGCAGGGAUAGACAGAUCCAAAAAUUUUUUCUGAUCGCUUUUGAUAUAUGGAACAUCAAAAUCGGAGUUCGUAUGCGAAAGUUAUGGCUAUUUUACCAACGGACUCCGAAUUAGAGGACAAAACGGUCCGGAAGUGGGAAAAAUUUGCGGUGGUGGCUAGAAAUUGAUGGAAACGGUGGGAAAAAACACACAAACUGGACUCUAACAAGACCUAACCAGUAACAAGACCUCGACCAGGACACAAACUCAACACUACGGACUCUGAAACUGAAAUAUGCAAAGGCUAUUGCACGGAUGCGUUGUAGGACAUGAAAACAAUAUGGCACUAGACUUAUGGGACGAACACAAGGACACUCGAAACUAAAGGUAGAUGUGAACCUAACGGUAUGUCUAAAGCUUUGAUUACCACUUGAGGAGAACAAGUGUGGCCCGAUCUUCCGAAAGGUUGUGGUAAAUAUCGAUUUGGUGGUAACGAGGCACAAAUCAAUCCACCUUGCGAACAACACGAUUCGAAACCCUACAAUUCUUUUUAUUUUUUUGAUAUUUUUCUUUUACUUAGCAGCACACAAGAAGUAACCAUAGGAAAUUUGAGCUUAAACAAGUGAAAGACAUGGCCUGUGGAAUUUUUUGAAGAUUGCAAAAAAUAUGAAAAUAAACUUUAUGAGGUGAAAACACAAAUUGAAGAGGCAAAUUUGGGGAAUCUAAAUUUGUCGAACCCGCCUAUGGAGGGGAUAGACAGAUCCAAAAAAUUUUUGAUCGAUUUUGAUAUAUGGAACAUCAAAAUCGGAGUUCGUAUGCGAAAGUUAUGGUUGUUUUACGAACGGACUCCGAAUUAGAGGACAAAACGGUCCGGAAGUGGGAAAAAUUUGCGGCGAUGGCUAGAAAUUGAUGGAAACGGUGGGAAGAAACACACAAAUUAGACUCUAACAAGACCUAACCAGUAACAAGACCUCGACCAGGACACAAACUCAACACUACGGAUGUUGACGGUCCUUAAGUACUAAAAUUAAUAAUCAAAUAAACAUGAAAAGGGAUCAAUAUGAAACAAACAUCUAGAAUUAGGGUUUUAUCUGACAGAAUUCCAUGAGCUUUGGUGUUUAUCUAUUUCUGCAGGGGUUUAUCAGAAAAUAUGGAGAGAAGGCCCACAUGUCAUGUUUACAACGAGAUAAUUACGUGCCGCGCAAUUUUCCUCAAUCUAGAAGGAUCCAGAAGCCACGGGAACGAACGGGAGGCGAUUCGGGCUCGGGGGCUGGGCGCCCGCCCACCCCCCUUGGGCGCCCGCCCAGGGUUGGAGUCCAACCAGGACUCUGCUUCGGGACAACGCUUCACCGACCUAAAGGAUCAAUCUAAACCAUACAAUCUAUGUCGGUUUGAUCCAAUGGCUCACGUUCACUUGAGGGGACUAUAAAACCAGACCCCCUGACCCCUGGAGGAGAGAGGAGAAAUCAUUAUUCAGAGGUAGCCAUCAAAGUUAGGGUUUAGAGCUUCUCUCCCACAGAGAAUUAGAAUUAGCUACUCCCUAAUCCUUCAAGUUUAGAGGUUGAUUAGAUAGCAAUUAGAGAAGUAGAGCACUACGCUCUAGAUUCGGAUCUUCGGUAAUAAAGAUUGGUAUUAUUCAUAUCUUUCUAUAAUUCUAUUGUUCUAAUUGCAUUAUGUCUCUAAUUAUUAUGUUCUUAGUUUGCUCUAGUUCUAUAUUUGAUAUAGUUCUAAUUGAUAAUGAGUUUAUGUAUAAGUUUGCAAAGCGCUUAGCUCUUGACGCGAGGGAGUUAGGUGAUAGAUCACAUGUGAGCGUGGUGCUUAGAUGUUAUUUAUCUGCAAAUAUAUCCUAUUGGCCGGGUCGUGUGGUAGUUCGCGAUAGUGACAGCUUCGUUGAUUCUUAUAUAGUCCACCCUCCGUGGAUAGGACAGGCAGAACCGGUAUUGUGGAGUAAGUCAUGCGAUGUUCUGAUUUACUUUAUCAAUGUUCCUUAUACAUGAAUGAAGAGUCUUUUAUGCUAUACAUGAUCUUGUAGAUAACUAGAGUAGAUUAUGACUUAGUAGUUAGUAGAUAACUUAGAAUCCAUUCUCUAGCUAAUCCGACAUCACCUACAUAUAUGAGGAGUAGUCUAUUUUCUAAUCGCUGUGCUCUUUAUCCCAUGAACUUAUACUUUAUUAUCAUUAUCUUUAUGGUUUACCCCCUGCUAAAGUAUGUGACUAUGUGACGAGUUUCUUAUUAGUAAUCAUGUUCUUGCAAGUUUAUCUCUAGUCUAUGCCUUGAUAGAUUUUGCCCCUUUAAUUUAAUUUCAUCUUCUUGAGAUCCCUAGAGCAAAAUUAUAAAUAACGAUACCUGGAAUACUUAUCCUGGUGAAAUGCUACAAUGAGGUGUUUUAUCUGUGCGCUUGCGGAUAGAAUAGAUUAUUUUCUAGCGAGCCUUUACAUUUAUAAAUACCUUUGUACACUCUGGCGCCAUGCUAGGGAUGACAACCUAGUAUCUAAGUGGUGUUAGCUAGUGUCAACAAGCAUUUCUGGCGCCGUUGCCGAGGAACUUAUAGGAAUUAUAUGAGUCUUAGGAAUAAGUCAUAAAAGGGAACAAAAGGGUAAUAUUAAGGAAAGCCAGAAAAUCGAUCAAGGUUAUUCAUAUAAAAUAUUAGACUAGACUAUAGAGAAAUAAUUGCAUAAAACAGCUACUAAGUGAGAAAUCAUAACAAGGCACCUCUGCUUUGGCAGGUUCACCCUAUUGUUUUUCUAUGUUUAUAUUUUUAUACAGGGUAUAACAGGAUUGACUUUGGGUACAUUCAACUCUUCAUUAUCAGAACCAAAGCAAUCAAGAGAAGAAGAAGCUAGCUACCAAUUGCUGAAGCUAUGGCACACAAGACCUUGCAAGAAUUCUCUGCUCCAAGCCUUGAGAACAUUCCAACUGGUCCAAGAUUUGCAGUAGAAGAAGGAAUACCUGAGUUUGAGCUCAAGUCAAGCCUCAUCAAUUUGGUACAAGCUACACAAUUCAGUGGAAAGGCACAUGAAGAUGCCAGUGCACACUUGCAGAAUUUCUUAGAGACUGGGAGCACAAUCCACAUCAAUGGAGUUGACAAAGACGUCAUACUGCUUCGCCUCUUUCCAUUCUCACUAGAAGGAAAAGCGAGGAAGUGGUUCUACACUCAUCAGGAUAACAUCAACAACUGGACGAACUUGUCAGAUGCCUUUCUAUCAAAGUUUUUCCCUAUAGGCAAAACAACUGCCUUAAGAGGAAAUAUUGUUAGUUUCCAACAGCGGAAGACAGAAGCCAUUUCAGAAGCAUGGGAGCGUUUUCAAGGAUACGUAUCAGAUUGUCCUCACCAUGGAAUGGCCACAUGGUUACUUAUGCAGACCUUCUACCAUGGAUUAACCCAGAAGACUCGUGAGUGCCUAGAUGCAUCUGCUAAAGGAUCAUUCUUGGAGCUUACAACUGGAAAAGCAGAGAUACUUUUGGAUAAGAUAGCAGAAAACCAAAGCUGGUUCCAAGAUAAAGCUCAACAAUGUCAUCAAACUAAAGAAAUACCAGAAGAAGUAAAAGCAUUAUCAACGAAGAUGGAAAAUUUGCUCCAUUGGAUUGACCAGAGGGCCAAGUUCAAAGAAGAUCAAAGGGCUAUUGAGACAGCAUACAAAUAUCAACCAACUUUGAGUCAACCCAAUAGCAAAGGUAUGAAUUCAGGUAAUACUUUCAAGCAACUUUCAUUAAAAGAGAUAAUUGUUCCACAAACCAAAAUUAAUGAUGAAGUUAAACAAAGGCUAGAUACAAAUGAAUCAUCUCUAAAAGAUAUACACAAUAAAAUGGAUUUUCUACUAACUGCCUUUGAUGAGCAAAACACUCUUAAUAAAAGUGUAGAGCUUAAAUUAAUAAAGAUAGAUGCUGCACUGCCUGUUGCUACUAACCUUGAGCAGUUAAAGAAUAUAACUACUAGAGGAGGCAAAGCUACCAGAGAUCCACCAUACCCAAAAGAGAAACAAAGAACAUCAGCACCAGUGCAACCAGCAGUGAUAGAAGAAGAAAUCCCAGUUGAAGCAGAAGAUCUGCUCCAACCACCAAGAACUGGAGAAAUGAGGAAGGAUUUUUACGACACCAACUAUUUGCCAUUUCCCGGAAGAAACAGAGGACUGCAGUCGGAUGAGCAGUUUGGUAAGUUUGUAGAGGUCAUUCAGAAACUACAUGUCAACAUACCUCUGAUCGAUGCCAUACAGGUACCUACAUAUGCGAAGUACAUCAGAGAUAUUCUUAACAAGAAGAGACCACUGCCCACCACUGAGGUUAUCAAGCUGACAGAAGAAUGUAGUGCAGCCAUCCUCAAUAAACCACCAAAGAAGAAGGAAGACCCCGGAUGCCCCACUAUUGAUUGCUCAAUUGGAAACCAACACUUCAACAAUGCACUUUGUGAUCUUGGAGCAAGUGUCAGUGUGAUGCCAGCAUCAGUCUACAAAAAGCUUGAGCAUGCAACCUUAGAACCAACAUCAAUGUGCCUACAACUAACGGAUCAAUCGGUUCGACACCCGCUGGGCAUCGCCGAGAACAUUCCAGUCAAGAUCAGAGAUUUCCUGGUGCCAGUAGACUUCGUAGUACUGGACAUGAGUCCUAACUCGAAAGUUUCCAUCAUCCUUGGAAGGCCAUUUCUGAGCACUGCCAAUGCCCACAUCGAUGUCGGAAAAGGAGAAAUCAAGUUCAACAUAAACGGUCAAGAAGAACACUUCACAUUCAAACCCAGACCAGAGAGAGACUCUACAGUGAAGGAAGUUCAUGAAGAACCACUGGAGACACCAUCUCCGGAGGAAGGAAACUCAGAAGAUUAAAAGAUUUGGAGGUCCAGCUUGGGGGACCUAAAAAUCCAAAACCCUCACCGGGAGGUAAAUCGGUAUUUAUCCGCAUUAAUUUUCUCAUAUUUAAAUUCUUGCAUAAUUAAUUUUUGCAUUAGUCAUAGCAUAAUUAUAAUAAUAAAAAAGCCCCAUAUAAAUAAUAUUCGUGGUGUGUAACAACCCAUAUUUAUUAAUUAUUGUGGAGGCAUAAAAAUAUUUUCCAUUAUCAUUUUCAAUAAGUUUUAAUUCUCAUAGAUUUCUCUGCAUUAUAUUUAAUUAUAUUAAUCUUCUAGAAGCGUGACCCACACACCUUGGGUCCCACAUGUCAUACACUUCACCUCACAUACAUCCCAUCACAUAAUUUCAUCCACCAAUAUGUUUCCACUCACCUGACAUCUUUCCACCGUCCAACCACUACCAACACAAUAUUAUUCUGCGUGGGAUCAAAGCAAGGAAGCAAGUGGAGGAGGCACACCCAGGAUGGACACCAGGGGUGGGCACCCGCCCACCUACCUUUGGCGCCCGCCCUAUCCUCUGCUCAGCUUAUAAAAGGCCACCUCCAGCUCCCCUCCUCUUCACACACACUCCAGAAAACCACACAAGUCUCAGUUUCCCGAGAAGGAGUUCUUGUAGUGAAGAGAAGAGAGUAGAGAGAAAGAGGAGAGUGGAAGGGAAGGGUGGUAGUUCUUUUGAGAGAGUGAUUAUCACCUAGCAAGUAGUGAUCCCGUUGUCUAAGCGGAAGUAAAAGUUGUUUAGGGAGGCUCUACCAAAAUAGAAACUUUUCUUGAACGAUUAACCCCUAGACUACUGACACUCCGGACAGCUGACCACUAACAUUUUAUCUCACAUUUUCCACCAGUUGUGUUUUUGCCAACUUUUGUUUGCAGGAUGUUUAAGAAGGUGAAGAAUGCAGGGAAGGCUCUCAAGAACAUUGGUACAAGGAGUUCAACCUGACACUCCUCACAGCCAUCAGAGAUGAGCGUCGACCCGACACCCACACAAGCUCCAUCAUCUUCAUCAGGUCAGCAAGUUAAGGUUCUUCUCAAGAUAGGAGACCUUGGACUAAAGACCCGAAGAGAGAAGGAAGUCUAUCAGCAAUUGAAGAAUAAAGAUUUCAUUCAUACCCCUACUCUCGAUCCAACCUUACUACAAGAAACAGGUAUGGACACUGAAUUUGACUUAAUUUUUCAGAUGAUGGGUUGGACAAAUUUUUGGAAUAUAACUGAGCUAGGUUCUCGUCUUCUCACCCUCGAAUUUCUUUGCACUUUACAAUACUAUGAGGGGGGAAUUGUUUUUUGGAUGUUCAAACAAAAAAUUAUGUUGUCUUGGAGAGAGCUAAGCGACCAUCUUGGUUUCUCUUCAAGAUGCAUCCUGAACAUUGACUCCGAUUUACCCAAUUUUGAGAGACACCAGUUUUGGAGAGAAAUAUCUAGAGAUAGUUUUUACAGUCAAGCCCGAACCAGUGACAUGGAACACCCCACUCUUAGGAUGUUUCACAAAUGGCUUGGGUACAAUCUUUUCUAUCGUGACGAUAUUAGGAAAGUAAGAGUAGGAGAUUUACAACUUUUAUAUGCUGCUAUUAGUAAAGUACCCACUUCACCUGUUACACUAUUAGUUUCACAUUGGCUUAGUAUACCUAGUCUUUAGGGACCAGUAGGAUGUACUUCACUUAUCACUCGUCUAGCCACUAAUCUUCACUUACUAGAAAACUCAUCGUUGGACUUCAUAGAAGAAUUAAGAAUUUAUCAUGGCUAUGACACAUUUAGACAAGCUCGGAUGUUAAAGAAAGAGGAGAAUAUAAUGUAUAUGCUGUAUGAUGAUAAAGGCAAGAUUCGGUUACCUAACCCGAACCUUGGCCUCUACGCUGUGCAAAACUUUUUGAUUGAGAUUGCAGCAACACCAGUGAACCAGAGAACUCCACAGCAAGUGGCAUCUGAAAGGAUAACCACUCACCGAGAACGCACUUGGUUUGGAGCUGACCCUGGACCAGAAGAAGCAGCGCACCUGCAUUAUUGCGAUUACAAUCCACGAGUCCUUCGAGACCCAUGGGCUCGUCAUGCGCAACCACAAGAGCCAACAGAGGAGACAUGGUCGGAGAGCCAAGAUCAUCAGUGGACAAACCCGCCUUUUCAUACGGGCAGGUACUCCACUGAUCCAUAUGGAGCUUCAGGAUCCAGACCUCCACCCCAAUUUGAUGCAGGACGAUACUCCGACGCCUCCUACGCCUUCACGAAUGAUUACUAUCAAGAGGCCGGUGCUUUCUUCAUUCGUACCGACAACACCCUCCUCGACAUCCAGAACACGCAAGCAGAACAUGGAAGACUCCUGGAAGAGCAACAAAAAUGGAACCAGGACCAUGCCGCUGCAGUAGAAGAGCUGAGACAAGAUACAACAACAAUGAACGACAACAUCACAACCAUGAUGCGGUUCUGGAACAUCGGGUAAGACCGACAUCAACAUCCAGCUUGGGGGAGUUCCUCCCUAAAUUUAUCAAGUAAGUUUUUAUUUGCUCUUCUUAUUUAUUCUAUUCUGUCUUAGUAUUUAAUUUAUCUUAAAAGGAAAAAACUUAGAAAACCAAAUAAAUAUUUUCUUGCUUUAAUUCACUGCACUUUAAUAAACAUGAAAACAAAAUAAAAAGAGUGUGUAGAUAAGUGUGCUUUAUUUUCCUGCUAAGUUUAAUGUCUAAAAAAAAAUAAGACCAAAAAUAUGCAUGAUGGAAAUGAUGAACAGUUGCUCUGUUUGCUUUUAUAUUAUUAUUCUUCCAGGAAUUACUAAAACCAAAAUUACUAUCUUUGGGAAGCAUAAAACUAAAGUCUAGGUAAGAGAAAGGCAUGAUAUAAAGCCACUGUUUAUCUUGUUCCUACUACACUAAGUUCUGGAGAUUUAUUUUGAAAACUUACAAAUCACAUGAUGAGUUCCUAGCAUAACAAACUACCUACCACAGCCAUACUUGCUAUAACAUCUUUUACUAUAUUUACAUUGAGUUUGAUCGAGCUGUGUCGACCCUUAGGAGCUUUUCAUGUGGUUAAAUUAAAAUAUUCACUUGCACACAUCUACCACAGCAUUCAUCACCAAUCAUUAAAAUUGCUAAAAAUAUUAUCACUCACUGUCCCAAGUAAUGUUAUUCUCUCUCUCUAAAAAGAUUCAGUGCAGAAGAGGCAUGGGUUAUGCAAAAAUAUAUGAGGAAAUAAAAAGGGGCAAGUGCCCGGAACCUCGGAAAAGAAAGAAAAAAGAGUGAGACGAGAGGUAAAAAUGGACAAGUGUCCGAAGUAGAAUUAGGGGUACAAAAAUGCCCACUUGAGCGGAAAAAAUGGACAAGUGUCCGACAGUAGAAUUAGGGGUAUCUACUACCCACCUGAAAAAAAAAAAAAAGAAAAAGAGAUAGCCCAUGUUCUCCCAAAGCAAAGAUCAAAAAGGAGGAGAGAUAGCAAUAUGAGGAGCAAUGAGAAGUAAAUUUUAUUAUCACUUGUGCAUUUUCACCAUCACUAUCAUUUAUUCCAUCACACAUGCACAUCUUGAUUUAAUUAUAUGCUGAGUUCCUUUGGAUCCAUGGCUCGAUUAGACAACAUAUGUAUGAGCUGUUUUUCACUCCUAUGAGCUCCAUUUAAAUAUUCCAUUAGCUAUAGGUAAGUGAUAUUAUGGUAAGGAUCCACAAAUACCACAUAUAGAGAGACUUGAGAGAAUCAUUGCUGGGAACUCUGAGUUUUAUUUUGAAAACCUAUGAAAAACUCUGGAACAAAGGUGAAGUAUAAACAGGAGGGAUAGUGCUUGACUUAACUAUUUUGUCUUUUGAUUACUUAAGACUUAAGUGCAGGUACUAAACUUCAUGACACUUCACUCUAAUCUGGAAGAAUUUUUAUGUAAAAGCAUGUGUGCCUGUCAGGAAAGAAAACAUCGAAGCAACUCCUGAUCCGUCUGAGUUUAGCUGUUUGCUCAGGGACGAGCAAAGGGUAAGCUUGGGGGAGUUUGUUGACGGUCCUUAAGUACUAAAAUUAAUAAUCAAAUAAACAUGAAAAGAGAUCAAUAUGAAACAAACAUCUAGAAUUAGGGUUUUAUCUGACAGAAUUCCACGAGCUUUGGUGUUUAUCUAUUUCUGCAGGGGUUUAUCAGAAAAUAUGGAGAGAAGGCCCACAUGUCAUGUUUACAACGAGAUAAUUACAUACCGCACAAUUUUCCUCAAUCUAGAAGGAUCCAGAAGCCACGGGAACGAACGGGAGGCGAUUCGGGCUCGGGGGCUGGGCGCCCGCCCACCCCCCUUGGGCGCCCGCCCAGGGUUGGAGUCCAACCAGGACUCUGCUUCGGGACAAUGCUUCACCGACCUAAAGGAUCAAUCUAAACCAUACAAUCUAUGUCGGUUUGAUCCAAUGGCUCACGUUCACUUGAGGGGACUAUAAAACCAGACCCCCUGACCCCUGGAGGAGAGAGGAGAAAUCAUUAUUCAGAGGUAGCCAUCAAAGUUAGGGUUUAGAGCUUCUCUCCCACAGAGAAUUAGAAUUAGCUACUCCCUAAUCCUUCAAGUUUAGAGGUUGAUUAGAUAGCAGUUAGAGAAGUAGAGCACUAUGCUCUGGAUUCGGAUCUUCGGUAAUAAAGAUUGGUAUUAUUCAUAUCUUUCUCUAAUUCUAUUGUUCUAAUUGCAUUAUGUCUCUAACUAUUAUGUUCUUAGUUUGCUCUAGUUCUAUAUUUGAUAUACAUGAAUGAAGAGUCUUUUAUGCUAUACAUGAUCUUGUAGAUAACUAGAGUAGAUUAUGACUUAGUAGUUAGUAGAUAACUUAGAAUCCAUUCUCUAGCUAAUCCGACAUCACCUACAUAUAUGAGGAGUAGUCUAUUUUCUAAUCGUUGUGCUCUUUAUCCCAUGAACUUAUACUUUAUUAUCAUUAUCUUUAUGGUUUACCCCCUGCUAAAGUAUGUGACUAUGUGACGAGUUUCUUAUUAGUAAUCAUGUUCUUGCAAGUUUAUCUCUAGUCUAUGCCUUGAUAGAUUUUGCCCCUUUAAUUUAAUUUCAUCUUCUUGAGAUCCCUAGAGCAAAAUUAUAAAUAACGAUACCCGGAAUACUUAUCAUGGUGAAAUGCUACAAUGAGGUGUUUUAUCUGUGCGCUUGCGGAUAGAAUAGAUUAUUUUCUAGAGAGCUUUUACAUUUAUAAAUAUCUUUGUACACUCUGGCGCCAUGCUAGGGAUGACAACCUAGUAUCUAAGUGGUGUUAGCUAGUGUCAACAACGGACUCCGAAACUGAAAUAUGCAAAGGCUAUGGCGCGGAUAGAUUGUAGGACAUGAAAACAAUAUGGCACCAGACUUAUGGGACGAACACAAGAACACUCGAAACUAAGGGUAGAUAUGAACCUAACGGUAUGUCUGAAGCUUUGAUGACCACUUGAGGAGAACAAGUGUGGCCCGAUCUUCCAAAAGGUUCUGGUAACUAUCGAUUUGGUGGAAACGAGACACAAAUCAAUCCAGCUUGCGAACAACACGAUUCGAAACCCUGUUUACUUAGGAGCACUCAAGAAGUAACCACAGAAAAUUUUAGCUUAAACAAGUGAAAUACGUGGCCUGUGGAAUUUUUUGAAGUUUGCAAAAAAUAUGAAAAAAAAACUUUAGGAUUUCAAAACUCAAACUUCAGAGGCGUAUUUGAGAAUUCUAAAAUUGUCGAAACUGCCAAUGGCAUGGAUAGAUAGAUCCAAUUUUUUUUCUAAUCGAUUUUGAUAUAUGGAACGUAAAAAUCGGAGUUCGUAUGCGAAAGUUAUGGCUGUUUUACGAACAGACUACGAAUUAGAGGACAAAACGGUCCGGAAGUGGGAAAAAUUUGCGGUGGUGGCUAGAAAUUGAUGGAAACGGUGGCAAAAAACACACAAAUUGGACUUUAACAAGACCUAACUAGUAACAAGACCUUGACCAGGACACAAACUCAACACUACAGACUCUGAAACUGAAAUAUGCAAAGGCUAUGGCGCGGAUGGGUUGUAGGACAUGAAAAUAAUAUGGCACUAGACUUAUGGGACGAACACAAGGACACUCCAAACUAAGGGUAGUUGUGACCCUAACGGUAUGUCUGAAGCUUUGAUUACCACUUGAGGAGAACAAGUGUGGCCCGAUCUUCCGAAGGGUUCUGGUAACUAUCGAUUUAGUGAAAACGAGACACAAAUCAAUCCAGCUUGCGAACAACACGAUUCAAAACCCUGCUAUUCUUUUUUUUGAUAUUUUUCUUUUACUUAGGAGCACUCAAGAAGUAACCACAGGAAAUUUGAGCUUAAACAAGUGAAAGACAUGGCCUGUGGAAUUUUUUGAAGAUUGCGAAAAAUAUGAAAAAAAAUUUAGGAGGUGAAAACUCAAAUUCAGAGGCCAAUUUGGGGAUUCUAAAAUUGUCGAACGCACCCAUGGUAGGAAUAGACAGAUGCAAAAUUUUUUUCUGAUCGAUUUUGAUAUAUGGAACGUCAAAAUCGGAGUUUGUAUGCAAAAGUUAUGGUUGUUUUACGAACAAACUCCGAAUUAGAGGACAAAAAGGUCUGCAAGUGGGAAAAAUUUGCGGCAUUGGCUAGAAAUUGAUGGAAACGGUGGGAAAAACAUACAAACUGGACUCUAACAAGACCUAACUAGUAACAAGACCUCGACCAGGACACAAACUCAAUACUACAGACUCUGAAACUGAAAUAUGCAAAGGAUAUGACGCGGAUGGGUUGUAGGACAUGAAAACAAUAUGGCACUAGACUUAUGGGACGAAUACAAGGACACUCGAAACUAAGAGUAGAUGUGAACCUAACGGUAUGUCUGAAGCUUUGAUUACCACUUGAAGAGAACAAGUGUGGCCCGAUCUUCCGAAAGGUUCUGGUAACUAUCGAUUUGGUGGAAAGGAGACACAAAUCAAUCUAGCUUGCGAACAACACGAUUCGGAACCCUGCAAUUCUUUUUUUUUGAUAUUUUUCUAUUACUUAGGAGCACUCAAGAAGUAACCACAGGAAAUUUGAGCUUAAACAAGUGAAAGACAUGGCCUGUGGAAUUUUUUGAAGAUUGUGAAAAAUAUGAAAAAAAACUUUAGAAGGGGAAAACUCAAAUUCAGAGGCGAAUUUGGGGAUUCUAAAAUUGUCGAACCCACCCAUGGCAAGAAUAGGCAGAUGCAAAAAAAUUUUCUGAUCGAUUUUGAUAUAUGGAACGUCAAAAUCGGAGUUCGUAUGCGAAAGUUAUGGUUGUUUUACGAACAAACUCCGAAUUAGAGGACAAAAACAGUCCGGAAGUGGGAAAAAUUUGCGGCAGUGGCUAGAAAUUGAUGGAAACAGUGGGAAAAAAUAUACAAACUGGACUCUAACAAGACCUAACCAGUAACAAGACCUCGACCAGGACACAAACUCAAUACUACGGACUCUGAAACUGAAAUAUGCAAAGGAUAUGACGCGGAUGGGUUGUAGGACAUGAAAACAAUAUGGCACUAGACUUAUGGGACGAACACAAGGACACUCGAAACUAAGGGUAGAUGUGAACCUAACGGUAUGUCUGAAGCUUUGAUUACCACUUGAGGAGAACAAGUGUGGCCCGAUCUUCCGAAAGGUUCUGGUAACUAUCGAUUUGGUGGAAACGAGACACAAAUCAAUCCAGCUUGCGAACAACACGAUUCGAAACCCUGUUUACUUAGGAGCACUCAAGAAGUAACCACAGAAAAUUUUAGCUUAAACAAGUGAAAUACGUGGCCUGUGGAAUUUUUUGAAGUUUGCAAAAAAUAUGAAAAAAAACUUUAGGAUUUCAAAACUCAAACUUCAGAGGCGUAUUUGAGAAUUCUAAAAUUGUCGAAACUGCCAAUGGCAUGGAUAGAUAGAUCCAAUUUUUUUUCUAAUCGAUUUUGAUAUAUGGAACGUAAAAAUCGGAGUUCGUAUGCGAAAGUUAUGGCUGUUUUACGAACAGACUACGAAUUAGAGGACAAAACGGUCCGGAAGUGGGAAAAAUUUGCGGUGGUGGCUAGAAAUUGAUGGAAACGGUGGCAAAAAACACACAAAUUGGACUUUAACAAGACCUAACUACUAACAAGACCUCGACAAGGACACGAACUCAACACUACGGACUCUGAAACUGAAAUAUGCAAAGGCUAUGGCGCGGAUGGGUUGUAGGACAUGAAAAUAAUAUGGCACUAGACUUAUGGGACGAACACAAGGACACUCCAAACUAAGGGUAGUUGUGACCCUAACGGUAUGUCUGAAGCUUUGAUUACCACUUGAGGAGAACAAGUGUGGCCCGAUCUUCCGAAGGGUUCUGGAAACUAUCGAUUUAGUGAAAACGAGACACAAAUCAAUCCAGCUUGCGAACAACACGAUUCAAAACCCUGCUAUUCUUUUUUUUGAUAUUUUUCUUUUACUUAGGAGCACUCAAGAAGUAACCACAGGAAAUUUGAGCUUAAACAAGUGAAAGACAUGGCCUGUGGAAUUUUUUGAAGAUUGCGAAAAAUAUGAAAAAAAAUUUAGGAGGUGAAAACUCAAAUUCAGAGGCGAAUUUGGGGAUUCUAAAAUUGUCGAACCCACCCAUGGUAGGAAUAGACAGAUGCAAAAUUUUUUUCUGAUCAAUUUUGAUAUAUGGAACGUCAAAAUCGGAGUUUGUAUGCAAAAGUUAUGGUUGUUUUACGAACAAACUCCGAAUUAGAGGACAAAAAGGUCUGCAAGUGGGAAAAAUUUGCGGCAUUGGCUAGAAAUUGAUGGAAACGGUGGGAAAAACAUACAAACUGGACUCUAACAAGACCUAACUAGUAACAAGACCUCGACCAGGACACAAACUCAAUACUACAGACUCUGAAACUGAAAUAUGCAAAGGAUAUGACGCGGAUGGGUUGUAGGACAUGAAAACAAUAUGGCACUAGACUUAUGGGACGAACACAAGGACACUCUAAACUAAGAGUAGAUGUGAACCUAACGGUAUGUCUGAAGCUUUGAUUACCACUUGAGGAGAACAAGUGUGGCCCGAUCUUCCGAAAUGUUCUGGUAACUAUCGAUUUGGUGGAAACGAGACACAAAUCAAUCCAGCUUGCGAACAACACGAUUCGGAACCCUGCAAUUCUAUUUUUUGAUAUUUUUCUUUUACUUAGGAGCACUCAAGAAGUAACCACAGGAAAUUUGAGCUUAAACAAGUGAAAGACAUGGCCUGCGGAAUUUUUUGAAGAUUGCGAAAAAUAUGAAAAAAAACUUUAGGAGGUGAAAACUCAAAUUCAGAGGCGAAUUUGGGGAUUCUAAAAUUGUCGAACCCACCCAUGGCAAGAAUAGGCAGAUGCAAAAAAAUUUUCUGAUCGAUUUUGAUAUAUGGAACGUCAAAAUCGGAGUUCGUAUGCGAAAGUUAUGGUUGUUUUACGAACAAACUCCGAAUUAAACGACAAAAACGGUCCGAAAGUAGGAAAAUUUUGCGGCAGUGGCUAGAAAUUGAUGGAAACGGUGGGAAAAACAUACAAACUGGACUCUAACAAGACCUAACCAGUAACAAGACCUCAUGACACAAACUCAAUACUACGGACUCUGAAACUAAAAUAUGCAAAGGAUAUGACGCGGAUGGGUUGUAGGACAUGAAAACAAUAUGGCACUAGACUUAUGGGACGAACACAAGGACACUCGAAACUAAGGGUAGAUGUCAACCUAACGGUAUGUCUGAAGCUUUGAUUACCACUUGAGGAGAACAAGUGUGGCCCGAUCUUCCGAAAGGUUCACGUAACUAUCGAUUUGGUGGAAACGAGACACAAAUCAAUCCAGCUUGCGAACAACACGAUUUGAAACCCUGCAAUUCUUUUUUUAGAUAUUUUUCUUUUACUUAGGAGCACUCAAGAAGUAACUACAGGAAAUUUGAGCUUAAACAAGUGAAAGACAUGGCCUGUGGAAUUGUUUGAAGAUUGUGAAAAAUAUGAAAAAAAACUUUAGAAGGUGAAAACUCAAAUUCAGAGGCGAAUUUGGGGAUUCUAAAAUUGUCGAACCCACCCAUGGCAGGAAUAGGCAAAUGCAAAAUUUAUUUGUCAAAAUCGGAGUUUGUAUGCGAAAGUUAUGGUUGUUUUACGAACAAACUCCGAAUUAGAGGACAAAAACGGUCCGGAAGUGGGAAAAAUUUUCGGCAGUGGCUAGAAAUUGAUGGAAACAGUGCGAAAAAACAUACAAACUAGACUCUAACAAGACCUAACCAGUAACAAGACCUCGACCAGGACACAAACUCAAUACUACGGACUCUGAAACUGAAAUAUGCAAAGGAUAUGACGCGGAUGGGUUGUAGGACAUGAAAACAAUAUGGCACUAGACUUAUGGGACGAACACAAGGACACUCGAAACUAAGGGUAGAUGUGAACCUAACGGUAUGUCUGAAGCUUUGAUUACCACUUGAGGAGAACAAGUGUGGCCCGAUCUUCCGAAAGGUUCUGGUAAGUAUCGAUUUGGUGGAAACGAGACACAAAUCAAUCCAGCUUGCAAACAACACGAUUCGAAACCCUGCAAUUCUAUUUUUUGAUAUUUUUCUUUUACUUAGGAGCACUCAAGAAGUAACCACAGGAAAUUUGAGCUUAAACAAGUGAAAGACAUGGCCUGCGGAAUUUUUUGAAGAUUGCGAAAAUAUGAAAAAAACUUUAGGAGGUGAAAACUCAAAUUCAGAGGCGAAUUUGGGGAUUCUAAAAUUGUCAAACCCACCCAUGGCAGGAAUAGACAGAUGCAAAAAUUUUUUCUAAUCAAUUCUGAUAUAUGGAACGUCAAAAUUGGAGUUCGUAUGCGAAAGUUAUGGUUGUUUUACGAACAAACUCCGAAUUAAACGACAAAAACGGUCCGGAAGUGGGAAAAAUUUGCGGCAGUGGCUAGAAAUUGAUGGAAACGGUGGGAAAAAACAUACAAACUGGACUCUAACAAGACCUAACCUGUAACAAGACCUCAGGACACAAACUCAAUACUACGGACUCUGAAACUGAAAUAUGCAAAGGAUAUGACGCGAUGGGUUGUAGGACAUAAAAACAAUAUGGCACUAGACUUAUGGGACGAACACAAGGACACUCGAAACUAAGGGUAGAUGUGAACCUAACGGUAUGUCUGAAGCUUUGAUUACCACUUGAGGAGAACAAGUGUGGCCCGAUCUUCCGAAAGGUUCUGGUAACUAUCGAUUUGGUGGAAACGAGACACAAAUCAAUCCAGCUUGCGAACAACACGAUUCGAAACCCUGCAAUUCUAUUUUUUGAUAUUUUUCUUUUACUUAGGAGCACUCAAAUAGUAACCACAGGAAAUUUGAGCUUAAACAAGUGAAAGACAUGGCCUGCGGAAUUUUUUGAAGAUUGCGAAAAAUAUGAAAAAAAACUUUAGGAGGUGAAAACUCUAAUUCAGAGGCGAAUUUGGGGAUUCUAAAAUUGUCGAACCCACCCAUGGCAGGAAUAGACAGAUGCAAAAAUUUUUUCUAAUCGAUUCUGAUAUAUGGAACGUCAAAAUCGGAGUUCGUAUGCGAAAGUUAAGGUUGUUUUACGAACAAACUCCGAAUUAAACGACAAAAACGGUCCGAAAGUGGGAAAAUUUUGCGGCAGUGGCUAGAAAUUGAUGGAAACGGUGGGAAAAAACAUACAAACUGGACUCUAACAAGACCUAACCAGUAACAAGACCUCAUGACACAAACUCAAUACUACGGACUCUGAAACUAAAAUAUGCAAAGGAUAUGACGCGGAUGGGUUGUAGGACAUGAAAACAAUAUGGCACUAGACUUAUGGGACGAACACAAGGACACUCGAAACUAAGGGUAGAUGUGAACCUAACGGUAUGUCUGAAGCUUUGAUUACCAUUUGAGGAGAACAAGUGUGGCCCGAUCUUCCGAAAGGUUCAGGUAACUAUCGAUUUGGUGGAAACGAGACACAAAUCAAUCCAGCUUGCGAACAACACGAUUUGAAACCCUGCAAUUCUUUUUUUAGAUAUUUUUCUUUUACUUAGGAGCACUCAAGAAGUAACUACAGGAAAUUUGAGCUUAAACAAGUGAAAGACAUGGCCUGUGGAAUUUUUUGAAGAUUGCGAAAAAUAUGAAAAAAACUUUAGAAGGUGAAAACUCAAAUUCAGAGGCGAAUUUGGGGAUUCUAAAAUUGUCGAACCCACCCAUGGCAGGAAUAGGCAAAUGCAAAAUUUAUUUCUGAUCGAUUUUGAUAUAUGGAACGUCAAAAUCGGAGUUCGUAUGCGAAAGUUAUGGUUGUUUUACGAACAAACUCCGAAUUAGAGGACAAAAACGGUCCGGAAGUGGGAAAAAUUUUCGGCAGUGGCUAGAAAUUGAUGGAAACAGUGCGAAAAAACAUACAAACUAGACUCUAACAAGACCUAACCAGUAACAAGACCUUGACCAGGACACAAACUCAAUACUACGGACUCUGAAACUGAAAUAUGCAAAGGAUAUGACGCGGAUGGGUUGUAGGACAUGAAAACAAUAUGGCACUAGACUUAUGGGACGAACACAAGGACACUCGAAACUAAGGGUAGAUGUGAACCUAACGGUAUGUCUGAAGCUUUGAUUACCACUUAUGGAGAACAAGUGUGGCCCGAUCUUCCGAAAGGUUCUGGUAACUAUCGAUUUGGUGGAAACGAGACACAAAUCAAUCCAGCUUGCGAACAACACGAUUCGAAACCCUGCAAUUCUAUUUUUUGAUAUUUUUCUUUUACUUAGGAGCACUCAAGAAGUAACCACAGGAAAUUUGAGCUUAAACAAGUGAAAGACAUGGCCUGCGGAAUUUUUUGAAGAUUGCGAAAAUAUGAAAAAAAACUUUAGGAGGUGAAAACUCAAAUUCAGAGGCGAAUUUGCGGAUUCUAAAAUUGUCGAACCCACCCAUGGCAGGAAUAGACAGAUGCAAAAAAUUUUUCUAAUCAUUUCUGAUAUAUGGAACGUCAAAAUUGGAGUUCGUAUGCGAAAGUUAUGGUUGUUUUACGAACAAACUCCGAAUUAAACGACAAAAACGGUCCGGAAGUGGGAAAAAUUUGCGGCAGUGGCUAGAAAUUGAUGGAAACGGUGGGAAAAAACAUACAAACUGGACUCUAACAAGACCUAACCUGUAACAAGACCUCAGGACACAAACUCAAUACUACGGACUCUGAAACUGAAAUAUGCAAAGGAUAUGACGCGAUGGGUUGUAGGACAUAAAAACAAUAUGGCACUAGACUUAUGGGACGAACACAAGGACACUCGAAACUAAGGGUAGAUGUGAACCUAACGGUAUGUCUGAAGCUUUGAUUACCAUUUGAGGAGAACAAGUGUGGCCCGAUCUUCCGAAAGGUUCAGGUAACUAUCGAUUUGGUGGAAACGAGACACAAAUCAAUCCAGCUUGCGAACAACACGAUUUGAAACCCUGCAAUUCUUUUUUUAGAUAUUUUUCUUUUACUUAGGAGCACUCAAGAAGUAACUACAGGAAAUUUGAGCUUAAACAAGUGAAAGACAUGGCCUGUGGAAUUUUUUGAAGAUUGCGAAAAAUAUGAAAAAAACUUUAGAAGGUGAAAACUCAAAUUCAGAGGCGAAUUUGGGGAUUCUAAAAUUGUCGAACCCACCCAUGGCAGGAAUAGGCAAAUGCAAAAUUUAUUUCUGAUCGAUUUUGAUAUAUGGAACGUCAAAAUCGGAGUUCGUAUGCGAAAGUUAUGGUUGUUUUACGAACAAACUCCGAAUUAGAGGACAAAAACGGUCCGGAAGUGGGAAAAAUUUUCGGCAGUGGCUAGAAAUUGAUGGAAACAGUGCGAAAAAACAUACAAACUAGACUCUAACAAGACCUAACCAGUAACAAGACCUUGACCAGGACACAAACUCAAUACUACGGACUCUGAAACUGAAAUAUGCAAAGGAUAUGACGCGGAUGGGUUGUAGGACAUGAAAACAAUAUGGCACUAGACUUAUGGGACGAACACAAGGACACUCGAAACUAAGGGUAGAUGUGAACCUAACGGUAUGUCUGAAGCUUUGAUUACCACUUAUGGAGAACAAGUGUUUCCCGAUCUUCCGAAAGGUUCUGGUAACUAUCGAUUUGGUGGAAACGAGACACAAAUCAAUCCAGCUUGCGAACAACACGAUUCGAAACCCUGCAAUUCUAUUUUUUGAUAUUUUUAUUUUACUUAGGAGCACUCAAGAAGUAACCACAGGAAAUUUGAGCUUAAACAAGUGAAAGACAUGGCCUGCGGAAUUUUUUGAAGAUUGCGAAAAUAUGAAAAAAAACUUUAGGAGGUGAAAACUCAAAUUCAGAGGCGAAUUUGGGGAUUCUAAAAUUGUCGAACCCACCCAUGGCAGGAAUAGACAGAUGCAAAAAAUUUUUCUAAUCAUUUUUGAUAUAUGGAACGUCAAAAUUGGAGUUCGUAUGCGAAAGUUAUGGUUGUUUUACGAACAAACUCCGAAUUAAACGACAAAAACGGUCCGGAAGUGGGAAAAAUUUGCGGCAGUGGCUAGAAAUUGAUGGAAACGGUGGGAAAAAACAUACAAACUGGACUCUAACAAGACCUAACCUGUAACAAGACCUCAGGACACAAACUCAAUACUACGGACUCUGAAACUGAAAUAUGCAAAGGAUAUGACGCGAUGGGUUGUAGGACAUAAAAACAAUAUGGCACUAGACUUAUGGGACGAACACAAGGACACUCGAAACUAAGGGUAGAUGUGAACCUAACGGUAUGUCUGAAGCUUUGAUUACCACUUGAGGAGAACAAGUGCGGCCCGAUCUUCCGAAAGGUUCUGAUAACUAUCGAUUUGGUGGAAACGAGACACAAAUCAAUCCAGCUUGCGAACAACACGAUUUGAAACCCGACAAUUCUUUUUUUAUAUUUUUUCUUUUACUUAGGAGCACUCAAGAAGUAACCACAUGAAAUUUGAGCUUAAACAAGUGAAAGACAUGGCCUGUGGAAUUUUUUGAAGAUUGCGAAAAAUAUGAAAAAAACUUUAGAAGGUGAAAACUCAAAUUCAGAGGCGAAUUUGGGGAUUCUAAAAUUGUCGAACCCACCCAUGGCAAGAAUAGGCACAUGCAAAAUUUAUUUCUGAUCGAUUUUGAUAUAUGGAACGUCAAAAUCGGAGUUCGUAUGCGAAAGUUAUGAUUGUUUUACGAACAAACUCCGAAUUAGAGGACAAAAACGGUCCGGAAGUGGGAAAAAUUUGCGGCAGUGGCUAGAAAUUGACGGAAACAGUGCGAAAAAAUAUACAAAUUGGACUCUAACAAGACCUAACUAGGAACAAGACCUCGACAAGGACACAAACUCAAUACUACGGACUCUGAAACUGAAAUAUGCAAAGGCUAUAGCGCGGAUGGGUUGUAGGACAUGAAAACAAUAUGGCACGAGACUUAUAGGACGAACACAAGGACACCCGAAACUAAGGGUAGAUGUGAACUUAACUGUAUGUCUGAAGCUUUGAUUACCACUUGAGGAGAACAAAUGUGGCCCGAUCUUCCGAAAGGUUCUGGUAACUAUCGAUUUGGUGGAAACGAGACACAAAUCAAUCCAGCUUGCGAACAACACGAUUCGAAACCCUGCAAUUCUUUUUUUUGAUAUUUUUAUUUUACUUAGGAGCACUCAAGAAGUAACCACAUGAAAUUUGAGCUUAAACAAGUGAAAGACGUGGCCUGCGGAAUUUUUUGAAGAUUGCGAAAAUAUGAAAAAAAACUUUAGGUGGUGAAAACUCAAACUUCACACGCGAAUUUGGGGAUUCUAAAUUGUCGAACCCACCCAUGGCAGGAAUAGACAAACCUAGUUCACUGCAGACUCUUGAAAGUGCAUCUAGCCCUUUGUGGGUUUUGGUGAAUUGAAUGACAACAUGAUUAAAGGUCUAAUAAGUUUGCUAAGUGUUGAAAAGGAUAUUGAGUCUAUUGCACAUACUUGUGGAUUGUGUAUUAACAAGUAUGUUCAAGGCUCAACAAGCAGGCAAACUUGAUAAUAUGCCACAUAGUGUUGAAAUGAAGGCCAAAUUGUGUAUUGUUGUAUUAAAGGAUUAUGGAAACAAUCUAGGUCAAGCAAAAGACAACAAUGCAAAUAAAAUCUAUGGAAUGGCUUAUAUGCUGUGGGAUAUCAUAACAUCAUGAGAAAGCAAGCAUAUUUGACAAAUGGCAAAAGAGACAUGAGUUGAUGUUCUUCGAUUGGUCUCUACAAUGACUUGCUUUUCAUGAACAAGAAAAGCUUGAUAGUGAACUAGGUUUGAUCAAGCUAGAAGUAUGAAGAUAAAGAUUGAAGUGAGUAUUGAGUGUCAAGCCAAAAUAGAGAGGAUAUAAGGAACUGUGAAUUCGGUUGACCAUAUUGUUGUCGAUCCAUAUAUGUCUCUAUGUGAGUCAAACUAAAGCUUGAUUGAUCUCAAUAUUUAUAUCUAGAAGAUAUUCAAGCAAGGAUCACAAUAUUGAAGAAAUGAUUAUUCAAUGGAUACUUAAUGUGAUAUGACUUGAGUAUGGCUUGAUAAGGUGAAGAUAGCAAGGAAAGGGCUUCGAGGGACUAAGCGGAGGUGAAGGGAUAAGCGACGGCUUAAGGACCGAGGUACCAUGGCUAAGGUGAAGAAGAGAGUACUUGCAUUGAGUCGAGGAACUAAUCAAGCUAUGAGGAGUCAUAUUGUGUUGAGGAUCAAAUAUUUAGUAGAAGUGACUUGAAGCAAUGGAGGUGAACUCAUAUGUGUUGAAAUGGGUCAAGUCACAUGCUCAAGGUGUGUUUGCUCAAGAAAAGGAGACAAAGUUGAUUGCAACCCUUUAUGGAGUAAUAUUGAGAAGAAAGAGCAUAUGAAGACAUUAAAGACUCAAGUGAUCAAAUUAGUUAUAUUCUCUUGUUCUUGAGUAUAGGUAUGCCGUACUAUCAAGGGGGAUGCAAUACGAAUGAUAGACAAGUCUCAAGUGCUCAAACUAACAGAACCCAAGUGCUAACAUGAGAGAAAACACUUAGCACAGCACCUGCACAAGUUGAUCUUGGAGCUUGUUCUCUGUAGGGUUGGAUAGCCCUUGAAACAAGCUUUCUGAAAAGUUCAAGAUCACUGCAAACGGAGUUCGGAGUAAAAAGUUAUGGCAUUUUCCGUAAGGUGACCUGUGCUGUUUUUACCAGUCACAACGCCUAGUUUUCGAAACCUAACGGUUAGUCUGAGUGGAAUGAGUAUUUAUACCCAUCCCACUGCUUCUGGUCGUGCUGCUGAUGCUCCAGACCUUCCCAAUCUUUGCAAAGCCUCUCCCCAACUCUCUCUUUGUGAGAGUAUUGUGCUUAGUGCAUAAUUUAGUGUUGGGGCUGUGUGACUAAGAGCUUGAGAGCAGAUUAGAGCAAUCCUAACCUUGAGCACUUGCUGGGCUUCGUCGAUCUUCGUUGUGCAUUUGUUACUCUUGGAGGUGAAGCCUCCUAGACAGCUAGGCGUCGCCCGGCGAGCUCCCGUGCUUGUGGUGAGCAGCGGGACAGUUUGUAAACAUCUCUUGCAGCUAGUGAAAUCACCCCUCCUUCAAGAGGUAACACUCUUGUUUGGAGAACGAGGGAAGGGCAAGCCAUUGAUGGCAAGCCGGUCCUUGUGUGGGCACCUCAACAACGUGGACUUAGGCCAGCCUUUGUGGCGACGCCGAACCACGGGAUAAAUAUCGUGUGUUGAUUUACAUUCUUGUAUUGCUAUUGUUGUUGAGGUGUUGUAGGCAUUGUGGCCGAUCUACUUGGUGGUACUUGUGCUGUUGCAUAUAUCUGUUAUUCAAUGAUUAACAUACCUGCAGGAAGCUAGGAAAUUUAUCUGAUCUAAAUUUCCUCGGUUGAAUUUUGAAUUAUACUAAGUUCCUCCUGCGCAGGGCGUCAGUGUCGCCCUCUAAUCUGAUAGAGUUUUGAGUUGAAACUUUGCAGAUUUGUCACUGGAUAUCUCAAGUAGGAAGGCACUGAGUUUUAGUUUUUGUUUGAGCAGAAUUUUCGCAGGCCUAUUCACCGCCCCUCUAGGCCUCCUCGGCGACAUCAAGGUCCUUUCAAUUGGUAUCGGAGCCAGGCUCUCAAUUUCGGGCUUAACCGCCUUGAGAGACGAUGUCGACAAGUGAGGAGGUAUCUCUAGAACUUUUACUUUUAGAUGGCUCAAAUUAUACAUCUUGGUCUGCUUGUAUGCUUGAUAUUUUUAGGGCCAUGGGUCCUCAAAUAGAGCAGAUUGUAGAUGUAAGUAUUUCACCUCCUAGUGAUAAUUUGGACUAUCUAUCUAGAGAGGAAGUGAAAUGCUUACAAUACAAUGCUCAAGCUACUAAUGUCUUAUUUAGUGCUUUGAGUGAAGAUGUUCUUGAUGCCAUCAUAUUUGGAGAUGGUGAACCACUUGAUGAUGCUCAUAUCAUUUGGACCACGCUCAAAGAAAGAUAUGGCAGCUCCAAAUGUGAUGAGAAGUUGCUCUCAUUGGAGGAACCACUUGAGGAGUGCUCAACUUCACCAAUAAAUAAUGAGCCUCAAGUGAUUCUCCCAAAACGACUAAUGGAUCAUACCACAUCCACUUCCUCACCAACACAUGACUUAAUUGAUGGUAAUAAAAUAGUUGGUGAGAACAAAGCUUUUACAUGUGGUACUUCUACUUCCUCUAGUUUUUGUUGUUCUAACAUUUUGAAAGAAGGAGAAGCUUGUGAUCGGUGGAGGCCAAAUGAUGAAUCCACCUCACCUACAAGCUCAACUCUCCAUGCCACUUCUCUUAUGUGUCGCAUGGCAAAAGGUGAGAAGGUAAAAUCAAAAGCCAAACCUCCUUCACCUCCUAGUGACAUCUCUAGUAGUGAUCUUAGUGAUAGCUCUAGUGAUGAUGAAUCUAGUGAUGAAGAGAUUGAUGACAUAAUUAAAAAUUUGGAUCCUAAGACCAAACUCUUCAUCUCUAAACUAAUGGAGGAUUUAGAGGGCAUUCAAGCUGAACUAGCAACUAGAGAUGAUGAUCUUAUUGCACAAGAAAAUAUUUAUAUUGCUAGUAAGGAAGCUCUUGCAUUAGAGAGAAGUGAGGUGGCCUCCUUGCACAAGGCUCUGGCUAAAGAGCAAGAUGACCAUGCUCUCACAAGGAAGGCAAAUAUUGCACUCAAUCAAAAGUAUUGUGCCUUAGAUGAAAAGCACAAAGAGCUUGAGCUGCAAUAAAAUCUUCUUUGGGAGAGCACCUCACAUCCCUCUAAGGCAAAGGAUGCCUCUACUCCCUCCACUAGCCAAGGUUGUGGAAAAUGCCUUAAUCUUGAUUUGAAUAUUUAUGCCACUAACCUUGCUAAUACGGAGGUCAUGAGAAAGGAGAUUGCUAGACUCAAUGAAAUCAUAGCAGCAGGGUGCAUGAAUGACAAAACUCAAUAUGCUGGCAAGAAAAUUGUGGAUGGCUUUGAAUGUGUGCAGUUUGAGAGGAGAGAGCAGUUUGGUACAGUUCAGCUUGCACAGACCACGGCAAUGCCGCACCCCAAGGGCGGCAGUGCCGCGCCCCACAAAAAUGGGAAGGCUACCAAUCUGUCUCUUGAUCAAACUAAGCUCAUAAUGAAAAAGUCAAGACAGAACAACAAAGCUCCCAAAGCCAUCAAGGUGCAGCAUCAACCAAAGAAGACUCUCAACACUUGCUUCAAGUGCAAGAAAGAGGGUCACCAUGUGAAGGGCUGCACCUUAAAGAAAGAAGAGAAGAGCAUGAGCAAGAUUCAAGAGAAGAAGAAGAUGGCUCAUGUCAAGUCCUCUAGUAUGGGACAUAAUGCUUUUAUGUGUUCCAACAAAGUUGAUGACCAAGCCACACUUCCAAAGAACAAGACAAAUAGAAGCAAGAGGAAGUGUUAUGAAUGCAAAGAGAAGGGACAUGAAAUUGACUCAUGUCCCAACAAGAAAAGUGAAGGUUUAUCAUCAACAACAAAGAGGCUCUUUAGCAAGGUAGCAAGCAAAAUGCAAGAAAAGAAGGCUAACAAGAACAAGAGCCGCCUAUGCUACACUUGUAGAGAAAAGGGACACCUAAGCAUAAAUUGUUCCAUGGGUAACACUCACAAGCCCGACUCAUCAAUUGAUUCAAAUAUGCUUAGGAGGCCCAAAAGUGACACUUGUGCUAGAAAGGUGAUUGGUUCACCAAGUGCUAGCACAAAGGCCAUUUGGGUGCCUAAGUCUCUUGUGACUAACCAUGAUGGACCCAACAUAGUUUGGGUACCAAAUUGUGCAUGAUGAGUGUUGUAGGUACUUGAAGGUGAUAUGAUGCUUCGGGGUGCUUGAGCAAGUUGAUUGAAAAUUUUCACUCAAGCUAUCAACCAAUUCAUAUUGUUCCUUCUUAUAUGGUUGACCCGAAGAUAAAUUAAUGAAAUUAUUUCAUCUUCAUAUCCACCUUGGUAACUAGUACCUAACCCUUGCUAGCUAGCCAUUUGACUUGUGUAGUCUCUGGUAGUUCACAAGUAUGUGUGUAUUUGUGAAUUAUCAAGAGUGGCUAGAGUAUUUCAAGUUAAAUGAAUCAUUUGCCAUAUGAUGCUUUUAAUGGCUCUCUAGUAGACCAAAAUCUUGUUUAUGCUGUAGGUAAUGAGGAAUCAUCUUAUGAGGUAAUCAAGAAAAUUGCCACUGGUGAUAUGAGACCAAAGAAGUCCAAGUAACACGGAUAAUGAUAUCCUCAAGCUGCUGCUGCACCUAAUUCCGCUGACACCUCUGAUGCAGUAGUGCCGCCCCUCAGAGCGGCAGUGCCGCCCCUAUAUAGAUAGCAGCAGCUGACAUCAGUCCAAGACAUGGAUGAAGCCUACAACAUGAUGAUGAUCAAAGUAAAAAUGAUGAGACCACCUCAUCCAUUAUAUCUCAAGAAGGGUGGUAACAACAAUAUCUCAAGUGCAAUUAUUUUAAAACUAAACUCCUUUGUGUCUUGUGUAGUCACUUAGGAUAAAUGAAGCACUUGGAGAUAUUCAUUGGUUGCUGGUCAUGAAAGAAAAGUAUGAUUGGAAUUGAAUAGAUCAUCCACACGAAGCAACAUAGAUGACUUUAAGGAGUUUCCUCUGUGGACCUCAAACCAAGAAUUACAAGAAAGCUCAAGUAGAGGCACUUAUUAUUUACAAUUCAAGAACUCUCGACUUGAUGGAAUCUAGUCAUAUGGUAGAUUGCCAAAAUUCUCAUUUUCAUCUUAAGGGCAUCUACAUGCAGCAAUGGUUUGUAAGUAUCUCUUGGCAUAUUUCAAUUUGAUUACACUAUUAUUGUCGUGACCUAGACAUAGAGUGAAAAUCCCAAGUUCUUGAAUGAAUAAAAGUGUUAUAUGAGAAAUUCAAAUGCUUAGAGCACUUAUCAAAAGGGAAUUUACUCUAUGACUAGAGUUGUGAGACUAACCAUUUCUCUAAGUGAUUCAUGGAGUCUCACUAAAUGAGAAUGUGUUUCUCAAAUGGAGUGUGCUGUUAUAUGAAGAUCAUUAUUCCAAAACCAUGUGAUGUAUUCUCUCUAGCUAUUUUGGAAUUGAUUCAUCUAUGAUUAGCCACUCACCAUAAUAUGGCUUAAAUCUGCCCUUUGGACUUAAUUGACCAACCAUGCACAUUCACACUUUUAUUUCUACUCAAAGAGUGUGCAUGAGACAUCAAGGGAGAUUUAGUCCAUAUUGUGAGGUUUCUCUAUUUAGUGACCCACUUGACAUCCACAUAUAAAGGGUAACUAAGUGAGAAACUAGUGCUUGUGUUUCUAAUACCCUCUUGAGCUUGAACUUGUAUAGAAAAUAAAUAAGAGGUUGUGCUUGGCUUAAUUGAACAAUUCACAAGCUUGAAGGUUACUCUUCACCUAAAGUAAGAUAUUGCUGCUAGAGGUCAUAUUGAUCAAAAUCUGAAUUUGAAUGAAAUCAAGUUUGAGGGUUAAAUUGGAUGAGCUAUAUUAGAAGAAUUCACAAGAUGACAAGUACUGAUAAGAGGACUGAAUGGAAAUUGCAUCUUGUGAGUAUUCUCAACCAAAUCCACCUCAAGACUGGACAAAAAGCAAAGAAGAAUUGUGAAAUAUCAAAUCUGUCCAGAAAUUUGAAAAUCUGAAUUGGCUGCAUUCAAGCAUGGAUUUGGAAGUCCAAACACUGAUGAAUUGACCUGUAACUUUAUGAGCAUGACACACAUAUGUGAUACUUGUUGCUGUACAGUAUGCAUGAAGAUUGGUUAAGAAGAAAAUCAGUUUUGAGUUACUUCUGUCAGCUUCGGCACUAUAGAAUUCAGACCAUAGCAGUUUUGGUAGAAAAUUAUUUUGACUGAUCGAAUGGAGUCCAAAUGAGAUGAAAUUUAUACAGAAGUUAGAGGACUCAUAGAUGAAGACCUCUACCAAAUUUCAUGCAUAUUGGGCUAGUGGUCUGAGAGAUAUGAAUUUUUCUCUGAGGAUGACAGAAUCUGAAAACUGACUGUUUAGAAUUAGAUUGCAGUGUAACAACAAGAUUCAGUUGGCUCUCAAGUUGGUCAUGAAAGAUUUAUUAAAAAUGAGCAGCAUCAGUUUGGAUAAGGGAGUUUCAUUGGAAGAAGAGAACUCAGACAAGGAUCCAAAAAAAUUGCAAUCAGAUUACAAGCAGUAGCAAAUAAUUGCAAUUAGUUGUUAGAAGAAUUCAAAUGCAGUCUUUCAGAAACAGCAGCUAAGAUCAGUUGAAACUUGAUGAAACUAGUUGGCUUCAGCAGUGACAAGUAGCAAACAUGAGUUACAAUCAGAUGGUACUAGCUGAAAUCAAUUGGAAGCAACUGAAACUAGCUGAAACUAAUUAGAUUACAGCAGCCUGAAGGAGUUUGAAACCAGUUGGAAUGCAGUGUAAACUUCUCCCUUGACCUCAUGGUAUUGAUAUGCAUGAGUGUACUCUGUGUACUCUUAUAUGCACACAUUAAGGGGGAGUUUAGACUAUAUCUUGUGAGACUAUUGGUUUCUUUCAAGUGUAUGUUGUGCAGUCCCACACAAUUGAAAAAAAAGGAUGGAUGGUUCCAAUGGAUUCUCUUAGUGCUUCACAAUUAUUCUAAGGGUCUUGGUCUUUUUAAACCAAGUACUCUCAGUUUAGUGUCGAAUGCCCCAAUCCUUUCAUUGCUAUUUUUCCUCUGUAGAGCUCAUCAAGUCUUCAUGAUCCAUUCCUUUGAUCACCCAGGAUCUUGUCAACAAAGAGUGGUAACUCCUAGUUCAUAAUUUCCAAAUUUCAUGAAUUUUACCUUUUGCUCUCUAUAUGGGUUGCCUUAGGUAAAGAAAGAACUAGAAACAUAAUUUGUAUCUUGGAUGAUCAUAAGAGCUCUAAUUCACCACAUGUCAUCAAUUGAGUAAUAUAUGUCCAUCCAAAUCAUUGGAGUCUCACUUAUGAUGGUCAUAUCAAUGAAAAUCUGUGUGGUGAUCUCUCUACCUUGGUGGUGGUAUGUUUCCUUGGCAUAAUUUCAAUUAUUGCAAAUUUAUGAUGCCUUGACCAAGGUAUAGGAUGAACUCCUCUUGACUCUUAAACCGAUUCAAAUGCACUUUGCAAGUAAUUUGAGUACUUGCUGCAUAUAUUAAGGGGGAGUCCAUUCUAUGUCUUGUGUCUUUGAGACUAACCUUUUCUUCUAGUGAAUUUGUGUAGUCUCUUGGUGAGAAUGAGUUUCUCAUGGGUAUGCUACAUUAACUCAAUCCAAAUGGGUAAAGUUAUCUCUCAUAUUUACAUGGAUUGCUCUUUUACCACUUAAGUAGCUACUCUCCAUAAUAUAGCUUAAAUUCCCUUUUGGACUUAAUUGACCAAAAGUGCAUAUGUUCUUGCCUUCCACAUAUAUAUGUAUGCACUAUCAAAAAGGGAGAAUUUAGUCUAUGUUAUGAGGUUUUGCAAUUAGUGACUUACAUGCCUUCCACAUCCAAAAGGUCACUAGUUGUGAAACUCUAGCUUGUGCAAUUUGAUGCUAUCUCUUGUCUUGUGAGCAUUAUUUAGGUGACAAUAUGAGAUACAAGCAUCCAUUCCAAUUGGCAUCAACUUUUGAAGAUUUCUUCAAUUGGUAUCAAAAUUGUGAAGAUCAUAUUUCAAUUGGUAUUGGUGGAUAAUCCUUCGAUCUGGCAUAUCAAGAAAAAUGUCUUCAAUUGGUAUCUCAAAAUGACAACAAGAGCUAGCAAUAGACUUUCAACUGAAAUCAAGCACAAGUUUAUGAUAUCUCCUUCAAGAUGAUGAUCAAGAGACAUGGGCACAAAUGAAGUCUUUUUGCAUUUUGCCAACCCCAUCAAAGCACUAAAUUCAUAAUAUCAAGAUCACAGUGGAGAUUAUGAGGUUUAGAACAAAGGUAUAUCGCUCCAUGAACUCUUGUAUUACCUUUAUGCAUCUAGGACCUUACAUGCUAGUGUGUGCAUGUGUAUGCAAUAUUUGAGCCACACCAUGAGUUUGUUCUUAUGGUGACGAUUAGAGAAAGAUUUAGAUAUUUGGUUGAUACCUCUGUGGUGAUAAAGUGAGUUUGUCUCAUGUUAAAACUAUCAUCUAAGUGAGGUAUGAGCUAAAUAUGCUAACUUCUCAAGAAUCUUGACUUAAGGUGUUGCAUACUUGGUUUGGUAGAAAACUGAGAGAAAUCCUAUCUGCAAAACUUUUACCUACCUCUUGCUCUCAUUUGUCUACCAUUAUUUCUUCCUUUUGGUUGAGAGAUCCUUUUUGGAGAUUAAUGCCAAAGGGGGAGAAAUAUUUGGAGAGAGUGUAAGGGAGGAGAGAUUGAUAUGUGGAUUGAAAGGGGUAAAGGAGAGGCAUAUAAGAUUUUUCAAAUUUUGUGUGGUGUGUGCAAGGAUAGUUUAUGCUCUUGAUAAGGACUUUUUAUGUUAGUGUGAAUUGUUCUUGCCCUGAGUGGUGGUUGCCUUUAUUUCUGUGUUGUUCUGGCCUAGCAGGUGCGGCAGUGCCGCCCUCUGCUAGCUAGCAAACCUUGAGUGCAUGACCUGCCAUGAGCAUCAUGUUUAUCAUGUUGACACCUUGCACCCCACGGAUGCUAAGAUAUAGAAGAGUUCCCACACUUCAUCUUGAAUAUGUGCAUUUGGCAUUUGAGGCCAAAACAUGAAAUUCUACUCUAUGCACAUAUUUAAGGGAGCUCACUAUAUCAUAGGAUUCAAAAUCUUAAUGUUUAUCAAUCUCUUGUAAGCUUUAAUUGUGUUGUCAUCAAUCACCAAAAACGGGGAGAUUGAAAGUGCAUCUAGCCCUUUGUGGGUUUUGGUGAAUUGAAUGACAAAAAGAUUAAAGGUCUAAUAAGUUUGCUAAGUGUUGAACAGGAUAUUGAGUCUAUUGCACAUACUUGUGGAUUGUGUAUUAACAAGUAUGUUCAAGGCUCAACAAGCAGGCAAACUUGAUGAUAUGCCACAUAGUGUUGAAAUGAAGACCAAAUUGUGCAUUGUUGUAUUAAAGGAUUAUGGAAACAAUCUAGGUCAAGCAAAAGACAACAAUGCAAAUAAAAUCUAUGGAAUGGCUUAUAUGCUGUGGGAUAUCAUAACAUCAUGAGAAAGCAAGCAUAUUUGACAAAUGGCAAAAGAGACAUGAGUUGAUGUUCUUGGAUCGGUCUCUACAAUGACUUGCUUUUCAUGAACAAGAAAAGCUUGAUAGUGAACUAGGUUUGAUCAAGCUAGAAGUAUGAAGAUAAAGAUUGAAGUGAGUAUUGAGUGUCAAGCCAAAAUAGAGAGGAUAUAAGGAACUGUGAAUUGGCUUGACCAUAUUGUUGUUGAUCCAUAUAUGUCUCUAUGGGAGUAGAACUGAAGCUUGAUUGAUCUCAAUAUUUAUAUCUAGAAGAUAUUCAAGCAAGGAUCACAAUAAUGAAGAAAUGAUUAUUCAAUGGAUACUUAAUGUGAUAUGACUUGAGUAUGGCUUGAUAAGGUGAAGAUAGCAAGGAAAGGGCUUCGAGGGACUAAGCGGAGGUGAAGGGAUAAGCGACGGCUUAAGGACCGAGGUACCAUGGCUAAGGUGAAGAAGAGAGUACUUGCAUUGAGUCGAGGAACUAAUCAAGUUAUGAGGAGUCAUAUUGUGUUGAGGAUCAAAUCUUUAGUAGAAGUGACUUGAAGCCAUGGAGGUGAACUCAUAUGUGUUGAAAUAGGUCAAGUCACAUGCUCAAGGUGUGUUUGCUCAAGAAAAGGAGACAAAGUUGAUUGCAACCCUUUAUGGAGUAAUAUUGAGAAGAAAUGGCAUAUGAAGACAUUGAAGACUCAAGUGAGCAAAUUAGUUAUAUUCUCUUGUUGUUGAGUAUAGGUACGUCGUACUAUCAAGGGGGAUGCAAUACGAAUGAUAGACAAGUCUCAAGUGCUCAAACUAACCGAACCCAAGUGCUAACAUGAGAGAAAACACUUAGCACUGCACCUGCACAAGUUGAUCUUGGAGCUUGUUCUCUGUAGGGUUGGAUAGCCCUGGAAACAAGCUUUCCGAAAAGUCCAAGAUCACUGCAUACGAAGUUCGGAGUAAAAAGUUAUGGCUUUUUCCGUAAGGUGACCUAUGCUGUUUUUACAAGGGCGGCAGUACAGUCACAACGGCUAGUUUUCGAAACCUAACGGUUAGUUUGAGUGGAAUGAGUAUUUAUACCCAUCCCACUACUUCUGGUCGUGCUGCUGAUGCUCCAGACCUUCCCAAUCUUUGCAAAGCCUCCCCCCAACUCUCUCUUUGUGAGAGUAUUGUGCUUAGUGCAUAAAUUAGUGUUGGGGUUGUGUGACUAAGAGCUUGAGAGCAGAUUAGAGCAAUCCUAACCUUGAGCACUUGCUGGGCUUCGUCGAUCUUCGUUGUGCAUUUGUUACUCUUGGAGGUGAAGCCUCCUAGACGGCUAGGCGUCGCCCGGCGAGCUCCCGUGCUUGUGGUGAAAAGCGAGACAGUUUGUAAACAUCUCUUGCAGCUAGUGAAAUCACCCCUCCUUCAAGAGGUAACACUCUUGUUUGUAGAACGAGGGAAGGGCAAGCCAUUGGUGGCAAGCCGGUCCUUGUGUGGGCACCUCAACAACGUGGACUUAGGCCAGCCUUUGUGGCGACGCCGAACCACGGGAUAAAUAUCGUGUGCUGAUUUACAUUCUUGUAUUGCUAUUGUUGUUGAGGUGUUUGUAGGCAUUGUGGCCGAUCUACUUGGUGGUACUUGUGUUGUUGCUUAUAUCUGUUAUUCAGUGACUAACAUACCUGCAGGAAGCUAGAAAACUUAUCUGAUCUAAAUUUCCUUGGUUGAAUUUUGAAUUAUACUAAGUUCCUCCUGCGCAGGGCGUCAGUGCCGCCCUCUAAGGCUGGCAAUGCUGCCCUCUAAUCUGAUAGAGUUUUGAGUUAAAACUUUGCAGAUUUGUCACUGGAUAUCUCAAGUACAUUUUCACCAAGUUUGGGCUCCGUUGGACUCACGGUUGUAGGAAGGCAGUGCCGCCCUGAGUUUUAGUUUUUGUUUGAGCAGAAUUUUCGCAGGCCUAUUCACCCCCCCCCCUCUAGGCCUCCUCGGCGACAUCAAGCUCCUUUCAACUCUGAAACUGAAAUAUGCAAAGGCUAUGGCGCCGAUGGGUUGUUGGACAUGAAAACAAUAUGGCACCAGACUUAUGGGACGAACACAAGGACACCCAAAACUAAGGGUAGAUGUGAACCUAACGGUAUGUCUGAAGCUUUGAUUACCCCUUGAGGAGAAUAAGUGUGGCCCGAUCUUCCGAAAGGUUCUAGUAAUUAUCGAUUUGGUGGAAACGAGACACAAAUCAAUCCACCUUGCGAACAACACGAUCCAAAACCCUGCAAUUCUUUUUAUUUUUUGGAUAUUUUUCUUUUACUUAGGAGCACUCAAGAAGUAACCACAAGAAAUUUGAGCUUAAACAAGUGAAAGACGUGGCCUGUGGAAUUUUUUGAAGAUUGUGAAAAAUAUGAAAAAAACUUUAGGAGGUGAAAUCUCAAACUUCAGAGGCGAAUUUGGGGAUUCUAAAAUUAUCGAACCCGCUCAUGGCGGGGAUAGACAGAUCAAAAAAAAAUUCUGAUCGAUUUUGAUAUAUCGUACGUCAAAAUCGGAGUUCGUAUGCGAAAGUUAUGUCUGUUUUACAAACAGACUCCGAAUUAGAGGACAAAACGGUCUGGAAGUGGGAAAAAUUUGUGGCAGUGGCUAGAAAUUGAUGGAAACAGUGAGAAGAAACACACAAAUUGGACUCUAACAAGACCUAACCAGUAACAAGACCUCGACCAGGACACAAACUCAACACUACGGACUCUGAAACUGAAAUAUGCAAAGGCUAUGGUGCGGAUGGGUUGUCGGACAUGAAAACAAUAUGGAACUAGACUUAUGGGAUGAACACAAGGACACUCAAAACUAAGGGUAGAUGUGAACCUAACGGUAUGUCUGAAGCUUUGAUUACCACUUGAGGAGAACAAGUGUGACCCGAUCUUCCGAAAGGUUCUCGUAACUAUCGAUUUGGUGGAAACGAGACACAAAUCAAUCCAGCUUGCAAACAACACGAUUCGAAACCCUGUAAUUCCUUUUAUUUUUUUCUGAUUUUUUUCUUUUACUUAGGAGCACUCAAGAAGUAACCACAGGAAAUUGGAGCUUAAACAUGUGAAAGACGUGGCCUAUGGAAUUUUUUGAAGAUUAUGAAAAAUAUGAAAAAAACUUUAGAGGUGAUAACUCAAACUUCAGAGGCGAAUUUGGGAAUUCUAAAAUUGUCGAACCCGCUGAUGGUGGGGAUAGACAGAUCCAAAAAUUUUUUGAUCGCUUUUGAUAUAUGGAACAUCAAAAUCGGAGUUCGUAUGCGAAAGUCAUUGCUGUUUUACGAACAGACUCAGAAUUAGAGGACAAAACGGUCCGAAACUGGGAAAAAUUUCCGGCGGUGGCUAGAAAUUGAUGGAAAUGGUGAGAAGAAACACACAAAUUGGACUCUAACAAGACCUAACCAGUAACAAGACCUCGACAAGGACACAAACUCAACACUACACACUCUGAAACUGAAAUAUGAAAAGGCUAUGGCGCGGAUGGGUUUUAGGACAUGAAAACAAUAUGGCACGAGACUUAUGGGACGAACACAAGGACACCCGAAACUAAAGGUAGAUGUGAACCUAACGGUAUGUCUGAAGCUUUGAUUACCACUUGAGGAGAACAAAUGUGGCCCGAUCUUCCGAAAGGUUCUGGUAACUAUCGAUUUGGUGGAAACGAGACACAAAUCAAUCCACCUUGCGAACAACACGAUUCAAAACCCUGCAAUUCUUUUUUUUGAUAUUUUUCUUUUACUUAGGAGCACUCAAGAAGUAACCAUAGGAAAUUUGAGCUUAAACAAGGGAAAGACAUGGCCGGUGGAAUUUUUUGAAGAUUGCAAAAAAUAUGAAAAAAACUUUAGGAGGUGAAAACUCAAAAUCAGAGGCGAAUUUGGGGAUUCUAAAAUUGUCGAACCCACCCAUGGCAAGAAUAGACAGAUGCAAAAAAAUUUUCUGAUCGAUUUUGAUAUAUGGAACGUCAAAAUCGGAGUUCGUAUGCGAAAGUUAUGGAUGUUCUACGAACAAACUCCGAAUUAGAGGACAAAACGGUCCGGAAGUGGGAAAAAUUUGCGGCGGUGGCUAGACAUUGAUGGAAACGGUGGGAAAAAACAUACAAACUGGACUCUAACAAGACCUAACCAGUAACAAUACCUCGACCAGGACACGAACUCAAUACUACGGACUCUGAAACUAAAAUAUGCAAAGGAUAUGACGCGGAUGGGUUGUAGGACAUGAAAACAAUAUGGCACUAGACUUAUGGGACGAACACAAGGGCACUCAAAACUAAGGGUAGAUGUGAACCUAACGGUAUGUCUGAAGCUUUGAUUACCACUUGAGGAGAACAAGUGUGGCCCGAUCUUCCGAAAGGUUCUAGUAAUUAUCGAUUUGGUGGAAACGAGACACAAAUCAAUCCACCUUGCGAACAACACGAUCCAAAACCCUGCAAUUCUUUUUAUUUUUUUGAUAUUUUUCUUUAACUUAGGAGCACUCAAGAAGUAACCACAAGAAAUUUGAGCUUAAACAAGUGAAAGACGUGGCCUGUGGAAUUUUUUGAAGAUUGUGAAAAAUAUGAAAAAAACUUUAGGAGGUGAAAUCUCAAACUUCAGAGGCGAAUUUGGGGAUUCUAAAAUUAUCGAACCCGCUCAUGGCGGGGAUAGACAGAUCAAAAAAAAAUUCUGAUCGAUUUUGAUAUAUCGUACGUCAAAAUCGGAGUUCGUAUGCGAAAGUUAUGUCUGUUUUACAAACGGACUCCGAAUUAGAGGACAAAACGGUCUGGAAGUGGGAAAAAUUUGUGGCAGUGGCUAGAAAUUGAUGGAAACAGUGGGAAGAAACACACAAAUUGGACUCUAACAAGACCUAACCAGUAACAAGACCUCGACCAGGACACAAACUAAACACUACGGACUCUGAAACUGAAAUAUGCAAAGGCUAUGGCGCGGAUGGGUUGUCGGACAUGAAAACAAUAUGGCACUAGACUUAUGGGAUGAACACAAGGACACUCGAAACUAAGGGUAGAUGUGAACCUAACGGUAUGUCUGAAGCUUUGAUUACCACUUGUGGAGAACAAGUGUGACCCGAUCUUCCGAAAGGUUCUCGUAACUAUCGAUUUGGUGGAAACGAGACACAAAUCAAUCCAGCUUGCAAACAACACGAUUCGAAACCCUGUAAUUCCUUUUAUUUUUUUCUGAUAUUUUUCUUUUACUUAGGAGCACUCAAGAAGUAACCACAGGAAAUUUGAGCUUCAACAUGUGAAAGACGUGGCCUGUGGAAUUUUUUGAAGAUUGCAAAAAAUAUGAAAAAAACUUUAGAGGUGAUAACUCAAACUUCAGAGGUGAAUUUGGAGAUUCUAAAAUUGUCGAACCCGCCAAUGGUGCGGAUAGACAGAUCCAAAAAUUUUUUAAUCACUUUUGAUAUAUGGAACAUCAAAAUCGGUGUUCGUAUGCGAAAGUCAUUGCUGUUUUACGAACGGACUCAGAAUUAGAGGACAAAACGGUCCGGAAGUGGGAAAAAUUUGCGGCGGUGGCUAGAAAUUGAUGGAAAUGGUGAGAAGAAACACACAAAUUGGACUCUAACAAGACCUAACCAGUAACAAGACCUCGACAAGGACACAAACUCAACACUACACACUUUGAAACUGAAAUAUGCAAAGGCUAUGGCGCGGAUGGGUUUUAGGACAUGAAAACAAUAUGGCACCAGACUUAUGGGACGAACACAAGGACACCCGAAACUAAAGGUAGAUGUGAACCUAACGGUAUGUCUGAAGCUUUGAUUACCACUUGAGGAGAACAAAUGUGGCCCGAUCUUCCGAAAGGUUCUGGUAACUAUCGUUUUGGUGGAAACGAGACACAAAUCAAUCCACCUUGCGAACAACACGAUUCAAAACCCUGCAAUUGUUUUUUUAUAUUUUUCUUUUACUUAGGAGCACUCAAGAAGUAACCAUAGGAAAUUUGAGCUUAAACAAGUGAAAGACAUGGCCUGUGGAAUUUUUUGAAGAUUGCAAAAAAUAUGAAAAAAACUUUAGGAGGUGAAAACUCAAAAUCAGAGGCGAAUUUGGGGAUUCUAAAAUUGUCGAACCCACCCAUGGCAGGAAUAGACAGAUGCAAAAAAUUUUUCUGAUCGAUUUUGAUAUAUGGAACGUCAAAAUCGGAGUUCGUAUGCGAAAGUUAUGGAUGUUCUACGAACAAACUCCGAAUUAGAGGACAAAACGGUCCGGAAGUGGGAAAAAUUUGUGGCGGUGGCUAGACAUUGAUGGAAACGGUGGGAAAAAACAUACAAACUGGACUCUAACAAGACCUAACCAGUAACAAUACCUCGACCAGGACACGAACUCAAUACUACGGACUCUGAAACUAAAAUAUGCAAAGGAUAUGACGCGGAUGGGUUGUAGGACAUGAAAACAAUAUGGCACUAGACUUAUGGGACGAACACAAGGGCACUCAAAACUAAGGGUAGAUGUGAACCUAACGGUAUGUCUGAAGCUUUGAUUACCACUUGAGGAGAACAAGUGUGGCCCGAUCUUCCGAAAGGUUCUAGUAAUUAUCGAUUUGGUGGAAACGAGACACAAAUCAAUCCACCUUGCGAACAACACGAUCCAAAACCCUGCAAUUCUUUUUAUUUUUUUGAUAUUUUUCUUUAACUUAGGAGCACUCAAGAAGUAACCACAGGAAAUUUGAGCUUAAACAAGUGAAAGACGUGGCCUGCGGAAUUUUUUGAAGAUUGUGAAAAAUAUGAAAAAACUUUAGGAGGUGAAAACUCAAACUUCAGAGGCGAAUUUGGGGAUUCUAAAAUUGUCGAACCCGCUCAUGGCGGGGAUAGACAGAUCAAAAAAAAUUUUCUGAUCGAUUUUGAUAUAUUGAACGUCAAAAUCGGAGUUCGUAUGCGAAAGUUUUGUCUGUUUUACAAACGGACUCCGAAUUAGAGGACAAAACGGUCCGGAAGUGGGAAAAAUUUGCGGCAGUGGCUAGAAAUUGAUGGAAACAGUGGGAAGAAACACACAAAUUGGACUCUAACAGGACCUAACCAGUAACAAGACCUCGACCAGGACACAAACUCAACACUACGGACUCUGAAACUGAAAUAUGCAAAGGCUAUGGCGCGGAUGGGUUGUCGGACAUGAAAACAAUAUGGCACUAGACUUAUGGGAUGAACACAAGGACACUCGAAACUAAGGGUAGAUGUGAACCUAACGGUAUGUCUGAAGCUUUGAUUACCACUUGUGGAGAACAAGUGUGACCCGAUCUUCCGAAAGGUUCUCGUAACUAUCUAUUUGGUGGAAACGAGACACAAAUCAAUCCAGCUUGCAAACAACACGAUUCGAAACCCUGUAAUUCCUUUUAUUUUUUUCUGAUAUUUUUCUUUUACUUAGGAGCACUCAAGAAGUAACCACAGGAAAUUUGAGCUUCAACAUGUGAAAGACGUGGCCUGUGGAAUUUUUUGAUGAUUGUGAAAAAUAUGAAAAAAACUUUAGAGGUGAUAACUCCAACUUCAGAGGUGAAUUUGGGGAUUCUAAAAUUGUCGAACCCGUCGAUGGUGCGGAUAGACAGAUCCAAAAUUUUUUAAUCACUUUUGAUAUAUGGAACAUCAAAAUCGGAGUUCGUAUGCGAAAGUCAUUGCUGUUUUACGAACGGACUCAGAAUUAGAGGACAAAACGGUCCGGAAGUGGGAAAAAUUUGCGGCGGUGGCUAGAAAUUGAUGGAAAUGGUGAGAAGAAACACACAAAUUGGACCCUAACAAGACCUAACCAGUAACCAGACCUCGACAAGGACACAAACUCAACACUACACACUCUGAAACUGAAAUAUGCAAAGGCUAUGGCGCGGAUGGGUUGUAGGACAUGAAAACAAUAUGACACCAGACUUAUGGGACGAACACAAGGUCACCCGAAACUAAGCGUAGAUGUGAACCUAACGGUAUGUCUGAAGCUUUGAUUACCACUUGAGGAGAACAAAUGUGGCCCGAUCUUCUGAAAGGUUGUGGUAACUAUCGAUUUGGUGGAAACGAGACACAAAUCAAUCCACCUUGCGAACAACACAAUUCGAAACCUUGCAAUUCUUUUUUUUGAUAUUUUUCUUUUACUUAGGAGCACUCAAGAAGUAACCAUAGGAAAUUUGAGCUUAAACAAGUGAAAGACAUGGCCUGUGGAAUUUUUUGAAGAUUACGAAAAAUAUGAAAUAAAACUUUAGGAGGUGAAAACUCAAAAUCAGAGGCGAAUUUGGGGAUUCUAAAAUUGUCGAACCCACCCAUGGCAGGAAUAGACAGAUGCAAAAUUUUUUUCUGAUCGAUUUUGAUAUAUGGAACGUCAAAAUCAGAGUUCGUAUGCGAAAGUUAUGGAUGUUCUACGAACAAUCUCCGAAUUAGAGGACAAAACGGUCCGGAAGUGGGAAAAAUUUGCGGCGGUGGCUAGACAUUGAUGGAAACGGUGGGAAAAAACAUACAAAUUGGUCUCUAACAAGACCUAACCAGUAACAAGACCUCGACAAGGACACGAACUCAACACUACGGACUCUGAAACUGAAAUAUGCAAAGGCUAUGGCGCGGAUGGGUUGUAGGACAUGAAAACAAUAUGGCACCAGACUUAUGGGACGAAGACAAGAACACUCAAAACUAAGGGUAGAUGUGAACCUAACGGUAUGUCUGAAGCUUUGAUUACCACUUGAGGAGAAUAAGUGUGGCCCGAUCUUCCGAAAGGUUCUAGUAAUUAUCGAUUUGGUGGAAACGAGACACAAAUCAAUCCAGCUUGCAAACAACACGAUUCGAAACCCUGUAAUUCCUUUUAUAUUUUUUUGAUAUUUUUCUUUUACUUAUGAGCACUCAAGAAAUAACCACAGGAAAUUUGAGCUUAAACAUGUGAAAGACGUGGCCUGUGGAAUUUUUUGAAGAUUGCGAAAAAUAUGAAAAAAACCUUAGAGGUGAUAACUCAAACUUCAGAGGCGAAUUUGGGGAUUCUAAAAUUGUCGAACCCGCUGAUGGUGGGGAUAGACAGGUCCAAAAUUUUUUUGAUCGAUUUUGAUAUAUGGAACAUCAAAAUCGGAGUUCGUAUGCGAAAGUCAUUGCUGUUUUACGAACGGACUCAGAAUUAAAGGACAAAACGGUCCGGAAGUGGGAAAAAUUUGCGGCAGUGGCUAGAAAUUGAUGGAAAUGGUGAGAAGAAACACACAAAUUGGACUCUAACAAGACCUAACCAGUAACAAGACCUCGACAAGGACACAAACUCAACACUACAGACUCUGAAACUGAAAUAUGCAAAGGCUAUGGCGCGGAUGGGUUGUAGGACAUGAAAACAAUAUGGCACCAGACUUAUGGGACGAACACAAGGACACUCGAAACUAAGGGUAGAUGUGAACCUAACAGUAUGUUUGAAGCUUUGAUUACCACUUGAGGAGAACAAGUGUGACCCGAACUUCCGAAAGGUUCUGGUAACAAUCGAUUUGGUGGAAACGAGACACAAAUCAAUCCAGCUUGCAAACAACACGAUUCAAAACCCUGUAAUUCCUUUUAUUUUUUUCUGAUAUUUUUCUUUUACUUAGGAGCACUCAAGAAGUAACCACAGGAAAUUUGAGCUUAAAUAUAUGAAAGACGUGGCCUGUGGAAUUUUUUGAAGAUUACGAAAAAUAUGAAAAAAAAACUUUAGAGGUGAUAACUCAAACUUCAGAGGCGAAUUUGGGGAUUCUAAAAUUGUCGAACCCGCUCGUGGCGGGGAUAGACAGAUAAAAAAAAAUUUUCUAAUUGAUUUUGAUAUAUCGAAUGUCAAAAUCGGAGUACGUAUGCGAAAGUCAUUGCUGUUUUACGAACGGACUCAGAAUUAGAGGACAAAACGGUCCGGAAGUGGGAAAAAUUUGCGGCGGUGGCUAGAAAUUGAUGGAAAUGGUGAGAAGAAACACACAAAUUGGACUCUAACAAGACCUAACCAGUAACAAGACCUCGACAAGGACACAAACUCAACAUUACAGACUCUGAAACUGAAAUAUGCAAAGGCUAUGGCGUGGAUGGGUUGUCGGACAUGAAAACAAUAUGGCACCAGACUUAUGGGACGAACACAAGGACACUCGAAACUAAGGGUAGAUGUGAACCUAACGGUAUGUCUGAAGCUUUGAUUACCACUUGAGGAGAACAAGUGUCACCCGAUCUUCCGAAAGGUUCUCGUAACUAUCGAUUUGGUGGAAACGAGACACAAAUCAAUCCAGCUUGCAAACAACACGAUUCGAAACACUGUAAUUCCUUUUAUUUUUUUCUGAUAUUUUUAUUUUACUUAGGAGCACUCAAGAAGUAACCACAGGAAAUUUGAGCUUAAACAUGUGAAAGACGUGGCCUGUGGAAUUUUUUAAAGAUUGCGAAAAAUAUGAAAAAAAACUUUAGAGGUGAAAUCUCAAACUUCAGAGGCGAAUUUGGGGAUUCUAAAAUUGUCGAACCCGCCGAUGGUGGGGAUAGACAGAUCCAAAAUUUUUUUUAUCGAUUUUGAUAUAUGGAACAUCAAAAUUGGAGUUCGUAUGCGAAGUCAUUGCUGUUUUACGAACGGACUCAUAAUUAGAGGACAAAACGGUCCGGAAGUGGGAAAAAUUUGCGGCGGUGGCUAGAAAUUGAUGGAAAUGGUGAGAAGAAACACAUAAAUUGGACUCUAACAAGACCUAACCAGUAACAAGACCUCGACAAGGACACAAACUCAACACUACAGACUCUGAAACUGAAAUAUGCAAAGGCUAUGGCGCGGAUGGUUUGUAGGACAUGACAACAAUAUGGCACCAGACUUAUGGGACGAACACAAGGACACUCGAAACUAAGGGUAGAUGUGAACCUAACGGUAUGUCUGAAGCUUUGAUUACCACUUGAGGAGAACAAGUGUGACCCGAUCUUCCGAAAGGUUCUCGUAACUAUCGAUUUGGUGGAAACGAGACACAAAUCAAUCCAGCUUGCAAACAACACGAUUCGAAACACCGUAAUUCCUUUUAUUUUUUUCUGAUAUUUUUCUUUUACUUAGCAGCACUGAAGAAAUAACCACAGGACAUUUGAGCUUAAACAUGUGAAAGACGUGGCCUGUGGAAUUUUUUGAAGAUUGCGAAAAAUAUGACAAAAAACUUUAGAGGUGAUAACUCAAACUUCAGAGGCGAAUUUGGGGAUUCUAAAAUUGUCGAACCCGCCAAUGGUGGGGAUAGACAGAUCCAAAAUUUGUUUGAUUGAUUUUGAUAUAUGGAACAUCAAAAUCAGAGUUCGUAUGCGAAAGUCAUUGCUGUUUUACGAACAGACUCAGAAUUAGAGGACAAAACGGUCCGGAAGUGGGAAAAAUUUGCGGCAGUGGCUAGUAAUUGAUGGAAAUGGUGAGAAGAAACACACAAAUUGGACUCUAACAAGACCUAACCAGUAACAAGACCUCGACAAGGACACAAACUCGACACUACAGACUCUGAAACUGAAAUAUGCAAAGGCUAUGGCGCGGAUGAGUUGUAGGACAUGAAAACAAUAUGGCACCAGACUUAUGGGACGAACACAAGGACACUCGAAACUAAGGGUAGAUGUGAACCUAACGGUAUGUCUGAAGCUUUGAUUACCACUUGAGGAGAACAAGUGUGACCCGAUCUUCCGAAAGGUUCUCGUAACUAUCAAUUUGGUGGAAACAAGACACAAAUCAAUCUAGCUUGCAAACAACACGAUUCGAAACCCUAUAAUUCCUUUUAUUUUUUUCUAAUAUUUUUGUUUUACUUAGGAGCACUCAAGAAGUAACCACAGGAAAUUUGAGCUUAAACUUGUGAAAGACGUGGCCUGUGGAAUUUUUUGAAGAUUGCGAAAAAUAUGAAAAAAAAACUUUAGGAGGUGAAAACUCAAACUUCAGAGGCGAAUUUGGGGAUACUAAAAUUGUCGAACCCGCUCGUGGCGGCGAUACACAGAUUGAAAAAAAAUUUCUGAUCGAUUUUGAUAUAUCGAACGUCAAAAUCGGAGUUCGUAUGCGAAAGUCAUUGCUGUUUUACGAACGGACUUAGAAUUAGAGGACAAAGCGGUCCGGAAGUGGGAAAAAUUUGCGGCGGUGGCUAGAAAUUGAUGGAAAUGGUGAGAAGAAACACACAAAUUGGACUCUAACAAGACCUAACCAGUAGCAAAACCUCGACAAGGACACAAACUCAACACUACAGACUCUGAAACUGAAAUAUGCAAAGGCUAUGGCGCGGAUGGGUUGUCGGACAUGAAAACAAUAUGGCACCAGACUUAUGGGAUGAACACAAGGAUACUCGAAACUAAGGGUAGAUGUGAACCUAACGGUAUGUCUGAAGCUUUGAUUACCACUUGAGGAGAACAAGUGUGACCCGAUCUUCCGAAAGGUUCUCGUAACUAUCGAUUUGGUGGAAACGAGACACAAAUCAAUCCAGCUUGCAAACAACACGAUUCGAAACCCUAUAAUUCCAUUUAUUUUUUUCUGAUAUUUUUCUUUUACUUAGGAGCACUCAAGAAGUAACCACAGGAAAUUUGAGCUUAAACAUGUGAAAGACGUGGCCUGUGGAAUUUUUUAAAGAUUGCGAAAAAUAUGAAAAAAAACUUUAGAGGUGAAAACUCAAACUUCAGAGGCGAAUUUGGGGAUUCUAAAAUUGUCGAACCCGCCGAUGGAGGGGAUAGACAGAUCCAAAAUUUUUUUUAUCGAUUUUGAUAUAUGGAACAUCAAAAUCGGAGUUCGUAUGCGAAAGUCAUUGCUGUUUUACGAACGGACUCAUAAGUAGAGGACAAAACGGUCCGGAAGUGGGAAAAAUUUGCGGCGGUGGCUAGAAAUUGAUGGAAAUGGUGAGAAGAGACACACAAAUUGGACUCUAACAAGACCUAACCAGUAACAAGACCUCGACAAGGACACAAACUCAACACUACAGACUCUGAAACUGAAAUAUGCAAAGGCUAUGGCGCGGAUGGGUUGUAGGACAUGAAAACAAUAUGGCACCAGACUUAUGGGAUGAACACAAGGACACUCGAAACUAAGGGUAGAUGUGAACCUAACAGUAUGUCUGAAGCUUUGAUUACCACUUGAGGAGAACAAGUGUGACCCGAUCUUCCGAAAGGUUCUCGUAACUAUCGAUUUGGUGGAAACGAGACACAAAUCAAUCCAGCUUGCAAACAACACGAUUCGAAACACUGUAAUUCCUUUUAUUUUUUUCUGAUAUUUUUCUUUUACUUAGGAGCACUCAAGAAAUAACCACAGGAAAUUUGAGCUUAAACAUGUGAAAGACGUGGCCUGUGGAAUUUUUUGAAGAUUGCGAAAAAUAUGAAAAAAAACUUUAGAGGUGAUAACUCAAACUUCAGAGGCGAAUUUGGGGAUUCUAAAAUUGUCGAACCCGCCAAUGGUGGGGAUAGACAGAUCCAAAAUUUGUUUGAUUGAUUUUGAUAUAUGGAACAUCAAAAUCGGAGUUCGUAUGCGAAAGUCAUUACUGUUUUACGAACAGACUCAGAAUUAGAGAACAAAACGGUCCGGAUGUGGGAAAAAUUUGCGUCAGUGGCUAGUAAUUGAUGGAAAUGGUGAGAAGAAACACACAAAUUGGACUCUAACAAGACCUCACUAGUAACAAGACCUCGACAAGGACACAAACUCGACACUACAGACUCUGAAACUAAAAUAUGCAAAGGCUAUGGCGCGGAUGAGUUGUAGGACAUGAAAACAAUAUGGCACCAGACUUAUGGGACGAACACAAGGACACUCGAAACUAAGGGUAGAUGUGAACCUAACGGUAUGUCUGAAGCUUUGAUUACCACUUGAGGAGAACAAGUGUGAACCGAUCUUCCGAAAGGUUCUCGUAACUAUCGAUUUGGUAGAAACGAGACACAAAUCAAUCCAGCUUGCAAACGACACGAUUCGAAACCCUGUAAUUCCUUUUAUUUUUUUCUGAUAUUUUUCUUUUACUUAGGAGCACUCAAGAAGUAACCACAGGAAAUUUGAGCUUAAACAUGUGAAAGACAUGGGGUGUGGAGUUUUUUGAAGAUUCCGAAAAAUAUGAAAAAAAACUUUAGAGGUGAUAACUCAAACUUCAGAGGCGAAUUUGGGGAUUCUAAAAUUGUCGAACCCGCCGAUGGUGGGGAUAGACAGAUCCAAAUUUUUUUUGAUCGAUUUUGAUAUAUCGAACGUCAAAAUCGGAGUUCGUAUGCGAAAGUCAUUGCUGUUUUACGAACGGACUCAGAAUUAGAGGACAAAACGGUCCAGAAGUAGGAAAAAUUUGCGGCGGUGGCUAGAAAUUGAUGGAAAUGGUGAGAAGAAACACACAAAUUGGACUCUAACAAGACCUAACAAGUAACAAGACCUCGAUAAGGACACAAACUCAACACUACAGACUGUGAAACUGAAAUAUGCAAAGGCUAUGGCGCGGAUGGGUUGUAGGACAUGAAAACAAUAUGGCACCAGACUUAUGGGACGAACACAAGGACACUCGAAACUCAGGGUAGAUGUGAACCUAACGGUAUGUCUGAAGCAUUGAUUACCACUUGAGGAGAACAAGUGUGACCCGAUCUUCCGAAAGGUUCUCGUAACUAUCGAUUUGGUGGAAACGAGAAACAAAUCAUUCCAGCUUGCAAACAACACAAUUCGAAACCCUGUAAUUCCUUUUAUUUUUUUCUGAUAUUUUUGUUUUAUUUAGGAGCACUCAAGAAGUAACCACAGGAAAUCUGAGCUUAAACAUGUGAAAGACGUGGCCUAUGGAAUUUUUGGAAGAUUGCGAAAAAUAUGAAAAAAAUUUAGGAGGUGAAAACUCAAACUUCAGAGGCGAAUUUGGGGAUUCUAAAAUUGUCGAACCCGCUCGUGGCCUGGAUAGACAGAUCGCAAAAAAAAUUUCUGAUCGAUUUUGAUAUAUCGAACGUCAAAAUCGGAGUUCGUAUGCGAAAGUCAUUGCUGUUUUACGAACGGACUCAGAAUUAGAGGACAAAACGGUCCGGAAGUGGGAAAAAUUUGCGGCGGUGGCUAGAAAUUGAUGGAAAUGGUGAGAAGAAACACACAAAUUGGACUCUAACAAGACCUAACCAGUAACAAGACCUCGACAAGGACACAAAGUCAACACUACAGACUGUGAAACUGAAAUAUGCAAAGGCUAUGGCGCGGAUGGGUUGUAGGACAUGAAAACAAUAUGGCACCAGACUUAUGGGACGAACACAAGGACACUCAAAACUAAGGGUAGAUGUGAACCUAAUGGUAUGUCUGAAGCUUUGAUUACCACUUGAGGAGAAAAAGUGUGACCCGAUCUUCCGAAAGGUUCUCGUAACUAUCGAUUUGGUGGAAACGAGACACAAAUCAUUCCAGCUUGCAAACAACACGAUUCGAAACCCUGUAAUUCCUUUUAUUUUUUUCUGAUAUUUUUCUUUUACUUAGGAGCACUCAAGAAGUAACCACAGGAAAUUUGAGCUUAAACAUGUGAAAGACGUGGCAUGUGGAAUUUUUUGAAGAUUGCAAAAAAUAUGAAAAAAAACUUUAGAGGUGAAAACUCAAACUUCAGAGGCGAAUUUGGGGAUUCUAAAACGGUCGAACCCGCCGAUGGUGAGGAUAGACAGAUCCAAAAUUUUUUUGAUCGAUUUUGAUAUAUGGAACAUCAAAAGCAGAGUUCGUAUGCGAAAGUCAUUGCUGUUUUACGAACGGACUCAGAAUUAGAGGACAAAACGGUCCGGAAGUGGGAAAAAUUUGCGGCGGUGGCUAGAAAUUGAUGGAAAUGGUGAGAAGAAACACACAAAUUGUACUCUAACAAGACCUAACCAGUAACAAGACCUCGACAAGGACACAAACUCAACACUACGGACUCUGAAACUGAAAUAUGCAAAGGCUAUGGCGCGGAUGGGAUGUAGGACAUGAGAACAAUAUAGCACUAGACUUACGCGACAAACACAAGGACACUCGAAACUAAGGGUAGUUGUGAACCUAAUGGUAUGUCUAAACCUUUGAUUACCACUUGAGGAGAAUAAGUGUGGCCCGAUCUUGUGAAAUGUUCUGGUAACUAUCGAUUUGGUCGAAACGUGACACAAAUCAAUCCAGCUUGCGAACAACACGAUCCGAAACCCUGCAACUCUUUUUAUUUUUUUGAUAUUUUUCUCUUACUAGGGGCACUCAAGAAGUAACCACACGAAAUUUGAGCUUAUACAAGUGAAAGACGUGGCCUGUGGAAUUUUUUGAAGAUUGCAAAAAAUAUGAAAAAAAACUUUAGGAGGUGAAAACUCAAACUUCAGAGGCGAAUUUGGGGAUUCUAAAAUUGUCAAAGCCUCUCAUGGCAGGGAUAGACAGAUCCAAAAAAAAAUUUCUGAUCGAUUUUGAUAUAUGGAACGUCAAAAUCGGAGUUCGUCUGCUAAAGUUAUGGCUGUUUUACGAACAGACUUUGAAUUAGAGGACAAAACGGUCCGGAAGUGGGAAAAAACUGCGGCGGUGGCUAUAAAUUUAUGGAAACGGUAGGAAGAAACACACAAACUGGACACUAACGAGACCUAACCAGUAACAAGACCUCGACAAGGACACAAACUCAACACUACGUACUCUGAAACUGAAAUAUGCAAAGGCUUUGGCGCGGAUGGGUUGUAGGACAUGAGAACAAUAUAGCACUAGACUUAUGCGACAAACACAAGGACACUCGAAACUAAGGGUAGUUAUGAACCUAAUGGUAGUUCUGAACCUUUGAUUACCACUUGAGGAGAAUAAGUGUGGCCCGAUCUUGUCAAAUGUUCUGGUAACUAUCGAUUUGGUGGAAACGUGACACAAAUCAAUCCAGCUUGCGAACAACACGAUCCGAAACCCUGCAACUCUUUUUAUUUUUUGAUAUUUUUCUCUUACUAGGAGCACUCAAGAAGUAACCAUAGGAAAUUUGAGCUUAUACAAGUGAAAGACGUGGCCUGUGGAAAUUUUUGAAGAUUGCAAAAAAUAUGAAAAAAAAACUUUAGGAGGUGAAAACUCAAACUUCAGAGGCGAAUUUGGGGAUUCUAAAAUUGUCAAAGCCUCUCAUGGCGGGGAUAGACAGAUCCAAAAAAAAAUUUCUGAUCGAUUUUGAUAUAUGGAACGUCAAAAUCGGAGUUCGUCUGCGAAAGUUAUGGCUGUUUUACGAACGGACUCUGAAUUAGAGGACAAAACGGUUCGGAAGUGGGAAAAAUUUGCGGCGGUGGCUAUAAAUUUAUGGAAACGGUGGGAAGAAACACACAAACUGGACUCUAACGAGACCUAACUAGUAAAAAGACCUCGACAAGGACACAAACUCAACACUACGUACUCUGAAACUGAAAUAUGCAAAGGCUAUGGCGCGGAUGGGUUGUAGGACAUGAGAACAAUAUAGCACUAGACUUAUGCUACGAACACAAGGACACUCGAAACUAAGGGUAGUUGUGAAACUAAUGGUAUGUCUGAACCUUUGAUUACCACUUGAGGAGAAUAAGUGUGGCCCGAUCUUGUGAAAUGUUCUGGUAACUAUCGAUUUGGUCGAAACGUGACACAAAUCAAUCCAGCUUGCGAACAACACGAUCCAAAACCCUGCAAUUCUUUUUAUUUUUUUGAUAUUUUUCUCUUACUUAGGAGCACUCAAGAAGUAACCACAGGAAAUUUGAGCUCAUACAAGUGCAAGACGUGGCCUGUGGAAAUUUUUGAAGAUUGCAAAAAAUAUGAAAAAAAACUUUAGGAGGUGAAAACUCAAACUUCAGAGGCGAAUUUGGGGAUUCUAAAAUUGUCAAAGCUUCUCAUGGCAGGGAUAGACAGAUCCAAAAAAAAUUUUCUGAUCGAUUUGGAUAUAUGGAACGUCAAAAUCGGAGUUCGUCUGCGAAAAUUAUGGCUGUUUUACGAACGGACUCCGAAUUAGAGGACAAAACGGUCCGGAUGUGGGAAAAAUUUGCGGCGGUGGCUAUAAAUUUAUGGAAACGGUGGGAAGAAACACACAAACUGGACUCUAACGAGACCUAACCAGUAACAAGACCUUGACCACGACACAAACUCAACACUACGGACUCUGAAACUGAAAUAUGCAAAGGCUAUGGCGCGGAUGGGUUGUAGGACAUGAGAAAAAUAUAGCACUAGACUUAUGCGACGAACACAAGGACACUCGAAACUAAGGGUAGUUGUGAAACUAAUGGUAUGUCUGAACCUUUGAUUACCACUUGAGGAGAAUAAGUGUGGCCCGAUCUUGUGAAAUGUUCUGGUAACUAUCGAUUUGGUCGAAACGUGACACAAAUCAAUCCAGCUUGCGAACAACACGAUCCAAAACCCUACAAUUCUUUUUAUUUUUUUAUAUUUUUCUCUUACUUAGGAGCACUCAAGAAGUAACCACAGGAAAUUUGAGCUUAUACAAGUGAAAGACGUGGCCUGUGGAAAUUUUUGAAGAUUGCAAAAAAUAUGAAAAAAAACUUUAGGAGGUGAAAACUCAAACUUUAGAGGCGAAUUUGGGGAUUCUAAAAUUGUCAAAGCUUCUCAUGGCGGGGAUAGACAGAUCCAAAAAAAUUUCUGAUCGAUUUUCAUAUAUGGAACGUCAAAAUCGGAGUUCGUAUGCGAAAGUUAUGGCUGUUUUACGAACAGACUCCGAAUUAGAGGACAAAACGGUCCGGAAGUGGAAAAAUUUUGCGGCGGUGGCUAUAAAUUGAUGGAAACGGUGGGAAGAAACACACAAACUGGACUCUAACGAGACCUAACCAGUAACAAUACCUCGACCAGGACACAAACUCAACACUACGGACUAUGAAACUGAAAUAUGCAAAGGCUAUGGCGCGGAUGGGUUGUAGGACAUGAGAACAAUAUAGCACUAGACUUAUGCUACGAACACAUGGACACUCGAAACUAUGGGUAGUUGUGAAACUAAUGGUAUGUAUGAACCUUUGAUUAUGACUUGAGGAGAAUAAGUGUGGCCCGAUCUUGUGAAAUGUUCUGGUAACUAUCGAUUUGGUCGAAACGUGACACAAAUCAAUCCAGCUUGCGAACAACACGAUCCAAAACCCUGCAAUUCUUUUUAUUUUUUUGAUAUUUUUCUCUUACUUAGGAGCACUCAAGAAGUAACCACAGGAAAUUUGAGCUCAUACAAGUGCAAGACGUGGCCUGUGGAAAUUUUUGAAGAUUGCAAAAAAUAUGAAAAAAAACUUUAGGAGGUGAAAACUCAAACUUCAGAGGCGAAUUUGGGGAUUCUAAAAUUGUCAAAGCUUCUCAUGGCAGGGAUAGACAGAUCCAAAAAAAUUUUCUGAUCGAUUUGGAUAUAUGGAACGUCAAAAUCGGAGUUCGUCUGCGAAAAUUAUGGCUGUUUUACGAACGGACUCCGAAUUAGAGAACAAAACGGUCCGGAUGUGGGAAAAAUUUGCGGCGGUGGCUAUAAAUUUAUGGAAACGGUGGGAAGAAACACACAAACUGGACUCUAACGAGACCUAACCAGUAACAAGACCUCGACCAGGACACAAACUCAACACUACGGACUCUGAAACUGAAAUAUGCAAAGGCUAUGGCGCGGAUGGGUUGUAGGACAUGAGAAAAAUAUAGCACUAGACUUAUGCGACGAACACAAGGACACUCGAAACUAAGGGUAGUUGUGAAACUAAUGGUAUGUCUGAACCUUUGAUUACCACUUGAGGAGAAUAAGUGUGGCCCGAUCUUGUGAAAUGUUCUGGUAACUAUCGAUUUGGUCGAAACGUGACACAAAUCAAUCCAGCUUGCGAACAACACGAUCCAAAACCCUACAAUUCUUUUUAUUUUUUUUAUAUUUUUCUCUUACUUAGGAGCACUCAAUAAGUAAGCACAGGAAAUUUGAGCUUAUACAAGUGAAAGACGUGGCCUGUGGAAAUUUUUGAAGAUUGCAAAAAAUAUGAAAAAAAACUUUAGGAGGUGAAAACUCAAACUUCAGAGGCGAAUUUGGGGAUUCUAAAAUUGUCAAAGCUUCUCUUGGCGGGGAUAGACAGAUCCAAAAAAAUUUUCUGAUCGAUUUUGAUAUAUGGAACGUCAAAAUCAGUGUUCGUCUGCGAAAAUUAUGGCUGUUCUACGAACGGACUCCGAAUUAGACGACAAAACGGUCCGGAAGUGGGAAAAUUUUGCGGCGGUGGCUAUAAAUUUAUGGAAAUGGUGGGAAGAAACACACAAACUGGACUCUAACGAGACCUAACCAAUAACAAGACCUCGACCAGCACACAAUCUCAAAACUACGGACUCUGAAACUGAAAUAUGCAAAGGCUAUGGCGCGGAUGGGUUGUAGGACAUGAGAACAAUACAGCACUAGACUUAUGCGACGAAUAGAAGGACACUCGAAACUAAGGAUAGUUGUGAACCUAAUGGUAUGUCUGAACCUUUGAUUACCACUUGAGGAGAACAAGUGUGGCCCGAUCUUCCGAAAGGUUCUGGUAACUAUCGAUUUGGUGGAAACGAGACACAAAUCAAUCCAGCUUGCGAAUAACACGAUUCGAAACCCUGCAAUUCUUUUUUUUUGAUAUUUUUCUCUCACUUAGGAGCACUCAAGAAGUAACCAUAGGAAAUUUGAGCUUAAACAAGUGAAAGACGUGGCCUGUGGAAUUUUUUGAAGAUUCCAAAAAAUAUGAAAAAAAACUUUAGGAGGUGAAAACUCAAACUUCAGAGGCGAAAUUGGGGAUACUAAAAUUGUCGAACCCGCCUAUGGCGGGGAUAGACAGAUUCAAAAAAAAUUUUCUGAUCGAUUUUCAUAUAUGGAACGUCCAAAUCGAAGUUCGUAUGCGAAAGUUAUGGCUGUUCUACGAACAGACUCCGAAUUAGAGGACAAAACGGCCUGGAAGUGGGAAAAUUUUGCGGCGGUGGCUAGAAAUUGAUGGAAACGGUGGGAAGAAACACACAAACUGGACUCUAACGAGACCUAACCAGUAACAAGACCACUAGUAACAAGACCUCGACCAGGACACAAACUCAACACUACGGAGUCUGAAACUGAAAUAUGCAAAGGCUAUGUCGCGGAUGGGUUGUAGGACAUGAAAAUAAUAUGGCACUAGACAUAUGGGACGAAUACAAGGACACUCGAAACUAAGGGUAGAUGUGAACCUAACGGUAUGUCUGAAGCUUUGAUUACCAGUUGAGGAGAACAAGUGCGGCUCGAUCUUCCGAAAGGUUCUCGUAACUAUCGAUUUGGUGGAAACGAGACACAAAUCAAUCGAGCUUGCGAACAACACGAUUCGAAACCCUACAAUUCUUUUUAUUUGAUAUUUUUCUUUUACUUAGGAGCACUCAAGAAGUAACCACAGGAAACUUGAGCUUAAACAAGUGAAAGACGUGGCCUGUGGAAUUUUUUGAAGAUUGCGAAAAAUAUGAAAAAAAAAACUUUAGGAGGUGAAAACUCAAACUUCAGAGGCAAAUUUGUGGAUUCUAAAAUUGUCGAACUCGCCCAUGGCAGGGAUAGACAUGAACAAAAAAUUUUCUGAUCGAUUUUGAUAUAUGGAAUAUCAAAAUCGGAGUUCACACAAAUCAAUCGAGCUUGCGAACAACACGAUUUGAAACCCUACAAUUCUUUUUAUUUGAUAUUUUUCUUUUACUUAGGAGCACUCAAGAAGUAACCACAAGAAAUUUGAGCUUAAACAAGUGAAAGACGUGGCCUGUGGAAUUUUUUGAAGAUUGCAAAAAAUAUGAAAAAAAACUGUAGGAGGUGAAAACUCAAACUUCAAAGGCGAAUUUGGGGAUUCUAAAAUUGUCGAACUCGCCCAUGGCAGGGAUAGACAUGUCAAAAAAAAAUUUCUGAUCGAUUUUGAUAUAUGGAACGUUAAAAUCGGAGUUCGUAUGCAAAAGUUAUGGCUGUUUUACAAACGGACUUCGAAUUAGAUGACAAAACGGUCUGAAAGUGGGAAAAAUUUACGGUGGUGGCCAGAAAUUGAUGGAAACGGUGGGAAAAAACACACUAACUGGACUCUAAGAAGACCUAACUAGUAACAAGACCUCGAUCUGGACACAAACUCAACAAUACGGACUCUGAAACUGAAAUAUGCAAAGGCUACGGCGCGGAUGGGUUGUAGGACAUGAAAACAAUAUGGCACUAGACUUAUGGGACGAACACAAGGACACUCAAAACUAAGGGUAGAUGUGAAACUAAAGGUAUGUCUGAAGCUUUGAUUACCACUUGAGGAUAAAAGGUGUGGCCCGAUCUUACGAAAGGUUCUGGUAACUAUCGAUUUGGUGGAAACGAGACACAAAUCAAUCCAGCUUGCGAACAACAGCAAUCGAUACCCUGCAAUUCUUUUUUUUUGAUAUUUUUCUUUUACUUUGGAGCACUCAAGAAGUAACCACACGAAAAUUGAGCUUAAACAAGUGAAAGACGUAGCCUGUGGAAUUUUUGGAAGAUUGCAAAAAAUAUGAAAAAAACUUUAGGAGGUGAAAACUCAAACUUCAGAGGCGAAUUUGGGGAUUCUAAAAUGGUUGAACCCGCCUAUGGCGCGGAUAGGCAGAUCCAAAAAAAUAUUUUGAUCAAUUUUGAUAUAUGGAACGUCAAAAUCGGAGUUCGUAUGCUAAUGUUAUGGCUUUUUUACGAAUGGACUCCGAAUUAGAGGACAAAACGGUCCGGAAGUGGGAAAAAUUUGCGGUGGUGGCUACAAAUUGAUGGAAACGGUGGGAAAAACACACAAACUAGACUCUAACAAGACCUAACUAGUAACAAGACCUCAACCAGGACACAAACUCAACACUACGGACCCUGAAACUGAAAUAUGCAAAGGCUAUGGCGCGGAUGGGUUGUAGGACAUGAAAACAAUAUGGCACUAGACUUAUGGGACAAACAUAAGGACACUCGAAACUAAGGGUAGAUGUGAACCUAACGGUAUGUCUAAAGCUUUGAUUACCACUUGAGGAGAACAAGUGUGGCCCGAUCUUCCGAAAGGUUCUGGUAACUAUCGAUUUGGUGGAAACGAGACACAAAUCAAUCCAGCUUGCGAACAACACAAUUCGAAACCCUGCAAUUCUUUUUUUUGAUAUUUUUCUUUUACUUAGGAGCACUCAACAAGUAACCACAGGAAAUUUGAGCUUAAACAAGUGAAAGACGUGGCCUGUGGAAUUUUUUGAAGAUUGUGAAAAAAAUGAAAAAAAAUUAGUAGCUGAAAACUCAAAUUUCAGAGGCCAAUUUGGGGAUACUCAAAUUGUCGAACCCGCAAACGGCGGGGAUAGACAGAUCCAAGAAGUUUUUCUGAUCGAUUUUGAUAUAUGGAACGUCAAAAUCGGAGUUCGUAUGCGAAAGUUAUGGUUAUUUUACGAACGGACUCCGAAUUAGAGGACAAAACGGUCCGGAAGUGGGAAAUAUUUGCGGCGGUGGCUAUAAAUUGAUGGAAACGGUGGGAAGAAACAUACAAAUUGGACUCUAACAAGACCUAACCAGUAACAAGACCUCGACCAGGACACAAACUCAACACUACGGACCCUGAAACUGAAAUAUGCAAAGGCUAUGGCGCGGAUGGGUUGUAGGACAUGAAAACAAUAUGGCACUAGACUUAUGGGACGAACAUAAGGACACUCGAAACUAAGGGUAGAUGUGAACCUAACGGUAUGUCUGAAGCUUUGAUUACCAGUUGAGGAGAACAAGUGCGGCUCGAUCUUCCGAAAGGUUCUGGUAACUAUCGAUUUGGUGGAAACGAGACACAAAUCGAUCGAGCUUGCGAACAACACGAUUCGAAACCCUACAAUUCUUUUUAUUUGAUAUUUUUCUUUUACUUAGGUGCACUCAAGAAGUAACCACAGGAAAUUUGAGCUUAAACAAGUGAAGGACGUGGCCUGUGGAAUUUUUUGAAGAUUGCAAAAAAUAUGAAAAAAAACUUUAGUAGGUGAAAACUCAAACUUCAGAGGCGAAUUUGGGGAUUCUAAAAUUGUAGAACUCGCCCAUGGCAGGGAUAGACAUGUCCAGAAAAAAAUUUCUGAUCGAUUUUGAUAUAUGGAACGUCAAAAUCGGAGUUCGUAUGCGAAAGUUAUGGCUGUUUUACGAACGGACUUCGAAUUAGAUGACAAAACGGUCCGAAAGUGGGAAAAAUUUGCGGUGGUGGCUAUAAAUUGAUGGAAACGGUGGGAAAAACACACAAACUGGACUCUAAGAAGACCUAACUAGUAACAAGACCUCGACCAGGACACAAACUCAACACUACGGACUGUGAAACUGAAAUAUGCAAAGGUUACGGUGCGGAUGGGUUGUAGGACAUGAAAACAAUAUGGCACUAGACUUAUGAGACGAACAUAAGGUGUCACACCCUGGCAUUUAAAAUAAGACCAGAGUCGUCAUAUGUGUGCCCAGGAAGUCCACACAUACAACAAAGAAUAGAAAUAUCAGAAACAAUGUUAUAUAUAGCGGAAAACGUAUUUAUAACAACACUUACAAACAUCAGAGUACGCGGAAACAGUAGCUAAAACUUCUUAGGCUCCAUUCUUCUCAGGGACGGUUGACUGGGGGCUCCGUACGCCAAGCACUUCCCAUAAGCUUCUAGAAAACUCCAUGACCUCUUUAUCCUUCUUCUGAGCAGCACUUUACUACACACUGGGGGUGUGGGGGAAAUAGCAAGGGUGAGUUCAUGUCGAACUCAACAAGUACAGGUGGAAAGUAUAAUGACAUGCACGGCUUAAUCAAAGGAAAAGCUGACACUGUUUAACUGCAGGUGAGCUUUUAAGCUGGUACACUUUUAUUACAGUUCUUUUAUUAAAAUAACCUAUUACUAAAUAUGAGUGAAGCAUCGCAACCCUUAAUUAGAUGAAAGUAUAUUAACAAUUUUAUUAAUUAUCAUUAUAAUUAUUACCGAGGUAGCAACCUCAGAUAGUAACUCGGGGUAGCAACCCCAUUAAGGUCAUGGGAUAGCAAUCCCAAUUUAGAACACAGGAUAGCAAUCCUGCCAACACGGAAUAGCCAUUCCGCCAAAGCACGAGGUAGCAACCUCAACCAAGUUCCGCCUCCAAGUUCCAUGUGAUUCCAAUUUGCUCAUCAAGUGAGGGUCUGGGCCGCUCGUGACCGUGAGCACGGCUGAUAUAUCAGUUUUACACUCUGCAGAGGUGUGCACUUUCACUCCAAGUCGUGAUUCCCAUUCGCCCGGGGUCGCGACUCCCCAAAACACUACCGAGGUGAGCAGGCAGGGUUUCACUACGAGACCUUUCACACGGUCCAACUAAUAGGAUGCCACUCGCAAGUUUUCGCCGGGGCACGCGGCAGCCGUGCCCAUAGCAAUGGGACCCCGAACUGACCGACCUCUUAAUAUGAAUACCCAAGCUACUUCCUUACGCCUACCCGGAAAGUAACACCCUACCAGCGGAGGUCAUGAUAAUUAGUCAAGCCAGAGCCAUAUAGCUUGGAGCUGCACUGUAAGUCCCAGGGGGCCGCUCCCUGACUAAGUCCUUACGGAGAGCAGAGACGGGUACGCCCGGCAAACCGGACCACCAACAGUACCCGCUCCCCCUUUCCUCAACCAAAACACGUUGCUCGCAAGCACCGCAACAUCUCCAUCACCGAAGUGACCAUUGUUCACCAUUUAAUCAUUAAUCAUCAUUGAAGAAUUUGUUAAGCAAGAUCAUUAUUUUUAUUAUUAUAUAGAUUAGAUGAGUAGAGCAACUAAGCAUAUCUACUGUUCACUAUACUACCCAUGUAUAACCCAGGCAUACAAGGAAUAUGUAGAAGACUAGUCAUGUCCUUAGGGUUUGCAAUAUUAAGACACAUGCAAUGGAAAGUAAAUGUAUUUAAAGUUCAUAGGUACAAUAUGAUCAAAGGGUGCCUGCACUUGCCUUAAUUUCCAGUGUACAACUGCUCAGAAGUCUUUGGCUUCUUUCUUCUGAUCUUUUAGCUUCUACUGCAAGUGUCGGUCCUCAACUCCUGGUCUUCACUGUUGACGAACCAUACUUCUUCUACUCGUAGCAACCAAGCAACACAAACAAACAAACAAACAAUCACGACUAAGAACAAACGACAAUCAAAAGAAAAGCUUAGAAAGAGCGCACUAAACGACACGACUUAUUGCUAUGAUCGUGAUGGAUUGAGAACGGAGCUAUCGUUAAAUGGACACGACUAUCGGGGCUUGCAACAAAACGGAGAGAAGACAGACUAUACGCUCGUCGUAUUUUGUUAGAUGAAAUGUGGUGAUAGAUAUUUAAGAGAAAUAUCAUAAAAUAGAAUUAAACAAAUUAUAAUUAUAAAAGACGAAGUAUAGUUCUAGUUAUAUUCUAUUUAUAAAUAAAAGGUAUAUAUAUCAUUUAAGUCAUUUAAACAUUUAUGAUUUAGGAAGCAUAAAGCAAGUGAGAGCAACUAAUCGAAUCAUGACAUGCUUCCAUGUAUACUAAACAAGUUACAAUUAAUAAAGAAUCCUUUAAAUUGAUAUUAAUAAUGUUAGCAUUUAUUUAUUUAUAAAAGAUCUAAAUUAUAAACAUAAGUUACUUUUAAUCAAAAAGACAUUAAAUAAAUAUUAAACAAAUUAAUUAUAUAAUUUAUGUUUAACUAAAAGAAUCAUAGUUAAUAAAUACUUAGGUUAACAUUAACAAAGUUGAUAUUAGAUUAUAAAAGAAUAUACCAAAGUGUAAACCUAAAUUGUACUUUGUAGACUAAAAGGGCAUUUAGUUACUCAUUAAUUAUUUUGUAUUUAUGGUGAAAAUCCAAAUGGUCAAACGAGGUAACUAUUACUGCUAAAGCGUAGUUUACGACGAUACGAAACUAACGCGACAAGAACGGGCUCAAUCGGAGUUAAAACGCGGAUUCUAUGGCCAAAACCAUGUCAGUGGCAAAACCGUGAUUACACAGAACUAUAUUUCGCAUUUUAAAUAAUCAAAACUGAAUUUUAAAUACAUUUUGGACUGCGGGCACUAUUUCCCUAAAGCGCAGGGGCUAAAACAGAAAAGCCAAGGGCAUAAAUCUAAUUACUUUUAAAACGGCCGGAGUGCGAGUUGAUUUCUAAUACCCGCGGGGGUCUUUUUGCAAAAAGGGGAGGGAAUGGCGCGGGUGGCCGACUUGCUAGCCACGUGGCGCAUUGGGGCUGGUCGGUCCACGGCGGAGACCUGUGGACCAGGGCGGGGCACGGGUCCACCGGGUCCACAGUGGACCGCGGCCGGGAUCGAGCGGGCGCACGGCGGGAGGGAGCUGACCGCGGCGGCGGCGCCAUGGCUGCGGCACUGCGGCUCGCCGUGACGGCGCUGCAGUGCAUGGGAGGCCGUGCCGAGGGCACCGGCACGACGCGCACGUCGAGGCGAGCACGAUACACCUCCUGGCUGUGCGAGAGAGGGGCCGAGGAGGUCGGGCCGCACGGAGGGGUGGUUCGGCGGCGGCGACGGGGCUCCGGCGAGGGCGUUUGUGCAAAAGAAAGAGGGAGAGAGGGCGGAAAGGGCAUGGGCGUGGUCGUCACCUCGCUGCGAACGCCGAGGGCCGGUCGUCGUCGUCGGAGAUGGAGUCGGGGAGGAGAUCACCGACGGCGGCUUGAACUCGGGCGGCGGCUUUGGCGGCGGCGCUGCUAGGGUUCUAGGGUGGCGGCGGCGGUGCCCUAGGGCUCCAGGGAGGGGCGCGAUGCCCUACGGGAGGGCCUUUAUAGUCCGGGGAUCUUCGGGGCGCGUGCAGGCGCGGAGUACGGGGCCGGUGGUUGCGGCCGUGUCUGACUCGUUCGGAGGUCGGGGAUGACAGGUGGGUCCCACUCACGGGGCCCACCGGUCUGCGGGUGAAGGUGGGGUGUAGGAGGCGCGCAAGGUGGGCCACGGGGCUAGGCUCGGCCUGCUGGCCUGCGGCGGUGCGGGAUGGGCCGCGGCCCAUGCCGGCAGCUGCGCGCGAGAGGGGGGAGGCCGGCUCGGGCUGGGCCAAAAGCGGGAGGGAAAAGAUAGAAAAAGAAAUAUCUUUUCUUUUUGCAAAACAGUAAUUCUAAACUAUUUUGUCAACCAAUUUCCAAACUAUUUUCAAACAAAAUUUAAAAAAUAAAUUUGAAUCAAUACUUAGGGAUUAUUUUGGAAUUUGUUUGUAGACUAUUUUGAAAUCUAAAUAUAUUUUAGAUUAAACACAUUUCUAAAUUGUUUUCCAACUCGAACUUGAAUUAUUUUUUUUUUUAAAUAGGACUUUUGAAGUUUUAUUUUUCCGAAAACAAAAGGACCUAAACGCGCUCGCUAGAAAUUUUGUAAUCUAUUUUUUUUUCGAGACAAGCCAAGCAAAGCUAGGGCACAAAACACACAUCAAAUAAAACACCCUCCACUUAAUUCAUUAAAAGUUUUAAAAUUCCAUAUUUUUCUCAUUUUAUAAUAACAACAAUGAAUAAAAUCUUGGAAUAUUUUACAAAAAUUUUUAAAUCCUUAUUUAAUUUAGUAUUUUCUAAUAACAAUCCAAAAUUAAAAAUUUUAGAGUGUUAUACAAGGACACUCAAAACUAAAGGUAGAUGUGCACCUAAAGGUAUGUCUGAAGCUUUGAUUACCACUUAAGGAGAAAAGGUGUGGCCCGAUCUUACGAAAGGUUCUGGUAACUAUCGAUUUGGUGGAAACGAGACACAAAUCAAUCCAGCUUGCGAACAACACGAUUCGAUACCCUGCAAUUCUUUUUUUUGAUAUUUUUCUUUUACUUUGGAGCACUCAAGAAGUAACCACAGGAAAUUUGAGCUUAAACAAGUGAAAGACAUAGCCUGUGGAAUUUUUUGAAGAUUGCGAAAAAUAUGAAAAAAAAUUUAGGAGCUGAAAACUCAAACUUCAGAGGCGAAUUUGGGGAUUCUAAAAUUGUCGAACCCGCUCGUGGCAUGGAUAGACAGAUCGAAAAAAAACAUUCUGAUCGAUUUUGAUAUAUCGAACGUCAAAAUCGGAGUUCGUAUGCGAAAGUCAUUGCUGUUUUAGGAACGGACUCAGAAUUAGAGGACAAAACGGUCUGGAAGUGGGAAAAAUUUGCGGCGGUGGCUAGAAAUUGAUGGAAAUGGUGAGAAGAAACACACAAAUUGGACUCUAACAAGACGUAACCAGUAACCAGACCUCGACAAGGACACAGACUCAACACUACAGACUCUAAAACUGAAAUAUGCAAAGGCUAUGGCGCGGAUGGGUUGUAGGACAUGGAAACAAUAUGGCACCAGACUUAUGGGACGAAAACAAGGACACUCGAAACUAAGGGUAGAUGUGAACCUAACGGUAUGUCUGAAGCUUUGAUUACCACUUGAGGAGAACAAGUGUGACCCGAUCUUCCGAAAGGUUCUCGUAACUAUCGAUUUGGUGGAAACGAGACACAAAUCAUUCCAGCUUGCAAACAACACGAUUCGAAAACCUGUAAUUCCUUUUAUUUUUUUUUUGAUAUUUUUCUUUUACUUAGGAGCACUCAAGAAGUAACCACAGGAAAUUUGAGCUUAAACAUGUGAAAGACGUGGCCUAUGGAAUUUUUUGAAGAUUGCGAAAAAUAUGAAAAAAAAACUUUAGGAGGUGAAAACUCAAACUUCAGAGGCGAAUUUGGGGAUUCUAAAAUUGUCGAACCCGCUCGUGGAGUGGAUAGACAGAUCGGAAAAAAAAUUUCUGAUCGAUUUUGAUAUAUCGAACGUCAAAAUCGGAGUUCGUAUGCGAAAGUCAUUGCUGUUUUACGAACGGACUCAGAAUUAGAGGACAAAACGGUCCGGAAGUGGGAAAAAUUUGCGGCGGUGGCUAGAAAUUGAUGGAAAUGGUGAGAAGAAACACACAAAUUGGACUCUAGCAAGACCUAACCAGUAACAAGACCUCAACAAGGACACAAACUCAACACUACAGACUGUGAAACUGAAAUAUGCAAAGGCUAUGGCGCGGAUGGGUUGUAGGACAUGAAAACAAUAUGGCACCAGACUUAUGGGACGAACACAAGGACACUCGAAACUAAGGGUAGAUGUGAACCUAACGGUAUGUCUGAAGCUUUGAUUAUCACUUGAGGAGAACAAGUGUGACCCGAUCUUCCGAAAGGUUCUCGUAACUAUCGAUUUGGUGGAAACGAGACACAAAUCAUUCCUGCUUGCAAACAACACGAUUCGAAACCCUGUAAUUCCUUUCAUUUUUUUCUGAUAUUUUUCUUUUACUUAGGAGCACUCAAGAAGUAACCACAGGAAAUUUGAGCUUAAACAUGUGAAAGACGUGGCCUAUGGAAUUUUUUGAAGAUUGCGAAAAAUAUGAAAAACAAUUUAGGAGGUGAAAACUCAAAUUUCAGAGACGACUUUGGGGAUUCUAAAAUUGUCGAACACGCUCGUGGCAUGGAUAGACAGAUUGGAAAAAAAAUUUCUGAUCGAUUUUGAUAUAUCGAACGUCAAAAUCGGAGUUCGUAUGCGAAAGUCAUUGCUGUUUUACGAACGGACUCAGAAUUAGAGGACAAAACGGUCCGGAAGUGGGAAAAAUUUGCGGCGGUGGCUAGAAAUUGAUGGAAAUGGUGAGAAGAAACAUACAAAUUGGACUCUAACAAGACCUAACCAGUAACAAGACCUCGACAAGGACACAAACUCAACACUACAGACUCUGAAACUGAAAUAUGCAAAGGCUAUGGCGCGGAUGGGUUGUAGGACAUGAAAACAAUAUGGCACCAGACUUAUGGGACAAACACAAGGACACUCGAAACUAAGGGUAGAUGUGAACCUAACGGUAUGUGUGAAGCUUUGAUUACCACUUGAGGAGAACAAGUGUGACCCGAUCUUCCGAAAGGUUCUCGUAACUAUCGAUUUGGUGGAAACGAGACACAAAUCAUUCCAGCUUGCAAACAACACGAUUCGAAACCCUGUAAUUCCUUUUAUUUUUUUCUGAUAUUUUUCUUUUACUUAGGAGCACUCAAGAAGUAACCACAGGAAAUUUGAGCUUAAACAUGUGAAAGACGUGGCCUGUGGAAUUUUUUGAAGAUUGCGAAAAAUAUGAAAAAACUUUAGAGGUGAAAACUCAAACUUCAGAGGCGAAUUUGGGGAUUCUAAAAUUGUCGAACCCGCCGAUGGUGGGGAUAGACAGAUCCAAAAUUUUUUUGAUCGAUUUUGAUAUAUGGAACAUCAAAAGCGGAGUUCGUAUGCGAAAGUCAUUGCUGUUUUACGAACGGACUCAGAAUUAGAGGACAAAACGGUCCGGAAGUUGGAAAAAUUUGCGGCGGUGGCUAGAAAUUGAUGGAAAUGGUGAGAAGAAACACACAAAUUGUACUCUAACAAGACCUAACCAGUAACAAGACCUCGACAAGGACACAAACUCAACACUACGGAUUCUGAAACUGAAAUAUGCAAAGGCUAUGGCGCGGAUGGGAUGUAGGACAUGAGAAAAAUAUCGCACUAGACUUACGCGACAAACACAAGGACACUUGAAACUCAGGGUAGUUGUGAACCUAAUGGUAUGUCUAAACCUUUGAUUACCACUUGAGGAGAAUAAGUGUGGCCCGAUCUUGUGAAAUGUUCUGGUAACUAUCGAUUUGGUCGAAACGUGACACAAAUCAAUCCAGCUUGCGAACAACACGAUCCGAAACCCUGCAACUCUUUUUAUUUUUUUGAUAUUUUUCUCUUACUAGGAGCACUCAAGAAGUAACCACACGAAAUUUGAGCUUAUACAAGUGAAAGACGUGGCCUGUGGAAAUUUUUGAAGAUUGCAAAAAAUAUGAAAAAAAAACUUUAAGAGGUGAAAACUCAAACUUCAGAGGCGAAUUUGGGGAUUCUAAAAUUGUCAAAGCCUCUCAUGGCGGGGAUAGACAGAUCAAAAAAAAAAUUCUGAUCGAUUUUGAUAUAUGGAACGUCAAAAUCGGAGUUCGUCUGCGAAAGUUAUGGCUGUUUUACGAACGGACUUUGAAUUAGAGGACAAAACGGUCCGGAAGUGGGAAAAAUUUGCGGCGGUGGCUAUAAAUUUAUGGAAACGGUGGGAAGAAACACACAAACUGGACUCUAACGAGACCUAACCAGUAACAAGACCUCGACAAGGACACAAACUCAACACUACGUACUCUGAAACUGAAAUAUGCAAAGGCUAUGGCGCGGAUGGGUUGUAGGACAUUAGAACAAUAUAGCACUAGACUUAUGCGACAAACACAAGGACACUCGAAACUAAGGGUAGUUGUGAACCUAAUGGUAGUUCUGAACCUUUGAUUACCACUUGAGGAGAAUAAGUGUGGCCCGAUCUUGUGAAAUGUUCUUGUAACUAUCGAUUUGGUCGAAACGUGACACAAAUCAAUCCAGCUUGCGAACAACACGAUCCGAAACCCUGCAACUCUUUUUAUUUUUUUGAUAUUUUUCUCUUACUAGGAGCACUCAAGAAGUAACCACACGAAAUUUGAGCUUAUACAAGUGAAAGACGUGGCCUGUGGAAAUUUUUGAAGAUUGCAUAAAAUAUGAAAAAAAAAACUUUAGGAGGUGAAAACUCAAACUUGAGAGGCGAAUUUGGGGAUUCUAAAAUUGUCAAAGCCUCUCAUGGCGGGGAUAGACAGAUCCAAAAAAAAUUUUCUGAUCGAUUUUGAUAUAUGGAACGUCAAAAUCAGAGUUCGUCUGCGAAAAUUAUGGCUGUUUUACGAACGGACUUUGAAUUAGAGGACAAAACGGUCCGGAAGUGGGAAAAAUUUGCGGCGGUGGCUAUAAAUUUAUGGAAACGGUGGGAAGAAACACACAAACUGGACUCUAACGAGACCUAACCAGUAACAAGACCUCGACCAGGACACAAACUCAACACUACGGACUCUGAAACUGAAAUAUGCAAAGGCUAUGGCGCGGAUGGGUUGUAAGACAUGAGAACAAUAUAGCACUAGACUUAUGCGACGAACAUAAGGACACUCGAAACUAAGGAUAGUUGUGAACCUAAUGGUAUGUCUGAAGCUUUGAUUACCACUUGAGGAGAAUAAGUGUGGCCCGAUCUUCCGAAAGGUUCUGGUAACUAUCGAUUUGGUGGAAACGAGACACAAAUCAAUCCAGCUUGCGAACAACACGAUCCGAAACCCUGCAACUCUUUUUAUUUUUUUGAUAUUUUUCUCUUACUAGGAGCACUCAAGAAGUAACCAUAGGAAAUUUGAACUUAUACAAGUGAAAGACGUGGCCUGUGGAAUUUUUUGAAGAUUGUGAAAAAAAAUGAAAAAAAAAUUAGUAGCUGAAAACUCAAACUUCACAGGUGAAUUUGGGGAUUCUAAAAUUGUUGAACCCGCAAUUUGUGGGGAUAUACAGAUCCAAAAAGUUUUUCUGAUCGAUUUUGAUAUAUGGAACGUCAAAAUCGGAGUUCGUAUGCGAAAGUUAUGGUUGUUUUACGAACACACUCCGAAUUAGAGGACAAAAUGGUCCGGAAGUGGGAAAUAUUUGCAGCGGCGGCUAUAAAUUGAUGGAAACGGUGGGAAGAAACACACAAAUUGGACUCUAACAAGACCUAACCAGUAACAAGACCUCGACCAGGACACAAACUCAACACUACGGACUCUGAAACUGAAAUAUGCAAAGGCUGCGGCGCGGAUGGGUUGUAGGACAUGAAAACAAUAUGGCACUAGACUCAAAACUAAAGGUAGAUGUGCACCUAAAGGUAUGUCUGAAGCUUUGAUUACGACUUGAGGAGAAAAGGUGUGACCCGAUCUUACGAAAGGUUCUGGUAACUAUCGAUUUGGUGGAAACGAGACACAAAUCAAUCCACCUUGCGAACAACACGAUUCGAUACCCUGCAAUUCUUUUUAUUUUUUUUUGAUAUUUUUCUUUUACUUUGGAGCACUCAAGAAGUAACCAUUGGAAAUUUGAGCUUAAACAAGUGAAAGACGUAGCCUGUGGAAUUUUUUGAAGAUUGCAAAAAAUAUGAAAAAAACUUUAGGAGGUGAAAAAUCAAACUUCAGAGGCGAAUUUCGGGAUUCUAAAAUGGUUGAACCCACCUAUAGCGUGGAUAGACAGAUCCAAAAAAAUUUUUGAUCGAUAUUGAUAUAUAGAACGUCAAAAUCGGAGUUCGUAUGCUAAAGUUAUGGCUCUUUUACGAAAAGACUCCGAAUUAGAGGACAAAACGGUCCGGAAGUGAGAAAAUUUUGCGGUGGUGGCUAGAAAUUGAUGGAAAUGGUGGGAAAACACACAAACUGGACUCUAACAAGACCUAACCAGUAACAAGACCUCAACCAGGACACAAACUCAACAAUACGGACCCUGAAACUGAAAUAUGCAAAGGCUAUGGCGCCGAUGGGUUGUAGGACAUGAAAACAAUAUGGCACUAGACUUAUGGGAUGAACAUAAGGACACUCGAAACUAAGGGUAGAUGUGAACCUAACGGUAUGUCUGACGCUUUGAUUACCACUUGAGGAGAACAAGUGUGGCCCGAUCUUACGAAAGGUUCUGGUAACUAUCGAUUUGGUGGAAACGAGACACAAAUCAAACCAGCUUGCGAACAACAUGAUUCGAAACCCUACAAUUCUUUUUUUUGAUAUUUUUCUUUUACUUAGGAGCACUCAACAAGUAACCAUAGGAAAUUUGAGCUGAAACAAGUGAAAGACGUGGCCUGUGGAAUUUUUUGAAGAUUAUGAAAAAAAUGAAAAAAAAUUAGUAGCUGAAAACUCAAAAUUCAGAGGCGAAUUUGGGGACUCUAAAAUUGUCGAACCCGCAAACGGUGGGGAUAGACAGAUCCAAAAAGUUUUUCUGAUCGAUUUUGAUAUAUGGAACGUCAAAAUCGGAGUUCGUAUGCGAAAGUUAUGGUUGUUUUAUGAAUGGACUCCAAAUUAGAGAACAAAACGGUCCGGAAGUGGGAAAUAUUUGCGGUGGUGGCUAUAAAUUGAUGGAAACGGUGUGAAGAAACACACAAAUUGGACUCUAACAAGACCUAACCAGUAACAAGACCUCGACUAGGACACAAACUCAACACUACGGACUCUGAAACUGAAAUAUGCAAAGGCUAUGGCGCGGAUGGGUUGUAGGACAUGAAAACAAUAUGGCACUAGACUUAUGGGACAAACUUAAGGACACUCGAAACUAAGGGUAGAUGUGGCCCUAACGGUAUGUCUGAAGCUUUGAUUACCACUUGAGGAGAACAAGUGUGGCCCGAUCUUCCGAAAGGUUCUGGUAACUAUCGAUUUGGUGGAAACGAGACACAAAUCAAUCCAGCUUGCGAACAACACGAUUUGAAACCCUACAAUUCUUUUUAUUUGAUAUUUUUCUUUUACUUAGGAGCACUCAAGAAGUAACCAUAAGAAAUUUGAGCUUAAACAAGUGAAAGACGUGGCCUGUGGAAUUUUUUGAAGAUUGCAAAAAAUAUGAAAAAAAACUGUAGGAGGUGAAAACUCAAACUUCAGAGGCGAAUUUGGAGAUUCUAAAAUUGUCGAACUCGCCCAUGGCAGGGAUAGACAUGUCCAAAAAAAAUUUUCUGAUCGAUUUUGAUAUAUGGAACGUCAAAAUCGGAGUUCGUAUGCGAAAGUUAUGGCUGUUUUACGAACAGACUUCGAAUUAGAUGACAAAAGGGUCCGAAAGUGGGAAAAAUUUGCAGUGGUUGCUAACUGGACUCUAAGAAGACCUAACUAGUAACAAGACCUCGACCAGGACAUAAAUUCAACACUACGGACUCUGAAACUGAAAUAUUGCAAAGGCUACGGCGCGGAUGGGUUGUAGGACAUGAAAACAAUAUGGCACUAGACUUAUAAGACGAACACAAGGACACUCAAAACUAAGGGUAGAUGUGAACCUAAAGGUAUGUCUGAAGCUUUGAUUACCACUUAAGGAGAAAAGGUGUGGCCCGAUCUUACGAAAGGUUCUGGUAACUAUCGAUUUGGUAGAAACGAGACACAAAUCAAUCCAGCUUGCGAACAACACGAUUCGAUACCCUGCAAUUCUUUUUUUUUGAUAUUUUUCUUUUACUUUGGAGCACUCAAGAAGUAACCACAGGAAAUUUGAGCUUAAACAAGUGAAAGACGUAGCCUGUGAAAUUUUUUGAAGAUUGCAAAAAAUAUAAAAAAAACUUUAGGAGGUGAAAACUCAAACUUCAGAGGCGAAUUUGGGGAUUCUAAAAUGGUUGAACCCGCCUAUGGCGCGGAUAGGCAGAUCCAAAAAAAUAUUUUGAUCGAUGUUGAUAUAUGGAACGUCAAAAUCGGAGUUCGUAUGCUAAUGUUAUGGCUGUUUUACGAACGGACUUCGAAUUAGAGGACAAAACGGUCCGGAAGUGGGAAAAAUUUGCGGUGGUGGCUAGAAAUUGAUGGAAACGGUGGGAAAAACACACAAACUGGACUCUAACAAGACCUCAACCAGGACACAAACUCAACACUACGGACUCUGAAACUGAAAUAUGCAAAGGCUAUGGCGCGGAUGGGUUGUAGGACAUGAAAACAAUAUGGCACUAGACUUAUGGGACGAACAUAAGGACACUCAAAACUAAGGGUAGAUGUGACCCUAACGGUAUGUCUGAAGCUUUGAUUACCACAUGAGGAGAACAAGUGUGGCCCUGUCUUCCGAAAGGUUCUGGUAACUAUCGAUUUGGUGGAAACGAGACACAAACCAAUCCAGCUUGCGAACAACACAAUUCGAAACCCUGCAAUUCUUUUUUUUGAUAUUUUUAUUUUACUUAGGAGCACUCAACAAGUAACCAUAGGAAAUUUGAGUUUUAACAAGUGAAAGACGGCUGUGGAAUUUUUUGAAGAUUGUGAAAAAAAUGAAGAAAAAUUAGUAGCUGAAAACUCAAGCUUCAGAGGCGAAUUUGGGGAUUCUAAAAUUGUCGAACCCACAAACGGUGGGGAUAGACAGAUCCAAAAAGUUUUUCUGAUCGACUUUGAUAUAUGGAACGUCAAAAUCAGAGUUCGUAUGCGAAAGUUAUGGUUGUUUUACGAACGGACUCCGAAUUAGAGGACAAAACGGUUCGGAAGUGGGAAAUAUUUGCGGUGGUGGCUAUAAAUUGAUGGAAACGGUGGGAAGAAACACACAAAUUGGACUCUAACAAGACCUAACCAGUAACAAGACCUCGACAAGGACACAAACUCAACACUACGGACUCUGAAACUGAAAUAUGCAAAGGCUAUGGCGCGGAUGGGUUGUAGGACAUGAAAACAAUAUGGCACUAGACUUAUGGGACAAACUUAAGGACACUCGAAACUAAGGGUAGAUGUGGCCCUAACGGUAUGUCUGAAGCUUUGAUUACCACUUGAGGAGAACAAGUGUGGCCCGAUCUUCCGAAAGGUUCUGGUAACUAUCGAUUUGGUGGAAACGAGACACAAAUCAAUCCAGCUUGCGAACAACACGAUUUGAAACCCUACAAUUCUUUUUAUUUGAUAUUUUUCUUUUACUUAGGAGCACUCAAGAAGUAACCAUAAGAAAUUUGAGCUUAAACAAGUGAAAGACGUGGCCUGUGGAAUUUUUUGAAGAUUGCAAAAAAUAUGAAAAAAAACUGUAGGAGGUGAAAACUCAAACUUCAGAGGCGAAUUUGGAGAUUCUAAAAUUGUCGAACUCGCCCAUGGCAGGGAUAGACAUGUCCAAAAAAAAUUUUCUGAUCGAUUUUGAUAUAUGGAACGUCAAAAUCGGAGUUCGUAUGCGAAAGUUAUGGCUGUUUUACGAACAGACUUCGAAUUAGAUGACAAAAGGGUCCGAAAGUGGGAAAAAUUUACGGUGGUGGCUAGAAAUUGAUGGAAACGGUGGGAAAAAACACACAGACUGGACUCUAAGAAGACCUAACUAGUAACAAGACCUCGACCUGGACACAAACUCAACAAUACGGACUCUGAAACUGAAAUAUGCAAAGGCUACGGCGCGGAUGGGUUGUAGGACAUGAAAACAAUAUGGCACUAGACUUAUGGGACGAACACAAGGACACUCAAAACUAAGGGUAGAUGUGAACCUAAACGUAUGUCUGAAGCUUUGAUUACCACUUGAGGAGAAAAGGUGUGGCCCGAUCUUACGAAAGGUUAUGGUAACUAUCGAUUUGGUGGAAACGAGACACAAAUCAAUCCAGCUUGCGAACAACAGCAAUCGAUACCCUGCAAUUCUUUUUAUUUUUUUUUGAUAUUUUUCUUUUACUUUGGAGCACUCAAGAAGUAACCACAGGAAAUUUGAGCUUAAACAAGUGAAAGACGUAGCCUGUGGAAUUUUUUGAAGAUUGCAAAAAAUAUGAAAAAAACUUUAGGAGGUGAAAACUCAAACUUCAGAGGCGAAUUUGGGGAUUCUAAAAUGGUUGAACCCGCCUAUGGCGCGGAUAGGCAGAUCCAAAAAAAUAUUUUGAUCAAUUUUGAUAUAUGGAACGUCAAAAUCGGAGUUCGUAUGCUAAUGUUAUGGCUUUUUUACUAACGGACUCCGAAUUAGAGGACAAAACGGUCCGGAAGUGGGAAAAAUUUGCGGUGGUGGCUACAAAUUGAUGGAAACGGUGGGAAAAACACACAAACUGGACUCUAACAAGACCUAACCAGUAACAAGACCUCAACCAGGACACAAACUCAACACUACGGACCCUGAAACUGAAAUAUGCAAAAGCUAUGGCGCGGAUGGGUUGUAGGACAUGAAAACAAUAUGGCACUAGACUUAUGGGACGAACAUAAGGACACUCGAAACUAAGGGUAGAUGUGAACAUAACGGUAUGUCUAAAGCUUUGAUUACCACUUGAGGAGAACAAGUGUGGCCCGAUCUUCCGAAAGGUUCUGGUAACUAUCAAUUUGGUGGAAACGAGACACAAAUCAAUCCAGCUUGCGAACAACACGAUUCGAAACCCUGUAAUUCUUUUUUUUUUGAUAUUUUUCUUUUACUUAGGAGCACCCAACAAGUAACCAUAGGAAAUUUGAGCUUAAACAAGUGAAAGACGUGGCCUGUGGAAUUUUUUGAAGAUUGUGAAAAAAAUGAAAAAAAAUUAGUAGCUGAAAACUCAAAUUUCAGAGGCGAAUUUGGGGAUACUAAAAUUGUCGAACCCGCAAACGGCGGGGAUAGACAGAUCCAAGAAGUUUUUCUGAUCGAUUUUGAUAUAUGGAACGUCAAAAUCGGAGUUCGUAUGCGAAAGUUAUGGUUAUUUUACGAACGGACUCCGAAUUAGAGGACAAAACGGUCCGGAAGUGGGAAAUAUUUGGGGCGGUGGCUAUAAAUUGAUGGAAACGGUGGGAAGAAACACACAAAUUGGACUCUAACAAGACCUAACCAGUAACAAGACCUCGACCAGGACACAAACUCAACACUACGGACCCUGAAACUGAAAUAUGCAAAGGCUAUGGCGCGGAUGGGUUGUAGGACAUGAAAACAAUAUGGCACUAGACUUAUGGGACGAACAUAAGGACACUCGAAACUAAGGGUAGAUGUGAACCUAACGGUAUGUCUGAAGCUUUGAUUACCAGUUGAGGAGAACAAGUGCGGCUCGAUCUUCCGAAAGGUUUUGGUAACUGUUGACACUAGCUAACACCACUUAGAUACUAGGUUGUCAUCCCUAGCAUGGCGCGAGAGUGUACAAAGGUAUUUAUAAAUGUAAAGACUCUCUAGAAAAUAAUCUAUUCUAUCCGCAAGCGCACAGAUAAAACACCUCAUUGUAGCAAUUCACCAGGAUAAGUAUUCCAGGUAUCGUUAUUUAUAAUUUUGCUCAAGAGAACUAAGGAAGAUGGAAUUAAAUCAAGGGACAAAAUCUAUCAAGGCAUAGACUAGAGAUAAACUUGCAAGAACAUGAUUACUAAUGAGAAACUCGUCACACAGUCACAUACUUUAGCAGGGGGUAAACCAUAAAGAUAAUGAUAAUAAAUUAUAAGUUCAUGGGAUAAAGAGCACAGCGAUUAGAAAAUAGACUACUCCUCAUAUAUGUAGGUGAUGUCGGAUUAGCUGGAGAAUGGAUUCUAAGUUAUCUAUUAACUACUAAGUCAUAAUCUACUCUAGUUAUCUACAAGAUCAUAUAUAGCAUAAAAGACUCUUCAUUCAUGUAUAAGGAACAUUGAUAAAGUAAAUCAGAGCAUCGCAUGACUUACUCCACAAUACCGGUUCUGCCUGUCCUAUCAACGGAGGGUGGACUAUAUAAGAAUCAACGAAGCUGUCACUAUCGCGAACUACCACACGACUCGGCCAAUAGGAUACAUUUGCAGAUAAAUAACAUCUAAGCACCACGCUCACAUGUGAUCUAUCACCUAACUCCCUCGCGACAAGAGCUAUAUCAAAUAGAACUAUAUCAAAUAUAGAACUAGAGCAAACUAAGAACAUAAUAAUUAGAGACAUAAUGCAAUUAGAACAAUAGAAUUAGAGAAAGAUAUGAAUAAUACCAAUCUUUAUUACCGAAGAUCCGAAUCCAGAGCGUAGUGCUCUACUUCUCUAAUUGCUAUCUAAUCAACCUCUAAACUUGAAGGAUUAGGGAGUAGCUAAUUCUAAUUCUCUAUGGGAGAGAAGCUCUAAACCCUAACUUUGAUGGCUACCUCUGAAUAAUGAUUUCUCCUCCUCUCGUCCAGGGGCCAGGGGGUCUGGUUUUAUAGUCCCCUCAAGUGAACGUGAGCCAUUGGAUCAAACCGACAUAGAUUGUAUGGUUUAGAUUGAUCCUUUAGGUCGGUGGAGUCUUGCCCCGAAGCAGAGUCCUGGUUGGCUUCCUGGCCAGGGCGGGCGCCCAAGGGGGGUGGGCGGCCGCCCAUCUCCCGAGCCCGAUUCGCGUCCCGUUCGUUCCCGUGGCUUCUGGAUCCUUCUAGAUUGAGGAAAAUUGCGCGGCACGUAAUUAUCUCAUUGUAAACAUGACAUGUGGGCCUUCUCUCCCUAUUUUCUGAUAAACCCCUGCAGAAAUAGAUAAACACCAAAGCUCGUGGAAUUCUGUCAGAUAAAACCCCUAUUCUAGAUGUUUGUUUCAUAUUGAUCCUUUUUCAUGUUUAUUUGAUUAUUAAUUUUAGUACUUAAGGACCGUCAACAAACUCCCCCAAGCUUACCCUUUGCUCGUCCCUGAGCAAACAGCUAAACUCAGACGGAUCAGGAGUUGCUUCGAUGUUUUCUUUCCUGACAGGCACACAUGCUUUUACAUAAAAAUUCUUCCAGAUUAAAGUGAAGUGUUAUGAAGUUUAGUACCUGCACUUAAGUCUUAAGUAAUCGAAUAGACAAAAUAGUUAAGUCAAGCACUAUCCCUCCUAUCUAUAUUUCACCUUUGUUCCAGAGUUUUUCAUAAGUUUUCAAAAUAAAACUCAGAGUUCCCAGCAAUGAUUCUCUCAAGUCUCUCUAUAUGUGGUAUUUGUGGAUCCUUACCAUAAUGUCACUUACCUAUAGCUAAUGGAAUAUUUAAGUAGAGCUCAUAGGAGUGGAAAACAGCUCAUACAUAUGUUGUCUAAUCGAGCCAUGGAUCCAAAGGAACUCAGCAUAUAAUUAAAUCAAGAUGUGCAUGUGUGGUGGAGUAAAUGAUAGUGAUGGUGAAAAUGCGAUAGUGUUAAUAAAUCUUAGUUCUCAUUGCUCCUCAUAUUGCUAUCUCUCCUCUUCUUUUAUCUUUGCCCUGGGAGAACAUGGGCUAUCUUUUCUCUCUCUUUUUUUUUCAGGUGGGUAAUAGAUACCCCUAAUUCUACUGUCGGACACUUGUCUAUUUUUACCUCUCAAGUGGGCAUCUUUGUACCCCUAAUUCUACUUCGGACACUUGUCCAUUUUUACCUCUCGUCUCACUCUUUUUUUUGAGGUUCCCGGGCACUUGCCCCUUUUUAUUUCCUCGUAUAUAUUUUUGCAUAACCCAUGCCUCUUCUGCAUUGAAUCUUUUUAGAGAGAGAGAGAAUAACAAUAUUCGGGACAGUGAGUGAUAAUAUUUUUAGCAAUUUUAAUGAUUGGUGAUGAAUGCUGUGGUAGAUGUGUGCAAGUGAAUAUCUUAAUUUAACCACAUGAAAAGCUCCUAAGGGUCAACACAGCUCGAUCAAACUCAAUGUAAAUAUAGUAAAAGAUGUUAUAGCAAAUAUGGCUGUGGUAGGUAGUUUGUUAUGCUCGGAACUCAUCAUGUGAUUUGUAAGUUUUCAAAAUAAAUCUCCAGAACUUAGUGUAGUAGGAACAAGAUAAACAGCAGCUCAACUUUAUAUCAUGCCUUUCUCUUACCAAGACUUUAGUUUUAUGCUUCCCAAAGAUAGUAAUUUUAGUUUUAGUAAUUCCCGGAAGAAUUCUAAUAUAAAAGCUAGGUACUUGUAAGUAAGCAAACAGAGCAACUAUUCAUCAUCAUUUCCAUCAUGCAUCUUUUUGAUCUCUUUUUUUUAGAGAUUAAACUUAGCAGAAAAAUAAAGCACACUUAUCUACACACUUUUUUUAUUUUGUUUUCAUGUUUAUUAAGUUUUCCUUUUAAGAUAAAUAAAAUACUAAGACAGAAUAGAAUAAAUAAGAAGAGCAAAUAAAAACUUACUUGAUAAAUUAGGGAGGAACUCCCCCAAGCUGGAUGUUGACGUCGGUCUUACCCGAUGUUCCAGAACCGCAUCAUGGUUGUGAUGCUGUCGUUCAUUGUUGUUGUAUCUUGUCUCAGUUCUUGUACUGCAGCGGCAUGGUCCUGGUUCCAUUUUUGUUGCUCUUCUAGGAGUCUUCCAUGUUCUGCUUGCGUGUUCUGGAUGUCGAGGAGGGUGUUGUCGGUACGAGUGAAGAAAGCACCGGCCUCUUGAUAGUAGUCAUUCGUGAAGGCGUAGGAGGCGUCGGAGUAUCGUCCUGCAUCAAAUUGGGGUGGAGGUCUGGAUCCUGAAGCUCCAUAUGGAUCAGUGGAGUACCUGCCCAUAUGAAAAGGCGGGUUUGUCCACUGGUGAUCUUGGCUCUCCGGCCAUGUCUCCUCUGUUGGCUCUUGUGGUUGCGCAUGACGAGCCCAUGGGUCUCGAAGGACUCAUGGAUUGUAAUCGCAAUAAUGCAGGUGCGCUGCUUCUUCUGGUCCGGGGUCAGCUCCAUACCAAGUGCGUUCUCGGUGAGUGGUUAUCCUUUCAGAUGCCACUCACUGUGGAGUUCUCUGGUUCACUGGUGUUGCUGCAAUCUCAAUCAAAAAGUUUUGCACAGAGUAGAGGCCAAGGUUCGGGUUAGGUAACCGAAUCUUGCCUUUAUCAUCAUAUAGCAUAUACAUUAUAUUCCCCUCUUUCUUUAACAUCCGAGCUUGUCUAAAUGUGUCAUAGCCAUGAUAAAUUCUUAAUUCUUCUAUGAAGUCCAACGAUGAGUUUUCUAGUAAGUGAAGAUUAGUGGCUAGACGAGUGAAGUACAUCCUACUGGUCCCUGAAGACUAGGUAUACUAAGCCAAUGUGAAACUAAUAGUAUAACAGGUGAAGUGGGUACUUUACUAAUAGCAGCAUAUAAAGUUGUAAAUCUCCUACUCUUACUUUCCUAAUAUCGUCACGAUAGAAAAGAUUGUACCCAAGCCAUUUGUGGAACAUCCUAAGAGUGGGGUAUUCCAUGUCACUGGUUCGGGCUUGACUGUAAAAAUUAUCUCUAGAUAUUUCUCUCCAAAACUGGUGUCUCUCAAAAUUGGGUAAAUCGGAGUCAAUGUUCAGGAUGCAUCUUGAAGAGAAACCAAGAUGGUCGCUCAGCUCUCUCCAAGAUAACAUAAUUUCCUGUUUAAACAUCCGAAAAACAAUUCCCCCCUCAUAGUAUUGUAAGGUGCAAAGAAAUUCGAGGGUGAGAAGACGAGAACCCAGCUCAGUUAUAUUCCAAAAAUUUGUCCAACCCAUCAUCUGAAAAAUUAAGUCAAAUUCAGUGUCCAUACCUGUUUCUCGUAGUAGGAUUGGAUCGAUAGUAGGGGUGUGAAUGAAAUCUUUGUUCUUCAAUUGCUGAUAGACUUCCUUCUCUCUUCGGGUCUUCAGUCCUAGGUCUCCUAUAUUGAGAAGGACCUUAACUUGCUGACCUGAUGAAGAUGACGGAGCUUGUGUGGGUGUCGGGUCGACGCUCAUCUCUGAUGGUUGUGAGGAGUGUGGGGAUGAACUCCUUGUACCAAUGUUCUUGAUAGCCUUCCCUGCAUUCUUCACCUUCUUAAACAUCCUGCAAACAAAAGUUGGCAAAAACACAACUGGUGGAAAAUGUGAGAUAAAAUGUUAGUGGUCAGCUGUCCGGAGUAUCAGUAGUCCAGGGAUUAAUCGUUCAAGACAAGUUUCUAUUUUGGUAGAGCCUCCCCCCUAAACAACUUUUACUUCCGCUUGGACAGCGGGAUCACUAUUUGCUAGGUGAUAAUCACUUUCUCAAAAGAACUCCAACCUUCUCUUCCACUCUCCUCUUUCUCUCUACUCUCUUCUCUUCACUACAAAAGCUCCUUCUCGGGAAACUGAGAUUUGUGUGGUUUUCUGAAGUGUUUGUGUGAAGAGAAGGGAGCUUAAGGUGGCCUUUUAUAGGCUGAGCAGGGGAUAGGGUGGGCACCCAAGGUAGGUGGGCGGGCGCCCACCCCUGGUGUCCAUCCUGGGUGUGCCUCCUCCACAUGCUUCCUUGCUUUGAUCUCACGCAGAAUAAUAUUGUGUUGGUAGUGGUUGGACGGUGGAAAGAUGUCAAGUGAGUGGAAACAUAUUGGUGGAUGAAAUUAUGUGAUGGGAUGUAUGUGAGGUGAAGUGUAUGACAUGUGGGACCCAAAGAGUGUGGGUCAUGCUUCUAGAGUAUCAAUAUAAAUAAAUAUAAUGCAGGAAAAUCUAUGAGAAUUGAAACUUAAUGAUAUUGGAAAAUAUUUUUUGUGCCUCCACAAUAAUUAAUAAAUAUGGGUUGUUACACACCACGAAUAUUAUUUAUAUGGGGCUUUUUGAUUAUUAUAAUUAUGCUAUGACUAAUGUAAGAAUUAAUUAUGUAAGAAUUUAAAUAUGAGAAAAUUAAUAAUGCGGAUAAAUACCGAUUUACCUCCCGGUGAGGGUUUGGGAUUUUUAGGUCCCCCAAGCUGGACCUCCAAAUCUUUUAAUCUUCUGAGUUUCCUUCCUCCGGAGAUGGUGUCUCCAGUGGUUCUUCAUGAACUUCCUUCACUGUAGAGUCUUUCUCUGGUCUGGGUUUGAAUGUGAAGUGUUCUUCUUGACCGUUUAUGUUGAACUUGAUUUCUCCUUUCCCGACAUCAAUGUGGGCAUUAGCAGUGCUUAGAAAUGGCCUUCCAAGGAUAAUGGACACUUUUGAGUCAGGACUCAUGUCCAGUACUACGAAGUCUACUGGCACCAGGAAAUCUCUGAUCUUGACUGGAAUGUUCUCGGCGAUGCCCAACGGGUGUCGAACCGAUUGAUCCGCUAGUUGUAGGCACAUUGAUGUUGGUUCUAAGGUUGCAUGAUCAAGCUUUUUGUAGACUGAUGCUGGCAUCACACUGACACUUGCUCCGAGAUCACAAAGUGCGUUGUUGAAGUUUUGGUUUCCAAUUGAGCAAUCAAUAGUGGGGCAUCCUGGGUCUUCCUUCUUCUUUGGUGGCUUAUUGAGGAUGGCUGCACUACAUUCUUCCGUCAGCUUGAUAACCUCAGUGGUGGGCAGUGGUCUCUUCUUGUUAAGAAUAUCUCUGAUGUACUUUGCAUAUGUAGGUACCUGUAUGGCAUCGAGCAGAGGUAUGUUGACAUAUAAUUUCUGAAUGACCUCUACAAACUUACCAAACUGCUCAUCCGACUGCAGUCCUCUGUUUCUUCUGGGAAAUGGCAAAUAGUUGGUGUCGUAAAAAUCUUUCCUCAUUUCUCCAGUUCUUGGUGGUUGGAGCAGAUCUUCUGCUUCAACUGGGCUUUCUUCUUCUAUUACUGCUGGUUGCACUGGUGCUGAUGUUCUUUGUUUCUCUUUUGGGUAUGGUGGAUCUCUGGUGGCUUUGCCUCCUCUAGUAGUUAUAUUCUUUACCUGCUCAAGGUUAGUAGCAAUAGGCAGUGCAGCAGCUAACUUUAUUAAUUUAAGCUCUACCCUUUUAUUAAGAGUGUUUUGCUCAUCAAAGGCACUUAGUAGAAAAUCUAUUUUAUUGUAUAUAUCUUUUAGAGAUGAUUCAUUUGUAUCUAGCCUUUGUUUAACUUCAUCAUUAAUUUUAGUUUGUUGAGCAAUUAUCUCUUUUAAUGAAAGUUGCUUGAAAGUAUUACCUGAAUUCAUACCUUUGCUAUUGGGUUGACUUGAAGUUGGUUGAUAUUUGUAUGCUGUCUCAAUGGCCCUUUGAUCUUCUUUGAACUUGGCCCUCUGGUCAAUCCAAUGGAGCAAAUUUUCCAUCUUAGUUGAUAAUGCAUUUACUUCUUCUGGUAUUUCUUCAGUUUGAUGACAUUGUUGAGCUUUAUCUUGGAACCAGCUUUGAUUUUCUGCUAUCUUAUCCAAAACUAUCUCUGCUUUUCCAGUUGUAAGCUCCAAGAAUGAUCCUUUAGCAGAUGCAUCUAGGCACUCUCGAACCUUCUGGGUUAAUCCAUGGUAGAAGGUCUGCAUAAGUAACCAUGUGGCCAUUCCAUGGUGAGGACAAUCUGAUAUGUAUCUUUGAAAACGCUCCCAUGCUUCUGAAAUGGCUUCUGUCUUCUGCUAUUGGAAACUGACAAUAUUUCCUCUUAAGGCAGUUGUUUUGCCUAUAGGGAAAAACUUUGAUAGAAAGGCAUCUGACAAGUUCGUCCAGUUGUUUAUGUUAUCUUGAUGAGUGUAGAACCACUUCCUCGCUUUUCCUUCUAGUGAGAAUGGAAAAAGGCGAAGCAGUAUGAUGUCUUUGUCAACUCCGUUGAUGUGGAUUGUGCUUCCAAUCUCUAAGAAAUUCUGUAAGUGUGCACUGGCAUCUUCAUGUGCCUUUCCACUGAAUUGUGUAGCUUGUACAAAAUUGAUGAGGCUUGACUUGAGCUCAAACUCGGGUAUUCCUUCUUCUACUGCAAAUCUUGGACCGGUUGGAAUGUUCUCAAGACUUGGAGCAGAGAAUUCUUGCAAGGUCUUUUGUGCCAUAGCUUCAGCAAUUGGUAGCUAGCUUCUUCUUCUCUUGAUUGCUUUGGUUCUGAUGAUGUAGAGUUGAAUGUACCCAAAGUCAAUCCUGUUAUACCCUGUAUAAAAAUAUAAACAUAGAAAAACAAUAGGGUGAACCUGCCAAAGCAGCGGUGCCUUGUUAUGAUUUCUCACUUAGUAGCUGUUUUAUGCAAUUAUUUCUCUAUAGUCUAGUCUAAUAUCUUAUAUGAAUAACCUUGAUUGAUUUUCUGGCUUUCCUUAAUAUUACCCUUUUGCUCCCUUUUAUCACUUAUUCCUGAGACUCGUAUAAUUCCUAUAAGUCCUAUAAAUCCUAUAAGUCCCCGGCAACGGCGCUAGAAAUGCUUGUUGACACUAGCUAACACCACUUAGAUACUAGGUUGUCAUCCCUAGCAUGGCGCCAGAGUGUACAAAGGUAUUUAUAAAUGUAAAGGCUCUCUAGAAAAUAAUCUAUUCUAUCCGCAAGCGCACAGAUAAAACACCUCAUUGUAGCAUUUCACCAGGAUAAGUAUUCCAGUUAUCGUUAUUUAUAAUUUUGCUCAAGAGAACUAAGGAAGAUGGAAUUAAAUCAAGGGACAAAAUCUAUCAAGGCAUAGACUAGAGAUAAACUUGCAAGAACAUGAUUACUAAUGAGAAACUCGUCACACAGUCACAUACUUUAGCAGGGGGUAAACCAUAAAGAUAAUGAUAAUAAAGUAUAAGUUCGUGGGAUAAAGAGCACAGCGAUUAGAAAAUAGACUACUCCUCAUAUAUGUAGGUGAUGUCGGAUUAGCUGGAGAAUGGAUUCUAAGUUAUCUACUAACUACUAAGUCAUAAUCUACUCUAGUUAUCUAUAAGAUCAUAUAUAGCAUAAAAGACUCUUCAUUCAUGUAUAAGGAACAUUGAUAAAGUAAAUCAGAGCAUCGCAUGACUUACUCCACAAUACCGGUUCUGCCUGUCCUAUCAACGGAGGGUGGACUAUAUAAGAAUCAACGAAGCUGCCACUAUCGCGAACUACCACACGACUCGGCCAAUAGGAUACAUUUGCAGAUAAAUAACAUCUAAGCACCACGCUCACAUGUGAUCUAUCACCUAACUCCCUCGCGACAAGAGCUAAGCGCUUUGCAAACUUAUACAUGAACUCAUUAUCAAUUAGAACUAUAUCAAAUAUAGAACUAGAGCAAACUAAGAACAUAAUAAUUAGAGACAUAAUGCAAUUAGAACAAUAGAAUUAGAGAAAGAUAUGAAUAAUACCAAUCUUUAUUACCGAAGAUCCGAAUCCAGAGCGUAGUGCUCUACUUCUCUAAUUGCUAUCUAAUCAACCUCUAAACUUGAAGGAUUAGGGAGUAGCUAAUUCUAAUUCUCUGUGGGAGAGAGAUCCAAACCCUAACUUUGAUGGCUACCUCUGAAUAAUGAUUUCUCCUCCUCUCCUCCAGGGGCCAGGGGGUCUGGUUUUAUAGUCCCCUCAAGUGAACGUGAGCCAUUGGAUCAAACCGACAUAGAUUGUAUGGUUUAGAUUGAUCCUUUAGGUCGGUGGAGUCUUGCCCCGAAGCAGAGUCCUGGUUGGCUUCCUGGCCAGGGCGGGCGCCCAAGGGGGGUGGGCGGCCGCCCAGCUCCCGAGCCCGAUUCGCGCCCCGUUCGUUCCCGUGGCUUCUGGAUCCUUCUAGAUUGAGGAAAAUUGCGCGGCACGUAAUUAUCUCGUUGUAAACAUGACAUGUGGGCCUUCUCUCCCUAUUUUCUGAUAAACCCCUGCAGAAAUAGAUAAACACCAAAGCUCGUGGAAUUCUGUCAGAUAAAACCCCUAUUCUAGAUGUUUGUUUCAUAUUGAUCCUUUUUCAUGUUUAUUUGAUUAUUAAUUUUAGUACUUAAGGACCGUCAACAGUAACUAUCGAUUUGGUGGAAACGAGACACAAAUCAAUCGAGCUUGCGAACAACACGAUUCGAAACCCUACAAUUCUUUUUAUUUGAUAUUUUUCUUUUACUUAGGAGCACUCAAGAAGUAACCACAGGAAAUUUGAGCUUAAACAAGUGAAAGACGUGGCCUGUGGAAUUUUUUGAAGAUUGCGAAAAAUAUAAAAAAAACUUUAGUAGGUGAAAACUCAAACUUCAGAGGCGAAUUUGGGGAUUCUAUAAUUGUAGAACUCGCCCAUGGCAGGGAUAGACAUGUCCAGAAAAAAAUUUCUGAUCGAUUUUGAUAUAUGGAACGUCAAAAUCGGAGUUCGUAUGCGAAAGUUAUGCCUGUUUUACGAACGGACUUCGAAUUAGAUGACAAAACGGCCGAAAGUGGGAAAAAUUUGCGGUGGUGGCUAGAAAUUGAUGGAAACGGUGGGAAAAAACACACAAACUGGACUCUAAGAAGACCUAACUAGUAACAAGACCUCGACCAGGACACAAACUCAACACUACGGACUGUGAAACUGAAAUAUGCAAAGGCUACGGUGCGGAUGGGUUGUAGGACAUGAAAACAAUAUGGCACUAGACUUAUGAGACGAACACAAGGACACUCAAAACUAAAGGUAGAUGUGCACCUAAAGGUAUGUCUGAAGUUUUGAUUACCACAUGAGGAGAAAAGGUGUGGCCCGAUCUUACGAAAGGUUCUGGUAACUAUCGAUUUGGUGGAAACGAGACACAAAUCAAUCCAGCUUGCGAACAACACGAUUCAAUACCCUGCAAUUCUUUUUAUUUUAUUUUUUUUUGAUAUUUUUCUUUUACUUUGGAACACUCGAGAAGUAACCACAGGAAAUUUGAGCUUAAACAAGUGAAAGACGUAGCCUGUGGAAUUUUUUGAAAAUUGCAAAAAAUAUGAAAAAAACUUUAGGAGGUGAAAAAUCAAACUUCAGAGGCGAAUUUGGGGAUUCUAAAAUGGAUGAACCCACCUAUGGCGUGGAUAGACAGAUCCAAAAAAAAUUUUUGAUCGAUUUUGAUAUAUGGAACGUCAAAAUCGGAGUUCGUAUGCUAAAGUUAUGGCUGUUUUACGAACGGACUCCGAAUUAGAGGACAAAACGGUCCGCAAGUGGGAAAAUUUUGCGGUGGUGGAUAGAAAUUGAUAGAAACGGUGGGAAAAACACACAAACUAGACUCUAACAAGACCUAACCAGUAACAAGACCUCAACCAGGACACAAACUCAACACUACGGACCGUAAAACUGAAAUAUGCAAAGGCUAUGGCGCGGAUGGGUUAUAGGACAUGAAAACAAUAUGGCACUAGACUUAUGGGACGAACAUAAGGACACUCGAAAAUAAGGGUAGAUGUGAACCUAACGGUAUAUCUGAAGCUUUGAUUACCACUUGAGGAGAACAAGUGUGGCCCGAUCUUCCGAAAGGUUCUGGUAACUAUUGAUUUGGUAGAAACGAGACACAAAUCAAUCCAGCUUGCGAACAACACGAUUCGAAACCCUGCAAUUCUUUUUUUUUGAUAUAUUUCUUUUACUUAGGAGCACUCAUCAAGUAACCAUAUGAAAUUUGAGCUUAAACAAGUGAAAGACGUGGCCUGUGGAACUUUUUGAAGAUUGUGAAAAAAAAUGAAAAAAAAUUAGUAGCUGAAAACUGAAACUUCAGAGGCGAAUUUGGGGAUUCCAAAAUUGUCGAACCCGCAAAUGGCGGGGAUAGACAGAUCCAAAAUGUUUUUCUGAUCGAUUUUGAUAUAUGGAACGUCAAAAUCGGAGUUCGUAUGCGAAAGUUAUGGUUGUUUUACGAACGGACUCCGAAUUACAGGACAAAACGGUCCAGAAGUGGGAAAUAUUUGCGGCGGUGGCUAUAAAUUGAUAGAAACGGUGGGAAGAAACACACAAAUUGGACUCUAACAAGACCUAACCAGUAACAAGACCUCGACCAGGACACGAACUCAACACUACGGACUCUGAAACUGAAAUAUGCAAAGGCUAUGGCGCGGAUGGGUUGUAGGACAUGAAAACAAUAUGGCACUAGACUUAUGGGACGAACACAAGGACACUCAAAACUAAGGGUAGAUGUGAACCUAAAGGUAUGUCUGAAGCUUUGAUUACCACUUGAGGAGAAAAGGUAUGGCCCGAUCUUACGAAAGGUUCUGGUAACUAUCGAUUUGGUGGUAACGAGACACAGAUCAAUCUAGCUUGCGAACAACAUGAUUCGAUACCCUGCAAUUCUUUUUAUUUUUUUUUGAUAUUUUUCUUUUACUUUGGAGCACUCAAGAAGUAACCACAGGAAAUUUGAGCUUAAACAAGUGAAAGACGUACCCUGUGGAUUUUUUUGAAGAUUGCAAAAAAUAUGAAAAAAACUUUAGGAGGUGAAAACUCAAACUUCAGAGGUGAAUUUGGGGAUUCUAAAAUGGUUGAACCCGCCUAUGGCACGGAUAGGCAGAUCCAAAAAAAUAUUUUGAUCGAUUUUGAUAUAUGCAACGUCAAAAUCGGAGUUCGUAUGCUAAAGUUAUGGCUGUUUUACGAACGGACUCCGAAUUAGAGGACAAAACAGUCCGGAAGUGGGAAAAAUUUGCGGUGGUGGCUAGAAAUUGAUGGAAACGGUGGGAAAAACACACAAACAGGACUCUAACAAGGCCUAACCAGUAACAAGACCUCAACCAGGACACAAACUCAACACUACGGACCCUGAAACUGAAAUAUGCAAAUGCUAUGGCGCGGAUGGGUUGUAGGACAUGAAAACCAUAUGGCACUAGACUUGUGGGACGAACACAAGGACACUCAAAACUAAGGGUAGAUGUGAACCUAACGGUAUGUCUAAAGCUUUGAUUACCACUUGAGGAGAACAAGUGUGGCCCGAUCUUCCGAAAGGUUCUGGUAACUAUCGAUUUGGUGGAAACGAGACACAAAUCAAUCCAGCUUGAGAACAACACGAUUCGAAACCCUGCAAUUCUAUUUUUUUUGAUAUUUUUCUUUUACUUAGGAGCACUCAACAAGUAACCAUAGGAAAUUUGAGCUUAAACAAGUGAAAGACGUGGCCUGUGGAAUUUUUUGAAGAUUGUGAAAAAAAUGAAAAAAAAAUUAGUAGCUGAAAACUCAAAUUCAGAGGUGAAUUUGGGGAUUCUAAAAUUGUCGAACCCGCAAAUGGCAGGGAUAGAUAGAUCCAAAAUGUUUUUCUGAUCGAUUUUGAUAUAUGGAACGUCAAAUUCGGAGUUCGUAUGCGCAAGUUUUGGUUGUUUUACGAACGGACUCCGAAUUAGAGGACAAAACGGUCCGGAAGUGGGAAAUAUAUGCGGCGGUGGCUAUAAAUUGAUGGAAACGGUUGGAAGAAACACACAAAUUGGACUCUAACAAGACCUAACCAGUAACAAUACCUCGACCAGGACACAAACUCAACACUAUGGACUCCGAAACUGAAAUAUGCAAAGGCUAUGACGCGGAUGGGUUGUAGGACAUGAAAACAAUAUGACACUAGACUUAUGGGACGAACAUAAGGAAACUCGAAAAUAAGGGUAGAUGUGAACCUAACGGUAUGUCUGAAGCUUUGAUUACCACUUGAGGAGAACAAGUGUGGCCCGAUCUUCCGAAAGGUUCUGGUAACUAUUGAUUUGGUGGAAACGAGACACAAAUCAAUCCAACUUGCGAACAACACGAUUCGAAACCCUACAAUUCUUUUUUUUGAUAUUUUUCUUUCACUUAGGAGCACUCAUCAAGUAACCAUAUGAAAUUUGAGCUUAAACAAGUGAAAGACGUGGCCUGUGGAAUUUUUUGAAGAUUGUGAAAAAAAAUGAAAAAAAAAUUAGUAGCUGAAAACUCAAACUUCAGAGGCGAAUUUGGGGAUUCUAAAAUUGUCGAACCCGCAUUUAGCGGGGAUAGACAGAUCCAAAAAGUUUUUCUGAUCGAUUUUGAUAUAUGGAACGUCAAAAUCGGAGUUCGUAUGCGAAAGUUAUGGUUGUUUUACGAACGGACUCCGAAUUAGAGGACAAAACGGUCCGGAAGUGGGAAAUAUUUGCAGCGGUGGCUGGAAAUUGAUGCAAACGGUGGGAAGAAACACACAAAUUGGACUCUAACCAGACCUAACUAGUAACAAGACCUCGACCAGGACACAAACUCAACACUACGGACUCUGAAACUGAAAUAUGCAAAGGCUAUGGCGCGGAUGGGUUGUAGGACAUGAAAACAAUAUGGCACUAGACUUAUGGGACGAACACAAGGACACUCGAAACUAAGGGUAGAUGUGAACCUAACGGUUUGUCUGAAGCUUUGAUUACCACUUGAGGAGAACAAGUGUGGCCCGAUCUUCCAAAAGGUUGUGGUAACUAUCGAUUUGGUGGAAACGAGACACAAAUCAAUCCAGCUUGCGAACAACACGAUUCGAAACCCUACAAUUCUUUUUAUUUUUUUUUUGGUAUUUUUCUUUUACUUAGUGUAAGCUCUAGUGUUGUUUUGGAUAAUUGAUGAAACUCUAGUACUAACCUCAAUAAUAAGUGUGUGUAGACUUAAUGAGGUUGGUACAUGCUAAGUGAUGGAGCAAGUGAUGAUCAUGGUGAUGAUGGUGAUGACCACAAGGUGAUCAAGUUCUCAACUUGGAAAAGAACAAAGAGAAAAACAAAACCCUAUGGAGAUCAAGGCAAAGGUAUUGCUUAGGGUUUUGGUUUUGGUGAUCAAGACACCAUACAGGGUGUGAUCACACUUAGGAUAGAUAGCCGUACUAUUAAGAGGGGUAAUCUCGUUGUGAAAACGGUUGUCUAAGUGCCACUAGGUGAUUGGAUUUCUUGCAUAUGCAUUAGGACCUAGUGAACUUUUAAGUAACCCUUGAAAAAUAUUUUGAAAUAUGCUAACACACGUGCACAAGUGUUGAGACACUUUGGUGUUGGCACAUGGAAGCAA
rnacentral:lncRNA from 1 species